rnacentral:lncRNA from 1 species
CAUAUCCACCCCACGUUCUUCCUUCAUCGCAUAUCCUUCUUCAUUGUGUAACUGUCCCGUCUACAUAAGAGUUCAAUCUCAACCUAAUUGCUUCAAGUGUUUCAACAUUUGCUUCAAAUUGCUUCAAGCUUCUCAUAAUCAUGGACCACAAAUCAACUGAGAACAUUUUCCCCUUUGAAUAAAAGCCAUCCAAUGUAUGUUUUAAUUUCUGUUUUCACAAAUUUCUAGGUUUACUUCCACUUUGGAUUGGGCUUUUCAACAACAAAACUCACUAGUUCUUCUCCAUCAUCUGCAGGAUUUUUAUUUUUUCUUUGAAUGCACUUGGAAGAUCCCAGACAACGAUGGCCUCUUACUUCCAUAUACACUUUUCUAUAUGUAAAUCUCAUUGGACGUCCACUCACUUACUCAGUAAGUUUCAAUUUCAGGUUUUUUAUUUGUCAACUGAUACUGAUAAUAGAGAUGCUAUUGAGGGAGAACGACGACUAUUGUCUCAUUCGAGGCCACCUGCCACUGCUGGUUUUGACGUUCAAUUUUGGAUUCCGGCUUGAACUUUACCAGAAGAAAAAUAGCAGAUUCCGUUUGACAUCUGUAAGUUUCUCAAAAUCCAUCUCCAUCCCUAUUGAUGCAAAAUCAAUUUAAUGCUUUCUAAAGUCUUAAUUAAAAACUUUCUAAGAAACUUUUAUGAUUCAUAGCAAGAAAUCAGUAAUCUUGAUUUGUAAUUUUCCCCCUUUAUCACAAAUGUCUAUAAUUGAGGAUGUUGAUUGCAUUUCCAAACGAAUUCACACAAAAUUAGGGUUAUGUUUUUCUCUGCUUUUCACUCUAUAUUGGAUGGCUUUAAGCUGGUAAUUUUUUUGUUGUCAUUAGUUUAUAAUCUUGAACCAGGUUUGAUUUUCUGUUUGUUUUUCGGUUUUAGCCCUAAAUCAAUUUGUGUUGCUUGAACUAGGUUUGUUUUGUUUUGAAUCAUGUGUUGGCUAGAUCUGUUUUAGCCAUAAACCAAUUCGUUUUACUUGAAUGGUUUUUUUUUUUUUUUUUUUUUUUUUUUUUUUUUUUUUUUUUUUUAUCUCAAGUUUGAUUCUUUUUACUGAUAAUGCUUUGUUUUUUUCAACCUCUUCCAAAAUUGAUGGACAUAAUGGUUUGCCACACGACCCAUAUGGAUCAAUAUCUGGUAAAAUAUUAUGCAUAUUAACUAUUUGACAAAAUACCAUGCUUAUUCCAUUUAUGAUCUUUAGUCCUUUGAUCAAUACUAAAUUUGAAAUUAGACAUAAACCUGGAUAUGGAAUUUUAAUUUUUCUUACUUUCUUGUUGAUGACAAAUAGCGAUGAAUCAAAUGUGAGUGGGCAUGAUAGCGAGGGUACAUCUUGGAUUUAGUGCUUUUGCAAUAUAUGUGGGAAUGAACUUUUCUGUGAAGUUGAUGAAAAUUACAUCGAAUAUGAUUUAACAACUUUGGUUUAAGCAACCAAUGAUUAUGGUCUUGAUUAGAUUACUGUUUUGCUUCUCUUAUUAGUUAUUACAUGAAAAAAAGGUUCGUCAUUUGUGACUUUUGAUAGUGAAUAACAAAUAUAAAUUGCGAUUUAUCGUUUCUACUUAAAUCCAAUAAUCAUCAUUUGGGUUCUAAUUUGUUGCUCUUUUGUGUAUAUGAACUUUCUUAAACUAUAGAAAAAGUGGGGGGAAGAAGUGAAGUUUGACUUUAAUAAUGCAAUAAACGCAGAGUGACUUUAAUGAUGUUAAACUAUACAAACUACUCUCUUUAAGUGUUUGAGGAAUCUCAAAUAUGACAUUUUAUAGAUGUCGAACUUUAAAAUUUUCUUAUGUUUUUUAUGUGAAUUUUUAAUUGCAUUGAUUUGUUUUGUUUAUUGGUUUGAUAGAGUAUGCAACUGAAUCAACAUAUGUUUUUUUAAUGUGAAUAUUCAUCUUCUCUCUAAACUCUUGUCAUUUUUGGGGUACUUAUGACUUUAUAAUUGGUCUUUUAAGUCCAUGUAUAAUAACCAAUAUGUCCCCAUCUUCUUUAUUGUUUUAAUCCUUUCUAUUUAAUAUUUUUUUUAUAAAAUAUUUAUUAUUGAUUACAAUACAUACUUAUUCAUAACAUUGAUUUGUGAGUUAGUUUUUCAGUUUGUGUAUAUGUAGGUUUUGCAAAAUUAUCUUAUUUGUUAGGAUUUAAAAAAAAAAACAUGAUAUUACGAUUUAUGAUCGAUGUUAUUAUUUCAAGUGUAUCAAAAUUUAUAUCAUGGUAUGUCAUGAUUUUACCAUUAAUCACGAGUUAAAUAACAAUGUUAACGUUUUUGAACCGUUUGAUGCAUUAUUUAUUGAUAAAGUGAUAGACUUAAGAAAAAAAAAGUCAGUGUUUCUUAGUUCUUACAUAUUUUUGUUUCUAAAUAUUUUAGAAUUCAAAAGUGUUUUUCAUUUUCUAUUAUAAAUAGUGUACAUUGAAAAAUCUGUCCAAUAAAAAUAAAAUUUUUAACCCAAAAUAGCAAAAUAUACUUUUUUAAAGAAUAAGAUUGUAUAAACAUCGGAUAGAUAUAACACUAUUUAUAUUGUUCCAAUUAAUAUAUGUCAAACAUUGAAUGUAGACCAAAAACUUCCUAUUUAUUUACAUUGUUCCAUUAAAAUUAGGGGUGAGCAUGGUGCGGUUCGGUGCGGUUUUUGGACAAAACCGAACUGAAAACCGUAACUUCGGUUUUUUGAAAUUUAGAAACCGCACUGUUCGGUUUUAUGCGGUUCAGUUUUUGCAGUUUUUUAUUGCGGUUUUUUGCGGUUCGGUUUUUUCGCGGUUUUUUGUUAGUUUUUUUUGUUUUCGUUUUUCCUUUUUACUAAAACUCAAGUAACUCUGUAAGUUACUUUGACUCAAAUGAAGAGUGCUAAUCAUUUAUUGGAGAUAAACCGAUAUCACCACCUCUUGGAUUGAAAUCAAAUUACAUAACCACUCAUCCAACAUGUUUGUAAUGCUUGAAUAUAAUACGAAUUUAAUAUAAUAUUUUUUUCAUAAGUACAUACGAUAAUAUCAAUUAAUGUAUUCAUAAAAAUGAUACUUAUCACCAGUACUCUUCAUAUUUAAAUGUUAAAAAAUGUCAUAAACAUUAUUUGUUAUUGUAAAUAUCACUGAACGUAUGCUUAAAAAUAUACAAUCAUCACUCGAUAGAUAAAACAAAUAUUUAUAUUUAUAAAAAUUUUAAUUGUCAUNNNNNNNNNNNNNNNNNNNNAUAUAUAUAUAUAUGCGGUGCGGUUUGGUUUUUUGCGGUUUUUGCGAGACUAGAAACCGCACCGCACCGAGUAUUUUCGGUUUUUACAAAACUAAACACCGCACCAUCAGUUUUCAUUUCGGUUUCGGUUUAUGCGGUUUUUUUGGUUUGCAGUUCGGUUUUUGCUCACCUCUAAUUAACAUAUGUCAACCAAAGAAAAAUUGACAUCAGCAAAAGCCACUGAAAUAUAUAAAUAAUAAUGGUUUUUAUUUUGUGUUAAAAUAAAAAUAUUUUGUUGUUUAUAUAUUAAAAAUAAAAGCAUGUUUAAAACAAAAAUACAUUGAUAAAAUUUAUUUAUUUAUUAUAAAAAUACGCAUAAAUAACUUUAUGUUUUGCUAAUAGUUAUUAAAAUUGAAAAAUCAAUUGUUAAAAUUUCAUUAUGGAAGGUAGGUAAUGUAAAUUUUAUUUAUAUUAAUUUUAUUUUUAACCGGAAAUAAUAUUUUGAAACCAAACAUCAACAUAAAUACGAUCGUAACUCCAAAAAAAAUGUCGUUUCAUUUUUAAAGCAAAACAAAAUCAUAGUUUUAUUUUUAUGUCGAAACAAACUUUUGACAGAAAAGUAUGGAUGAUUGUUUAGAUGGAUGGCUCGAUCCAAACGAUCAACUAAAUCUAAAUUGAUUUUAGUUUCAAAGUAUCGAUUUGAAUAGUUCAAACUACAUUCAAAUCCAAUCUAUUAUAACCAAAUCAUUAUUCAGUUGGACCGAUUUUUGCAAUUCAGUUUUCAAGAGUCAUGAUAUAUAAAAAUAAAACUUGAAUAUUAAUAAAUUAUAUAAAAGAAACUAACACAAAUGUGAGAAAUAUGUUAUUUUAGUAAAAAAAAUGGAUGUACAUUGCUUUUUAACACAUUUAGCCAUAUUUGGGCUUAUUUCAAGAAUUAGUAAUGGAAGUGCAUUGUUAUUUGUUUAGUUAACUCUCUAAUGUGAUUGUACUUGAAUUUACUGCCAAAAAAUAAGUGAUACUCCUCUUAUUGGUUUUAUUGUUGAUGAGUUAGUUAAUAAGAGUUUAUCGGGUUUGAUUCUAUAUACAUUUUUAUCUUUUAUAUACUAAUAUACAUAGGUAUAUUAACUACAUUUAUCUAAUAUGUGUGUACGGGGUUGUUUGUAUGUAUAUUAAUAUGUUUGUCAUGUUUUCUUAAGCUGACAAUUAUCCUAAUUGGGUACAAAAUUUUCUUAUCGAAAGUUUAUGUGGUCAUAAGGUCAUUUUUACUAUUAACGUUGACAAAUUUAAUGUCACCAAACUACAUGUGUCGUUUUAUUGUAACUAAAUACUAAGUGACAAAAAACAUAUUGAUAAGGGAUAUAAGAUUACUCCCAUGAUUAAGAGCAAUACGGUGGUUUAACAAAUGAUGAAGAUCAUUAUAUAGUUAUAAUCGAUGAUGUAGAUUAAUGGUUGUCUAAUUCCCUGAGUAUGAAUGAGAGCUCUCAAAACAAGCGUUAUGGGGACCACAUAUUUAUUUGAUAUCAUCAACAAUGUCAACAAUGGUAAUUAUUAAUUCAUAAUGUGGUAAGUUAUGUAAAAGUUAUACUUUAUAUGUAUUAAACUUGAUUUGUCUUAAUAUACAUAAGACGUUUGUGAUAAUAAAGAAAUUGAUGGUCUUCAAAAACGUAUAUCUGAUGUCAAAGAAGCAAAAGAUGAAGAAGGAAGUGAGAAUGUAUGGGUUAAUUUAUAUUAUUUCUAUAAAGUUAGAUUAUGUUUUUUUGGUAUGCUUCUUAUUAUUGCGAUCAAUAUUUAGAAUUAGGUUGGUCAUGAUAAUAUUGAAGAUCAUAUUUUUAAAAAGCGUAUCUAUAUCUCUACUUUCAAGAUGGUGAAGACAUUCAAGUAAGUUACAAGAUAUUGUUUAAAUUUUAUAUUUUUCUUACAGUGUGGAAAUAUUUUUGCUUCAAACUGUUAUUGUUAGCUAUUCUUUUACGGUAUAUCAUCAAUAACACUAAAGAAGUGUCGGCUUGCAUAAUUGUGUGAGGAGUCUACUAAUGAUGAUACUGCUAACCGACUUUAAAGUAAUUAAAUAACAGAUUUUAUUUUUUUGUUUUUAACUUAACUUCAUUUAAUUGUGUUAUAAUUAAUUGCUAUGCUUUUUAUUUUAUUGUCUUUUAAUGUUUUUUUUUUUUUUCAUUCAUAUGUUGUUUACAUUAGUAGCUUUGUCAUUAUACAAUGCAUGGUAACAAAUUACAUAAUAACAUAGAACAAAAUAAAAUUAAUAUUUUAUUUAUUAUACCGGUUAACUGUCCAUGGGAUAUAAAACUAAUUAUUUCUUGCCAAAAAGUUAAUUGGAAAAGACUUUUGAAAAUGUCAAACAUUUUUUAUUUUUAAACUCCCAAACACCCAGAACUAUCGUCGUUCAUUUCCCAUUGUUUACCUCCUUCCGCUCCCUCAUCGUCACCAACCAUUACUUCCAUUUGGGACAGUGGCUUUAAAGACGAGACAGAAUCCAUCACAUCCAAUUUCUUCUGGGUUUUUAACCAAAAGAGCAUUCGUUGGAGAUCAAGACUCAAAUUCCAUAUAGGUUUUUCACCAAUUUCUUCCCAAACGGUUCCUUUCUUAUCGGUCUUUCUUCCAUUUUCUGGCGAGAAGUAUAGUAAGAGAGAUUCCAGGUCCUAUAACCUCGAUGUGGGCCAUGGCAUUGUCGUAGUCUCAAUGGCUGCAACCGGUCAGGGGUGGGACGUGAAGUUGAUAGAUGGAUUGAGACAUGGCGAAUUGAAGAAACUAAUGGGGCUUGAUGUUUAUGCGGAGUUCAUCAUUCCAUCAACAGCGGUUAAUCUUUACUGAUAUCAAACCUUCCACUAAAUCUCAGUUGGUGCCCUGGUAAUCUCCUAUAAAUAGUUCGAGAGAUUUGUAAUUGUUUGUCGAUCAUGCCUCCUUUGAUCUACAUUUCUCUUUUUCACUUUGAGAUGUGAUUGCAAAAUAAUACAUGGAAUUCGAACUUGCAUGGGGUUUUGCUAUUGACUUGAUCGUUGUAAAGUUUAAUGUAGUUAUAAGUUAAUUUACCCCAAAAAAAUCCAAUAAGUUCAUACCAACUUUGGAAUUAUAUGAUCUUUCUACUUCAUUUUGAUGAGUAUGUCCGAGACCUUUUGCUGAAAAUUGAAGUACAAAUGGGAAAAAGUCAACAAGAGCGAUAGAAGGAGGAAUGAGGUGUUAUUACACUUGAAGUACUAUAUAUAAGUUGUACUACAUAGAAAACCAAUUUUCCUAUUUUUAACCAACUAAAAUUGAUUAUUCUCAAUAACUUUCAAGAAUCGCUGUACACAAACCAAUCAUUAUCAGAAAAUAUGGGGUUCAUCUUUCACAAAUGUGCGCAUUAUUGAAAUAUAAUGAAUCUAGACUUAGGGUUAUUUUAGUAAUUUUAAGAAGUAACUAAUGCAGUUAGAAAGGAAGUUAUAUUGUUAGAAAGAUCCAUGAGACAAAUUAAUUUUGAUUAUUUUUAUUGACAUUUUGACUUUGACUCAAUCAUUUACUCUUUAACUAUAACCUAUUUAUCUUUACGUAUACCUAAAAGACUUCAUAAACCCUUUGUAAUUGAUGUGUCAUCAAUAAAGACUCUAUUUAGUGCAUAUAUAAACAUCUCUCCUCUCUGAUACGAAUGUCCAUGUUAUCACUUUAAUUCAAUGUUUCUUUGGUUUAAUUCCAACAUGCAUAAUGACAGGUGGUUCAAGGAAUUUCCAUUCUUAUCAUAUAGCAUGUUGUGUAAAUCUGUAUACAGAUUUCAAAAUUGAGCUUUCUUUUGUUCCAUCUGAUACGUAUAGUGUUCCGCAGUUUUGCUAUCAUAUAAUAUGGUAAUGACAUGUUUUACAAUACAACCGAUGCAGACUUUUUUCACAGUUGAAGAUGUUGUAUCGGACCCCAAAAAACAUUUGAACAAAAUUAGAGCAUAUGAAGAUAUCACCAAGAGUUAAAAAAUUAUAAAUUUUACAUCAAUCUUUUCAUCCAUAAAAAACAUGAAACCAUCAUAAAAAUGCAGUUUGAUUUCGUUAGUAUAUCAUGUCCUUUGUGAAAUACAUGAGUGUUCAUCGGUCACUUUUUGCGAUAUGUUAAACAUGGUGGUUGGUGAUCGUGGUGGAGAAGAGAAGAAAGGUUUUGGUGGAAUUUCCAAUGCCUCCAUGCUUCCUUCCAACAUUUCAAUCACUUCAUUAAUCGAUGGUCUUUGCUUGGGAUUAGUUUGUAUGCACCAUAAGCUGACUAUAGUCAUCUUUCUAACAUAUUCAUUUUCUGUAGAAGAUGUCACACCAUCAAAUAAGAAUUCAUUUGUCUUAAGACGGCUAUAAAUCCAAUUUGGAAAAUACAUGAUUUCACUCGUAUCCUCGGAUCCAACACCAUUAUAAACAUUGUUCCUUCCUCCAACCAUUUCUAGUAUGAGCAUCCCAUAACUAUAUACGUCAGAUUUAUGGGACACUCCACCGAAGUUUCUGUUAAAAACUUCAGGGGCAAUAUACCCGAUAGUGCCUCUAGCCUCCAACAUAGAAACAAUACUAUCUUUUCUCGAGUACAAUUUAGCAAGGCCAAAAUCUGCUAUCUUUGGGCAAAAGUCUUCAUCAAGGAGGAUGUUAUGUGGCUUUAUAUCAAGAUGCAAAAUACGAGUGUUGCAGCCACGAUGCAAGUAGUCAAGACCCCGUGCAAUUCCAAGUGCUAUCUCAUAUAACUUGUCUACUCCUAUGUGUUCACUUGUACAUUGAGAAACAUGGCCAUAUUUAAACUUCUCUAAUGAUCCAUUUGGCAUGAACUCAUAUAUCAGAGCUCUUUUUUGAUUGUCAAAACAAAAUCCCAAGAGAGUAACAAUAUUAACAUGAGAAGUCCUACCGAUGCUUGCAACUUCGUUUAUAAAUUCUUGUCCGCUUGCUUUCGAUGAGUUUAAAAGUUUUACUGCCACAAGACGCCCAUCUGAUAGUUUUCCUUUAAACAGAGUACCAAAACCUCCUUGUCCUAAUUUAACUUGAAAUGAGUUUGUCAUUUUCUUGAUAUUGGCAUAUGUGUAUCUUUUUGCACUCAACGAUCCAUAUUGUAUGACAAAGGCCUCAACGCUUUUAUCGUCCUCAGUUUGAUGCUUAAAUAAGGCAAUAUGGCUACUCAAUGAAGACUCGAAAUGGCAAUAUAUCAUGAAUAUGAAGACACUCAAUAGUAGUGCAGAUCCAACACCCACACCUGUAAUAAAGGAAAAAAGGACUGUUCCGUUAAAAAACAUUCUAAUCUUAAUUAUAAUGACUGUAAAUGCAUGACCACCACAAAUCGGCAAACCUUUGUUUGUAUUUGUUUUCAUUUUAACAUUUCAGUUGAGAUUCUACUUCCUUUAGUAUAUAAAAAAUCCUCAUCACCAUCGCCUUUUCUAGAUCUUAAUUUAGAUUAUAUAAGUUAACUGAAUAAACUUACCAAGUUUUAAUCUCCAUGAAUUUGUGGACCCUGCAAAAAAAAAAAAAAUUGUAUUCGAGAUGUGGGAUGUGAGAAAUAUCAAUAACAAAAUUCAACGAAAAGAGUUCUUGUACAAGUGGAAAGUACAAAAUCAUGGGUAUAAUUUCCGUACAAAAUCAAAGUAGUAUACCAUGUUUCUCACGGUUGCUAAACUGCCACUCUAAAACAAACCCUUUUCUUAAAACAUCGGUAUAAUUUCCGUACAUCAACACAUUCAUGCUAUCGGAAUGUACGGGUACAUGAACCAAACUCUGACACGAAUUUAUCGAAUAAUUGUUUCUCUUCAAAAUUUCGGGCUGAAAGACAGCAAAAGAUGAAAAUUGACUACUGUUAGUAUCACAAUCAACCGAAUAUGUCCUCUCUGAAUACGGAUGACUACAAUUGUAUAAAAAGUGGAGAUCAAUUGUCAAAGAGCUAUAGCUAAAGGGGCUUCCGUUUGUGCUAAAGUUUCUUAGAGGAAUAGGGCAGUUAUUGCUGUCGCUAAAAACCUUCGAGCUAACAAGAAGGAAUGAAUUAUUGGCAUAAAAUACGUCUUUUAUGAUAUAAUCAUCAUUGGAGAUCGUCAGGACUGGGUUUUUGUUUUUGCAGGUGAUAUUGAAUCCAUGGGACCCACAAUUGGGUUCUUGUUGUUGAGGAAUAAAAAAGGGGAAGGUUAAAUUUGGUCCGUUACCACAGUUCCUUGGCAAACAAGAGAUUGAAUCGGAGGAAAGGGAUAGAGAUGGAAGAUUUAAGUAACUAAAUAUUGUGAGAAACAAGAAAGAUUUGUUGAAAAAGAUGAAGCAAUGAAUAUCCAUCUGGGUGGAAUUUGGAAAUAAGGAGAAAAGUGUGAAUUUGGGAGAGAUAUUUUAGAAAUGAAGAUCAGUAUCGGGGAGGAGAGUCAUUAGUCCACAUCUUCACAUUGCAGUAGGUCUAAGGGUUUUGUUUUUGUUUUAUUUAUUUAUUUUAUUUAAUUUUUUUUCCGGAUUUGCUCAUUGGUUUUGAUUUUCAAAGCAUGGAUCCGAAUUGUUCAAACUAAAUUCAAAUUUGAUCCGAUCCGAUCCAAUUACAAUUCGGUUGGAUAUGCUCUCGCAGAGUGUUUGUUUUUUUUGGAAAUGCACAAAUCUAAAAAUGUUUACACGAGGUCUUCUGGCCAUACAUGAGCUAUUGUCUUUGAUGGUCUUCAUGUUCAUUUUAACCAAAAAAAAAGGAACACACACAUCUUUUUUCUUUUCUCCGGUGCCUCCAAUUGAAUGUCCCUCAAAUCGAUCGUAUCCUCAAAAUCGAUAGCCCUUCCACCGUCGGUCUUCUUCAGCUCAUCUCCUCCUCUCGCCGUCGUCGUCCAGGCGAGGCGCACCACCGGCUCCAACAGACCACUCAUCGAAUUCUUACUUGAAAACGCAAAGAAACGGGUGAGUGUCACCACCAACUACAUCUCCGCUCCUUCAACGAACGACCACAUGUAAACUAUCUUGAUUUUUUUGAAAUUAGUUUAAUCUUUUAUGAAUUCGGAUGAAUAUUUGUGUAUUCCUUCCUGAAUACUGAUGAAACUUGUUGAUGUUGGAUUAGUGUCUAAGUCCAUAACUAUUUUAGUAUGUAUUUGACCUGAUGGUGCAUGGACCUUUUGGGUUGCCUUCACCAAAGCAACUUGAUAGGAUGAAUUACGGAGAGAAAGGAUUAAUUAUGAUUUAUUAAUAUAUUAUGAGAAUAAUAUAUUAAAGGAGAAAUCAUAUUGUUUAAUUAAUAUUAGUCAAGAAUUAAUAAGAAUUAAGUUUGUGGCUAAAAGAGAUUAAUUAAACUUAAGGGACUAGAACUGUCAAUUGUAUGAUAGUUGAAUAUUGAGCUAAUGGACUCCAUAUUAAAGGGGUGGACGAAUUCUAUGGGGAAACCCAUUAGAAAUCGUCCUAGGCCUUUAAGGAAGGAGCCCAUGGGUUGCUUAGGGAUUAAGCAUCCAAAUUAGGGUUUCCUUGUUAGAUAACCCUAAUAGCCUCACUAUUUAAAGAACCCUUAUGCCCUAAAAACGUGGUGAACUUGUUGAUUAGGGUUUCCACACGUUUUCGGCAGCCUCCUUCUCUUCUCUUCUUCAUCCUCUUGCUCUNNNNNNNNNNNNNNNNNNNNNNNNNNNNNNNNNNNNNNNNNNNNNNNNNNNNNNNNNNNNNNNNNNNNNNNNNNNNNNNNNNNNNNNNNNNNNNNNNNNNCCGAGGUAUCAUGGGUUGGUGAAUAACAAGAUCCAACCACUGAAAAAGACUUGGAAGUAUCUCCGGAGAUAAAUUACUGUAGUCCAAUGACUUGACUAAAGCAUGUUUCAGAUAGACCCCAAUGAAAGUAUGAUAUGAGUACUUGAAUGAAGAAUGACACAGAAGUUAGCCGACUGUCAAUAUCUUUGAUAUUCCCGACGUAAAGUUUCGGGAAAAUGACCUUGUAAAGGUCUUACAUCAUAACCACAGAGAAGAUAGUUCUUGACAGCAUAAAGACCUAACUAAAGUACUUACAGUACAAGGUUAUUUCAUAGAAAAUGCCACAUCAGGCAUAGACAGAAAAACAUGAUUCCUUUUUAACAAGGAAAAUAAAGUAAAGCGUCUACUACCGGCGACGGUCAUCCUUCUGGUGAACUCUCAGUUCAGCCAGUUGACGUUCCACGUCAAGUAGGUGUCUUUCGUACACCCUCUGGCGUACUCGGAGCUCUAUGACUUCGGCUCAUGAUUCAGCCAGCGCUUGCAGCAGGGUUUCAUGGUUUCUCUCUGAUCUCUCGCGAGCAUCUUCUAGACGAAUGGUGCGGAGGGUAUGCAUUCUCGCAUCGGCGACAACUUCAGUAAUCUGAUGUAGGGCUGUCCUGCCUUGAAUCUCAUUUCGGGCCACUCUGCGGACCAAGAUUGGCAAGACUCUAUCUGCUGAGCCUUAAUAGCUCAAGUCGUAAAAGCUUCGGUGGCCAUUAAAUGGCAUAAGAUGAUCUUGUCCUUGGCUCCAUGUUUCCACGCAUUCCACUCACUCAGGGUCGGGCCAUGAAAUGUCGGACGAGGGUUAGGAAUUGGAAAGGGAGCUGCUCGGGGUAGGUUCUCAACCUCUGGUUCGGAGUUAGCAUCAUACGAAAGGUCUUCAUCAUGGUGAUCAUUCAAGGGGAUAGGAUGAUCAUUCUCUGGUUCUUCUCCAAACCAACCAGCUAUGACUUCGUUCGGAAGAUACUGGUUGCCGAGGGGAUGGAGUCCAGCUAUGUUUUCUAUGCGAGAAUUUAGGGUAAGAGAAUAAUUAUUAGACGAACUAUCUAGAUAAUUAUUUAGAAAACCUUCAUUAGUUACAUCGCUAUUUGUGAAGUGCAUACCAGCUAUGUGUAAUCUAAACAGGAUAGACCUUCGAAUAAGUGANNNNNNNNNNNNNNNNNNNNNNNNNNNNNNNNNNNNNNNNNNNNNNNNNNNNNNNNNNNNNNNNNNNNNNNNNNNNNNNNNNNNNNNNNNNNNNNNNNNNNNNNNNNNNNNNNNNNNNNNNNNNNNNNNNNNNNNNNNNNNNNNNNNNNNNNNNNNNNNNNNNNNNNNNNNNNNNNNNNNNNNNNNNNNNNNNNNNNNNNNNNNNNNNNNNNNNNNNNNNNNNNNNNNNNNNNNNNNNNNNNNNNNNNNNNNNNNNNNNNNNNNNNNNNNNNNNNNNNNNNNNNNNNNNNNNNNNNNNNNNNNNNNNNNNNNNNNNNNNNNNNNNNNNNNNNNNNNNNNNNNNNNNNNNNNNNNNNNNNNNNNNNNNNNNNNNNNNNNNNNNNNNNNNNNNNNNNNNNNNNNNNNNNNNNNNNNNNNNNNNNNNNNNNNNNNNNNNNNNNNNNNNNNNNNNNNNNNNNNNNNNNNNNNNNNNNNNNNNNNNNNNNNNNNNNNNNNNNNNNNNNNNNNNNNNNNNNNNNNNNNNNNNNNNNNNNNNNNNNNNNNNNNNNNNNNNNNNNNNNNNNNNNNNNNNNNNNNNNNNNNNNNNNNNNNNNNNNNNNNNNNNNNNNNNNNNNNNNNNNNNNNNNNNNNNNNNNNNNNNNNNNNNNNNNNNNNNNNNNNNNNNNNNNNNNNNNNNNNNNNNNNNNNNNNNNNNNNNNNUGUGUGUGUCUCUAGUAAGAAUGUGUAUUUUCCCAAGUCUGACUAUCAUUAACCAAAAAUAUAGUUUCUACAUUACCGUGCGUCGUGUGAAUAUUCACGAAGUGAAUGUAAUGGGAAAAGAAAUAGUACUAUGGUGUAGUGUCGAACUACAACCGUACCUAUUACCUUAAAUCUAGGGUAAUACUUCCAAGUACUGUAGUAUUUGAUAUAAAUAACUACAUCGGUACUCAACUGCCUUAUUUGAGGGAUAAGGUAUAAUGUGAUGUCUAGAUCCCAGACUAUACGCUCCCCUAUCAAAGGGAUUUUGGGACCUACCCAUGACCUUGCAUGUAUGCAAGCAUGAACAUCCACAUUACUAUGAUCAUGUAUACUCGAUAUAACGAUCACAAUUGCGUUGUGAUUCAUCGGUAUAAUUAGAUCCUGAACUCGUUCCAUGCUAUAGCACCUAGUGACGUCUGUCCUAUGUAUAUGUAAGCAUACUCAUGUAAGUGUGAUGAUGUAAUUGUACUUAUGUAAGUGUGAUCAUGUAAUAGUAUAGUAGUGUACUGUAAUGUUCCACGUGUGCUAGCUGUAAUGUGUGUUCUCUCUAUCUAGCAAGUAUAGUAAUGUAAUGUAAUGUUAUAGCUGUCAUGUACGUGCUCUCUGCCUAGCAAGUAUAGUAAUGUACAGUAAUGAUCUAGAAAGUAUUGACUCAUGAAUGAACUGACUCAUUGUAUGAUAUUGCGUUCUAGUAAUAGUUCUAGUAUCUUCCUAAACUACCCAUAUGGUAGUUUACUAGUAAUCUAACUGGUACGUAUGGACAUGGAUGUAUACCCUUGCUACCCAAGGGCAUGGGAUGAACUGGAAGGACCUUUUAUGACUAUAUAUGUACACAUGAUAUAUAACUAAUAUUUAAACGACCUUCGGACGAGUACCCGAUAUCCCACCAGACCACAUCUCAAGCGCGAAAAGGAAAUAGGGUGGAUAGCCUUCCUAAGUCUUUUAAACAUUUCUUAUAUAACUAUACAUAUAGAGGCAUGCAAUUUAUAAUAUAAAAGCAUAAAUAAGUUUUGUAAAACAUUUGAACAUAAUUAUUAUCUUCAUAAAAGAUCGACUUGAUGUCAAUCUAUAAAACAGUUUGAAGGCAUAGGUUUGAUAAAACAGUUUGAGUAUAAGGAAACAUUUGUUUGAAACACAGUUGUAAAUAAGUUUGAAAUGUGAUAUACAAAGUAAAAUGUACAGUGUAAUAAAGAGUUUAAGACAUAUAAAAUGUUUAUAAAAAUCAUUUGAAGGAAACUGUUUGGUAAAACGGCUAAUGUAUAGUAAAUCAUUUGAAUGCUGCAUACUAAUCACAUGUGAUUGAUAUAAUAACUAGCAUAAUUCUACUUAUUAAUCACAUGUGAUUGAUAUAAUAACUAGCAUGAUUCUACUUGUAUCCCCCCAUAAAACAUUUAAAAAUAGUUUAAAACAUUAUUUAAGGGGUAUGAACUCACCUGCAGUAAGUGACUGGAAUUGAACGGACUGUUAUCGUAAGGAAGGAUCGGACAAGUGCUUGGUGUCAAGUGAAGACUUUAGACACACACAAUGAUCCUAAUUACAUAUGAAGACAUAUGUAUAUAAAUAAUUAGUGAUUGAAACACUAAUUAUACAAGUAUAAACAUUUAAACGUGAGGAAAAUACUUUUGGUCAAGUUCUAGGAGGCUAAUGGGUUGCAACAAAAGAAUGCAAGGCCUCUAAUGGGAGUUUAAGGUCUAAUGACCAUAUGUUUAGGAGUUUAUGGCCAAGGGGAGUAAACUCCUGGCCGUAAACUCUCCUUAGGGUCGCUACAUGAAGCUUAGAAUUACUACAGCUCUAGUGGUGAAUUGUUUCAAGGCUAAAUCAAGUGUUUGGGCUUCCUAUUAACUCUUUUAAGGAGUUUACGGCCCUGGGACCAUAUUCCCUUGGAGUUUAUGGCCGUAAACUCCCUUGGGAGGGUGUUUAUGGUGUUUUCAAGUCUCUAACAUUUCAAGGUUAUGAUGUAUGUUGGGUUCUAGGCCUAAGGAAGGAGUUAGGGUGUCAUUUGACCCCUUUAUAGGGGUUUACGGCCCAAGAACUUGUCUUGGCUGUAAACUCCUUAAUACUUGUGAUUCCUUAUUUUUUCUAAGCUUUAAACACUUUAGGGUACUUGUCCUAAUUCAAGCCUAAGCCUUAGGUAGUGUUUCAAAGCAUUUUGGCACUUAAACAUGGAGUUCACGGCCCAAGAAGCUCCUUGGCUGUGAACUCACUUUCAUCAUUGAUUCUAAUUGCUUUUGGUGUCCUAAACAUGUAAUGGUGGGUUCUAGUUCGAUUUCUAAAGCUUUGAGGGACUUUGGGACACCUUAGGACCUUAAAAUGGAGUUUACUCUCCAAGAACGUUCUUGGGCGGUAAACUCCCGAAUCUAGUUGUUUUAUUAUGAUAUUGAUGUUUCUAAACACAAUCUAAGGUAUAUAACAUAACUAGAUCGAAGUACUCACAAUUUGGGAUAAAAAACCGAAGAUCCGUGAGAGAGAAUUUUGGCUUUUUCUCUAAAUGGAAUUCAACUAAUGAACUAAUUUGGUUCAGAAUUCUAUUUAUAGUCCUGAGAUAUUUUUGGCAGAAAAUAUUUUUAUUACUGAAACGAAUUCUAAUGUCCUAGAGUAUUGGAAUAAUAGUGUUGCACAAAACCCUAGUGCAUCCACUCUCCUAAUAUUUCCUUAAGUGUAAAAUCCUGAAAACUGCCAAACUUAUACUCGAAAUCUGCGUUUUCACUGUAACUGUUCUACAUCUAUUAGCUUGAUAUGGUUUGUUCAGAAUGAAAAUUUCGGGUUGUCACAGAGUUUAUAUAAAUAUUGAGAUUGAUGAAAUGGCACCUUAUCAUCUCUUUAAAAUAGAACCAAAGGUAAGUUAUCAUCUCUUUGAAUAAGCUUGUAUGAUACUUGUAACAUAUGGAUGAUGCCUUAAAAUGGAACCAAGGGAUACUAGUACUCAUGAGUUCAUUUAUGAUUACAUCGAUGUUAAUUUUCUCAUUGGAGAUUUUGAUCUUACUAAUUUUCUCAUUGCCAAUUUAGAUCUUAUGUAACCAUUGCAAUGAAACUACAUAAGUUCUUAUAAUACCCGCACCAUUUCCCCUCUGGUUCUUCCUCUAGAAUGGUUGUAGCCCUCAUCAACUUGUUCUUCCUCUAGAAUGAUUAUAGCCCUCUUCAACUUUUUCACUUGUUUGUUGGUACUAUUUCUUGACAAAAACAUUCACCAUAAUUGACGUAAUUCGUUUCCACGUGUGUGUGGAUUGAAUUAUAGAUCCAAUCAAAUGAAUGGUUUUAGAGUACAAAGGCUUGGUUUAAAAAAAAUUGUAUGUUGGUUUGAAAUAUACUUCAAUGUUGUAUGAUUUAAAAUUUCAAUGUUAUAAAACUAAAAUUAUUUAAAUUUUCAAGUUGAAAAAAAAUUUGAAGUUUAAAAUUUCAGUUUAUUUUACCAGUCCACAGACGUUAGAAAACAAACAGUCUUCCACUUGCAGACUGUAGACGUUUGGUCCAGCUCUUUUACUACAGACGUUUGUAGAUAUGGUCUGCGGACUGCAUACAUUUUACCUCUAAAAAAAACAUCUAAACCUCUGAAAAAAAAACAACACCUAAAUGACGGAUCGCAGGGGAAAGAGAUAUCCGACGCUUCACAAGAUAAAUAUUUUUCAAUAAAUUUUUGUUGGCCAUGUCAUAAAAACAAUGCAAAAAGGGUCCUUACGUUAGGCGAACCACCGCAAGUUUGGAGCAAAAGAUAGAAUUUGAACUUGUAUAGUGGUUUAAUUUUGGAUAUUUUUGAUGAUUUUGAAAUAAAUUUACUUCUCUUCUCAUCGCUAGCAUGAAAUGUUGUAAAAAUCCCGAUUAGGUCCCGAUUAAUUUCUGAUUAAUCCCUAGGCGCUACUCGACCGAUUAGAGAGCGCCUAGCGAUUAAUCCAUGCAUACAAAAUGACUGAAACUAUUUGAGGUAUGAUUAGUGUUGUAUUUAUCAUAUUAACCUAUUUUGUUAUGAUAUUAGUAGUAUUUAUGAACUUUUAUAUGAUAUUAGUCCUAUUUAAGUUUUUUAAAAUCUAACAAAUUAGCAAUUAAUGGUCCCCGAUUAAUCCCCCGAUUAAUCUCCGCCUAGCCGAUUAAUCCUUUAACCCCAGUCCACCGACUAGCUAACGUCAAACGAUUUUUACAACCUUGCUAGCAUGUACCAUGUGCUUAUAAGUCUUGGGUCCUUUCAUCCAAAAUACCUUUAUUUUGUCUUUUUAUGUUUUUAAUCAAUUAAUAAACUAUAAGGACUAAAUGUGGAAAUUAUUAUACAGACAAACCUACAAAAAAACGGUCCAUGUGGUAUGUAUUUGUUCUGAGAUUUUGUCUAAACCAUUAUUUUUUGGAUUGGUGAUCCUUUUAACCAUGUUUGUAUGUGGAUUUUGUCCCUCAUAAAAUUAAAAUGACUAAAUUGUCCCUGUUGUAUUUAUUUUCCAUUUAUUUUCUAUUACUUAUAUAUAUAUANACCGAAACGGUGGAAACGUUCUGGGGCGGAGGACGUCAUGUACAGUAUCACAACACAGAAUAAUAGUAAACAAGCAAACAACAUCAUCCAUUGCAUUAAUAAUAUAAUUUAAUACAAGAGUGUUCUGUAUAGUUUAUAAGACACUAGAAAUAUGAAUUAAAAUAAGAUAUGAGUCUUGAAUGUACUCCAUCUUCUCAAAAGCUAGCCUCGGUACCUGUCUACCGAUGACCUGAGAAUACAAGUUAUUUUGAAAGAGUUUAUCAGCAUAAAGCUGGUGAGUUCAUAAGCAUUUUAGUGUCAUUGUUUGUAUGAAAAUGUUUGUAAGUGUUCGAAUGUAUAAGUUUGUAAAUGUUUGUAGUAAAUAUUUGUGUCUCCUAGAAAAUCCUAUAUUUUCUUUUAAAAGUAGCCUUCUACCAAGGCGUCAAAUGUGCUGUAUGUUUGUUAUAGUAAAAGUGAGUAUUCCUCCCAAAUGUGACUAUCAUUAAUAAAAUAUAGGUUGUACAUUACUGUUUAUGUGAAGUGCACAAAGUAAUUGUAAUGGGGAAAAGAAUGAAGUAUUGUAGUAUUAUGUAAUAGUAACUACUGCUGUACUAACUACCUUAAACCAAUUGUUAAUUAAGGUAUAAUGUGAUAUAAUUGUAACCAUACUUGAUCGACCUAGUAAAACACGACGCUCGAAGACGUCGAAAUGGUAUAACAUUCAUCACCCGAAGACCUGCAGGUCCCACUGUAGUUAGUAGUAAGGUGUAGGACAGUUAGUCCAGUAUAGAUCUAUACACGAAUUCAUGCUCUCCCUUCAGAAGACUCUGGUUACAAGACGAGCCAUGACAGAGAUGCCAUGCCCCGAAGUAGUGCCUCACAUUUAUGUUAUAGUGUGUAUUUAUUGUAUGUACUAGUGUAGUGUAUGUCCUCCAUGAUUCUCAUCAUAGUAUGUUCUUUAGUAUAGUAUUUAGUGUGAAUGAAUAGUAUGUACUAGUGUAUGUUCUCUAUGUCUAGUGUGUAGUAUGUUCUCUCUGACUCUCAUUAUAGUAUGUUCAGUUGUAUAGUGUAGUGUAUGUAUUGUUUACAGUAUGUAUUGACUCAUGUAUGAACUGACUCUUUGUAUGUUUUAUUGUACUAGAAAUAGUAAGUAGUAUACCUCUAAACUAUACCUAAUAUAGUUUACUAGUAAUGUUGUUUGUAUAUCUAAAUUUAUUGAAAUAAGAUAAUAAGCUUUUAUGUCUAUACAUAUACACAUAAUAUAAAACUAAGGAUCAAACGACACUCGGACAAACAAUAGGGUACUCUAAGUCCACAACCAAACAAGGAACAGAAAAUAGAGUGUAUUAUUGGUCCUAAGUCCUUCAAACCUUAUUUAUAUAACUAUAUAAGCAUUAGACAUGGUUUUGAAAAUAUAUAAGUUUAAAAGAAUUAAAGGUAAAGGUUUUUCAAGAAAGAAUAAGUUUGAUAAAGAGUAUAACAUGUAAAAAGAGUUUGAUAAACAAUUUGAAAUAGUUUGCUUGAUAAAACAGUUAAAAGUGUAGUAAAUCCAUUGUUUGCUAGUUAUUAAUCACAUGUGAUUGAUAUAAUAACUAUAAUAAUUCAACUUGUAUCCCCCCAUAAAAGCAUUUUAAAAACAUUUAAAAGGUUGAUUAAGGGGUAUGAUGUGACAACCUGAGAUUUCCAUUCUAUACAAACCAUAUCAAGUCAGUAGAAGACUAGAACAGUUACAGUGAAUUUCCAGACUUUUAGGUAUAAGUUUGAGUAUUUCAGGUUUACACUUAAGGAGAUAUCAGGAGAUUGGAUGCACUAGGGCUUUGUGCAACUCUGUUAUUCCAAAACUCUAUGAUAUUAGAGUUCAUUGCGUGAAUAAAAUAUUUUCUGCCAAAAAUCCCAGGACUAUAUAUAGGAUCCUAAGCCAAAUUUAUUCAUUAGUUACAUUUACAACUAGAGAAAAUUCAUUUUCUCUCUCACGGAUCUUCGGGUUUUCAUCCCAAAUCAUGAGUACCUCUCUCUAGUUGUAUUACAUAGCUUAUUAAAUGCCUAAAAACAUAGAAAUCAUAUCAAAACAGCAAGAUUUGGGAGUUUACCGCCCAAGAACAUCUUGGAGAGUAAACUCUUUUAUAAGGGCCAAAGUUUGCCCAAUGUCCCUCCAAACAUUGGAACUGAACCUGGAGACUAACCAUGGAUUGUUUAGACAUCAAAAACAUUAAGAAUCAAGGGCUAAAAGUGAGUUGACGGCCAAGGAUGUUCAUGGGCCGUGAACUCCAUUUUAAGGUGCCAAAAUGCCCUAAAUGCCUUCCUUAAUCCAAGAGACUAGCAUAGCACGUUACCUUGAUGUGUCUAGGACCCAAAACAAUGAAAAUACCAACACCCAUAGGUGUUUACGGCUGCAAACACAUGAACGAAUGGUCCAUGGGCCGUAAACUCUAUAAAGGGGUGAUAUUGUGCCCCUAAUGCUUCCACAUGGCUAGAACUUAACAUAGAACCAAUCACCGAUAAGCUACGAACCUCAAAACAUCAAAUGGUACUCCUUACCAUGAGUUUACGGCCGUAAAAUCAUGGGGGAGUGGUCCCAAGGCCAUGAACAUUAAGCAAGGCCAUUUUAGGGCCUUAAACCUACCGAAUCACUUGUUUAAGCUUUGAAGCACUUAACCACUUAAGUUGUAAUAGCUUUGAGCAUCAUGUAGAUACCCAAUUGAGAGUUUAUGGCCAGGAGCUUACUCCCCUGGGCCGUAAACUCCAACACAUAUGGUCUUUGGACCAUAAACUUCUGUAUGAGGCUUUGUACUCCUUUGUUGCAACCUGAUAGCCUCCUAGCACUUGACCAAAGUGUUUUCCUCGCGAUAGGAUGUUUAUACAUGUUUAAUUAGUGGUAAAAUCACUAAUUGGUUAUAUACAUAUGUCUUCAUAUGUAUUUAGGAUUAUUGUGUGUGUCUAAGUCUUCACUUGACACCAAGCACUGGUCCGACACUUCCUUCCGAUCCGCUCACUGCAGGUGAGUUCAUACCCCUUGAAUUAACCUUUUAAAUGUUUUCAAAUGUUUACAAAUGCUUUAUGGGUGGGGAGGGGGGGGGGGGGAAUACAGGUUGAAUCAUGAUUAGUUAUUAUAUCCAUGACACGUGAUUAAUAACUAAACAUGCAAAUGACUUUACCUUACGUUAACUGUUUUGCCAAUCAGUUUUCAUCAAAUGUUUAUCUUGAACGUUUUUAAGUGUUUAAAACACUUUAUUAAACUGUUUAUUAAACACAGUAUGUUUCAUUUCAAACCGUGUUACAUUUGUGGGUCAAACAAAUGUUCCUUUAUACUUAAACUGUUAUUAUCAUUUAAAUACUUUCAAACCAUUUUAUAAAUUGACAUCAAGUCGAUCUUGUCUUAGGUAUUAAUUUUCCUUUAAAGGUUUUACAAAACUUCUUAUAUACUUUUAUAUUGUCAAUUGCAUGCCGGUAUAUGUAUAGUUAUAUAAUUAAUGUUUAAAGGACUUAGGAAGGCUAACCCGCUUUAUUUCCUUUUUCCCGUUGGGAUGGGGUCUGGUAGGGUAUCAGGUAUCCGUCUGAAGGUCGUUUAACUAGCAAUUAUAUAUCAUGUAUACAUAUAGAGACAUAAGACUUGUCCUCAGUCAGUUCAGUACCUUUGGGUAGCAAGGGCAUUACUUCAGGUUAUACACGUACAUGGUUAGUAACUAUUAUAGGUUUAGUUAAGAGAUACCACUUACCAUUCCAAGUACAAGGAAUCACACAAGAGUCAGUUCAUUCAUGAGUCUAUACUAGUACAUUACAUGAUACAUGAGUACGUUUACAUGGACACGCUUACAUGAGUACAGUUACAUAGGUACGCUUACAUGAGUACAGUUACAUAGGUACGCUUACAUGAGUACAUUUACAUAGAUACGCUUACAUAAGUAUGUUUACAGGAAUACUGUUACAUAGAUAAUAUAUAAUGGGUUACUAUUACAUAUUACAUGUGUAGAUACUGUCAUAUAUUUCCCCUUCUUAUCUUUAUCUUGUGACUCAAUCACAUAAUCGACGAGAUAGAAUGGAACUUACAUCCUAGAGCCAUAGGAUACUUUGAGGGACUAACCAUUCCUAUAGCCACUGUUAGCUACAGAGGCUAAUGAACAUCUACGGAUGCCUACGGGUGAUACCAUUACAUGUAUACUUUUAGGGACUAACUAUUUCUACACCCAGCUGUUAUCAAUAGAGGUAAAUGUAUAUCUACAGAUGUCUUAAGUUAGCACUGUUAGUUAUCCUAGUGAAAAAGGAUAGUACUUAAGUUAUUAUGUUAUUUUCUUCCUUUAGUUUGUGACAUAUUCACAUAAACGAUGAGGUAGGAUAUAUUUGAUAUAGAUAACUAUUUUUCCUUAUUACCUUUAUAUUGUGACUCAUACACAUAAACGAUGAGGUAUACUUUAGUUUUAUUCUAAUAGUUAAACAGGGAAAAACCAUCACAUUUACAGAGAUGCGUACUUUCAAAACAUUAGGGUCUUGGUAGAAGACUUCUUUCAUAUGGAUCAUAGGGAUUUCUAGGGUUAGUCAAACGCUUUCCAUUACUUACAGACAUUUUCUUACUUAUAUGAGCUUUCUUUCAGAAAAAUGUUAAGACUUUCAUAUCAAGUUUUACAUGUCAAAGACAGAUUAAUACUUAUGAAUUCGCCAGCUUUUUGGCUGAUACUCGCUUUCAAAAUAACUUGUAUUCUCAGGUCACACAUAGACAGGUACGACGACCAGUUUUGUGAAGACGGAGCAGUACAAACUCGUAUUAUUCUGAUUAUUCAUUUUAUUGUUGUACAUUAUGAAAGAACACACUUGUACAUAAAAUUCAUACUAUUAAUGCAAUGGAUGAUGCUGUUGCUUGUUUACUAAUUUACAUGGUUGUGAUACAUUACAUGACGUUCUCCGCCCCUGAACGUGUCUGCCGUUCUCGGUUUUGGGGUGUGACAGAUUGGUAUCAGAGCACUAUUUAUAGUGAAUUAAGUAUAUCAACCCAUAAAAGAUAUACUAACUAUAAAUACAUUGGGAUUAAAACACUCUGUCUGAGAGUUUAUACUUCUAAAAUAAUAAAAUCUGUAAGUAAGUAUACGUGUCUGCAUUCAUACUAAAAUCUGUGUCACAGUGACAAGAACAAAAGUAUUGCGAUUGUUGAAUAUCACAUGUAAGCUCGGGGAUGUAUGGUCAGUCUUGGGAGUGGCAUAGCCUGAUCAACUAUGCUGUUCUGAGGAGUGAUUAGCACAUGCCCAAGAAUGGUUGCGAUAUGGCAACAUGUCUAAAAACUUACCAACAUUUCCACAAUGAGAACAUUAUAAAGAAACCUAAGUCUAAAAUACCAUAGUGGUGUUUUGUGUUACCAUAAUUACUUACUUGAGAACUAAAAGAGGUCUUCUUUACUAGGUUGAUAGUUGCUAAGUGGAUACACUAAGGCUAUUGUAACAUCCCGAAAUAUCAAGAGUAGAGUUAAAGGGCUAAAAGAGUAAAUCGGGAAAGNNNNNNNNNNNNNNNNNNNNNNNNNNNNNNNNNNNNNNNNNNNNNNNNNNNNNNNNNNNNNNNNNNNNNNNNNNNNNNNNNNNNNNNNNNNNNNNNNNNNNNNNNNNNNNNNNNNNNNNNNNNNNNNNNNNNNNNNNNNNNNNNNNNNNNNNNNNNNNNNNNNNNNNNNNNNNNNNNNNNNNNNNNNNNNNNNNNNNNNNNNNNNNNNNNNNNNNNNNNNNNNNNNNNNNNNNNNNNNNNNNNNNNNNNNNNNNNNNNNNNNNNNNNNNNNNNNNNNNNNNNNNNNNNNNNNNNNNNNNNNNNNNNNNNNNNNNNNNNNNNNNNNNNNNNNNNNNNNNNNNNNNNNNNNNNNNNNNNNNNNNNNNNNNNNNNNNNNNNNNNNNNNNNNNNNNNNNNNNNNNNNNNNNNNNNNNNNNNNNNNNNNNNNNNNNNNNNNNNNNNNNNNNNNNNNNNNNNNNNNNNNNNNNNNNNNNNNNNNNNNNNNNNNNNNNNNNNNNNNNNNNNNNNNNNNNNNNNNNNNNNNNNNNNNNNNNNNNNNNNNNNNNNNNNNNNNNNNNNNNNNNNNNNNNNNNNNNNNNNNNNNNNNNNNNNNNNNNNNNNNNNNNNNNNNNNNNNNNNNNNNNNNNNNNNNNNNNNNNNNNNNNNNNNNNNNNNNNNNNNNNNNNNNNNNNNNNNNNNNNNNNNNNNNNNNNNNNNNNNNNNNNNNNNNNNNNNNNNNNNNNNNNNNNNNNNNNNNNNNNNNNNNNNNNNNNNNNNNNNNNNNNNNNNNNNNNNNNNNNNNNNNNNNNNNNNNNNNNNNNNNNNNNNNNNNNNNNNNNNNNNNNNNNNNNNNNNNNNNNNNNNNNNNNNNNNNNNNNNNNNNNNNNNNNNNNNNNNNNNNNNNNNNNNNNNNNNNNNNNNNNNNNNNNNNNNNNNNNNNNNNNNNNNNNNNNNNNNNNNNNNNNNNNNNNNNNNNNNNNNNNNNNNNNNNNNNNNNNNNNNNNNNNNNNNNNNNNNNNNNNNNNNNNNNNNNNNNNNNNNNNNNNNNNNNNNNNNNNNNNNNNNNNNNNNNNNNNNNNNNNNNNNNNNNNNNNNNNNNNNNNNNNNNNNNNNNNNNNNNNNNNNNNNNNNNNNNNNNNNNNNNNNNNNNNNNNNNNNNNNNNNNNNNNNNNNNNNNNNNNNNNNNNNNNNNNNNNGUUGGACUCGGCGAGUCUCGGGGUGACUCGGCGAGUUAGGUCGCAGAUUGAGGGAAGUUCUGAGUAUGGGGACUCGGUGAGUCAUCGGGUUGACUCAGCAAGUAGAGUCAGUCAGGGGUUGACUUUGACCUUGUCUUUGACCAAGGGUUGACCAGUGGUUUCUCGGGGGAAUUUUGGUAAUUAUUGAUUAUUGUUUUGAGUUCAGUGCAUUGGUGGUUGUCUAGUGGUGGAGAUCGUAUCAGUGAUCGGAGCAGCUUGGGUUAUCUGUUCAGUCGGCAGUUUCGAGGUGAUUUAUCGUCACUAUAUCAACAGGGUCUAAGGCACUAAGGCCGGCCCUUAUCAGAUUGAGAUCCGGUUAGUUGUUAUUAUGUUACUGUUUUGAUAUGUUUGCAUCCUGUGAGUUAGGAUGGUAUAUGUUAGAGACCUGAUUGAGAUCGGUAUCCUGAGAGAUAGGGAGAUGCUAUGCUAGUGACCUGUUAGGUCGGUAUCCUGGUUAGGAUAGUGGUAUGUUAUGUGAUCUGUUUGAUCUGCUUGUUGACUGUGAAUUGCUAUAUGAUUGUAUGUAUAUGUGCACAUGGUUGUUUGGACUGGAGUUGGGUUGAGGCGGGUCCUGCUGUGUGUUGUAGGCCAAGAUACCCAGGGCGGACCGGUUGUCCCGAAGGCCCAGCGAGCGGUCCGGAUAGGCUGUAGGCCCCGAAAGGGCGGACCAGACGUGCCGAAGGCUCGGAGAGUGGACCAGAUAGACUGAAGGCCCGGUGCGGGCGGACCAGUCAUACUGUAGACUCAGAGAGUGGACCAGGUGGAUUGAAGGCCCGGGAGCGGGCGGACCAAUCACACUGCAGACUCGACGUAUGUGGAUAGACUCAGAGGGUGGACCAGGUGGACUGUAGGCCGGUGCGGCGGACCAGUUACACAGUAGACCCGAAGUGCAUGGUUGUUCUGUGAGCGGAUAUGUUAUGGCAUGUUAUGUGUGUAUGGUAUUUGUGGUUGGUAUUUUGAGGAUAUCUCACUAAGCUUUCGGGCUUACAGUUGUGGUUUUAUGUUUUUCAGGUUCUUCAGGAGAUCGUGGCAAGGCGAACGCGUGAUCGUACCGCUCCUCAUGAUUUUGUAGUAAUGUGAUUCUGGGAAUACGUUAAGUGUUUUGUAUUGAAAACCUUUUUGUAAAGAUUUAAUGAAAUCGAGCUGUUUUUGAAAAAUUUAAAAUUGGUUGUAUUUUUUAGUCGUUACAGCUAUAUGUAACUAGGAUGUUAUAGACUUAGAAUCGGUGAAAUUUUUGCUUUACCCCUAUUCCUUGUGAAUUUGGAGUUAAGGUCACUUAUUCGAAGGCCUAUCCUGUGUUGAUUACAUAUAACUGGUAUGCACUUUAUAAAUAGCGAUAUAACUAAUGAAGAUUUUCUAAUAAUUAUCUAGAUAGUUCGUCUAAUAAUUAUUUCCUUACCCAAAUUCUCGCGUAGAUAACAUGGUUGGACUACAUCCCCACGGCAACCCGUACCUUUCGAACGAGGUCAUUGCUGGAUGGUUAGGAGAAGAACCGGAGAAUGAUCAUCCUAUAAUUUUGAAUGAUCACCAUGAUGAAGACCUUUCAAACGGUGCUAACUACGAACCCGAGGUCGAGAACCUACCCCAGGCAACUGCUUUUCCAAUUCCUAACCCUCGUCCGAAUUUUCAUGGCCCGACGCCUGAGUGGGUGCAAUGCUUGGAAACAUGGAGCCAAGGACAAGAUCAACCCAUGCCAUUUAAUGGUGACCGAAGCUUCUAUGACCUGAGCAAUGGGGGCUCAGCAGACAGAAUCUUGCCAAUCUUAGUCCGCAUAGUGGCCCGAAAUGAGAUUCAAGGCAGGACAGCCCUACAUCAGAUUACUGAAGUAGUCGACGAUGCGAGAAUGCAUACCCUCCGCACCAUUCGUCUACAAGAUGCUCGCGAGAGAUCUGAGAGAAACCAUGAAACCCUGCUGCAAGCACUGACUGAAUCACGAGUCGAAGUCAUAGAACUCCGCAUAUGCCAGAGGGUGUACGAAAGACACCUACUUGAGGUGGAACGUCAACUUGCUGAACUAAGAGUUCACCAGAGGGAUGACCGUCGCCAGUAGGAUAUACUUUAAUUCCCUUCUUGUUUUAAAAGAACUGUGUUCCUGUCUAUGUCCUAUGUGGCAUUUUCCUAUGGAACUGCCUUGUACUGUGGGUACUUUUAGUUAGGCCUUUAUACGGCUAAAAAUUUGGAUACUCCGGAUAUGAUGUAAGACCUGCUUCAAGGUCAAUUUUCACUGAACUUAUUUCAUCUUAAACAUCGUUGAUGUUGACAGCCGGCUAAAUUCCGUGUCAUGUUUUUGUUCAAAUACUCUCAUCAUACUUUCAUUGGAUCCUAUCUGAAUCAUGCUUUAGUCAAGUCAUUGGACUAUAAUAAUUUAAAUCCAGAGACAUUUCCGAGUCUCUUUCAGUGGUUGGAUCAUAUUAUCCACCAACCCAUAGUACCUCGGCACGAACGACAAACGUCUUGAGACCACUGUAUGAGCUUACUUCCAUUUUUUUUCUAGGACUGCAUCAUAGGGAUGUAGGUCAAACCUUCAUGAACAUGCUUCCAUUCCGUGCUAGGACUUCAUCAUAGGGAUGUAGGUCGAACCAUAAAGAACAUACUUCUAUUCUUUACAUGAGCGAUCGAACUACGUCUAGGUUCAACCAUUCUCGCUCACAAAUUCAUUUUCUUUCCGUGUAACAAAAUCAUGUCGCCAAAGAAAAACGAUCAACCCAUCAACCAACCACCAACUUUUCAGAUUGAUGCAACUACCUUUCAAGCUGCAGUCUCGGCUGUCGUGUCAGCUAUUCUGACCCACCUUAACGCUAACAAUGCGAAUGUUAGCGGGAUUAUUAACAACAAUUCCAAUCCAGGGAACAAUCAAGUACCUCAAUGAGCAAAAAACUACCACGAUACCCCGAGUUCCAAAACCAAGAGUAACAAACGAAAGUUUUAGGCUAGAGCUAAGGACAAAUCGCUUCAAGGGGCGAACAAGAAAUAACCAUCGGUAACGACUUUCACAGCCACGACAUCUGUACCUCAUACUACCUUUCCUUCUGGUAUCCCAAUUGCCCCUAACCCAGCCAGACAGUAUGCUGGGAACUUACCGAAGUGAGAUAAGUGCACCUUCCAUCAUCUAGGAGGAUGUCGUAUACCGCACUGCUUUAACUGCAACAGAGACGGGCAUACUACCCACUGCUGUAGAAUCCGGAUCAAACACAUUACUUCGACCACCAAUGUCAAAACCGCUCGGAUAUGCCAUCUAUGUGGCGAGAUAGGACACCUCAAGAGAGACUGCCCAUCAGGACAAAUCGACGAUGGAACAAGAGAAGUUUGACCUCAGAAUGGAAAGAGACAGCGAAGGAACCUACUAUAGUAUAGGUUCACUUCCAAUCGUCAGUAUUUUGUAUGCUUUUAAAUCAUGUUUAAAAACAAGUGCAACUCGAGUCUUAUCUUUUGCGAGAUCCUGUCAGUUAGGGGACUCUCGUGCUGCGUAUACUUGUCUUUUGUAGUAUAUUUUGUUCGCAACAAUAUUCCUAUAGUUACUCUAAAAGUAUUGUAACCCAGUUAAAAGUUGCGCUGUUGUGUUUUGUCUGUAACGCCUUAUUUUCAAAUCUAAUGUCUUUAGUUUCCAUAUGAUUCCGACUUUAUCAUAUGACUCGAGUAAAUUAGAUCCUCGCAAUACCCGCUUCAUAAGUACAUCUCUUUCUCAGUAAACGUGUUUUAGCGAAGCCGUCAUAUUAGAACACCGAAGUACUCAUGCAUGGAGUACCUCUUAGUUCUUUUCCUUUCCGAAGAAAUCCCCGUAGUAUCACUCGUGCAGUAUGUCAAGUUCAAUCCAACGAUUCAUACGGUUGAUCUAUCACUGAAGAAUGUAUACAUAGGGGUGAUAUAUAAUCAAGGUUCUACAAGUUUAGAAAUGAUGAUUCCACUUUAACUUCUUUUUCCACAAUGAGAUGUGAGGUUAAAGAAGAAUCAGUUAUUUGACCACCUUUUAAAUCUUAAUUAUAUACGAAUCGUAUACACGAGAUUGUGAUCGUCGAAUCAUGUAUGAAUUCUAAAAUGAACUUCGGGACGGACACUGCCCAAGACCACGAGUAAUCGCAUUGACAUGUGAACAAACUUAGAACCCAGUAUGACUCCUAUAACCAGAUCGCCCUACAUUCUAAAUACCUACGGAGAUACAAGAACAACCCGGACAACUUAGCGAACUACUCAGCAAUAGAAUUAGAAGACCAAGCUUCUCACCCUUGAGAGCUUCGGUCUUAUUCUUCCAGAAGUCGACGGAUUGCAUUAUAUGUACCUCGAUGAUCGGGGACUCCGUUAAGAUUUCCUUUAGAAAUCGUUAUCUCUGCCUCGCAUAGAUGAGUUGGUUGAGCAAACGCAGGGAAAUAAUUACUUUCAAAAAUGGACCUGAGAUCCGAAUAUCGCCAGUUCGAGUGUUAGGGAAGGAUGUCCGGAAAACUACCUUCCAAACUCGAUGCGGACACUUCGAGUCCAUAGUGAUACCUCUCGGAUAGGACCAAUACGCCCAUAGUAUUCAUGAGUUUAAUGAAUAGGGUCCUUCUUUCUUACUUGGAUCAGUUCGUCAUUUCUCCAUGUAAUGACUUACUUAUCUAUCCUAGUAGUAAGAAGGAACCCAUGGAAACUUUACCCUCAGAGGAACUUUCACGAAGUUCUCUAAGCACGAGUUUUGAAAUUGAAGAAUCAGAUUCCUAAGAUACACUAUUAGUGAUGUGGGAAUUUUUGUGUACUCUUUCAAUUUGUCAAAACCGUUGAGAAUUAGUCGACACAAGAGACGCCGACAGAAAUUCGCCAAAUUCUAGGUCAUACAGACCUACUGUCAUAGUUCAUCCAGAACUCCUCGCAAACCACAAAAACCCUUACGACUUUGACCCAACAAGGGGUGGCCCUUGACGGGGAAGAUAAGCAAGAGAAAGAAACUUUGGAAUUCCAAGUGAGAGACCAACUUCUUUAGGUAGUCUCACUCUAGGAAUGGCUUAAUACACUUCAUAAAGCGUGGAAAGCUAUAUCAAGGAUAGUUAGGACCUUCGAGAUUCUUACAAGAAUUGGUCAUGUAUCGCACAAACUAGACCUACUCCACGAACUCAGUAGCGUACAGUUUACCUUUCGCUUCUCGAUCUUGAAACCAUACAUUUCUGUUAGGACUCUUGUAAGUCCACUCGACGAGAUCGAGAUUAACGAAAUCCUCGCCUUCGUAGAGGAAUCGUAGUGACCCUCGAUCGAGAUGUCAAGCGGACGAAGCAACGCCAUUGCCCGUUAGUGAACGUUCGUUGGGAUACCAACCGAUGACCCGAAUUCACUUAGGAGCGUGAGAACCAAUCGAUUCGGAAGUUUCCACCUCAUGACUCGAUCAUUCAUACCUACUUCCUUACCUAAAUUCUGAUUUCGAAAUGAAAUUCCCUUUAACAGGGGGAUGAUGUGACAACCCGAUAUUUCCAUUAUGUACAAACCAUAUCAUGUCAGUAGAAGACUAGAACAGUUACAGUGAAUUUCCAGACUUUUGGGUAUAAGUUUGAGUAUUUCAGGUUUACACUUAAGGAGAUAUCAGGAGAGUGGAUGCACUAGGGCUUUGUGCAACUCUGUUAGCCAUGGGUAGUCUCUAGGUUCAGUUCCAAGGUUUGGAGGGACAUUGGGCACACUUUGGCCCUUAUAAAAGAGUUUACUCUCCAUGAUUUUCUUGGGCGGUAAACUCUCAAAUCUUGUUGUUUUGAUAUGAUUUCUAUGUUUUUAGGCACUUAAUAAGCUAUGUAAUACAACUAGAGAGAGGUACUCACGAUUUGGGAUGAAAACCAGAAGAUCCGUGAGAGAGAAAACGGCUUUUCUCUAGUUGGGAUUGUAACUAAUGAAUAAAUUUGGCUCAAAAUCCUAUAUAUAGUCCAGGGAUUUUUGGCAGAAAAUAUUUUAUUCACGCAAUGAACUCUAAUAUCAUAGAUGCUUGUUUAGACAUCAAAAACAUUAAGAAUCAAGGGCUAAAAGUGAGUUCACGGCCAAGGAUGUGAUGGGUUUUGAGCAUUCUAACACUUCCUAAGUGUACAUGCAACCCUAAUAACCUUGGAUCUAUGUUUGUCUAAUUAUCAUGCAAAGUUGAAUUCCAAGGUUAUAUUCCUAUCUAGCAUACAUGGGGAACAAUUUUAACUUGAAUCAUAGAUAGAAUAACUUACCUUGUUGUUGCUUGUGUUCCUUGAAACCUUGUGAGCCUAGCACCCCAAGUGUGAUGCCUCAAAUGCUUCACACAACACCAAAUGCUCUUGGAAAGACUCUUGAGAUAACACACACUUCUCAAAAUCGGCCAAGCCCUCUAGUUUCUUAGUAUAACCGAUUUUGGUGGAGAAUAUGCUUCUUAUAUAGUGUUGACACAUCUAGGGUUACACCAUGUAAACCCUAAUGUGUCAUGACUCUUCAUUUCCAUGACCCAUGGGUUUGUAACUCCCAUGGAGCAUCCAUGGAGCAUCCUAUGGGUAGAACCCAACUUGAUAAUCCAUGGAGCCUCUUAGCCCACUAUACAAGAUAUGGAUGAUUUACAUAAUCAACCCAUAUAUUUAAUUAGUUAUCCUUUGAUCACUUAAUUAAUUCCAAAUUAAUUCUUUGAUCAACUAAUCAAAUAAUAUUAUUAAAUUAUUAGAACUUAUAAUAUAUUAAUAAUCUCCAAGUGUUAUUUCUCUCAUUUAGUCUAUCCAAUUGCAUGGUGCCAUGCAACCCAAAUGGACCAUGCCGGGUCGGGUCAAGUACAAGCCCGAAAUAGUUAUGGACUUAGACACCUUAUCCAACAGGAUGUUCAUGGGCCGUGAACUCCAUUUUAAGGUGCCAAAAUGCCCUAAAUGCCUUCCUUAAGCCAAGAUACUAGCAUAGCACGUUACCUUGAUGUGUCUAGGACCCAAAACAAUGAAAAUACCAACAACCAUAGGUUUUUACGGCUGCAAACACUUGACCAAAUGGUCCAUGGGCUGUAAACUCUAUAAAGGGGUGAUAUUGUGCCUCUAAUGCUUCCACAUGGCUAGAACUUAACAUAGAACCAAUCACCGAUGAGCUAGGAAUCUCAAAACAUCAAAUGGUACUCCUUACGAUGAGUUUACCGCCGUAAACUCAUGGGGGAGUGGUCCCAGGGCCGUGAAUAUUAAGCAAGGCCAUUUUAGGGCCUUAAACUUACCCAAUCACUUGUUUAAGCUUUGAAGCACUUAACCACUUAAGUUGUAAUAACUUUGAGCAUCAUGUAGAGACCUAAUUGAGAGUUUACGACCAGGAGCUUACUCCUAUGGGCCGUAAACUCCAACACACAUGGUCUUUGGACCAUAAACUUCUGUAUGAGGCUUUGUACUGCUUUGUUGCAACCCGAUAGCCUCCUAGCACUUGACCAAAGUGUUUUCCUCGCAAUGGGAUGUUUAUACAUGUUUAAUUAGUGGUAAAAUCACUAAUUGGUUAUAUACAUAUGUCUUCAUAUGUAUUUAGGAUUAUUGUAUGUGUCUAAGUCUUCACUUGACACCAAGCACUGGUCCGACACUUCCUUCCGAUCCGCUCACUGCAGGUGAGUUCAUACCCCUUGAAUUAACCUUUUAAAUGUUUAUAAAUGCUUUAUGGGGGGAAUGCAGGUUGAAUCAUGAUUAGUUAUUAUAUCCAUCACACGUGAUUAAUAACUAAGCAUGCAAAUGACUUUACCUUACGUUAACUGUUUUGCCAAUCAGUUUUCAUCAAAUGUUUAUCUUGAACGUUUUUAAGUGUUUAAAACACUUUAUUAAACUGUUUAUUAAACACAAUAUGUUUCAUUUCAAACCCUGUUACAUUUGUGUGUCAAACAAAGGUUCCUUUAUACUUAAACUGUUGUUAUCAUUUAAAUACUUUCAAACCAUUUUAUAAGUUGACAUCAAGUCGAUCUCAUCUUAGGUAUUAAUUUUCCUUUAAAGGUUUUACAAAACUUCUUAUAUACUUUUAUAUUAUCAAUUGCAUGCCGAUAUAUGUAUAGUUAUAUAAUUAAUGUUUAAAGGACUUAGGAAGGCUAACCCGCUUUAUUUCCUUUUUCCCGUUGGGAUGGGGUCUGGUAGGGUAUCAUGUAUCCGUCCGAAGGUCGUUUAACUAGCAAUUAUAUAUCAUGUAUACAUAUAGAGACAUAAGAGUUGUCCUCAGUCAGUUCAGUACCUUUGGGUAGCAAGGUCAUUACUUCAGGUUUUGCACGUACAUUGUUAGUAACUAUUAUAGGUUUAGUUAAGAGAUAGCACUUACCAUUCCAAGUACAAGGAAUCACACAAGAGUCAGUUCAUUCAUUAGUCUAUACUAGUAAUUUACAUGAUACAUGAGUACGUUUACAUGGACAUGCUUACAUGAGUACAGUUACAUAGGUACCCUUACAUGAGUACAGUUACAUAGGUAUGCUUACAUGAGUACAUUUACAUAGAUACGCUUACAUAAGUACGUUUACAGGAAUACUGUUACAUAGAUAAUAUAUGAUGGGUUACUAUUACAUAUUAUAUGUGUAGAUACUGUCAUAUAUUUCCCCUUCUUAUCUUUAUCUUGUGACUCAAUCACAUAAUCGACGAGAUAGAAUGGAACUUACAUCCUAGAGCCAUAGGAUACUUUGAGGGACUAACCAUUCCUAUAGCCACUGUUAGCUACAGAGGAUAAUGAACAUCUACAGAUGCUUACAGUUGAUACCAUUACAUGUAUACAUUAAGGGAUUAACUAUUCCUACACCCAGCUGUUAGCAACAAAGGUAAAUGUACAUCUACAGAUGUCUUAAGUUAGCACUGUAAGUUAUCCUAGUGCAAACGGAUAGUACUUAAGUUAUUAUGUUAUUUUCUUCCUUUAGUUUGUGACAUAUUCACAUGAACGAUGAGGUAGUAUAUAUUUGAUAUAGAUAACUAUUUUUCCUUAUUACCUUUAUAUUGUGACUCAUACACAUAAACGAUGAGGUAUACUUUAGUUUUAUACUAAUAGUUAAACAGGGAAAAACCAUCACAUUUACAGAGAUGCGUACUUUCAAAACAGUAGGGUCUUGGUAGAAGAAUUCUUUCAUAAGGAUCAUAGGGAUUUCUAGGGUUAGUCAAACGCUUUCCAUUACUUACGGACAUUUGCAUACUUAUAUGAGCUUUCUUUCAGAAAAAUGUUAAGACUUUCAUAUCAAGUUUUACAUGUCAAAGACACAUUAAUACUUAUGAAUUCGCUAGCUUUUUGGCUGAUACUCACUUUCAAAAUAACUUGUAUUCUCAGGUCACACAUAGACAGUUACGACGACUAGUUUUGUGAAGACGGAGCAGUCCAGACUCGUCUUAUUCUGAUUAUUCAUUUUAUUGUUGUACAUUAUGAAAGAACACACUUGUAUAUAAAAUUCAUACUAUUAAUGCAAUGGAUGAUGUUGUUGCUUGUUUACUAAUUUACAUGGUUGUGAUACAUUACAUGACGUCCUCCGCCCCUGAACGUUUCCGCCGUUAUCGGUUUUUGGGUGUGACAUAUGAACUCACCUGUGAUGAGUAGUUUGAAUGAAAGUGUUGGAUAAGGUGCUAGGUGUCAAGUGAAGUCUUGAACACACACAAUGAUCCUAUUUAAUAUAUAAAGACACAUAUAUGUUUCUAAUUAGUGAUUAUAACAAUAAUUAAGCAAGUAUAGAAACCCUAGAACAUGGAAAACACUUUGAUUCAAGUGUUAGAAAGUCAUAGGGUUGCAUCUAAGGGUUGAAGGCUAUUGCUUUGGAGUUUGCGGUCCAAGAGUAAACUCUCCAUGAGUUUACGGCCUAGGGUUUGCGGCCCUAAUGGGUUUACGGCCGUAUACCCAUGGUAACAUCUACCAUUUCGUUGUUUAAGGUCCUUAGUUCAUGUUGGAAGUGUUCUAGACCAAGUUCUAAGCCUUAGGAAGGAGUGGUGGCACAAAUGCACCACUUAAUAGUGUUUUCUGCCCAAGGAGAUUGCCUUGGCUGUAAACACCAUGUGUUCUUGAGUUUCUUGAUGUUUUCCAAGGGUUUAACAAGUGAUUUAAACAUAUAACUAGUUAAGAGUAGUGUACUUACUUAUAGGAAGCUUGUAAGGGUGUUUAAGGUCCAAGAACACUAGUGUGUGUUCUUGGUGUUCUUGGUGAAAUGAAUUACAAUUGAAGAUCUAUAAAAGCAAAAGGAUUUCAUGGAUGAAAUCAUGUAUAACUACUAGAUGAAGAGUUAUAACUACAAAUCAAAAGAAGAAAUACUUACAUUUUUGGAAGAUCGGGAAGGAGAUCUUAUGAUACUUGAUAGAUAAAUGGAGGUUCUUGAACUUGGAAGGAAUGAAAUGAGGAAGAAAAUGUGUAAACUCAUGCUAAGAGCAUGAGAACACGGCCAAAGUGGAGUUUACGAGCCAAACUCCAAAAGUUUGGCCGUACACACCUCAUUAUAGGGUUAAAUGUUUGGCUGAUGCACAAAAACCCUAGAAGGUACUUCCUUUCAUUUAUUCUUUUGAUGAAUUAAGAUUAAAACGCCCACACGGACUCUAAACAGAGUUAAAAUUUAACAGAAAAUGAAUCUAACUUUGAUUGACUGUAGGGUUUGUACAAAUAGAAAUUUCGGGUUGUCACACACACACACACACACAUAUAUAUAUAUAUACAUAUAUAUAUAUAUAUAUAUAUAUAUUAAAUAAAGAUAUGGAAANGAUCAAGUGUCAAGAAAAUAAAUAAACAGGCACAUACAUACACACUAAUUUUCUAUUUUUUCCCUCCUCUAUGUAGUGUGUGUAUCCGCAAUCGAUUAAGAUAUAAAAAGAAAUCGAAAGGAGCAGGUGAUUUGGAAUUCCACCGAAGAAAAUGGAGGUGGAGACCGGUGAGGGUCAUUUUGGGUUAUAUANNNNNNNNNNNNNNCUCUCUCUCUCUCUCUCUCUCUCUCUCUCUCUAUAUAUAUAUAUAUAUAUAUAUAUAUAUAUAAACAAUUUGUAAUUUUAGGUCAAGUUCGUCGGCCGAACCACCAUGACCCUUGUUGUAUUAAGACCUAAUGUAUGUAAUUAUGUAUUAAUAAAGUAUAUUAAAGGUUUAUUACUCAUAAUUACUUUUAGUAUAUCUCAAAAUGUUCUACAAACUGGCUAUUAGUAAUAAUCAGACCAAAAUCACAAAAUGGAUAUUAAUACUGACAUUUAAAAUAAAUUUUUGUAUCGACUAUACUCAGGACUAGUUUAUAACUGAAUUGAAUAUACUAUACUCUCGGGACUCCCUAGAUAUAAAGAACAUCAAAAAUGGAUGUCAUAUGUAGAAGUUACAUUAUAAUUAUAUGAUUACAAUCAGUAGUAUAAUAUUGAUUUUCAUAUUAAACGAAAACUGAAUUGAUCUGUUGAGGUAUUUGCACAUCUAACAUGGAAAUUCUGAGAAAAAUUUUGAGCUCACACAUAGGUCUAAUAAUUGAUUUCAUAAUCACAAUAUUUUUAAACCAUAAAUUUUUAUAAGUCACAAAAACUGUCGCUUUUGGACGAAUUAGACGUGAAAUUUUUAUCGUCUUUUCCAGUAGUUCUACAUAUCGGAUUUAGGAUCCUUCUGACUUUUUGGAAACCUUGAACCGAGAAUAUCAUUCGCCAACUUGAGAAAAAUUAUUAGAUAUUAGGAUUUGAUCCCACUAAUUUAGAAUGCUAUUUUAAGGUAUUUUUAUGUCAAAAGUGUGACAUAACCUUAAAUUGUGCUAAUAAAGCAUGCACAAACUUAAAUGAGUAUCUUUAUAGUCUCAUGCAAUCAUAUUUUUAUGCCUACCCAAGUUUUCUCACAUCCUCUCACACAUACUUGCAUUAUUUGAAGAAUGAGACUAACAUACCUAGUUUUCUCUCCAAUUACAAUCCUAAUAGACUCUAAGAGUCAAGGUAAUCAUGUAAGAUCAAGUCUUGCACUUCAUCUCACCCUCCUCACAUUUUUAUCUCUCUCUAGCACUCUUAAAACCAUGCAAACUUAGUACAAUGAAUGAUGAAAAGGGAUAUGACAUUGCUUCUACUUCUUAACCAAAGUACGUCAACCUUAGAAGCAUAAAUGACAAGCUAUUAAGGGUCUUUCAUUCAGGAGAUUGCAGCCCCAAAACACUCUCAUUCCCUCCGUUAGUUUUCUGUUUUGAUUCACAACCAAGAACAUCCCUUCGGGUGUUGCUUUUCUCGGUAAGAAACAAGAGGCAACUAAUUCAUAAAUUCUCACAUGUCACUUUUAUGUCAUAUUUAUGAAAAAUGGUAUGUUUGAAACAUCCAUAAGUGAUCCUAAAGAUACAAAGGCUUAAAACCACAUAUAGACAUAAAAUGACAUCAUAGACUGAUUAUUUGUUGUUUAGUAUGAAAUUGGACAAAUAAAUGUUUUUAGCUAAAUGGAAUGAUAUAGUGUAUGUAAAUACAAGAUUUUGUUAAAAAUAUAUGCUUACUGCAUUUAUAUAAAACAUUUUCUCAAAAUGGCCAAAAUGUGGUUUUUACGCAAACGAAUUGUGCUUAUACAUAGAAAUGGGUUUUUAUAUAAAAAGUUGUCAAAAAGUUCUGUAAAGGGCUUUAAAUAAAAUGAUGAUAAAAAUCAGUCAAACAAGUUUAUGGGACGUCGGAAACUGAAGCCUGAUCCCUAACACGCGUAUCCACUGCAUAAGACAAGUAGCCCGUACAUCCAUGUUGAAUACACUGUCGAGAUCUGGCUGAUGAACUAAACCCGAAACCCAUCCUGGGGACCUCUCCACAGAUAACCAGUUCUCCCCUACUUGGGGUUCAUACUACCACGCGCUGGCUCUUGCAAUCAAUCAUAACACCAAACUGGCUCAACCUUAGGGUACUAAAGAGCAAGAAGGGUUGAGUUACUGAGUGUGAGUAUACUUGAGAGGGUAUCUGAUAUUUUGUGUUGUAUUUCAGAGAGACAUCAUGGUUGGGACACGCCACACACCUGAGUGUAAUGGUGUUAGUGAUGAGGAGAUCCACCGGUUGAUUCAUGAGGAGGUGGCUGCGUCCAUCCGAGCUGAGAUACCAGAGAUGUUUGGGUCUAUCAAGAAUACGCUGAUCGAGACUUCUGAUGAGCGGUAUGCCGAUCUUACUGAUGCUGCUGUGGCUGCAGCCACCGCAGCCAUCGCUGCUGCCAGAGUUUGAUGGGACUCAGGAUCCGAUAGUUGCAAUGAGAUGGAUCUCUGACAUUGAGGGGUGCUUUUACACGUGUUCAUGUCUGGAGCACCUGAGAGUACAGUUCACGCUGAACUAGUUUCGCUUGGGAGUGAAGGACUAGUGAAAGUUUGUGACAACACACUUUACUUCUGCAGAGCUUGCCGUGGUGACCUGGGAGAGGUUCAUCGCUAUGUUUCGAGAUGAGUACGUUCCCCCGGUGGAAAGGGAACGGUUGGCCCAGGAGUUCUUGACCCUCAAGCAGAGUACUGAGUCUGUUACUACGAUUACCAGGAUGUUUCACGAGAGGACGAUGUUUUGCCCUGAGCAUGUGUCUUCUGAGCAGGCACGCAUGAGUCGAUAUCUGAGCAUUUUGAGGAGAGACAUUCGUGAGUUCAUGGCGAACUCGACGUACCGGACAUUCGCUGAGCUCCAGGCGAAUGCUCGGAAGAGGGAGAUUGAGCUCGAGACUUAGGCCAGGGAGGAGGAGAAGUCUCAGAGUAAGGAUCGGCGACCGACAUAGUCCCAGCUGGCAGCCAAGCGGGCAAAGCCCACUGAUUCGAGGCCAUGGAACCAGAAGGGCCGCACUUGUGGCAAGUGCGGCAAGAGUCAUGAGGGGACAUGUCGAGCGGGGUCAUGCUACAAGUGUGGCAAGCAGGGGCACAUGGCUAAGGAUUUCCCCAAGGGAUUUACAGUGUGCUUCCACUGCAACCAGACCGGCCAUCGGAAGGCCGAGUGUCCACAGCUGCGGGGGUCGGCACAUGGAGCACCUUAGGGGUCUGCCCCUGCUGCCGUUCGAGCUACAUAGAUUCGGCCAGCGAAGGCCGAGGCACCGAAGGCUCGUGGGAGAGCUUUCCAGUUGACAGCGUAGGAGGUCCACGCAGCGCCUGACGUCGUGGUUGGUAUGUAUUCUUUCAUUUAUUUAUGUUGUGUUUGAGAUAUUGUGCUUAUAUUAUGGUAUGCGUAGGUACUUUUCUUAUGAGUUCUGUACCCGGUUUAGUGUUAUUUGACUCGGGUGCGAGUCAAUCCUUUGUAUCCUUAGCAUUUAGUCAGCACAUCAGUAUCUGUCGAGAGUCGUUGAGUCGACCUCUUCGAGUUUCUAUUGCUGACGAGCGAGCGAUAUAUGCUACUGAGGUGAUUCGAGGAUGUGUACUCGAGAUCCUCGGUGUUGAGUUCCCGAUAGAUCUGGUCCUGAUUGCGAUGGGGGAUGUCUGUUUCAUCAUGGGCAUGGACUGGUGGAGCAGAUUCGGAGCGGUCAUCGAAUGCGAGCGACAUCCGGUGACGAUACUAGAACCUAGUGGGGGAGUGCUUAUAGUGUACGGUGGGGGUACCUGUACUGGGUCAGCAUUUUGUUCGGCUGCUAGAGCGAGGCAGAUCCUAUAGCAGGGCUGUAGUGGGUUUGUGGCCUAUGUGAUGGACACACGAGUGGCCGUAGGGAGGUUCAUUUCGAUUGGUGACGUACCGAUAGUGAGAGAGUUCCUAGACGUUUUCCCUGAGGAGUUGUCGGGUGUGCCUCCCGAGAGGCUGGUGGAGUUUCGUAUCGAUUUAGUUUUGGGAGCAGCGCCUAUUGCCAAGGCAACUUAUCGCAUUGCGCCGCCAGAGAUGCAGGAGUUAUCAUCACAGCUUUAGGAGCUGCUAGGGAAUAGGUUUAUUCGAACAAGUAGCUCGUCGUGGGGAGCGCCGAUCCUUUUUGUCAAGAAAAAGGAUGGUUCGCACCGGAUGUGCAUUGAAUACCGGGAGUUGAACAACUUGACGGUCAAGAACCGUUACCCCUUACCGAGGAUCGAUGAUCUGUUCGAUCAAUUGCAUGGAGCGUCUUUGUUGUCCAAGAUUGACUUGAGGUCUAGAUAUCAUCAGAUGAGAGUGCGUGACGAGGAUAUCCAGAAGACGACGUUCAGGACUCGUUAUGGUCAUUACGAGUUCGUGGUGAUGCCUUUUGGUCUCACCAAUGCACCAGUAGUGUGACAACCCAAGUUUAUUCUGUUACAUUACCCCGUCACCGUUAACAAAAUAUUCCAUUUUAUAAAAGUUCCGUUAAUUUGAGGUCGCCAAAUAAAUAAAUGUUUUAUUUAUUUAUAUUUUUAUGUCGUUAUAGUCAUAAUAAAGUAAAUAAAAACACUUAGAUUACAUUUCCAUAUUAAUUUGGAAAAAGUAAAUUUUAUUACGACCACUAAAUUGGGUGCGACCAAAAGCCCCGUAUAACGGCAGUAUCGGGUAGAUUCCCACUGAGCUCCAACUCCAACCCAUAUAUAAGGGGGAAUGGACUUCAUUCCACCCCUUUUCACUCUCUCUCUCUCUCUCUCUCUAUACUCUCUCUCAUACAAGCCUGAUUUCGCCUCAAAUCCGCAACCAAACGCCUCCAAAUCGUAAGUCCCCUUACCCUAGCUUGUUCUAAACAUUAUGGAUUGUAGUUAUACCCCAAAAAUCGAACUUAGAAGCUAAUAAAGAGGAGUUUACCUUAGGCCGUAAACCCCUUAAAUGAGGCCAAAAUGACCCAAAUUUGUCCCCUUGAGCUUAGGAACCAAUUAAGGAUUUAGCCUAGGAGUGUUUGAAGCAUAAACCAACAAUUUUUGGGCCUUAAAAGAGGGUUUACGGCCCAAGCACAUGCUUAGGCCAUAAACACCCUCUAAACUUGUUAAAUCAAGUCUAAAACACUCCCAAACCACCCAUAGGAUUAAGACAUAAAUUAGCGAAUUGCUAUUUCGGGUUUGGAACAUUUAAACACAUAGAUUUGAGGGGUGAAAUGGAGUUUACGGACCAAGCACAUGCUUAGGCCGUAAACACCUCCAAACCAUGUCAAAUGGUAGUUUAAAUCCCCUAAAUGGCCUUGGAAAAAUAGCUUGAAACAAUACCAUUGUGUAAAGGCCUUAAAACUUCAAUGAAACUAAGGGUGUAGGAUUUCACGGCCGUGAACUCCCAUAGAGGUGGUUCAUGGGCCGUAAACUCCCAUUAGGUGCCCAAAUGGUGCCCAAACUCCUUCAUUCGACUUGGAAAGAUACAUAUGAUUUAUUCUCUAUCACUUAAGCCCUUAAAACACCCAAGGAAUGUGUCAAUAGAAGCUUACGGUCGUAAACUCCCUUGAUUAGGGCCAUAAACUCCCAUUUGGUCCAUUUAAGUGCCUUAAAUCCAUUCAUACAUUAUAUAUUUGGACCUAGCAAAAUUCUACGAUUGAUAGAAGGCCUUUAAACAUCCUAGAACACGCUAAUCAUGAGUUUACGGCCAUAAACUCACGGGGAGUUGUCCCAGGGCCGUGAACUCUAUAUAUAGAGUUUACUCUUGAAGAGUAAACUCCAUUCCUAAGCCAUUCACACCCUUAAAUGUUACCCGGGACACCCCUAACCCUUAACAAAAGUGUUUUCCGCUCUUAGGGUGCGUUUACUUGUUUGAUUAGUAUUAAAUGUACUAAUUGUAUGUGAACAUAUGUUAUCAUAUGUUAAAUAGGUCACUAAGUGUGUCCAAGUCUUUACUUGACACCGAGCACCCAACCGGCACCUUCGUCGGAUCCACUUACACCAGGUGAUUUCAUACCCCUGAAUGAACCUUUUAAAUGUUUUUACAUGUUUUAUAUGCGGGGAGGGGGGGGGAUACAAGUUAAACAUGCCAGUUAUCAUAUCAAUCACAUGUGAUUGAUAACCCGCAUGCACAAGGAUUUACCACACUGUAAACUGUUUUACCAAGUAGGAUACUAUAAAUGGUUUUCCAAAAGGUUUUCACUUGUUCAAAAAUCUUACUUAUACUGUUUUAUUAAAGUUCAUUUUAAACUGGUUUAAGAAAAUUUUUCAGAUAAUUUCUAAAGAUUUUCAAACUUAUUUUACCAAAGAACACCAAGUUGUGAUUUUCUCAAGUAUAAAGGUUUUCUUCCGUGUUUUGAUACUCCCUCUUAGUUUAAACUCCUACUUGAUAACGCUUUCACUUCGUGAUGCGUUUAUACUUGUUAUUGCCUCUAUUUCGCUUAUACUUGUAGUCGCUUAUGCCUAUUAGACGCUCUUACUUCACUUGUUGUCGCUUCUACUUCAUGAUACACUUAUAUUUGUUAACGCUUAUACUUCGUGAUUCGGUUAUUCCACACUGUUCGUUUACACUUCACAAUACGGUAAUUCCACAUGACUCGGUUAUACAUCAUGAUUUGGUUAUACUUCACGAUACGUUUUCACUUAUUACACACUCAAGUGUAGUUGGAUGUAUGCCUAUGCUUGUAUAGAUGCAUAUAAAUAAUGGGUGAAGGACUUAGGAAGGCUUGUUCGCCCUAUUUCCUUUUCUUCGUUGAGAUGUGGUCUGGUGGGAUCCGAUGGCCGUCCGAAGGUCGAUUGAUUCAUUACUUAUAUAUUAUGUAUACGAGCAUUGACAUAUAGGUUCACUCUAGUCAGUUCAGUUAUGAGUCUCUACCUCUAGUUCAACAGUUAUGUUGGAAUCCCAAUACCCACUAUUUGGGAUGCAUCUUUGGGACACGGCCUUCUCCGUCGUCUAGUUGGUAACCAGAGUCUCCUGUAGGGAGAGCAGACAUUGUGUAUAUAGAUCUAUACGGGAUUGACACCCCCGCACCCUGACUGCUAGCUACAGUCCACGGCCUACCAAGCCAAGGGGUGACAAAUGUCACAUUUUAUAGACGCUUGCAGGGCGUCAGGUACUCUAGUGUCGGUUAGUAUGGUUACGAGUAUCCCAGGUUACCUNUUAAGGUAAUGGUAUUUCACCAGCAAUUUACACUGUAUGCUGGAAACCCACUCUCAGAGUCACACUGUUUUUAGACCUUACUAGCUGUAUCUUUCAUUUGAUAUUGUAUGGGGUCUGUAUUCUCUGUUUAGACCUUGCCAGCUGUACCUUUCAUUUGGUACCGUCUGGGGUCUGUGUCUCUCUUUGUUAGACCAAGCCAGGCGUGUCGUUUGUUCGAUACUCUCCUGGAGUCUAUGAUUCCUUUGCCUUAGUCAGCAGUCUUCACUGCUGAGGCAUAUGUUAUUUCACUAACUCUCUUGCUUUCUUUAAUAAUCAAAUUCUGUAUUUUGAUAGUGAUAGCAAUUAAGGGAAAACUACUUUUUACCACAUAACUCCGUCCAGUCUUGGUAGAAGACUGCUUUUAUUAAAGAAAAUAUAGGAUUUUCUGGAAAAGACACUAAUGUAAUGGAUACUCUAAAACUACCACCUUUAUUAAAGUUAUUUGGAUAAAGCGACACUAAAUACUUAUGAACUCACCAGCAUUUGUAAAAAUACUGAUACUCGCUUUUCAAAUAACUUGUAUUCUCAGGUCAGCAUUAGACAGGUACAUUCCUGGAACUGUUGAUGAAGAUAGCUUAGUACCAAACUGCAUUUAUAUUAUUACCUGUAUUACUUUGAUAUAUUGUAAUGUAAACCAUGUAAAACUAUUACUAUUAAUGCAAUGUUUUGUUGUACUUUGAUUACUAUAAUGCAUGUGUUGUGAUACUUGACAUGACGUCAUCCACCCCAGAACGUUUCCGCCGUUCCGGUUUUGGGGUGUGACAAGUAGUGUUCAUGGAUCUCAUGAACAAAGUAUGCAGGCCGAUGUUGGAUAGAUCGGUGAUCGUUUUCAUCGACGAUAUUCUGGUUUAUUCGAGAUCUAGAGAGUAGCAUGAGGAGCAUCUGAGAGAGAUUCUCGGAGUAUUGAGAUCGGAGAGGCUUUUCGCCAAAUUUUCCAAGUGCGGUUUCUGGUUGCGAGAGGUCUAGUUCUUAGGGCAUCUCAUCAACCAGAAUGGGAUAUUGGUCGAUCCGGCCAAGAUUGUGGCGGUUAUGAGAUGGGAGGUGGCGAGAUCCCCCACCGAGAUUAGGAGCUUUCUAGGGCUGGCCGGCUAUUACCGGAGAUUUAUCAGGGAUUUCUCCAAGAUCGUUGUACCUCUUACCAAGUUGACCCGGAAGGGAGUGACUUUCAGUUGGGGUCCUGAACAGCAAACCUCCUUUGAGACGCUUCGCCAGAGAUUAUGUGAAGCCCCGAUAUUAGCCCUUCUGGAAGGGAUGGAGGAUUUUGUGGUGUAUUGUGAUGCAUCGAUAUCAGGAUUGGGUGCAGUGCUUAUGUAGAGGGGGAAUGUGAUAGCGUAUGCAUCGCGGCAGCUGAAGCCUCAUGAGACAAGGUAUCCCACCCACGAUCUGGAGUUGGGGGUAGUGGUGCUCACCCUCAAGAUCUGGCGUCACUAAGUAUAUGGGGUUCGGUGUACCAUAUACACAGACCACAAGAGCUUGAAGUAUUUGAUGGAUCAGCCCAACCUAAAUAUGCGCCAGAGGAUAUGGUUGGAUGUGGUAAAGGAUUACGAUUGUGAGAUCCUGUACCACCCGGGCAAAGCUAAUGUUGUAGCUAAUGCCUUGAGCCGUAGGGCGGAGAGUGCCCCGAUUCGAGACAUUUGUAUAAGGAUGACGGUGAUGACUCCGGUGUUGGAGACCAUACGAGAGGCCCAUGCAAAGGCCGUGAUACCGGAGAACCGCAAGAGGGAGCGGGUGAUCGGGCAGGUACCUAAGUUCGUUCCUGAUAGCCGCAAGCUUAUGACCUUUCAGGGUCGGAUUUGGGUGUCGUAUGUAGGCGGGGCACGUACCACGUUGAGGGAGGAGGCACACAGAUCGAGGUUCUCGACCCAUCCCGGGGCGACUAAGAUGUAUUUGGAUCUAAAGAAAGAUUAUUGGUGGCCUUGUAUGAAGAGGGAUGUUGCAUGGUUUGUGGAGAGGUGCUUGACCUGUCGCAGGGUUAAGGCUAAGCACCAGCAUCCACACGGAAAGUUGCAGCCACUUGAGGUUCCCCAGUGGAAGUGGGAGCAUAUCUCCAUGGAUUUUAUCACCAAAUUGCUGAGGACCGCGAGGGGUGUCAAUGCAAUUUGGGUGAUUCUCGACCGACUGACGAAGGGCGCUCACUUUCUUGCCAUUAGUGAGAGCUCUUCUGCAGAGAGAUUGGCAGAGCUGUAUUUAAGGGAGGUGGUAUCAUGGCAUGGAGUACCGAUCUCGAUUGCGUCAGAUCGAGAUGUAUGUUUCACUUCCAGGUUCUGGAAGAAGUUCCACGAGGAGUUAGGCACGAGGCUGCAUUUCAGUACCGCUUGCCACCCGCAUACAGAAGGACAGAGUGAGCGGACGAUUCAGACGCUUGAGGACAUGCUUCGGGCAUGUGUAUUGGACUUCAGAGCAAGUUGGGACACGUAUUUUCCGUUGGCUGAGUUUUCCUAUAACAACAGACACCACUCGAGUAUUGGUAUGCCUCCCUUUGAGUUGUUGUAACGGAGGAGGUGUCGGACUCCCAUUUGCUAGGGAGAGGUGGGGCAGCACGUGAUGGGCAACACUGAGAUAGUGCUUCAGAUGACCCAGCAGAUAUAGCAGGUUAGACAGAGGUUGUUGAUAGCUCAGAGCCUCCAUAAGAGUUAUGCGGAUAGGCAAUGAUCCGAGGUGGAGUUCCAGGUGGGAGACUUCGUACUCUUGAAGGUGUCUCCUUGGAGAGGAUUGAUUCGGUUCAGGAAGAGGGGCAAGCUGGGGCCCCGGUACAUUGGGCCGUUUAGGGUGACCGCGAGGGUGGGCAGGGUAGCAUACCGUUUAGAGUUAUCCGCGGAGUUGAGUCAGAUACAUGAUACCUUCCACGUAUCUCAGUUGAGGAAGUGUAUAGCCGACGAGUCGACGGUGGUGCCGCUGGAGGAUAUUCAGGUGGAUGCGAGCUUGAAUUAUGUUGAGAGACCGAUCGGUAUCNNNNNNNNNNNNNNNNGGAAGAUCAAGGUUCUGAGGAACAAGGAGGUGCCUCUGGUUCAGGUCCAGUGGCAACAUCGGAGAGGGUCUGUGCUGACUUAGGAGUUAGAGACAGAGAUGCGGAAGCAGCAUCCGGAGUUGUUUGCGGCAUGAGACUUCGAGGGCGAAUUCUGGUUCUAGUGGGGGAGAAUUGUAACAUCCUGUAAUUCAGGUGCAUCUCUUAAACCCUUAUUCUUUUACAAGUUUUCAAGUUUAUCCAAUUAAAAGAAAUAUUGUGGCAAAUGAGUAUGCUGGGCAUACUGAAGAGUAUGUUGCGCGUACUCAGGCGCUCAAGUUGGACGCGGACUCGCCUAGGUACGCUGGGUGUACCCAGGGUUACGCUGGGCGUAGCGCACCCAGAUGCAAACCCUAAUUGUAGCUUGUGCUCUAUAAAAGGAAUGUUAAGGCCUUGUCCUCAUCCACCAUUUCAGAGAGUGAAACCCUAAUAGAGAGCUACCCUUCGUUCCUAGCUUGUGUGUGUGUGUGUUCUAAGCUUGAAAGUGUAAUCUUAAGGUGGUGGAGGAGAAGAGCAGGCCGUUAUAGGAGCUAGAAGUUGGUGGACAAGAGUAGAUCCGAGUUUUACAUAGGUUGAAGCUUCUUUCUGAGGUAAAAAGCUCAAAGCUUAACUUGUUGUUUGUGAUUUGUGCUUCUUGGAUCAAUUUUAGGGUUUUUGGUCCCAAGGUGGAGACUUUGUGAGCAAAAGGGACUCCAUGAACCAAGAUCUGUCCCAUUUCAGUGAUAUGUGUGUUGUAGAUCCAUAAAAAUCCCAACUUGGUCGUCAUUAUGGAGUCAUUCUUGAGUAAUGGGCUUCUAAGGGUUGGGAAUGGAAUUGUUUGGGUGUUGGUGACUUUUACAGUCAUGCAAAGGCUUAAAGUCACCGACUUUAUGGAUUAGGAGGCUUAGGGACAAUCAGAUCUGAAAAUUUGGACAUGUGUCUUAACCGUUUAAGACCCAAAGAUCAAAGGAGCAUGAAACUGGGAGUUACAUGGGGCGUAAUCCCAGUAUACGCAGCGUAGGGGGUCGCGUUCCCCGGUUCUAUGAGGUGGCCGGGUAUGCCCAGCGUACAGGUUUGGUACGCACAGCGUAACCCGGAGAGUUGACUUUUGUUGACUUUUAGGGUUUAGUCAAUGAUUGGAUCAUUGAGCCAUGAGAGGGGUAAAAUGGUCUUUUACCCUUCUGAGAGAACUUAGAGAGGGAUUAGUGUAGCCUUUGAAAAUCGUAUUGAUUAGAGUAAUUAAUCCAUGUGAUUAGGUGGAGGCUAGAACAAUAUUACCGAGUACGAGAUUUAACGAGUUACCCGAGGUGAGUCUUCUCACUAUACUUUACCUAGACUGGUAAUUAGAGCUAUGUGAUAGAGUAUCUUGUAUGGUAUCUGUGUGAUAUGAUUUUUAUGUGAUUUGUGCUAUGUAUGAUCCAGAGUUUAUAGAUUUAGGACCAGAGGGUCCACAAAGUUAGGGCCAGAGGGCCCACAGAGUUAUGGGACUAGAGGGUCAUUAAUUUAGUGAUCAAAAGGAACUAAUUAAAUAUGAACUCUUUUAUAUAUACGGUGGGCCAAGUCCAUUUAGGUUGGGCUAAGCUUUCAUGGAUAGUCCAUGGAGUGUUUAACCCAUGGAUCCUAUGAAAUGAAAGGUCAUGGGUGUUAGAGUUUACAUGGAUGUAACCCUAAUCCUCCAUAGUAUAUAAAGGUAUCCAUGGUUCAAGAAAUCGGCCUAAGGAUGUACACAUGAUAAGGCAUAGCCGAUUUGAGCCUAGAAACUUAUUCUCUCAAGUUAUUCCAAAUGUUGGUGAUGUUGUGUGAACCAUUUGAGGUGUCACACUUGAGGCACUAGGCUCUUAAGCUCCAUGGAAUGAAGCUCCAUCAAAAGGUAUGUCUUCUAACUUGUUUUAUUCCAUAUAUCAAUGUUUUGUGUGCUAGUUAGGGGAAAACCUUGGAAUAUCAUAUAUUUGCAUGUAUAAUAGAGAAAACGUAGAUCCAAGGUUUAUAGGGUUGCAAGUACACCAUAGGAGUGUUAGAAUGCUCAAAACCCUUCAGUGGUAUCAGAGACUUGGGUUGUUUCCAAUUAUACUUGAUAAAACUUAUUUUUCAAAGCUGAGAAUCUGUCUAGACAGAAAACUCGACAAGUUCAUGUGUUAAGGCAUGAACUCGACGAGUUCUCUAUAAGAACUCAACGAGUUUGUGUUCCAGUUUGCAGAUUUUCGAGUUUUAAGGUUGGAAUUGGUCUAGAAUCAUUACCUUAAACCGUUUUGGACUUAUAAAACCUGUUUUUGAUGUGGUAAUGAUUAUGGUAAACCAAUUUCAAGGUUAUUAUCAAAAUUUCAUGUUUUAUAUGUGUUGAUGUAAUUCUUGAAAUUGUUGAUAGGAUUGUUCAUACACUUAUGAGUUUUGGUAGAUCAUAGGAAUUAUUUGGAAAUUGUUGUUAGUUCUUGAUCUAAAUGUAUUUUAAAGGAGUCCAUAAUUUGUCCUCAAGUUAUGGAUUUCCAAAAGUCAUUUCUUUUAAAGAUUCAUUAAAAUGCAUAGGUUAGAAAAUUGAAGAGUCUUUUUGUUUUAUGAACUCCAUAACUUGUCCUCAAGGUAUGGAUGUUCAAGAGUCUUUUCCUUAAAGUUUUUAAAACUUAAUUAAACUCAUAAGUUAUGAAAAUCCAAAACUAAGUAACUAAAAUCUUAUGAAUUCCCAAUCUUAGUUACUUAGGAAAAUGUGAAUUUGGUGCUAACCCAUGAAAUUACACUUUGCACUUUGCCUAAGUCGAUUAGUGGAGCGCGUGUGGUUAAGCGACACACUAAUUGGAUUUAACAAGGUAGGCAAAGGGUAACUUAAUGUUUAUCAUAGUAUCGGUGGAGCGCGUGUGGUUAACUGGCCCACCGAUUGAGUGAUAAAUAUUAAGGGUACAAUCGAUAUUGAAACAUGCCAUUGAAAAGUUCAAUGAAUCCCAAAAGUUCUAGGAGUUUCAAAUCCAAUUAAAACCUAAUAAAUUAUUUCGUUUUUCAUGGUGGAAUUUGGUGAAUCGUCAUUCGCCUACCUUCAAAUAUUUUAUCACUUGGAUUACGACAUCCCUCUUUCAAGUUAUAAAAUAUUGUGUUGGGUCCUAGGCUUAAUAUUUCAUAUUGGGUGUUAUAUUAAGGACUUAAAUCAAACUAACUUGAAUAUCUCCCAAUGUAGAUGUCUGGUUCAGAAAACUAUUUUCUUCCCAAAUCACACUUCUCUUCCUUCACCUCCUCCAAUUAUUCUCCUAACCCACAGGUUCUUGAAAAGUUGAAGGUCACUCAAGCCCUAUUGGCAAGAAAAGUCUAUGUGUGCUCACAUCUUGGAGAUAAAGUCACAUAUUGAUAAGCCGGGAGAGUUGGGUGUCAAAGUAUUAAGGAAGUUGGUUGUUGAUUGGGUUGUUCAAUCACUUUCUAAGUUACAUAGUGAGUUCCUUUAGGACUACUAUAUGAUAGACUAUGACAUGACCCUUAAUGAUCUCACCUAUUUGCUAGGUGCUGCUGAAUCAGCAAUGAUUUGGAGCACUGGUAAAGCAAAUUUGGUUGAAAGAUCAACUUUCCAAACUUUUAUGGACAUUGACAAUGGUGACACUGGAAAUCCAGAAAGGCUUUCUCUUCGCAAUGGAAAGGGAUCGACCAUAGUCAACCCGGUUGACCAAAUGGUAAAGAGAAAGGUUAAGUAUGAGAUAGUCCCGUGUCCCAUUCCCAAAGAGUCCAUAUGUUUCUACUGCCAAAGGAAGGGGCAUUGGUUGCGAAGCUACCAUUUUUACCCGAAGGAUCAUGAGGUUGGUAAAGUCAAAGAGUUUGACUCUACUUCGGGUAAUGUCCACUAUCUAACUUUGUUAAGUUCCUUAUUGAUGAUUCUUAAUACAAAAUGUAACUUGGUUACAUUUUGAUUUUUGGCAGGAUCAGGUAAAGGGAAGGAAGCUUAAAAGAGAAGUAUGCUGAAUCUGAUCGCAAAAAUGGAUUUCAAUUGCAUGGUUCGAAGAUCAGAUUCUUGAGCUACUUCUUAAGAGUUAUGAUAGAUUUCUAGGAAAUAUGUAAUAUCAUAAGUUUUCAUUUAAAGUAGCAUUGUUAGGAAAAGUUUUUCCGCAUUUUAUAAAUAAAUAAAAUUUUGUUUUACUUUAUUUUAUAUCUCCUUGCAAUGGCAUUUAUGGAAAAUUGAUGUCUGUAUGUUUCUAGCAAUAGUGGAAAUAUGAAUUAGAGUCUUUCAUUUGUGGUAGUGUCUAAAUUUAACAAACAAGGAAAGAUUCUCUUCACCCAAGUUUCAAUUGGACCAAAACUUGGAAUCAUGGAAGUUGUAUGAUGAAUGAGAAUUUUCAUCUAUGGAAAAUUAAGGCUAAUUCCUUGUUCACAUGUAUAUGUGAGUCAAGUAAAGGACUAAAGGGAUCGAGUACACAUUCUUGUGCACUGGUUAAGUCCACCACAAAAGAUCGAUAAGACUAUUCGUCAUGAUUUACUAAAGCUUAGUAAAUAUGGUUAUACUUACAAGGUUAAGUAUAAUUCUGAAACAUUGGAAACGUUUUGAUGUUUGGCAGAAUGAAUUAGAAGAAUCAAAUUAGGCAGAAAAAUAAAAGUUUCUCAAAUCUAAAAAGAUGGGAGAGUACUUUAGUGUCAUGUUUUAUGAUCAUCUUAAUGAUUGUGGGACCAUAUCAUAAUUAAUCCUCUAAUGAUUCAUACUUCGUUCCAAAACAAGUAUUACAGUCAUACUCCAAUAUUGUAACUUGAGUGACAUAUCCUAAAGAAGGUUUAUUAACACUAGUCAAAUGUAAGAGUAAAAUGUGUCCUACUCUUGUACAUUUGAAAUUGGUAAGGUGUGAUGUUUUGGAUAAAACAGAGACCACCUAAGACCAAUUGUGUGAAGUGUUUGUCUUGAUAAAGAAUCCGUACUAUCUCUUGAAUAUUUGACAAGAGAGUCUUAUAUGUCAUGAGGACAGUGGGAGUCGUAAAGAUCUUGAAAAGCUUCAAGAUCUAAUCAAGAAUAAAACCUAUAGUUUAUCACUAGCUCACGACUUGAGGUUUAUAACCUAUCGUGUUGACAUAUUCCACUUUCUGUGCCUAUUCUAGUUAAAGUUCGUUUUGCAUAUGAGUUCUGAGAGGUCUCAUUUCAUUGCAUAACAACUUGGAAGCAUUGGUAGGACCUUGCGCUGCCAGGUGGCAAGAAGUUAAGACUGCACAAGUUCAAUCCAUAUGAGUCUAGAAUUGUCACUAACCUUGUCUUGUUAUUAUGGUUUUGACAAAUUCAUAUCGAUAGGAACUCAUACACCACAAAAUCUAAGUGCCAUACGGUUUCUAUCCGAUUCAUGAAAAUGAUGGUGAGUAAACGCUUUCACUAAGUAGAUUUUAAGUAGAUAGCAAUUGUGAUAUUUGCAUUCUCAAAGUCGUUAGUGGAGCGUGUGUGGUUAACUAGAACAAUAACAUGGACUUGUGAGGAAUGGCAAAGGUAUAAACAAUUGAGACUAUGAUUACGACAUCCCUUUUCAUAGUUCUGAAAUUGUUUAGACACACAUGUGUGAUAUCUAAGGAAAGGUGUAUGAUUUUGAUAAAGUUUUAUCAAAGCAUCUCUUAUCAGAAAUCUGAACAUUGGUAAGAAAGUCAAUAAAGUAUUGAUUUCUAGAAGUCCAACUGAUUUCUGAGUACAUGUCAAAGCUAGUGGGAGCAUAAGUGUUAUGCUAAUAAUCAUCAUGUUAGUGGGAGCAUGGUAAUUAUGAUAACUGUUGCAAGUUAGCAAUCUUAAUUAUAGAAAACAAAAUGUUUCAAUUAGGAAAAAGUUGUUUUGCUAUAAUUGAGGGAGAGGAAAUUAUACUUCAUCUCAAGUCUAAAGCUUAGAUUGAGGUCUUAAUCAUACUUAGUCAAGAAUAUAUAUGAAUUUCAUGUUGGAAUGGCUCAACAUAAGGAAAUUCUAUGUAUGGGUUCAUUAUUUGCGUUCUAAAAUUCGAUUAUGAUUACGGUAUCCCUUUUCAUAAUCAGAAUUAUGAGAACUUGGCAAAUAGANUCCCAUAUGCUUCGGGUAUAGGAUCGAUUGCAUGUGCUAUAAUAUUCAUCCUUUCUAAAUUUUCCGAAUGCUUAGGGCAUUAAGAGGGGAAAAGUCUUGAAAUGGAUUUGAUGAUUAAGCAAUUGUUGAGGACAACCUAAGGUUUACCAAAGAUUGGUUGCUCAAGGACAAUUGGAAGUAUAGUGUAAAUUUUUUGAAGAAAACCAUAUUGACAUAUUCUGAAAGGAGGCAACUCUUGUUCAGAAGUGAUAGUCAAAAUGGGAAUAUGGAAAUGUUUCCAUUGGUGAAAUUUAUUCAAUCUGUGUAAGAUUAGAAAACUUAAUGCAAGAAGGAUGUUCAAAACAAUGUACUUUGAAUUUAAGACUUCGUUUCCAUGGAAUGCUCUCCAUUGGAAUACUCUAUAAUAAUUGUUGACAAGUGUUUGUGACUUUGUGCAUAAUCAUUACAAGAGGAUCAGUGCAGAUAAGUUUAAAAUCUAACAGAUUUCGGUAAAUGGCAGGAAUUUGGAAUUCUUGCAUUUGCGUUUAGGAUUUGGGAUUGUGAAAUGAGAAUCAUUGGAACUGUGUUCAAUCAAUCUAUUUCACAAAGUAAAGAUCGUAGACAAACUUAGUGUGCAUACUUGGUGUAUGGCAUAACUAAUGUUUGAAAGAGAAGGAAAAAAAACAUAGUGUGCAUACUUGGUGUAUGACAUGACUAGUGUUUAGAAAACAUAGUGUACAUGCUUGGAGCAUGGGACAACUACUGUUCUAAUUUAGGUAUAAAGUUGAUAAUUUGAAACAGUAUGCAAUGAAUAAUGUGUAUUGAAUAUGGUGAUAAAUAAAAACUGUUCUAUUUAUAUUCAUAAGUUCUGAGACCAUAUUGGAUUCGAUUAUUCUUGUGUUUCACUUUGCAUGUUUUGACUUCCAGAAUAACUAGGUCAUUCUUCCUUAUUGACUAAGUUUUUCAAACCAUCCACAGUCGAUAAUACGUUGGAAGUAGGUAUUAAAGCAAGACUGUCAUGAAGCUGGUUUGUAGAUGUCCAAGGUAUUGGACAUAGCAAGAGUUGCUACAACAUUCAUGAGUGCUCAUAAGUUCUGAGUAUUGGAUUCAACCCACGCUCAUUUGGCUCACUUCAUGGAUUUUAUCACGGGUGAUCAUGAGACGAUAAUAUCUUAUAUUCUUCAAACCUAGAGAUAUGAGUUGUUGCCUAUGAGUUGGUUAUACAUUGAUUACACAAAAACGCAUUUGGUAACUCGAUGUUAUAAAACGUGCCUUUGUGUAUGAUUCAACAAGUAGUAGAACAAUCAUAUGUGUCGAAGUUUAUCCAUUCCUUUUACCCUUAAAGGAAUAAUAGGCGAUAUUUGUGGGCCCCUCGAUGAUUUAGUGAUGACACCCCUGAAGUGCUUGGCCAAGGCUGGACUAAUGUGAUUUGUUUAAUCAGUCGGUCGUUAUAAAUCGGAAAUCGGGAAACAACAAAUGGACAUAAAGAAUGAUUAUAAUCCAUGUCUCAGUCCAUAUGAUAUCUAGAAUGGAGGAAUAUAUGAUCCCUUAUCUAAUGGAUGCAUCAUUGAUUUGUUCAAAGUUCGACAACACCUUUUAAGAGCUACGAUUGCCAUUCGGGUUUUGAAGUCAUAAGCAAUAAUAGUUUUAGACUUAUCCAACUGGGAGACUAUUGGAUUAGUGUCUAAGUCCAUAACUAUAAUUGGUAUGUACUUGACCCGAUUGGCAUGGUCCAUUUGGGUAGACUUUAUGUGAGAAAUAGUUAUUUAUGAUUUAUAGUAAUAUAUUAUAUGUUCUAAUAUAUAGUGAUCAAAAGGAACUAAUUAAAUAUUGACUCUUUUAUAUAUAUGGUGGGCCAAGUUCAUUUAGGUUGCGCUAAGCUUUCAUGGAUAGUCCAUGGAGUGUUUCACCCAUGGAUCCUAUGAAAUGAAAGGUCAUGGGUAUUAGAGAUUACAUGGAUGUAACCCUAAUCCUCCAUAGUAUAUAAAGGUAUCAAUGGUUCAAGAAAUCGGCCUAAGGAUGUACACAUGAGAAGGCAUAGCCGAUUUGAGCCUAGAAACUUUUUCUUUCAAGUUAUUCCAAAUGUUGGUGAUGUUGUGUGAACCAUUUGAGGUGUCAAACUUGAGGCACUAGGCUCUUAGGCUCCAUGGAAUGAAGCUCCAUCAAAAGGUAUGUCUUCUAACUUUUUUAAUUCCAUAUACCAAUAUUUUGUAUGCUAGUUAGGGGAAAACCUUGGAAUAUCAUAUAUUUCCAUGUAUAAUAGAGAAAACGUAGAUCCAAGGUUUAUAGGCUUGCAUGUACACCAUAGGAGUGUUAGAAUGCUCAAAACCCAUCAAAAGGAACUGUCACAAAUGGAUUGCUAAGCUUUGAGAAUGUCAAUUAUGCUCCCGAGCUAAAGCAUAGUUUAUUGAGUGUCUCUCAAAUCUACGACAAAGGCUAUUCAACACAGUUCACUGACAAAGAGCGCCUUAUUUUGAUUUCUGGUAUUAUCAUCUCUGAAGAGUAGAUCUGAUGAAGUCAAAGAGGGAUUGAGUUGCAUACAUCAUAGACAUGAAUCAUGAUAUCCCAGAGCAAAUCACUUGUCUCAUCUCUAAAGUCUCCAAACACAAUGCCAUGCUUUGGCACCAUCGUCUCUUCUAUGCUAAUGCCAAGAACCAGAAUCGUCUUGCCAAAAACGAGAUCAUCCAUGGUCUUCCUGUCAAUGACUUUAUUACUAUUGAGAAAUGUGUGGCAUGUGCUCAAGGCACACAUCACCGCAAGCCCCACCUGCCAAAGAUAGUAAAAUCGAUCAGCAAACUUCUUUAAUUGUUGCAAAUGAAUUUAUUUGGUCCAGUCAAGGUCCUCACCAUCAACAAGAGCUCUUAUCGAUUGGUUGUAAUAGAUGACUACUCGCGGUUCACAUGGGUUUUCUUUCUAAGCAACAAGAUUGGGAUCGCUGAUAUGAUCAAGAAGUUCAUUGUGAUGAUCGAGAACCAAACAAAUGAGAAAGUGACGACACUCAGAACGGAUAAUGGAACGGAAUUCAAGAACGUUGUUCAGGAUCACUUCUAUACCGAAAAGGGAAUAUUGCGUCAGUACAAUUUUGUUCGAACUCCUCAACAAAAUGGAGUUGUGGAAUGGCGCAAUCAUACUCUAAUAGACGCUUCAAGGACGAUGCUCUGUAAUUCUAAAUUACCGGUCCUCUUUUGGGCCGAGGCGAUCAACACUGUCUGCUACGUUCAGAUCUGUGUCCUGAUCAACAAAGCCCAAAUGAAGACCCCGUACGAGAUCUUAAACAAUCACAAGCCAUCAGUUGCUCACAUCUGAAUAUUUGGAUGUCCUUGCACCCCCUUCACUUAGAAUCCAACCCUAAGUUUAACUCGAAGGCCGAUGAAUGUUACUUCGUGGGAUAUGCCGCACGCACUGCUUCUAGAAUUUACAACAAGACUACCAAGCAGAUCGUGGAGUCUUACGACGUGCGCUGGCUAGAAGAGAAUGAGACGGACGCUUGAGUCGGCCCUGACUAGUUAUUUGAUUAUGCAUCAUUAUUUAAAUCAUUUAACGUGUUUUCAGAUGAUGUGUCAGGUUCUUGCUCAGGUUCGAAGCUCAUUGUUGCAGAUGAAGAGGAAGAAGUUGUGUACAGACCACCUUCGGUGCCCCCUACGUCUCCUACGGUGGAUGAACCUGUUCCAAGUACUUCUUCAGAUUCCCCCUAUCACAGAACUGAUCCUGAUGCUGAAGCCACUCCUCAUACUCCUGCUGAAAGAGAGUUCAUGAGCAGAGAUACUUCUGCUGCCACUCAAUCUUUCAUGGAACUUCUCUUUCCCUAGCCAAUUGAAAAUGAGUACUUGGAAAGCACAUCUCACGAUUCCAGACCAUCUGACGCGGAUGAUUUAGCAAAUGAUGGAUUAUUCAAUAUCAACAACCUUCUUGUCACACUCAAUGACAUCAGCCAUGAAAUCCCCACCAGGCGACAACGCGAUCAUCCGAUCGAAAACAUCAUUAGCGAACUACGCGAUGGAGUCAAAACAAGGAGUCAGAGUGGAGAUGUCAACACAUGUCUCUACUCUUGCUUUAUCUCUCAGAUCGAACCAAAGAAUGUGUAAAUGGAACUGAAUGAACCUAAUUGGCUUGACGCAAUGCAUGGGGAACUUAAUCAACUCGAGAAAUUCGGGGUUUGGAAACUGGUUGAGCUGCCUAAGGGGAAGAAGUCUUUGGAUACAGGAUGGGUGUUCCGUAAUAAGUAGGAAGAUUAUGGGGUAAUUUUGAGAAAUAAAGCAUGUCUGGUUGUUCGUGGGUUUCGGCAAAUUGAAGGACUUGAAUACAUUAAAGUGUAUGCUCAUGUAGCGCGCCUUGAAGCUAUCCGUAUCUUUCUGGUUUAGGCAUCCUACAUGGGGUUCACCGCAUAUCAGAUGGACAUUAAGACUGCCUUUCUAUAUGCAGUUGUGAAAGAAGAAAUUUAUUUUGAUCAACCUCCAGGUUUUGUCAACUCAAAGUCUCUAAAUCAUGACUUCAAAUUAGACAAGGCUAUAUAUGGGUUACAUCAGGCUCCUCGAGCCUGGUAUGCUACCCUAACAGAUCAUUGCUCGAGCAUGGUUAUAUCAUAGGCACAAUUGAUCAGACGCUCUUUAUCAAGCAUGUGCAUGGAGACAUGAUUCUUGUUCAAGUCUAUGUCGAUGACAUCAUUUUUAGGUCAAUGAGUUCAAAGUUGUGCAAGGAUUUUGAGACCAUUAUGAAGAAGAGAUUUGAGAUGAGCUCCUUGGGAGAAAUGACUAUGUUUUUGGGAUUACAGGUCCAUCAAGAUUCAACCGGAAUCCUUCUACAUCAAGGAAAAUAUGUUGAAGACAUGCUUGAGAGGUUCGGAUUUAAAUAUUCCAAAGCUGCCUUGACGCCGAUGGCUGAACGACCCUUGUUGACUCCAAAUCCUGAAGGUGAAUCCAUAGAUCAGAUAGAAUACAGAUCAAUGAUCGGCUCCCUGAUGUAUCUGACUGUGAGCAGACCAGACAUCAUGUUCGCAGUUUAUCAAUGUGUACGAUACAAGGCUAAUCCUAAACUCUCUAACUUAAUUUCUGUUAAAAGGAUCUUUAGGUGUCUCAAAGGUAGACCUAAAUUGGGUCUUUGGUACCUGAAGAAUCCUGAUUUUGACUUAUAUGCAUUUGCUGACAGCAAUUACAGAGGUUGUGAACGUGACAAGAAAUCAACUUCUGGGGGGUGUCAAUUCUUAGGCGGCCAUCUGGUGUCUUGGUAGUGCUAGAAACAACAAACCGUCUUAACCUCAAAGACGGAAGCGGAAUACAUUGUUGCUUCUGCUUGUUGCUCUCAAGUAAUAUGGAUUCAAGAUCAGCUGUUUGACUACGGUUUGAAUUUUCUUGAAACCCCUAUCUUUUGCGAUAACGAUGCUGCAAUCCAUAUAGGCAAAAACCCAGUCCAACACUCCAAAACCAAGCACAUUGACAUCAAGGUUCAUUUUAUCAGAGAAUGUUAUGAGCUUUUGCUCAUUCGGUUGGAGCAGAUUCACACUGAUAACAAUGUGGUGGAUCUGUUCACCAAACCGUUUAACAAAUCCUGAUUCGAUGUACUGGUGGGCUUUCAUAAAAUGAUACAUUUUGAAGACUAAUUUUUUUUUAGGUAGUUUAAAUUUGCGCAUUUAGUUUCUGUUCUCUCCUAUGCACAAAUUUAUGGGGAGAAAUAUACAAAAACAAAACUAAAAUUAGAAAAUCAAAAAUCCAAAAAUAGUGUUAUUUCUGUUUUAUUGUUCAGAAAUUAUGAAAAUUCAAAAAAAUAGAGUGUCUGAUGAGAAGCCUGUCCGCAGAUGAUGUGUUGGGAAGUGAUAUCAAGAAGGUGAUAAUAGGCGAUUUUAAUUCGUGUAAGGUACUAAUGCUGAACUGUCUAGGCUCUGUGUUCAAUGUACUGAUAGGCACGAAAAAUUUAAAUGGUCCAGACUAGGUAUAGUUGGACUAUGAAAAGGACUUGACAAAUAUUGACUUAGAUAGUUCCGUUUGGUCUGACAAUACGACGAUCGGGUAGAUUGAGUAGUGAGAUAUACAUGGGAAUCUACGGGCUACACUAAAGUAAUCUGUAUCUAGAACUGUGGUGUAACUUUUCCUCGAUGUAUGGACGCAUGUCCUUAAUUCCGGUACUGAUAUGGCGACUGGGGAAUUCUGAUAAAGUAGGUAUGUAGAAGGUUAUUUUCUUUCUUUCUUUUUGUUAUUCAUAUGUUGCCUCCUCUCCGUGAUUGGAAGAUCCGACCUAGACUACAACAUAUGAAACUCUACUUCUAUGCAUCUCCUUCUAUAUGAAAAGUCCUUUUGUCUGUUAGUCAUAUGCUAUCUUCUUUGCGUGAUAAGUGUUUAGCCGACCUGGAACACAGCAUAUGCAACAUUCUGUUUCUCAAUCCCUCUAUCUAUGUUAGUCAUAUGAUGUUCCCUCUGCGUGAUUGGAAGAUAUUUGACCUGGGAUACAACAUAAGCAUUCUAAAUCUGACUUUCCUCCUAAUAAUUGUCGACUCAUCUAAAGUAAGGAGUAUUUUGGAAGUUCUUGAUUGUCGGGGUAUGUUAGGAAGUGGGAAACACAGUCUAGUACAUCUAAAAUUGAACAUUCAAUAGGUAGUCUGUAGAUCUCGCUACUAAAUUUAGGGGGACAACAAUACCCGUGGUCGUCAUCGGCAAAAUGGUCUUCUAGGAAUAUUAUUUAGGAUCUUAGGGUCAAAUGUCUUGUCACUAGUAGUAUGUUUACAUUUGUCACAAUUUUUUGUGUUUAAGUGCACCACAAUACCGGCUAUUGACCAGAUCUAGUCACGAAGGUGGAGGUACUGAAAAACAAAUUAAGAUUGUCGUAAAACUUUGAUCCCAAAAUCUUAAAAGGAAUAUUAGCAAUGGUGAAAAGAAAUUUUUAUUUUUAUUUUUAUUUUUCUAAAAAUUUAAAAAAUUAAAUUAAAAAUUAGGCAAAUUUAGUUUAGUUUAAAUUUUUUGAUUUUAUUUAAUUUUAAUUUUAAUUUUAUUUUUUAAGUCUUCCAAAAUGUUUUAUUUUAUUAAAUUUGGAUGUAUUAGGCUUGGAUUUGAAGUUUAUUGGAUUUGUAGUCCAUUCGACAUGGGAUGAAAACAUCCAAGGUAUAAAUAUGUGGGUUUCCGGUUGUAAACCUCUUUACACUCACUUUUCGAUUACGGCCGCAAACGCAAAUCGUUUUCUCUCAACUGUUCACGGCUCAACUCUUCGAUUCAUCAGUUUUUCAUUGUUAUUGUAACAUCCGAUUGCUGGUAUGUUUUUUAUUCAAGUAUUAUUGAUGUUUUCUCUGAGACUCGAUGAGUUGGAGACCCAACUCGUCGAGUAGAGUCAGGAUCCGCAGACAGUUUAAGUUAGUUACUCGAUGAGUCGGGAAGACUGACUCGGCAAGUAGGUACUGUUUGAGUAUAACCCUAAAUCUGAGGGUUUGCACCCUAUUAAAACGCCUUAACUCAGCCUCCAUUGUCACUAACACUCCCAAGAAGUUGUAUAUCAAAACCCUAUCCGUUUGUGUGUGUUCUAAGGCCUUUUUGGUGCUCUUGGGUGGUUUGUGAAUCUUGGAAGGAAGGAAGAAGCUUGGGAAUUCAAGUUGGGACUCGUAGAUCCAGAGAUCUUACUCCAUUUCAGCUUAAUCAAGAUAAAGUGCCCCUGUUUUUGUCUUCCAUUUGGUUAUUCAUCCUUAGGGCUUAGAUUUUGGGUGCAUUUAGGGCUUUCCAAGCCAUUUUCGGAUUUGUGAAGUGUUUCAUGUACUCCCAUAUCCAAGUCAUUGGAGCGGUCUCAUGGCAUAAAGGUGCCAACUCUAUGGCCAUGAGAGCUCCAUGCACAUUGUAACGCACAUUUUAUGGAUUUUUGAGCCAAAGACCCCAUGUAUGUGCACCAAGUUUGAAACUUUACAUGUAAAAUGGACAUUAGGAGGCCAGAUCUAUGGUUUUGAUGAGUUAAGACCCAUCUAAAUUGAUUGUAUAGUAAUGGACAUGGAUGGACUCGACGAGUUGCUCUUCGGACUUGGCGAGUCGGUGUGUUUUGACCACCAAAAUCCUUUCUAUGGAUGGACCAGUUAAUAGGAAAGGAAGUCCCUUAGUUUUUUGGACGUGUAAAGAAACCUAGAAAUCAUGGGACUCAACGAGUGGAUGAACAGACUCAGCGAGUCCAAGGCAAUCUCACAAUCUUUGAAGAUAGACUCGACGAGUUGUUCAUAUAACUCGGCGAGUCAUAGACUGGACGUGUUCAUAUGAGGGAGAUGAACUCGACGAGUUGAAGGAGGAACUCGACGAGUAGGAUGAAGAUGGUCCCAAUGGUUUGAAUGAAGGUGAACCUAUUGAGUUCUUGCUAGAAUCGACGAAUGGAGUCAGGGUUGGAUCGAUUUCAUGGGUAUGGACUCGACGAGUUGGUAGACCAACUCGGCGAGUCAGGUUAACUGGGUGUUGAAUUUGACCAAUGUUGACUUUGGCUGGUUUUGAUUUUGACCCUGGUCAGGGUUGUUUGUUCUGUUUGANGGCACCAAUGCCAACCCAUCAGUAGGUGAUUAUGGUUGAGAUGAUUCUCUGGUUGCUAUAUUUGUGUUUGAGUUAUGUGCUAGUAGUAGUAGGGCGCACUAGUCCCUAGUUACCGGUUGGAAGAUACCAAAGACGGUUACCGGUUAAAAGAUACCGAAGACGGUUACCGGUUGAAAGAUACCGAAGGGGUGGAUAGAACCCAUGCAUGCAUAGUAGUAUGAUUAUGAUAUGUCAUUAUAUGAUUCAGUAUGCUUAUGUUAUGUUAUCAUGAAACCAAUAUGUUCAUGACAUGUAAUAUGUGAUAGGGAUAGGGGUGAAAUAUUCCCCAUAUACCAGUUGAAAGAUACUGAAGGGGAGGUUAGUUCUUAGAUACCGGUUGAAAGAUACCGAAGGGGAGGUUAGCUCGCAGUUACCGGUUGAAAGAUAUCAAAGGGGAGGAUAGUUCCCAGUUACCGAUUGGAAGAUAUCGAAGGGGAGGGUAGCUCCCGGUUACCAGUGAAAGAUACCGAAGAUUAGGUGCUAUGUGUAUGAUGGGGGAACUUACUAAUCUUUGUGCUUACAGUUUCAGUUUUGGUUUCAGGUACCUCUUCGUCUAAGGGGAAGGAGUCGGCGGUGUAGCUGCGCAUCACACACACACACAUGUUUUCCGCAUGGAGUUUCCAGGGAAUGUACUCUGAUUUAUCUUACUUUUAACAAUAUGAUUAUCAGACACAUUGUUAUGUUUCUUCUUUGAAAUGAUAUGACAUGGAAAAUGUUUUUAUAAACUAUGAUGUGAAUUACUUAAAUUAAAUGAAAUUUUUGGCCUCGAAAAUUGGGAUGUUACAGUUAUUAUCUGAAAUUGAUACCUGAUUCGUGUAGGUACUACAUAGGUGAACCCCAGAAAGUUAUUUUUCAUGCAAAUCGAUCAUGUUUUGAGGAUCUGUUGAUGCAAAAACCAUUAUCAGCAUCUGACAGUGUUUACGGCCGCAAACCUGUUUAUGGCCGUAAACCCGUUUACGGCCGUGAACUGGUUUUUGGCCAUAAAAAUUGUUAUUUUUUCAUUUAAAUAAUUUUCUAUUAAGGCCAAAUAAAUUGAAAAAUGAGAAAAACUUAAAUUUAAGACAAAAAUUCAAACCCUAAUUCCUCGGGUUUGGGGCCUAUUAAAGGGGCCUUAUGGCCGUCAUUUGCGGCUACCAGACCCCAGAGAGAAACCCUAAGUGAGCUAGAGCGAUUGUGAGAGGAAAGGAGCCAUUUCUUGAUCAUUUGUUAGUAUUUGUGCAAAUAGAAGAGGACCAACACAAGAGGAGGUUGAAGAGGGUGCUAAUCCAGUGAUUCCAGGGUUCAGAGACUUCAUUUUUGAGGUAUUCAUUCGACCCUUCUUCAGUUUAUGGUGUAAUUCCUAGAGUUAGGGCUUUUUAGCCCCUCUAGGGGAUGGUUUUAUUGAGUAAUUGGUCCCUUCUCGUGUUGGUGCUGGAGAUUUGGACCCAAAGAGGUCCAGAGACCCUUUUCCCUUGAGCUUUAUGAGUGUUAAUGGGGGGUUAUGAGCUUUGGAUGUCAUUUUAGUGGUCAUAUCUUCAAAUAAGGCCUUUAAGCCUUUGCUUGACCACCAAGAUGUUAGCUUUACGUGAUUAUCAUGCUUGGGGAGGCCAGAUCUAUGAUUGUAUGGGACGAAUCUGACCUCAGAAGUUGUUUUGAGAGUGUUCAUGGCAUGAACUCGCCGAGUCCCAAGAACAGACUAGGCGAGUAGUAUGAAGGUUGCCCAUUAAUCAUUCAGUGAGUGGACUGCCGAGUUGGGGGAUGACUCAGUGAGUCAGAAGGGGAUUUGAGGACUGAAGUUCAAGGCUAUACUCGCCGAGUCGUUCUUGAAACUCGGUGAGUUGAGUCGGGGUGGCCCUGCGAUUCAUGCCUAAUGUGACUCGUCGAGUUUAGGGAGGGACUCGACGUGCCAAGCGGGGCAAAGAGUUAGGAGUCAUGUGUGUACUCGCCGAGUCACCGGAGUGCACUCGGCGAGUUAGGUCAAAGUUUGACCAUUGACUUUUGUUGACUUUUAGGGUUUGGUCUACAAUGGACUCCUUGAGUCAAGAGGGGGGUAAAAUAGUCUUAUACCCUUCUAAGGGUGACAAUAGGGGGUUGAGUCUAGCCUCGAGUGUUAUAUUUAUGAGGAUAUUUACUUUGUGUGAAUAGGCGAAGGCUAGGCAAUACUUCUACCGAGUCAGGGAUUUACGAGAGUCUGAGUUGAGUGUUCUCACUAUACUUUACCUUGAGUAGGUAAUCAAAGUUAUGUGAUAUAGUGUUGUAUGAUAUAUAUAUAUAUAUAUGUGUGUGUGUGUGUGUGAUGUGUUGCACUGUGUUAUUCUAUGUGAUUUAUGUUGUGCAUGUUAUAGAGUUAAAACCGGAAGGUUCACAGAGAUAGAACCUCAGGGUUCACAGAGUUUGGGUGCACAGACCCAUAGAGUUAUAAGCUCGAGUGGGAAAUAUGUGUUAUAUAUGGUAUUUUGGGGAACUCACUAAGCUUCGUGCUUACAGUGUUAUGUGUUAUGUGUUUCAGGUACUAGUGAGGAUCGCGGGAAGGCGCCGGCAUGAUCAGUACACACACGGGAUUUUUAUGUUAUGAGAUCUUGGGAUUGAUAUAUGUUAUGAAUUGAGUUUUAAACAAUGAUGUUUUUAUGAGUAAUGAAUGAAUUAUGUUUUAUAAAAUGCGAAAAAUUGUUUUGAAAUUUACGGUGUUACAAGUUGGUAUCAGAGCCUUGGUUUGAGGGAUUCGAGUACACCUUCGGGCGUAUUUGAACUCAAACUGAGGAUUUAAGAAAUAUUUUCAAAAGAGAACCAAGUUUUCUAAAAAGAGUAAAAUAUUUUUGGAUAACGCAGAGCAGAGUCGUGUGUACGAUCAAUCAGCGCCCGAACGGUGAUUUCCUAAAAUACCCUUAUGUUAUAUGCUUAUGAGAAUGAUAUGAUGUAUUCUCGUGCUAGAGUGAGCUAGGUAUUCCUAUUAGGACUAGUGUGGCCUGAUUUGUGAUACCUUAGCCCAGAGGGAGGUGAGCUGCUAUAGGAUGCUUGAGAGUGAGUAGGUAGCAGUGAGGAGCUUAUUAGAGAUCUGUUAGAGAGUGGAUUGUGCAUAAUAGAGUACUUGGGAUUUGGGAUCCUAGGAGGAGGACUUGGGGUGUAUACUGACGCGGUGUGGACAGUAGUAUUGGGCCCUUACUACUGAAAACACCGGGACGGUGUACAGUUCAAGUAAGAAUCUUUGGGAUGCCAGGGAUCAAGGAGGGAUGAGUUAUCGAGAGCGAGUAUGCUCGAGUGAGUUUCUAAUAUAUCAUAUGUUGUAUUUCAGAGGUAGAUCAUGGUGAGGACACGUCAUGCGCCAGAGAGCAGCGAGACUAGUGAUGAGGAGAUCUGCCGGAUCAUCCAUGAGGAGGUGGUUGCGGCCAUCAGCGCAGAGAUACCAGAGAUGUUCGGGUAUAUCAAGACCACGCUGAUUGAGACUUUUGACGAGCGUUAUGCCGCUCUUUCUGAGGCUGCUGUUGCAGCGGCCACCGCAGCCGUCGUUGCUGCUAGGCCGCAGGGGGGUGACUCGUUGUUGUUCAGGGAGUUCAGCAACACAAAGCCACCNUCGACGAGUUGGUAGACCAACUCGGCGAGUCAGGUUAACUGGGUGUUGAAUUUGACCAAUGUUGACUUUGGCUGGUUUUGAUUUUGACCCUGGUCAGGGUUGUUUGUUCUGUUUGAUGACUUUAGGGUUGUCGUGUAGGGACUGAGGAGUUGAGGAGAGCCGACCUUCACGUCGAGGACAAUUCAGACACUACACGACAUCGAGGUGAGUUACCUUCCAAUAGGGGUGGGUCUAGGGCACCAAUGCCAACCCAUCAGUAGGUGAUUAUGGUUGAGAUGAUUCUCUGGUUGCUAUAUUUGUGUUUGAGUUAUGUGCUAGUAGUAGUAGGGCGCACUAGUCCCUAGUUACCGGUUGGAAGAUACCAAAGACGGUUACCGGUUAAAAGAUACCGAAGACGGUUACCGGUUGAAAGAUACCGAAGGGGUGGAUAGAACCCAUGCAUGCAUAGUAGUAUGAUUAUGAUAUGUCAUUAUAUGAUUCAGUAUGCUUAUGUUAUGUUAUCAUGAAACCAAUAUGUUCAUGACAUGUAAUAUGUGAUAGGGAUAGGGGUGAAAUAUUCCCCAUAUACCAGUUGAAAGAUACUGAAGGGGAGGUUAGUUCUUAGAUACCGGUUGAAAGAUACCGAAGGGGAGGUUAGCUCGCAGUUACCGGUUGAAAGAUAUCAAAGGGGAGGAUAGUUCCCAGUUACCGAUUGGAAGAUAUCGAAGGGGAGGGUAGCUCCCGGUUACCAGUGAAAGAUACCGAAGAUUAGGUGCUAUGUGUAUGAUGGGGGAACUUACUAAUCUUUGUGCUUACAGUUUCAGUUUUGGUUUCAGGUACCUCUUCGUCUAAGGGGAAGGAGUCGGCGGUGUAGCUGCGCAUCACACACACACACAUGUUUUCCGCAUGGAGUUUCCAGGGAAUGUACUCUGAUUUAUCUUACUUUUAACAAUAUGAUUAUCAGACACAUUGUUAUGUUUCUUCUUUGAAAUGAUAUGACAUGGAAAAUGUUUUUAUAAACUAUGAUGUGAAUUACUUAAAUUAAAUGAAAUUUUUGGCCUCGAAAAUUGGGAUGUUACAGUUAUUAUCUGAAAUUGAUACCUGAUUCGUGUAGGUACUACAUAGGUGAACCCCAGAAAGUUAUUUUUCAUGCAAAUCGAUCAUGUUUUGAGGAUCUGUUGAUGCAAAAACCAUUAUCAGCAUCUGACAGUGUUUACGGCCGCAAACCUGUUUAUGGCCGUAAACCCGUUUACGGCCGUGAACUGGUUUUUGGCCAUAAAAAUUGUUAUUUUUUCAUUUAAAUAAUUUUCUAUUAAGGCCAAAUAAAUUGAAAAAUGAGAAAAACUUAAAUUUAAGACAAAAAUUCAAACCCUAAUUCCUCGGGUUUGGGGCCUAUUAAAGGGGCCUUAUGGCCGUCAUUUGCGGCUACCAGACCCCAGAGAGAAACCCUAAGUGAGCUAGAGCGAUUGUGAGAGGAAAGGAGCCAUUUCUUGAUCAUUUGUUAGUAUUUGUGCAAAUAGAAGAGGACCAACACAAGAGGAGGUUGAAGAGGGUGCUAAUCCAGUGAUUCCAGGGUUCAGAGACUUCAUUUUUGAGGUAUUCAUUCGACCCUUCUUCAGUUUAUGGUGUAAUUCCUAGAGUUAGGGCUUUUUAGCCCCUCUAGGGGAUGGUUUUAUUGAGUAAUUGGUCCCUUCUCGUGUUGGUGCUGGAGAUUUGGACCCAAAGAGGUCCAGAGACCCUUUUCCCUUGAGCUUUAUGAGUGUUAAUGGGGGGUUAUGAGCUUUGGAUGUCAUUUUAGUGGUCAUAUCUUCAAAUAAGGCCUUUAAGCCUUUGCUUGACCACCAAGAUGUUAGCUUUACGUGAUUAUCAUGCUUGGGGAGGCCAGAUCUAUGAUUGUAUGGGACGAAUCUGACCUCAGAAGUUGUUUUGAGAGUGUUCAUGGCAUGAACUCGCCGAGUCCCAAGAACAGACUAGGCGAGUAGUAUGAAGGUUGCCCAUUAAUCAUUCAGUGAGUGGACUGCCGAGUUGGGGGAUGACUCAGUGAGUCAGAAGGGGAUUUGAGGACUGAAGUUCAAGGCUAUACUCGCCGAGUCGUUCUUGAAACUCGGUGAGUUGAGUCGGGGUGGCCCUGCGAUUCAUGCCUAAUGUGACUCGUCGAGUUUAGGGAGGGACUCGACGUGCCAAGCGGGGCAAAGAGUUAGGAGUCAUGUGUGUACUCGCCGAGUCACCGGAGUGCACUCGGCGAGUUAGGUCAAAGUUUGACCAUUGACUUUUGUUGACUUUUAGGGUUUGGUCUACAAUGGACUCCUUGAGUCAAGAGGGGGGUAAAAUAGUCUUAUACCCUUCUAAGGGUGACAAUAGGGGGUUGAGUCUAGCCUCGAGUGUUAUAUUUAUGAGGAUAUUUACUUUGUGUGAAUAGGCGAAGGCUAGGCAAUACUUCUACCGAGUCAGGGAUUUACGAGAGUCUGAGUUGAGUGUUCUCACUAUACUUUACCUUGAGUAGGUAAUCAAAGUUAUGUGAUAUAGUGUUGUAUGAUAUAUAUAUAUAUAUAUGUGUGUGUGUGUGUGUGAUGUGUUGCACUGUGUUAUUCUAUGUGAUUUAUGUUGUGCAUGUUAUAGAGUUAAAACCGGAAGGUUCACAGAGAUAGAACCUCAGGGUUCACAGAGUUUGGGUGCACAGACCCAUAGAGUUAUAAGCUCGAGUGGGAAAUAUGUGUUAUAUAUGGUAUUUUGGGGAACUCACUAAGCUUCGUGCUUACAGUGUUAUGUGUUAUGUGUUUCAGGUACUAGUGAGGAUCGCGGGAAGGCGCCGGCAUGAUCAGUACACACACGGGAUUUUUAUGUUAUGAGAUCUUGGGAUUGAUAUAUGUUAUGAAUUGAGUUUUAAACAAUGAUGUUUUUAUGAGUAAUGAAUGAAUUAUGUUUUAUAAAAUGCGAAAAAUUGUUUUGAAAUUUACGGUGUUACAAGUUGGUAUCAGAGCCUUGGUUUGAGGGAUUCGAGUACACCUUCGGGCGUAUUUGAACUCAAACUGAGGAUUUAAGAAAUAUUUUCAAAAGAGAACCAAGUUUUCUAAAAAGAGUAAAAUAUUUUUGGAUAACGCAGAGCAGAGUCGUGUGUACGAUCAAUCAGCGCCCGAACGGUGAUUUCCUAAAAUACCCUUAUGUUAUAUGCUUAUGAGAAUGAUAUGAUGUAUUCUCGUGCUAGAGUGAGCUAGGUAUUCCUAUUAGGACUAGUGUGGCCUGAUUUGUGAUACCUUAGCCCAGAGGGAGGUGAGCUGCUAUAGGAUGCUUGAGAGUGAGUAGGUAGCAGUGAGGAGCUUAUUAGAGAUCUGUUAGAGAGUGGAUUGUGCAUAAUAGAGUACUUGGGAUUUGGGAUCCUAGGAGGAGGACUUGGGGUGUAUACUGACGCGGUGUGGACAGUAGUAUUGGGCCCUUACUACUGAAAACACCGGGACGGUGUACAGUUCAAGUAAGAAUCUUUGGGAUGCCAGGGAUCAAGGAGGGAUGAGUUAUCGAGAGCGAGUAUGCUCGAGUGAGUUUCUAAUAUAUCAUAUGUUGUAUUUCAGAGGUAGAUCAUGGUGAGGACACGUCAUGCGCCAGAGAGCAGCGAGACUAGUGAUGAGGAGAUCUGCCGGAUCAUCCAUGAGGAGGUGGUUGCGGCCAUCAGCGCAGAGAUACCAGAGAUGUUCGGGUAUAUCAAGACCACGCUGAUUGAGACUUUUGACGAGCGUUAUGCCGCUCUUUCUGAGGCUGCUGUUGCAGCGGCCACCGCAGCCGUCGUUGCUGCUAGGCCGCAGGGGGGUGACUCGUUGUUGUUCAGGGAGUUCAGCAACACAAAGCCACCAUAGUUUGAUAGGACGCAGGAUCCGAUUGCAGCGAUGAGAUGGGUAUCUGACAUUGAGGGGUGAUUCUAUACAUGCUCGUGCCUGGAGCACUUGAGGGUUUGGUUUGCGCUGAACCAGCUUCGCCUGGGGGCGAAGGACUGGUGGAUGUUCACGACAACACACUAUUCUCCAGCAGAGCUUGCUGCGGUGACCUGGGAGAGGUUCACCGCCAUGUUUCGUGAUGAGUACGUUCCCCCGGUGGAACGGGAUCGGUUGGCACAUGAGUUUUUGACCCUCAAGCAGGGUACGGAGUCUGUUACGGUUAUUACCAGGAUGUUUCAUGAGAGGGCGAUGUUCUGCCCUGAGCACAUGUCUUCUGAGCAGGCACGUAUGAGCCGUUAUUUGAGUAUUUUGAGGAGAGAUAUUCGGGAGUUCGUGGCGAACUCCUCGUACCGGACAUUUGCCGAGCUUCAGGCAAAUGCCUGGAAGAGGGAGAUCGAGCUAGAGACUCAGGCUAGGGAGGAGGCGGAGUCUCAGGGGAGGGAUCGGCGACCGGCACAGUCCCAGCCGGCAGCCAAGCGGGAUGUAUGUUGGAGAUUGACCGUGAUAGCUCUAGUGUUGGACGCCAUUCGUGGGGCACAGGCCAAGGGUGUGCAGCUUGAGAUGCAGAAGAAAGAGCGAGUUGUUGGAUUGAUUUCAGAGUUCGUUACCGAUGGUCGGGGGCUUAUGACAUUCCAGAGGCGUAUCUGGGUGCCGUUUGUGGGAGCAACGCGUACCAUUUUGAUGGAAGAGGCUCAUCGGUCGAAAUUUUCGAUCCAUCCUGGGGCCACUAAGAUGUAUUUGGACCUGAGGAAAGAGUAUUGGUGGCCCUGUAUGAAGAGGGAUGUUGCAUGGUUUGUUGAGAGGUGCUUGACCUGCCGUAGGGUUAAGGCCGAGCACCAGAGGCCGCAUGGUAAGUUGCAGCCAUUGGAGGUUCCCGAAUGGAAGUGGGAACAGAUCACUAUGGAUUUCAUCACCAAAUUGCCAAGGACUGCCAGAGGAGUUGAUGCAAUUUGGGUGAUUGUGGACAGAUUGACGAAGAGCGCUCACUUCCUUGCUAUCAGCGAGAGUUCUUCAGCAGAGAAAUUGGCAGAGGUGUAUGUGAGGGAAGUGGUAUCUCGGCAUGGGGUGCCGAUCUCGAUUGUUUCAGACCGUGAUGUGCGUUUCACUUCCAGAUUCUGGAAGAAGUUUCAUGAGGAGUUGGGUACUAGACUGCAUUUUAGUACCGCAUAUCAUCCCCAGACAGACGGUCAGAGUGAGCGGACGAUUCAGACGCUUGAGGACAUGCUCCGAGCAUGUGUGUUGGAUUUCGGGGGUAGCUGGGAUGCGUAUUUACCCUUGGCAGAGUUUUCCUACAACAACAGCCAUCAUUCGAGCAUUGGUAUGCCGCCCUUUGAGCUGUUGUAUGGGAGGAGGUGUCGGACCCCCAUUUGUUGGGGAGAGGUUGGACAGCGUGUGAUGGGCAAUACAGAGAUCGUGCUUCAGACGACAGAGCAGAUCCAGCAGGUCAGACAAAGGUUGUUGAUCGCUCAGAGUUGUCAGAAGAGUUAUGCAGACAGACACCGGUCUGAGCUUGAGUUUCAGGUCGGCGACCUCGUACUCCUGAAGGUCUCUCCUUGGAAAGGAGUGAUUUGAUUCAGGAAGUGUAUAGCUGAUGAGUCGGCAGUGGCUCCAUUAGAGGAUAUUCUGGUGGAUGCGAGCCUGAAUUAUGCCGAGAGGCCGGUGGCUAUCAGAGAUUGGAAGAUCAAGGUUCUGAGGAACAAGGAGGUACCCUUGGUGUUGGUUCAAUGGCAACAUCGGAAGGAAUCAGAGAUGACCUGGGAGCCGGAGCGUGAGAUGCGUGAGCAGCAUCCGGAGCUAUUUUCAGAGCGAGACUUCGAGGGCGAAGUCUAGUUCUAGUGGGGGAGAAUUGUAACAGCCCGGAUUCCCAGGUAUUAUUUAUUCUUCUAAUUUUUGGUGUUUUGUGAGGAGACUCGGCGAGUUGGAGCUCAAACUUGCCGAGUAUGAUCGUGGUUUGGGCAAGGGUUCGCGUCCGGACUCGGCGAGUCCAAAAGGUGGACUCGGCGAGUCCACACUGUUUAAUGAAACCCUAAUUUCCAAGGUAUGAGACCUAUUUAAAGGCGCUUAUGGCCGUCAUUUGCGGCCACCAACCCCAGAGAGAACCCUAAAAGAGUCCUUGAGCAUUUUGUGAGAGAGAAGAGGAAGAUCCUUGAUUAUUUGUGGGUGAUUUUGCAUAUAGAAGAGUAUCAAGGCAAGAGGAGACCAGAGGAGGUGCUAAUCCAGUGAUUCCUGAGCUCAGAGACUUCAUUUGAGGUAACCAUUCGUUCCUUUCUCAGUCCUUGGUGUAAAUCUUAGAGUUAGGGUUUCUUUGUGGAAUGAUCCAUGGAGUAAUUGGCCUCUUCUUGUGUUGGUGCUUUAGAUCUGGACCCAAAGAGGUCCAGAGACUCUUUUCCCUCAAGCUUUAUGAGUGUUAAUGGAGGCCAUGAGCUUAGAAUAGCAUUCUAGAGACCAUAUCAUCAAAUAAGGCCUUUGGACCUUUGCAUGAGCACCAAGAUUGUAACUUUACGUGAUAAAUGUGCUUGGAAGGACUGGAUCUAUGAGUUACUGGAACGGAUCUGACCUCAGGAGUGAGUUUGAGUUCAUGCAUGGCUUAGACUCGCCGAGUCCGAAGAACAGACUCGGCGAGUAGCAUGAAGAUUGUCCAUAACCACUCAGCGAGUGGUCUUACCGAGUUAAGGGUUGACUCAGUGAGUCAGGGAGAGUCAGAGAGGGUUGACAGGUGGACUGAGUCAAGCUGGAACUCGCCGAGUUGUUCUUGAGACUCGGCGAGUUGAGUCGUGGUGGCCCCGCGAUUCAUGCCAGGUGGAACUCGUCGAGUCAGGGAAGUACUCGACGUGUCAAGAGAGGAUCCUAGGGAGUCAGUGAACACGUAUAGACUCGCCGAGUCGCUCUAGUGCACUCGCCGAGUCCGGUCAAAGUUGACCGUUGACCAGAGUUGACCAGUGUUGACUUGAUAGGGGUAGUCAACCUUAGUUGUGAAAGUGUUAAUUAGAGAUAUAUUGUGUUAUAGGAGGAUUAUAGCUCGGAGGAUCGAGCGCGAGUGAUUUCCGGGAUUUGCGAGUUAUCGAGAUACGCGAGGUGAGUCUUCUCACUAUACUUUACCUUGAGUAGGUAACCAGAGUUAUGUGACAGAGUAUUUGUAUGCUAUAUGUAUGUUAUGUGUUGUACUGCAUUAUUUCUAUGUGAUUUAUGUUGUGCAUGUUUAUAGAGUUGGAACCGGAAGGUUCCCAGAGUUAGAACCAGAGGGUUCACAGAGUAGGGUCUACGGACCCACAGAGUUAUAGCCUCGAGUGGCUAAUAUGUGUUAUGUGUGGUAUUUUGGGGAACUCACUAAGCUUUAUGCUUACAGUGUUGGUGUUAUUUGUUUCAGGUACUAGUGAUGACCGUGGGAAGGCGCCGACUUGAUCAGUACACACACACGGGAUUUUUAUGUCAUCAGAUCUUGGGAUUUUUAUAUAGCAUGGAAUGAGUUUCAAACAUUAUGUUUUAUGAAUGUUAAACAAUUUGUGCUUUUAUGAAAUGCAAAAAAUUGUUUUGAAAUUUACGGUCUUACAAGUUGGUAUCAGAGCCUUGGUUUGAGGGAUUCGGGUGCACCUACAGGCAUAUCUAAACUCAAACUGAGGAUUUGAGAGAUUUUUUUUAAAAUAAAACAAGGUUUUAUAAAAGGGUGAAAAGUUUUGAAAAAAGCAGAACAGAGAAGUGUGUACAAUCAACCAGCGCCUGAACGAGGAUUUCCUAAAAUANUGGUGAUGCGUUGUUGUUCUGAGAGUUCAACAACACAAAACCACUGGAGUUUGAUGGGACUCAGGACCUGGUGGCGGCUAUGAGAUGGAUUUCUAACAUAGAGGGGUGUUUCUUCACUUGCUCAUCUCCUGAGCAUUUGAGAGUACGGUUCGCGCUGAACCAGCUUCGCUUGGGAGCGAANUGUGAGUAUACUCGAAUGGAUUCUAAUUUAUCGUAUGUUAAAUUUCAGAGGUAGAUGAUGGUGAGGACACGUCUUAUGCCUUAGAGUAGUGGGGCCAGUGAUGAGGAGAUCCGCCGGAUCAUCCAUGAGGAAGUGGUUGCGGCCAUCAGGGCAGAGAUACCAGAGAUGUUCGGGUCUAUUAAGACCAGGUUGAUUGAGACCUUCGACGAGCGUUAUGCCGCUCUUUCUGAGGCUACUGUUGCAGCGGNNNNNNNNNNNNNNNNNNNNNNNNNNNNNNNNNNNNNNNNNNNNNNNNNNNNNNNNNNNNNNNNNNNNNNNNNNNNNNNNNNNNNNNNNNNNNNNNNNNNNNNNNNNNNNNNNNNNNNNNNNNNNNNNNNNNNNNNNNNNNNNNNNNNNNNNNNNNNNNNNNNNNNNNNNNNNNNNNNNNNNNNNNNNNNNNNNNNNNNNNNNNNNNNNNNNNNNNNNNNNNNNNNNNNNNNNNNNNNNNNNNNNNNNNNNNNNNNNNNNNNNNNNNNNNNNNNNNNNNNNNNNNNNNNNNNNNNNNNNNNNNNNNNNNNNNNNNNNNNNNNNNNNNNNNNNNNNNNNNNNNNNNNNNNNNNNNNNNNNNNNNNNNNNNNNNNNNNNNNNNNNNNNNNNNNNNNNNNNNNNNNNNNNNNNNNNNNNNNNNNNNNNNNNNNNNNNNNNNNNNNNNNNNNNNNNNNNNNNNNNNNNNNNNNNNNNNNNNNNNNNNNNNNNNNNNNNNNNNNNNNNNNNNNNNNNNNNNNNNNNNNNNNNNNNNNNNNNNNNNNNNNNNNNNNNNNNNNNNNNNNNNNNNNNNNNNNNNNNNNNNNNNNNNNNNNNNNNNNNNNNNNNNNNNNNNNNNNNNNNNNNNNNNNNNNNNNNNNNNNNNNNNNNNNNNNNNNNNNNNNNNNNNNNNNNNNNNNNNNNNNNNNNNNNNNNNNNNNNNNNNNNNNNNNNNNNNNNNNNNNNNNNNNNNNNNNNNNNNNNNNNNNNNNNNNNNNNNNNNNNNNNNNNNNNNNNNNNNNNNNNNNNNNNNNNNNNNNNNNNNNNNNNNNNNNNNNNNNNNNNNNNNNNNNNNNNNNNNNNNNNNNNNNNNNNNNNNNNNNNNNNNNNNNNNNNNNNNNNNNNNNNNNNNNNNNNNNNNNNNNNNNNNNNNNNNNNNNNNNNNNNNNNNNNNNNNNNNNNNNNNNNNNNNNNNNNNNNNNNNNNNNNNNNNNNNNNNNNNNNNNNNNNNNNNNNNNNNNNNNNNNNNNNNNNNNNNNNNNNNNNNNNNNNNNNNNNNNNNNNNNNNNNNNNNNNNNNNNNNNNNNNNNNNNNNNNNNNNNNNNNNNNNNNNNNNNNNNNNNNNNNNNNNNNNNNNNNNNNNNNNNNNNNNNNNNNNNNNNNNNNNNNNNNNNNNNNNNNNNNNNNNNNNNNNNNNNNNNNNNNNNNNNNNNNNNNNNNNNNNNNNNNNNNNNNNNNNNNNNNNNNNNNNNNNNNNNNNNNNNNNNNNNNNNNNNNNNNNNNNNNNNNNNNNNNNNNNNNNNNNNNNNNNNNNNNNNNNNNNNNNNNNNNNNNNNNNNNNNNNNNNNNNNNNNNNNNNNNNNNNNNNNNNNNNNNNNNNNNNNNNNNNNNNNNNNNNNNNNNNNNNNNNNNNNNNNNNNNNNNNNNNNNNNNNNNNNNNNNNNNNNNNNNNNNNNNNNNNNNNNNNNNNNNNNNNNNNNNNNNNNNNNNNNNNNNNNNNNNNNNNNNNNNNNNNNNNNNNNNNNNNNNNNNNNNNNNNNNNNNNNNNNNNNNNNNNNNNNNNNNNNNNNNNNNNNNNNNNNNNNNNNNNNNNNNNNNNNNNNNNNNNNNNNNNNNNNNNNNNNNNNNNNNNNNNNNNNNNNNNNNNNNNNNNNNNNNNNNNNNNNNNNNNNNNNNNNNNNNNNNNNNNNNNNNNNNNNNNNNNNNNNNCUCCAGAGAUGCAAGAGUUAUCCUCGCAGCUUCAGGAGCUGCUGGGGAAGGGGUUUAUUCGGCCGAGCAGCUCGCCGUGGGGAGCGCCUAUCCUGUUUGUCAAGAAGAAGGAUGGUUCACAUCGGAUGUGCAUUGAUUACCGGGAGUUGAACAAGCUGACGGUCAAGAACCGUUACCCGUUGCCGAGGAUCGACGGUUUGUUCGAUCAGUUACAGGGAGCAUCUUGGUUCUCCAAGAUCGAUUUGAGGUCUGGAUAUCAUCUGGUGAGGGUGCGAGAUGAGGACGUCCAUAAGACAACGUUCAGGACGCGUUAUGGGCAUUACGAGUUUAUGGUGAUGCCUUUCGGGCUCACCAAUGCCCCGGCAGUGUUCAUGGAUCUCAUGAACCGAGUUUGCAGGCCGAUGCUGGAUCGGUCGGAGAUUGUAUUCAUCGACGACAUUUUGGUAUAUUCGAGAUCUAGAGAGCAGCAUGAGGAGCAUUUGAGGGAGAUUCUCGGAGUUCUGAGAUCGGAGAGGCUUUAUGCCAAAUUAUCCAAGUGUGAUUUUUGGUUGUGGGUGGUCCAGUUCCUAGGACAUCUCGUUAACCAGAAAGGGAUAUUGGUCGACCCGGCCAAGGUUGAGGCGGUGAUGAGCUGGGAGGUGCUGAGGUCACCCUCCGAGAUCAGGAGUUUCCUAGGGUUGGCAGGUUAUUAUCGAAGAUUUAUCAAGGAUUUCUCUAAGAUCGCAGUGCCACUCACCAGGUUAACCCGGAAGGGUGUCGGUUUUUCAUGGGGCCCCGAGCAGCAGGCCUCGUUUGAGACGCUUCGCCAAAGGUUAUGCGAAGCCCCGGUGUUAGCCCUUCCGGAAGGAAUGGAGGACUUUGUGGUAUACUGUGAUGCAUCGAUUUUGGGGUUGGGAGCGGUGCUGAUGCAGGGAGGGCAUGUGAUAGCAUAUGCAUCGAGGCAGCAGAAGCCUCAUGAGACGAGAUAUCUCACGCAUGAUCUAGAGUUGGGGGCAGUGGUGUUCGCCCUCAAGAUUUGGCGUCACCACCUGUAUGGGGUUCGGUUUACGAUAUACACGGACCAUAAGAGUUUGAAGUAUUUGAUGGAUCAGCCCAACCUAAAUAUGCGAUAGAGAAGGUGGUUGGAUGUGGUCAAGGAUUAUGAUUGUGAGAUCCUGUACCACCCAGGCAAGGCUAAUGUUGUGGCCGAUGCACUGAGCAGCAGGGCGAAGAGCACCCCGCUGCGGGAUGUACCUUUGAGAUUGACCGUGAUAGCUCCAGUGUUGGACGCCAUUCGUGGGGCACAGGCUGAGGCUGUGCAGCCUGAGAUGCAGACGAAAGAGCGAGUUGUUAGAUUGAUUUUAGAGUUCGUUACCGAUGGUCGGGGGCUUAUGACAUUCCAGGGACGUAUCUGGGUGCCGUUUGUGGGAGGAACGCGUACCAUUUUGAUGGAAGAGGCUCAUCGGUCGAAAUUUUUGAUCCAUCUUGGGGCCACUAAGAUGUAUUUGGACCUGAGGAAAGAGUAUUGGUGGCCCUGUAUGAAGAGGGAUGUUGCGUGGUUUGUUGAGAGGUGCUUAACCUGUCGUAGGGUUAAAGCCGAGCACCAGAGACCGCAUGGUAAGUUGCAGCCGUUGGAGGUUCCCGAAUGGAAGUGGGAACAGAUCACCAUGGAUUUUAUCACCAAAUUGCCAAGGACUGCUAGGGGAGUUGAUGCAAUUUGGGUGAUUGUGGACAGGUUGACGAAGAGCGCUCACUUUCUUGCUAUCAGCGAGAGUUCUUCAGCAGAGAAAUUGGCAGAGGUGUACGUGAGGGAAGUGGUAUCUCGGCAUGGGGUGCCGAUCUCGAUUGUUUCAGACCGAGAUGUGCGUUUCACUUCCAGAUUCUGGAAGAAGUUUCAUGAGGAGUUGGGUACUAGGCUGCAUUUUAGUACCGCAUAUCACCCCCAGACAGACGGACAGAGUGANAUGUGUUGCACUACGUUAUUCUAUGUGAUUUAUGUUGUGCAUGUUACAGAGUUAGAACCGGAAGGUUCACAGAGAUAGAACCUGAGGGGUCACAGAGUUUGUGUGCACGGACCCACAGAGUUAUAGCCUCGAGUGGGUAAUAUGUGUUAUAUAUGGUAUUUUGGGGAACUCACUAAGCUUUGUGCUUACAAUGUUAUGUGUUAUGUGUUUCAGGUACUAGUGAGGAUCGCGGGAAGGCGCCGGCCUGAUCAGUACACACACGGGAUUUUUAUGUUAUGAGAUCUUGGGAUUGAUAUAUGUUAUGAAUUGAGUUUUAAACAAUGAUGUUUUUAUGAGUAAUGAAUGAAUUAUGUUUUAUAAAAUGCGAAGCAUUGUUUUGAAAUUUACGGUGUUACAUACCGUUAAGUGAGGGGCAUUUUCGUCAUUUCAAUACCCAAGGACCAUUUAUGAGGUUUUCUCUUAUUUUAAAUAAAAAUAAAAAUAAAAUGUAAUAUGUAAAGGGUCCCACUCUCUCUCUCUCUAUCUCUCUCAUGGUGAAGAAAACUAAAUCACCACCACCACUGGAAGUAUGCAAAACCACCACCUGAAAUCAACCACCAGUCGACUUUCCUGCCCACCUUUAACAACCAAUAUCACUAACCACUGGUAAACCACCACAACUAACCAACCACAUCAAAUCCGAAUGAAAUUCAAAUUUAAAAUAAAACAAAUCAAAACAAAACCUAGAAAUCAAACCUAAAACUCAAAUUCGAAAAUCAUAUUAGAACCAAAACAUUCAAAUCUAUUGAAACCAUCGUACUUAACCACCACUACAACCGAUAGUCUACACCACCACUAGAAAUGGACCACCAUUGUCACCCUUUUACCCUCUAACCUCACAUGUUGUACUGUAUUCAUCACCAUACCCAUCACAGCCUACACAAUCAAGCUUUACACCACUUCUCACCACCAGUCGACAGCUGCACUCUCCUCCCGUCACCAGAGCUGAUUCAAACACUCAGAUCUAGAGAAUGCAGCGGUAAUAAGAGAUCAGAUUCCUUGCAUAAAAUUCAUCAUGUUCUGAAACCCUAUUAAAGCAUCAACUUCGAUAAAUCCUAUUGAACCACUGGUAACAAAAUCAAGGAUGUUCGCUUUCGUCUUCAGUGUGAUGGAGACUCGAUUAAAGCAACAAUUCUGAAACAAUCAACUUUUGGGAUUUUUAUUGAUUCAAUUCCAGUGGGGGUCGAUUUGGGAUUUUUCUAAAAACUAAACCUUCAAAUAUAUUGAAACCAUCAUCUCUAGUAUGAAAUCGAGAAGGAGAUGGGCGUCAAUGAUGCAAUAGGAACCUACAAAUCCUGAUUUAGCAUUAGUGUCUCAGACAACUUUGAGUUAAGAUGGUGAAGGUUUCUAGAUCAGAAUCAAAAAUCAGAUGGUGGUCGGAGGCGACUACAAGGCCUCUAAAGAAUUGAAUGUAGAUUGUGAGUGAGAAAGAACAAAUAUAAUGCUAUGGAAUGCAGAUUGUGAAGAAGAAUUAAAAUGGGAUUUGGAAUUGAAGCUCCCUACUUGAUGUAGAUUGUGAAGAAAUGGGAUUUGGAAUCUGUCGAUCAGAGAAUAAGAAAUGAAUGAGGGCAAAAAACAGUUCAAGGGUAAUUGGGGUAAUGCUUCUUAAGAGAGAGAGAGAGAGAGAGAGAGAGAAAGGGACCCUUUAUAUAUUAAAUUUGAUUUUUUAUUUUUAUUUAAAAUAAGAGAAAACCUCAUAAAUGGUCCAUAGGUAUUGAAAUGACAAAAAUGCCCCUCACUUGACGGUAGAAAGCAGACGGAGUUAGACGUAAGGACUAAACAUUAAAAGUUGUGAAGCCACAGGGACUAUCCGUGAGGUUAUUGAAAAUUAGGGACCAAAAUUCAGAUUUUCGGAAAUCACAGGGACCAUUUAUGAAGUUUUGUCUAAAUUUAAUUAGUUGAAUCAUUGGUUUUCUCACUUGGCUUGUUUGGUGCAGAUCAAAUGGCAGACUUGAAAUUUUCUGACAAUCACAACAUUGUCGCUUUUCUGUUUGAUCCACCAGCUGCACACCAGGAUUUCAAGUCCUUGAUUCACGGACUCAAGCGUUAUAGUCUUACACAUGCUUUCAUGACAAAUCCCAUUAUUUGUUAAGACCUGAUCAAGAAAUUCUAGAAUAAAGCUUCAGUACAUAAAAGGGAAGAUAUUGAACACACUGUGGAAUCAGUAAUAAAUGGAAAGAAGAUUGUGGUAUCUAAACAAAUCAUUAGGGAGGAAUUAUAGAUCAAUAACCAGCCUGGGUUUCCUACUGAGAUCUCCAUGGAACAAACUGAAGAAAUCGUUGAAAGGAUGGGAUAUGAGGGAGUGUUUCCACCAAACAUAAAGAAGUUGUUGCCUCCUUAUUGGCAUUUUCUGGCUCACUCCUUCAAUAUUUGCAUAUCAAGCAGGAAAGCAGGUGCUGAUGAGAUCUCUUUGCUAAACACUAGUGUCAUUGCUGCCCUUGCUACGGGUCUUGAUUUCAACAUUUCCAAAUACAUUUUGAACGAGAUGGUGAGCAAUGUGGAAGGGAAGAGGAAAUAUAAACUUUUUAUGUUCCCGAGGUUUCUAUAAAUGAUUUUUGACAACAAAUAUCCAGAACUAGAAAGAAGAGGAGAAACUUUAGACUUGAAAUCCUUGAGCGCAAAUACUUUCAGGAUGAUGAAGCAAAAUAGGAAAGGUAGAAAAUAUGAGUUCAAAGGAAAAUAUCCUCUUGAAAAAUUUGGCCAGUUUGCAGAGAUGAAUGAUGAACUGAUUCAAAAAGCUCAUAUGAAGAUAACGAUGUUGAAGACGAUGUUAUCACAGCCUCAGAACAUGAAGAAGAAUGUGUUCCUCCUGUUGCAAUCAUUGUUGAGGAAAAUGUACCAACAGUCAAUGUAGAAGGGGAUGAUGAUGAUGAGGAUAUGGAUAUGGAUAUGGGUGGUGACCUCCCCGGUUAUGACAAUGAUGAUUUAUUUUUUGGUUUUGAGCAGGGUCAUGAUAUAAGGCUAAGCAGUGAAGACCUUGAUACUUUCUUUGACGAUGUCAAUGAUGUUGCACAAACUGCAACGGAGACAAGGGGAACUGAUGAUGUUCUCAAAGUGACGCCUCCUACUUCUACUCAGAUGGUCGAUACUUCACCGAAUCUGGAUACAACUUCAAGGAUUCCUCCCUUCCAGUUGCUAUUCCAACAUCUUUGUCGUCUAAAAGUGAUCUCAUUUUGACACAAGCCUCCCAGCCUCCAAUCAAACAUACAAAAGAUGAUCCUAGGCCGGGAGUGCUACUCAGGGAAGAAGUGUCGCCUGUCCAACAAUCCACUACUGCUGCAACAACAACCCAACCGACCCCUGAAUAAAGUCAUGUUAUGAAUGAAGGUCCAAGUGUUGUUCGAUCUUUCUACGAAGAGGGGAGCUCUUCAGCUCUAGGGGGUCCUCUCCACCAUUAAAUGCGCAUGAUGCUGGCUCUAAGAGGCUUGCCAGGUUUUUGGUGCAACAAGAUUUAGACCCUUCAAUCCGAGCCAAUGUAUAUCCAUCAGUGAAGGAAGUUCAGGGGGAGCAUACCCAUCGAUCUUAGAACUUAGUGUAGAGAUUAGAGUAUUGAACCAGAAGAUUAUCGAGAAGGAUGUUCUGAUUGGAGAUCUUGACAUUCGAUUUUCUGAGAUUGAUGAAGAGAACUCUUUGAAAUCAAAACAAAUAUCUGCUAUAUAGCUCAACCUUGGAGCCUUGUCAACUGGCUACUUUGACUUGAAGAAAAAACUUAUUGCAGAAUUUUUUGAUAAGUUGAAACUUCUAUCGACAAUCCAAGUGUCUGAGACUUCUCAACGUGCCCAUGCCGAUACAUCUCAACCAUACAUGUUUGAUGAUCCUCCACCAGUCAGAACCACAAGAAUCGUUGACCAUUUUGAGAAAGAACCGGAGCAAGCCAAUCCAAGAGUUACAAUCAAAAUAGCUAGGAAUCAGGUUCCUUCACAGAAGAAGGGAAGGUGGCUCUUCAUGAAGAACUCUAAUCAAAAUCUUUAUGGAGACCAGCCUCUACUAACGGUGACUAAGCUCGACAAGAAGCGGUUCAAACACAAAUAUGGUGACCGAUCAAGGAUUCGUAAGUGGGGAUUUCAUGACACACUUAACUGCUGGUUGGUGAAGCAAAAAAGUAAUAAUGUGGAGUUCUACAAGGAAAAGAAUGAUUUUUGUUCCUUUACAAUGGUGGACCUCACUGAGCUUUCUGAAGCUCCAUUCUCCAACCCUUCUAAUGAUCCCCGUGGAACUGAUUUUAAACUCUUCUUGGAAAAUCAAGUUAAGAGACAAUUUGACGGGAUGAGGACCGUUGAAUCUUUAUUGAAGAAAGCCAAAGAUGUGUUUGACCCUAACAUUAGCAACACCUUCAAGAAUGUAAUGUGGUCUCCAACGAAGCAAAUGACAAAGAUUCCCAUUGUCAAUAACUUUUGUGAUGGUUCGCUACGCAACAUGCAGUACUGGGUUUUCGAUGAAGCCACAACUACUGCUAUAAUAAAGUUCAAAGAUGGUGUCUUCCGUCUCAUUGAUAAGAAGGACCUGUUUCAGAUUGGUGAAAGGGACAUCCACACUUUGGUUGCACAUUAGAUUAUAUGCGAUCAGGAGAUCAUGGAGGUUGCUGUCAGGGAGUUCACAAGCAUGAUAGCGGAGAUCAUUGAAAAGAAGAUGUGGAUAUGUUCAAUGGGAAGAUCAGAGGUGCUGAUGAUCGAGAAAGACUAAAGUUAUGCUAGCCUCAAACCAAGGGGGAGACUGUUAGGUCACAUUUUCUUGGUUUGGGCUAGGCAUCUAUCUGUAUGAGUCUUAUCUGUUUAUGUCAUGUAUUUAGUGAUUUACGGUUGGGUGAGUGUUUGCGGUCGUGAACCCAUUUGCGGUCCACUGUUCCUAUAAAUAGGUGUCAGUCUUGUCAGUCAUGCUAUCGGUUGUAUGUGUGUGUUCCUAUGUACCAGACAUUUACGGUCAUCUAUAAACAUAUGCUUUUUGGAAUUCUGUUGCUUCUACUACUUCUUGUGCUUAUUGAUCUUAGGUUGUUCUUGUGUUUGAUCACUGGUUGGAUCUGGACUUGUGGACUUACAACACUAGAGCAGGCAAGGAGUUCACUAGGAACGUACCUAGCAGAGGCAUAUAUACAAGCAUAACAUAAAACAUAAUCAACAAGAUAAGGGAUAGAAACACACUAGUCACCACAUAUGGUGUUGCUCUUGCCUCCUCGGCGGUGAGGUGAAAAUCACGACCUCGAGCCCUCAGGGGCUCCGUCCUCCCUUGUUGUCCAUCGGUGAUCCUAAAGGUAGCUGGCGGUGAGGCCUGUGUUGACUUGGCAGGGAGAAAUGGGCAGUUGACCAUCACAUGGCAAACCUGAUCAAAAUGAUAGCAAAUCCUGGAACUUAGCGUUGGGGUUGGCUGACAAGAAUACCUAGCAUAAUUCCCCUCCUUGACACAUGUGUGCCACACACAUCCUGAUCGGCAAACCCCGUCAUGAACCAUACCGCACUUCCCACAAGUGCGGCCUCUCUGACUCCUAGAUCUAGAAUCAGCAGCCUUGAACCGCUUCGGUGCCAGCUACGACUGUGUCAGGGUCGGUCUCUUCUCUCUCAGCUUGAGGUCUAUCUCAAGCUCACACUGCCUAGCGGCCUCCUACAGCUUCAAAAAAGAAUCAUAUCACUGGGUGGAAAGAAAUUUCCUGAUAUCCGUCUUCAGCAUGAUCAAGUAACGGGUCAUCCAAGCCUACUCAAAAGGAAACAAAGGACAGAACAUGGCCUUUUCCAUAAACAUCUUGGUGAUCUCUUUCACCGACUCAGCCCCUGCCUCAGAUCCAAACACUCAUGGGCCAAACUCUCAUUCUUCAUCUGCGUCACAUAUCGGGUAUGAAACAUCUAUGAGAACUACUCCCAGGACACAUCAGCUCUCUGCUCAGUAGAAUAUCAUCCCGUAACAAGUCUAUACAAUUCCUUCGCUCAUGACCUCAAAAGGUUCAGAGCACACCUAACCUUAUGGUUAGCUAGGCAAGAGCAGGUGAAAAAGCAUCCGUCAACAUCAGAUAGCCACCUCAUGGCUACGAUCAGGUCUUGAACUCCAUCGAAAGUAAGGAGCUUCUUAUUGUUAAAGUCCUGAUACUUACAAACACACCCAUCACCAAUCCCAACAACCGCAAGGGCUGCGUUGGUUGCAGAAACAACAGCCUCAGAUAGAGCUGCAUAUAUGUAAUCAAAGAACUCCAUCAUCGAGGUCUUGAUAGACCCUAAAAGCUUUGGUAUCUUCCCCCGGACAAUCAACACAACCUCCUCAUCGAUAAUCUCUCUGAUACGGUCCUAUAACAUAUCUAACCCACCCUGACUGCUAACUCCCGAUCUUGACAAGGAUCCAACCUCAAAUCACCUCGUAGUCACCAUACUGAAAGCAAACAAGGGAGAUAUUAGAUAACAUGCAUAUGAUAAAAGGGGAACCAACUCCCAAAAAAUCCCUACAUGUUGUGAUUUCUCUGAUAUGCAUACGGGUCUUGUACUUUCAGUAAUACGAGCCCAUACUACCUUCCAUGCCUACCCGUAGUUGUCUCGGAGGAUCAUCAUAACAACCCAAACAAUAUAUUGUACACUAACGUACUCAUGCACUCUAUCCUCACUUCCUAGAGGAAGGAUACACUUAUCACGACUGGACGGCUGACCCCACAUAACUCAUCCUACCACCAACUUCCACACGAACCUCCAUUGGUGCAAGAUAACUAUCGCAUGAACACUAUCACAUACCACACAUCUUAAACAAUCUUAGUCUAAAUGAUUCAAUCCUAUAACGGUUGAACUCAGACAAGAGCUUCACAUCAGGAACAAACUCCUUACCCUAAGACCAUUUAACUCAUGCAGUAUGUGACUUCGUGUAUUCAUUUAAUACUUAGUUCACACAAAAAAGAGUCAUACAAUAAUCAAUAAGGUAUUAUGCAAGAGAUACGGCAUCAUAUAUCAGGAAAUUCUAUCAUACAAUUCAUGAAGAUCCCUAUCCUAAUACUACCAUGUUGUUCUGUCAUAACAUAACAUAAUCUCAAAUAACCGUGUGGUAAUUCGGGGUCUACUUACUGGCUCCAGAUGAUUGUACACUUUGCAUCCUCCUCAGUUAUUUGAAAAACCAUUUGAAAAUUGUAUUAAAAAUCUUUUCCAUAGUUUGAGACUAGAUUCACGUGAGUGUUCCUCCAAUUCACUCAAACCAAGGCUCUGAUACCAACUUGUAACAACCAUAAAAUUCAUGAAAAAUUUAAACUUUUUUAAACAAGCCAAAAACCACAAUUGUUUACAAAAUAGUUUUCCAAAACAUGUCAAAUAUCAGAGUUUGCCCAAAAUCACAAAAUCAAACACGAGGAGGUGCACAAUCAAGCCUUCGCCUUUAUGCGAUCCUCUAAAGUACGUGAAACAUAACCCUAAACUGUAAGCCCAAAGCUUAAUGAGUUUCCCCAAAGUACCACCACAACACAUAAUCAUAAAUAUCAUAGCAAAAAGCAUGCAUAUAGAACCUUUAAUAUGUAUGGACAGCUGCAUCGGGCCUUCAACCUGUCUAGACCGUUCUUUGGGCCUUCAGUCUAACUGUUACGCCUCAUAGGCCUUCAUUCUCUCUGGACCACCCUAGGUCUCUUGGCGUUCUACACACAACAGGACCGCCGCCACCCAACCCACCAUCACAUAUCAACAUAUAACAUAAUCAACCAUAGCUAGUAUAUACAAGCAGUCACGCAGAUCUAAUAGAUCACUAUAGCAUAGCAACAUCCUAUCUACCAAGAUAUUGAUCUAACAGAUCACUACAACAUAGCAAGCAUACGAUAAACCAAGAUAACAAUCCAAAGUGUCGACAUUGGUGCCUUCGACCCGAGAGUACAGUGAGGACAACUUACCUUGCAAACUGAAUAGAAAUGAUGUGGCCCGACUCCAAAUCUUAGCUCUCUCUACACGAUACCUAAUUCCACCAAAUGACCAAGUUCCAUAAGAAUCCCAAAAUACCCAAAAUGCCCUCAGGGUCAAACUUGGUUAAAGUCCAAGUCAAUUGGUCAAACUUACUAAACCAACUGAGUCAACCUAGCCGACUCGACCAAACCGAUUCAACCGAACUAGGGCUGACUCAGGAGAGUACGUUGGGCGUAACUCAGAGGUACGCUAAGCGUGCAUGAAGCCUCGCAUUGACGAGCUUACGGGGUGGCUAAUCGAGUACACGGGACGUACUCACACCUACGUGGGGUGUACCCUCGCAACCCUUAAAUUCUUAUUAAGUGCUUAAUGGCUUAUGCACUUAAGCCCAUACUUUAGAUCUACGGUCCAAAUACACCCUUAGGUUAUAAAGUAUCAAACUUUAUGACUUUGCACAUCCUUAAAGUCCUUAACACAUGGUAUUAAUCCAUUAAGACCUUCUAUAAGAUGCAUGAAGGAAACUAGCUAAAGGGAACUCAUUUUUAUGGCUUAGGACCCCUCCCAGGGUCUGGAUGGACAGCUCAAAACGAUUACAACUCAAGAUGCAUAAAAUUGGAACCUUUGGGACAAGAAAGGCAACAUAAAUCUCCCAAGAUGAGAUCUAUACAAACAAAGAAUCAAGGUGAAGACUUUUUACCUCCUAGAACUUCUUGGGAAGGCAAUGAACUCAGACCCACAAGCUAUCUUCCACUUCUAUGCUCCUUUAUGCAACUUCUGCUUCCUUAACCACACCAAAAACACACUUAUGAGCACAAAUGCACUCUAAAGGGGCUAAGGUUUUCCAAAAACGGCUCUAAGGGUAUGGAAGCUGAAAAGGUGGGGAGGAAUGAACCAUAAUGAUGCUUAUAUACCACCUAAACCCUAAAAAUUAGGGUUUUCUCCUGACAAGAGCGCACACAGCGUACAUAAGUCCACGCGCAUCGUACUAGGGCGCUUCCUUGUAUGCUCAUCGUACCCUUGUGUACGCUUAGCAUACUCAACCUGGUUAAAUUACAACCCUCCCAUUAGGGCUUCAGGCUCAUACACAUGGACUUAGGGACAAAAAUGUCAUAAGAUAAAAUUAUAGGGAUGAAUUUAGAAAUAGUUGAAUCUCGGGAUGUUACACCUCAUUCAUUUUAGGGUUAUUCCCUCGAUACCGCAACUCAAAUUGUAAACAUGGUCCCAACUAAAAAGGUUAGUAAGACCUUUUAUGAGUUAUGGCAUGGAAAAUUUCCAUAAAUGUCUUAUUUAAAGAUAUGGGUUGGUGAAGCAUAUGUUAGAAAUAAAUACUUCUUACAAGCUUGACCCCAUAUCUCAAAAGUGUAUAUUUGUGGGAUACACAAAGAAAACCAUGGGAUAUUACUUCUUUUAGAGAGAAAAGAAUUGCAUGUUUAUAGCCCGAAAAGCAAUGUUUCUUGAACCUAACUUUACAUUGCAUAAAGCAAGUGGGAUCCCUAUUAAUUUCAAAGAAAUACGAAAAACAUAACCUUUAGUCAAGAAAGAUAAUCAACAAAGCAAUUUUAAACAUGAAAUUAUUGUUCAAAUGUUGGAAACCACACCAACUGUACGACACUUAAGUAGACCUCAUUAGGAACUUGAUAGAUUUGAACUUGUCAUUCUUGUAGAGGAAGUCUUCAUCAUGGAUCAAUUUGAACCCAUCAAUUUCAAAACAGCUACUACAGACCUAGAGUCCGAUAAAUAGCAUGAAGCCAUUAGAGCUGAAAUCCAGUCCAUGAAUGACAAUCAAGUAUGUGACUUGGUUGAAUUAUCUCUUAACAGUAGGUUUGUUAGAAGCAAGUGGAUCUUCAAGAAGAAGAUCGACAUGAACAAGAAUGUACAAAUAUUCAAGGCAGGACUUGUCGCAAAAGAGUAUACUCAAAUUGAAGGUGUUGACUAUGAAGAAACUUUCUCAACAAUUGCUAAGAUUAAAUCUAUUAGGAUUAACAUGGCUACAGUUUCAUAUUACGACCAUGAGAUAUGGAAAAUGGAUGUCGAAAUGGCUUUCAUUAUCCGAUAUCUUGAGCAAGAUGUUUAUAUGGAACAACCUGAAGGUUUUUUCAACCCAUAUACCCUAAAGAAGGUGCGUAAAUUGAAGAAGUCCAUUUAUGGAUUAAAGCAAGCAUCUAGAGCCUUCUAUGAUCGUUUUACUGAUAAUAUUAAAAAUUAUGGCUUCUUAAAAAGUCCUAAUGAACAAUGUGUAUACAUCAAAGCAAGUGGUAGCCAAAUGUUUUUUCUAGCUCUGUAUGUCGAUGACAUAUUACUGACUGGGAUAGAUAACCCAACAUUGAAAGAGACUAAGGCAUAUGUUAGUAAUUCCUUUCAAAUGAAAUAUCUAGGGAUGUUGCAUACAGACUCAGUAUUAGGAUCUAUAAAGAUUGAUCCCAAAGGCUCAUUAGUCUGAGUCACGGUAUAUACGUGGACAAUGUCUUAAAGCACUUUUCAAUGGAUAACUCAAAACUAUUAAUUAUACCAAAACCACCUGGAACAAUUAUUUCUAAGGCAAAAUAUUCUAGUAUUGAUAUUGAUAUCAAAAGAAUGUGUCAAGUAUUGUAUGCUUCAACAAUAGGUUCAAUUAUGUAUGCUAAGACAUGUAUAAGGCCAAAUAUAGCUUAUGUUAUUAUUUUCCCUUGUAGAUAUCAAGCUAAUCAAGGUGAAAGUAUUGGAUGCUUGUAAAGAACAUACUUAAUUAUUAAGAAGGACUAAAGGCAUGUUCCUAGCUAGUUUUUAGAGGAGUUAAGGAAGAGAUUGUUGUAAGAUGUUACACUGAUGCUAGGUUCGACCUGUAUCGAGAUAACUCAGGAUCAAAGUUGGGAUACGUUUUCACACUAAAUGGAGGAGACAUUUCAUAGAAAAGUUCAAAGAAAGAAGUGGUCACACUAUCUAUAACAUAAUCUGAGUAUAUAGUUGUGUCUGAGGCAUCUCAUAAAGUUAAUUGGAUACAGAGUUUUCAUUGGUGAUCUAGAUUUUCUUCCAAGAAUAUAAAAUUCCAAUGAAAUUCUUUGUUACACACUAGCGUUAUCGUUAUCACAAGAGUCCCGAUGGUUACCAACAAGACUAGACACAUUUAAUAGAAAUUCAACUUCAUUCUUCAAGAAAUGGAUUUGGGAAGUAUACACAUUGAGAAGGUUUAUACAACUAAUAAUAUAGCAGAUCCGUUCAUGAAGCCUCUUUCUCAAAACAAGCUUGAGAGUCAUGCAUAAUGAAUCGGUCUUCGAUCAACUUCAUACUAUUUAGAAAUGAUAUGAAAUCAAUUUUGACAUGUUAGAUAUCUUUUUUGUGUUAGUGUUAUUGUAUUCUAUAUAAGCAUGCUAUUUAAUCCUUGAAUAAUGUCAUCACUCAAAAUUGUCCAUAGUAAGUCAUUGUUGUGGGAGUAACUAUGAAUUAAGACUAAUAUGAAUCAGAUUGGUUGAUUUCAGGUGGUGAAAUAGCAAAGUGUAGCAUCCAAAUUCAUAUGUACUUGUUAGGGAACAACUACUGUAUAUGACUUGGAUCAAGAAUCACUUCAUGGAUAGUUAUCAUAAGUGAAUCGUGAACGUUGGUAAAUAUCUUUACAUGUUUCGACCUGAGAUACAUAUUGGAGAACUCAAGUAUGGAAAUUUUUAUACUUUGACAUGGUUAAACUUUAUUUGUAACUAUGCAUCCAUAAAAGUGUUUGUUAAGUAUGACAUGAACUUAUAUAAGAGUGUGUAUGUAGUCAGGAUGGGAUUUGUUCCUCUUAUGCAUUGAGAGUUAGACAUCUAAGGCACAUUAUUUAAUCUUAGAUGUCAAAUGAGAAUGAUUAUACUCCAUGUCUCAUAUCUAACAUCAUGUACGAAAAAAAUAGAAUACUGAUACACUUACCUUAUAUUUCAAUUAUAGCUUUCGAUUUCCUAGAAUUACAUAUUGUUUGAGGCAACCCCUUCGUGUGUUGUUAGGGGUAGUAGCCCAUUUUUAGACACCACCUACUAUCUAUGUCAAUCUGUAAUGAAACUUGUGCAAGUGGGAGAUUGUCGGAUCUAUAUGCUUAAGAAUCAUUAGUAAGUGCUAUUUCUAAUAACAUAUGACCCUAUUAGGUCACACCUUAAUCAAGUUGGUACUUAUUAAAUAUUUAUUAAGUAUUUGAUUAUUAAUAGAAAUAUUUAACUUUUGUAUCUAAUUAGAGAAAAAUUAUUGUCUUGAGAAAAUAAUAAUAAUAGAAAGAACAAACUACUUAUUAUAUCAUAUGGUAUGAUUAAUAAGUCAUGUACAAUUUUUUUGGGCACUUUUGUUAACAAUGACUUAACUAGUUAGUCGGUCUUAUUUGGUUGGAGAAACUAGAGGACACCUUUUGUCGUCUUUUGGAGACAUGGCCGAAAUACGAAGUUGCUUGUCUAGUAUGUUUCUCUUGUCUCCCCAUGCCUUUUGAGUUAUGAUAAUUUAGAGUAUUUUAAUGGUUUGACAUUACCUUAAAUGGCAAUAUAGAUGAGAGCCUUAUGCAUGCAAUACUGGAUUACUUUUUUCUCUCUUCUUGAUCACAAAAAGACAUGGAUUUUUACUUCCAAAAACACACUCUCCUUUUCAAGCUAGUUUUUGUUGUUUGGAGCUUCCUUUGUAUCUUCCUUUAGUGCUUAUUUGUUAAGUACUAAAGACUUAAAGGACAAUACAUACACAAGAAGGAAACUAGCACUUCUUUGUACCUUACUCAUGGUAGUGGAUUACUUGUAGAGAAGUUCAAGAUCUUUGUUCUUGCCACCUUCAUCAACACCAAAACUAAGUGGGUUGAAAGGCUCCAAAGGUUUUCAGUAUAAAACACCCUAUGGUUAGUUUUAAUAUCAUUUUAACCUCUCUAAAAGGAUCCUUGGUGCUUUUGUUUUGAAAUAAACUCAAAAAUUUGUAGUAAAUUUUUGAGCUUCUGUUGCCUAGUUUUUAUGAGAAACUCUAUUAUUUUAAGUAUCAAAACCCAUCAACUUGAAAAUAUGGAUUUUAAAUAAUGGUUAAACCCAUUCUUAGAUAUUACUUCAUGGAUUCAAUCACAAAUAAUCCAAAGACGAUAAUAUAUUCUAUUCUUGAAACAAAGAUAUAUAAGUUAUAGUUUGCAAGUCUAUUUUGCAUUGUUUUUGCAUCAACGCAUCCGCAACUAUACGUUAUAAAACAUAAUUCCAUGUAUAGAAUUAUGAGUAAGGGUUAUGAUUAUAUAGUCAAAGUUUAUUCAUUCCUUUUUCCUAUUAAGGAAAAGUGAUAUCUUUAGGUUCUUCGGUGAUUUGAUGUUGACAUUAUAGUGUUGGGCCCAUCUGGUACUAAAUUGAUGUGUUCAAUUAGUAGUCUAAUGACAUCAUCAUAGAUCGGAGAUAAAAAAAUAGAAUCUUGGACCAUGAGAUUGAUUCGCAUUCAUGUCUCAUGGCCAUAAGAUAUCUUGAAGAACAAAGGAAUAGCUUAUCACUUAUCUAAGAGCUAGCAUCAUAUUUGAUCAGAGCUUAGUAGUGGCUUUGGAAAGCACUCUUUACUGGUUAUUGAAAUUCUAUACGUGCAAUUGUAGUUGAAGAAUUAUCCAAGAGGGACACUAUUGGAUUAAGGUGUCUAAAGUCUUAACUAAAUUGGUAAAGUCCUUUUUGGGUUACCCUUAUAACUAGAAAAUAGUUAGGAUUGAAUUUAAGAGAUAAAUAAAAUGGUUUGGUAAUACAAUAUAUGAUUAAUAUAUUAAUUAGAAAUAUUUAAUAAUUAAUUAAGAAGUAACAGAAUUAAUUAGAAAUUAAUUUUGGAUUAAUUAUAAUUAAUUAAGGUUGUAUGGAUUGAAUAUCAACUGUUCAUUAGCCGGACAAGGGUGGCAAUUCUAGAACUUCCCUAUGUUUAGACGGUUUUGAGAUGUUCCAGAUAUAUUAAUGAAGUUUCCAACAGAAGAUAAUGAAACGAAUUUGUAUCGAGAUAAAAUAUUAAUAAUUUACUAUUCAAAUCAGAGUUUCUAGCAUCUAUAAAUAGGAUCCUAACCCUAGCCAAAAUCGCCACCUACACAACACAUAUAGAAUUCAAUUUUCUCCUGUUAUCUUUCUCUGUAUUUUUGAUCCUAGGGUUUGGGUCUGAACCAUUAGAGACAUCCAUAGUACUGGUGCCUCCUUUCAAAGGAAGAAUUCAAGAGGAUUGUUCGCUUUAUUCAAAUAUUGCAAAAGGUGUGUAUUCUAACUAUGCAUUUUUCGAUUUUCAUAGGUUAGAAGAUUGUUUCAUAAGUAUGUUUCUAUAACUUGAGAAAAGUUAUAGUGUUCUAGGUUGCAUGUACCCAUAAUGUGAUUAUGCUUCUAUCGUGCAAUUAUUCUUGUUUGUAACCUAGAAAACCAAUCACAUAGAUGGAGUAAUAAGUUACAUUUGAAUCGAUCCUGUAAUCAUAACUUCUUAAGCUUUCGUUUUUGAUAAGAUAUGUGUAACACCCAACAGUUUUGUUUUGAAAGCCCUUGUAUUAUUUUAAAUAUAUUGUUUUUUGCAUGAUUUGAAAACUUAUUUGGUUUAAUCGUAGCUUUGAAAAAAAGUUUAACAAAUUUGCGAUGUUACAUAAUGAGCUACAGAACCUUCAACAUCCAUAAUAUUCAUAAGUUUCAUACAUUGCAUCAUCUCUUCUUAUACUAUUAUAUUAUUCAAUUAAUAGCCUCCAACACCAUUGACUCUUUCAUCCCUAUUUAGAUGUUCCUUUUUAUCUCCUAUAUUAUUGUUAAUUUUCAUCUCUGAACUGCUUUGAAGACCCUUUGUAUAUAUCUACAUUCACUCAUUUGCACUUUGAGAUUUUCUUUAGCUUGCUCGACUACAUAUUGCAUGGAUUCAACAUUUGCAGCAGUUGAUGAACUUGCAUUAAUAUAAAUGUGGUGACAUGUCAUCUGUCAUGUUUUCAAAAGUGUAGCUUUUAGAAGUUUUGAGUUUUUAAUUCCCCUUCUUAGAUAAUAAGACAUGUAAUCAUUUCAAAAUAAGAAAAAUCAAUGUGAGUUCCUAGCUUACAUCUCCACUUCCGGUGUUAUUAAAUCAAUGGCACUAUAUAAUCUCCUACCAUUUAUCUUUAUUAUCUUUCUUUUUCACUAGAAAGUUUAUUUAAUGCUCAUUAAAGGUGGAACAGUUGAAAUUUGGACUUCAUUAGUAAAUUUCGAUAUAAAAUUUCUAAAUCUAAUAUGCCAUUAUUGGACAGGUUUAGGAUGAGGCACAAAGUUGGGAAAAUCUACAAGAUCUUUAUGAAGUAAAAGGCAAGUUCAUUUGUUACCAUUCUAUCUAUCUCUCUCUCCUCUCUCUCUAUAAUAGUUUCAUAAAAGGCUCUAACAUUGAUAUACUUGUGGGCUUUGAUUAAUUCUAGAAUUUAUGCCUAGUUAGGGAAUGCACAAUCACUUCAAUUACAUAUGAAUGAUAAUCCAGUACCUAUUAACUUUGGAAAAUCCAAGGUUUCUCUAUUUUCAUAUAUUCUUUUCUUUUCAUAAUUAUAUUUCUCUCUCUCUCUCUCUAUCAAUCUAUCUAUCUAUCUCUCUCUCUCUCUCUUUCAUGUAUACCCAUUACAAUGUUUGUUGUAUUUCUAUUUCAGUUGCCUAACAGUCUUGAAAUGGAUAUAGGAAUUAUGUCAUGGGGUUAGAAAACAAUGAUCUAUGUAAUAAGCCAGUACUUAAGUCAAAGCCCUCUUUUCCCUUUGUAGAAGGUAUAGAAGAAGUUCACAUUAAAAUGGAUCUCAUCCAUUUUAUUUAGGUGUGAAAAUUGUAUUAUAAAUAUUUCAAAUUAUAUAUUUCAUCGCCCUUGAAGCAAAGACAGUGUUUUCCAAUUUUCCAUCAUUGUACAAGUGUGUGAUGUACUUGGACAAGAUCGUUUAAUCAAACAUCACAUAAGAGAUGGAAACGAAAUCAUUUCAGUCCUUCAGUUAAUACAUAAUAAAUAUGGCUCAAACCAAGUCAAAUUUGGCACAUUAGAGAAAAAUAUGACUUUACCAUAGAAGUUGAUUAUGCUUGAUCAUUUUGGUUUCAAACGCCUCCAUAAAUUGAUCCAAAUGCUUCAUGCAAAUUUGGAAUCACAGGUGAGUCACUUCUCUAUAAGUAUUCAUUUUAAGAAAAAACACAUUAUUAACUUACUAUUCACAAGUUUGAACAUAUUUUCUUAGAGCCUAUAAUAAUUUUCUAUUUAUAAAUUCACUUAAACACCCUUUUAACACUAUAAGUGCAUUCCUUGUUUCAGGCGACUUGAGGCAAAUAUGCAAUCCUCUCUACCCUUGAACAUUACAUUAAAAAUGUACACAUUCAAGUUUUGGCAAUAUUUUUCAUGUAUUUAGAAGCCCUUAUGUGAUUUUUCUUCUGAUGAUACAAUUAUGUGGUUAGAAAAAUUUGGGAUAUAUGAUUUUACAUUUAUGUUUUUGCAAGUGAUAACUGAUAAUACGUAUUAUCUUUUGAUGUUAAGUUAAUUUGAAUGAUUUUUUUCUAAUUAUCAUUGUGAUAGACAAAAGCUUGGCUUGGUUUUGAUGACAAUUCCAUGUUCAGAAGAUGCUAGGAUGCUAGAUCGACUUACAAAUAUUUAGAAUAAAAGAUGGUCUUGGAGGCUAAAAUGUUGGGCCUAAACUCUACAUUUGGUUUCUUUACCUAUUGUACUCAACAUGCUUACAAGAGACUCAUUGCAUAUGUAUUCCAUUUAUUUACCAUUUGGAAUGAUUAUUUAUAUUGUACAUACUGCAUAUUAUGCAAUGUAUUAUCUCAUUUGUGUAUGAUAUGUUAUUUUGUAUUAUGAAACAUUAAAUAUGAUUUAAUCUUAAUAAUAGUGAAUUUAGAAACAAUAUAUAUUUUAUAAAAUUCGUCAAUCAUGACAUGGAAAAUAUAUAUCAAGAAUUUAAAUAAACAAUUUUCAAACAUUUACGACAUACAAAAGUCGGUUGUAAAUUUAUGUCGUGAAUGUAUGUUGUAAAUAUAUGACACACACACUACAACAAAAUGAAGCUAAUGCAACCCCGCUAAAAUGUUGCAUUAGGCCUUGAAAAAGUUGCAUAGUGCCUAACGCAACCUUUUACCUAAGGUUGCACUAUGUAAAGUUGCAUCAGAUCUAAAGCAACUUUUUUCUUAGUAUAUGCAACCCUUUUUGAAAUAGUUGCAAAUCAUUUUAGAUGCAACUUUUUUUAAUGCGGCAUUCAUUAUGCAAAAGCAACUUUUCUAUGCUUACAUGCAACUUUUUUUAUACUAAGAUGCAACUUUUUGUUAACAAUUUUAGUUACGAAAAUGCAACUUUUUUCUUAAUCAAUUGCAACAUUUAUUAUGUUUUUUGUAAAUAAUUGCAACCUUUGUAUACGCUAUAUGCAACCUUUUUAACAUCUUAAAUUACAAAAAAUUGCAACAUUCUUUACAGUCAAACGCAACUCUAUUUUUGUGAUUUUUCUAACGCCAAUACGACAUCUAAUUUUCCUAGUCAUAUUGACGCUACAUAUGUUUACUACAUAUUCAAAACUACUAAAAUUACACCAUAACAAUAAUAACAUAAAUAUAUUAUAUAAUUUUACGGUCUUAUUUGACUUGUUUAAAUUCAAAAUAACAACCAUAAAUCAACGUCAACAAAAAGUUGUCAACUACAAUCAUAAAAAGUACUAAAAAUAUCAUGGACGUGUACUAAACAUAGACGAUAUAUCAUAUUAGUAAUUAUCGCUCUUCUUGAACGCGUUGUUCCACAAAUUUUUGCAUCAUGACUUCAAGGUUUUAUUGUUGAUUUUUAAUAUUUAUUCUCAUAGCUUCUAAUUCGGCCUAUUUUUGUCAUGGUCCUCUUUAAUAUCUUUUCACAUUUCAUUCAACUGAUUUCCUUCAACUUCAUUUGCUUUGAAUGAUUUCAUUAGUCCCGUCAGAAUCAUGUAUGAUGCAUUUUAUCAAUCUAUUAGUAAUGUCUCUACCAUAAAGUCAUCGGUAUCCAUCAUUCUCUUUGUUCAUCACAAUCAUAUAAAUAUCUACAACACCACUCUCAUCUUCUAGAGGUUUGUAGUUCUUUAUUUGUUCCUACAAGAUUAUUCAAAAAUGAAUAGGAUAAUAUUAGUAAAAUAAAUAUACCAUUAAAAAGUUGUUUAUAUUGUAAAAAAGUUCCAUUUCAAUGUAGAAAAAACAAGUUUUUAUUGGGUAAAAGACAGCCAAUUGAUGUCCAAAAAAUUUACUAUCAAAAGGUCGUUUUAAUGUAAAAAAGAAAAACAACAUUUUAACAUCUUAAAAAAACUACAUUUUAACAUCUAAAAAAUUGCAUUUAACGACAAUAAAACAACAUUUUAACAUAUAAAAGACCGAAUUUUAACGUCUAAAAACUGCAAUUUAAUGUCUAAAAGGGUAGUUUACUAUCAAAAGGAAAAAACCUAUUGUGAAAUUGAAAUACAAACUUACAAUUUUCUUUGCCGUGUCAUCAUAUGUAUCACUAUAUAGACACCUAUUUGUCCUUUUACGUGUACGUUCAAACAUUUGACUUAGAGUGGGGAAUUCCUUGUUUGGAUCUUCAUUUUUUGUACUCAUGGUAACAUAACAUAAACAAGAAAGUAUCAAAGUGUGGGAAAAUAAAAAGAAAAAUCACAAGCAAAAUGAAGACAUUACCAUCUUAUCAUGAAUUCUAGCAAAACUUUUUGGAACAGACAUACACAUAUUUUUUAGAGACUUAUGUCUUUCCUUUAUCCACGAACAACGUUUCUAGACUUAUAAAUGGAUGAUACUAGAACUACUGAUACUAUUAUAAACAAGAAACUUAUCUAGAGGAUCUAUUGAACUAAAACUAUAUGUAAAGCAAGAAAAAUUAAGCUUUUAACAGGUAGUAAAACAAUCAAUGCAUGGGCUAUUUGGAAAUCUUUGAACUCUUAACAAUUACCAAAUGUAGCAAUCAAUCGUAAAUGUAAUGAACAAAAACAAACUAAUUAAAUAUGUGCAAAUAACAAAAACACCAAAAAGCUUGGGAUUAGUUUUGUACUUGAUGUUGAAUGGAAAUCUUUGAAAUCUUAGAAGUUACCAAAUGAAAAUUGAAUAUCUUAAACCAAACGGAUUUUAGUUAUAAUCAAUAAAAUAUGGACUAAUAAAAUUGCCUACCAAAGCAUGUGUCAUCUUAUGUUUUAUGAAGAAAAUUAAAAAAAAAAAAAUCAAAAUUUUGAUACUAAAAACUUUAACUUAACUUGUGUGUAUGGAAUAAAUAUUUAACGUACAUAAACACUCAAAUGAAUCAAAUGAUUAAGAUGAACCCAUCAUUUAUGUAAAACAGUUAUUAAACCUCAAACAUCAAACAAUUGUUUUUUCUUAACAAAACUUGUAUAUACAAAUGUUUAAUUGUAGUGAAACAUGCAAUACCUACACAAGGUGUACAUAGCAGUCUCGGUGCUCAUCCAUAUUUAAAAUAGUUUUCUAAAUCCAUAUCACUAAAACACGAAACAAUAUCAAAAUUCAAAAGUGUGAAAAUGGGUUUAUCUGUAAAGGACAAUACAGUUAGCAAUAUUAAAAAUAUGGAGUUAUAAAUUAUUAUAAACAUAAAUAUAAAUAUUGAUCACAGUAAACGGUAUACAAUAUGCACACUACUUUGUAUCGGUCAAGAUGAUCAAUUGCAAAGUAUAAUCAUUAAAAAAAACACCCUUUAAUUACUAGAUUAACUAAACUGAAAUCAUCAAAAAGAAAAAUACUCUAGGGAAGUAAUGGUGUGGUGCAGUAUUUGACUUAGUAAAACACUGCUGCAAAAAUUAAAGAGGAAAAUAUGUAAACAAAUCCAAGAAUAGAGCCUAAUCAUAUACAUAUCAUGUUUCUCCCCCUCCCCUGCUUAUCAAGUUGCUUGAAAUAAAGCCCCAUCAAUAAGAAAAUCGGCAAUCAGAUUAAGAUAUUUAAGCACAAAUUCCCAUUAACAAUUUCAGUUUCACAUACAUUACAUUAAUACUUUGAUGUUUCUGUCUUUUGUUUCAAUCUUGGCAUGCAAUGAGAGUAUAAUAGGAUUGGUACCCAAUUGUUCCAUUUUUAACCUAACUUGUUUCUGAAAUGAUGGAAAUUAGGGGAAUACUAGAAUCGUUCAUUCCAUUGUAAUGAUAAAAACACAUAUGACAAUUAGUAAUUGAGAAUAUUUAACACAUAAGAAAGAGCCCUAAAAUAGAGCUUAAAACCUAAAAUAUUUGGCCGUCAUAAGCAGAACAAAAGCCUAUUAUCUUGUUGGCAAUUUCUUGCAACUGUGCCCAAUACAGGAAGGUGGGUUUUUGCCAAAUUCAAAAAUCGUAUUGAUGAAGUUAAGUUCAACGUACCUAUCUUGCUGGAAUGAGAUGAUUAGCGACAAUAGGAAGGAGAUAUGGAGGUGUGAUGGAUGUCGGCCUGUAGUGGGAUAUUGGUGAUGAGCGCUCGUCCAUUUGCAAUACCCAAUGAAUGUCGACUUGCCUUUGCGAAGGAGAUAUGAGAGAUUGGUGAUUGAAACAAUCGACGAUUUUGGGAUUAAAGAAACCUAGUGACUGCAAAGUGCAAAUACAAAAGUUGUUAAAGUUUAAAAAGCUUAAUCUAAUUGAAAGUUAAUUUUUUUUUAACAUAAUUGAAUAUAACACGUAAUUUAUUGAAUUAAGAGGGAAUUUUUCUAUAUUAUUUAGUUAAGAGGGAAUUUUUCUAAUUUAGUUGGAGGGAACUUUAAAAUAAAUUAUAGUUAGAGGGAAUUAUAAUUAACAAUGUACAUUUUGUAUUAAAAAUUGUAGUUUUUAAUAAGAUUUGCAACUUUUUUUUAAAAAAGUUACAGAUUUCACUAAAAUUUGGAACUUUAAAAAAAUUUGCAUUUUUCAAUAACAUUUGCAACUUUAUAAAAACAAAGUUGCAAAUUUUAAUAAAAUUGGCAACUUUUUUAAAUAAAGUUGCAUUAAAUCUUCUAGUGUAACCUUUUUCUUCAACAAAUCUUUAUAAUCAAAUGCAACUGUUGUGAAAAGGUUGCACAUAAAAGGUCGCAUUAGUCUUAUUUUGUAGUAGUGACAAAUGCAUGUCAUCUUCAUUUAUGACUAGGGUUUUAAUGACAUGCACUCAUGUGUCAUAUGUACUCUUUAAUGACAUUCAAUGUUUGUCAUUAAAUGACUAUUUUCUACUAGUGUUAAUAUACACUACAUAUUAUCUUUGAGAUUGGGAAAGGUUCAAUCUUUUCCUCUGACAUGUUGUUAGGACAGGUUGUCAGGAUACACUCAUCUUUUGCUAGAACAACUAUGCACUUCACGGGAGAAUAUGCAUCAGGAUAGGUUUUUACAUAUUUCUUUUUAGUAUUUUAUUUAUUUUUCUAAAUUUUUUUAUCAAACACAUACGUUAUAAAAUACAUAAAAGUUAACAAUAAAAUGAAAAUUUCAUCGAAAGCCAUCCGUCAUCUUAACAUAAAUUGUUCAAACUUUCAUAGUAACUUUUCAAAAAUUAAGCUAAUUUUCACCCUAAAAGCAAUAACGUAAAAAUUAGUUGAAUGUGUUAUGUUUCUCGCACAUGCAAGAGGCAAAGGUCUAAUAUAUUAGAAACUAGGUGUGAGAUCCGUGUAUCACACAUGGUUAUUAAAAGGACCAAAAGUAACGGUGUGAGCAAAAAAGAUAUUUCGUGUAAGUUUUGGUAACCACAAGGACCAUGUUCUUUAAAAAUAAAUAACGAUUAAUUUUUUGACAUUUGGUAAACCACAUAGACUAUUUAUUUAAUUUGGUAUUAAUUAAUAUUAAUAUAUACUAAUAAAAUGAAUUAAUAUUAAUUCACAAAUGGAAUGUACACUAAUAUACAUAUGCAUUAAUUAAUAUAUUAAUAGAAAAAAGAAAUCACAAAUUGAAAGUUAUUAUGUAUAUUAGUUAAUAUAUUAAUAAAAUUAAAUAAUAUGAAGUGACAUUUAAUAGGUUGAAUUUGAAUAAAAUGAAAAAAUCUAUAAAAAUGACAAGUUGAUAUAAAAUAAUUCAAAAAAUCAUGAAAAUGACAAGUGUCAAAAUGAAGGAGAAAUGACAUGUGGCAAAAUCAUUCUUAUUUAUUAGGGUAGAUUUGGAAUGAUUAUUUAUAUUUUACAUACUUCAUAUUUUGCAAUGUAUUAUCUCAUUUGUGUAUGAUAUGUUAUUUUGUAUUAUGAAACAUUAAAUAUGAUUAAAUCUUAAUAAUAGUGACUUUAGAAACAGUAUAUAUCUUUUAAAAUUUCUCAAUCAUGACAUGAAAAAUAUAUAUUAAGAAUUUAAAUAAACAAUUUUCAAACAUUUACGACAUACAAAAAGUUUGUUGUAAAUUUAUGUCGUGAAUGUAUGUUGUAAAUAUAUGACACACAAAUGUAUGUCACCUUCAUUUAUGACUAUGGCUUUAAUGACAUGCAUUCAUGUGUCAUAUGUACUUUUUAAUGACAUUCAAUGUUUGUCAUUAAAUAUCUAUUUUCUACUAUUGUUAAGAUACACUACAUAUCGUCUUUGAGAUUGGGAAAGGUUCAAUCUUUUGCUAUGACAUGUUGUUGGGACAGGUUGUCGGGAUAGGCUCAUCUUUUGCUAGAACAACUGUGCUCAUCACGGGAGAAUAUGCAUUAAGAUAGGUUUUUACAUAUUUCUUUUUAGUAUCAUGUUUAUUUUUCUAUUUUUUUUAUCAAACACAUACAUUGUAAAAUACUUUAAAGUUAACAAAAAAAAUGAAAAUUACAUAAAAAGCCAUCCAUCAUUUUAACAUAAAUUGUUCAAACUUUCAUAGUAACUUUAUCAAAAAUUAAGCUAAUUUUCACCCUAAAAGCAAUAACGUAAAAACUAGGUGUGAGACCCGUGUAUCACACAUGGUUAUUAAAAGGACCAAAAGUAACAGUGUGAGCAAAAAUGAUCUUUUGCGUAAGUUUUGGUAACCACAAGGACCAUGUUCUUUAAAAAUAAAUAACGACUAAUUUUGUGACAUUUAGUAAACCACAUAGACUAUUUAUGUAAUUUGGUAUUAAUUAAUAUUAAUAUAUACUAAUAAAAUGAAUUAAUAUGAAUUCACAAAUGGAAUGUACAUUAAUAUUCAUAUGCAUUAAUUAAUAUAUUAAUAGAAAAAAGAAAUCACAAAUUGAAAGUUAUUAUGUAUAUUAGUUAAUAUAUUAAUAAAAUUAUGAAGUGGCAUUUAAUACGUGGAAUUUGAAUAAAUAAAAAAUCUAUAAAAAUGACAAGUAGAUAUAAAAUAAUUCAAAAAAUAUAGAAAAUGAUAAGUGUAAAAAUGAAGGAGAAAGGACAUGUAGCAAAACUAUUCUUAUUUAUUAAGAUAUAUUUGAAAUGAUUAUUUAUAUUUUACAUACUGCAUAAUGUGCAAUGUAUUAUCUCAUUUGUGUAUGAUAUGUUAUUUUGUAUUAUGAAACAUUAAAUAUUAUUUAAUCUUUGAUAAUAGUGAAUUUAGAAACAAUAUAUAUUUUAUAAAAUUUGUCAAUCAUGACAUGGAAAAUAUAUAUCAAGAAUUUAAAUAUACAAUUUUCAAACAUUUAUGACAUACAAAAAAUCUGUCGUAAAUGGAUGUCGUGAAUGUAUGUUGUAAAUAUAUGACACACACAUGCAUGUUAUCUUCAUUUAUGACUAUGAAUUUAAUAACAUGCAUUAAUGUGUCAUACGUACUCUUUAAUGACAUUCAAUGUUUGUCAUUAAAUGUCUAUUUUCUACUAUUGUUAAUUUACACUAUAUGCAUAUUAUCUUUGAGAUUGGGAAAUGUUCAAUCUUUUGCUAUGACAUGUUGUUGCGACAGGUUGUCGGGAUAGACUCAUCUUUUGCUAGAACAACUGUGCUCUUCACGGGAGAAUAUGCAUCAGGAUAGGUUUUUACCAAUGUUUUAAAAACCUGUUUUUUAGUUGACCUGGUAUGGUGACCGGUUCCCGGUUCAACCAGUUUUAAUACUUUUCAAGUUUUUCAUAUUUUCCUACACAUACAUACAUAUAUACAUCAUGAAUUUGAUGUUUACAAGUUCAAACAUUAAAAAUAAACAUACAAAUAAGUUGUAAAUGAAUCUAAAUACAUUAAAAUAACACAUAACCAUAAGUUUUAGUGUUUUAUAUCAAUUCAUAUACGUUAAAAAGAAAAUAAAGUAUAAUACCAAAACAAAAUAUAGUUUUAUAUGAAUACAAACACAUCAAAAAACUUUAUAACGUUUACCAUAUGUUUAUUUAGAGAAAACUAAAUAGAUUUGAAAAAAAAUCACCUAAAUUUAUUAUGUAAAUAGUUCUUUUUCAUGUGUUUUUAUUUGGUUUAACCAGUUUAUUUUGACUAGGGUUUUUCUAAAUACCGGCCGGUUCUAUCCGGUUCAAAAAUCGACAUAAAACUGGUAAUAAUUGAACCGCUUCCUCCACCGGUUUCCGGUCCAACCGGUUCGACCUGCCGGUUUCAAUCGGUUUUUAAAACAUUGGUUUUUACAUAUUUCUUUUUAGUACUUAUUUAUUUUUCUAAUUUUUUUUUUAUCAAACACAAUACAUUAUAAAAUACUUAUAAGUUAACAGAAAAUUUCAUAGAAAGCCAUCCGUCUUCUUAACAUAAAUUGUUCAAACUUUCAUAGUAACUUUUUCAAAAAUUAAGCUAAUUUUCACCCUAAAAGCAAUAACAUAAAAAUUAGUUGAAUGUGUUAUGUUUCUCGCGCAUGCAAGAGGCAAAGGCCUAAUAUAUUAGAAACUAAGUGUGCGAUCCGUGUAUCACACAUGGUUAUUAAAAGGACCAAAAGUAACGGUGUGAACAAAAAAGACCAUUCAUAUAAGUUUUGGUAUCCACAAGGACCAUGUUCUUGAAAAAUAAAUAACGACUAAUUUUAUGACAUAUGGUAAACCACAUAGACUAUUUAUGUAAUUUGGUCUUAAUUAAUAUUAAUAUAUAUACUAAUAAAAUUAAUUAAUAUGAAUUCACAAAUUGAAUGUAUAUUAAUAUACACAUACAUUAAUUAAUAUAUUAAUAGAAAGAAGAAUUCAUAAAUAGAAAGUUAUUAUGUAUAUUAGUUUAUAUAUUAAUAAAAUUAAUUAAUAUAAGGUGAUAUUUAAUAGGUGGAAUUUGAAUAAAAAAGAAAAAAUCUAUAAAAAUGAUAAGUAGAUAUAAAAUAAUUCAAAAAAUCUAAAAAUUAACAAGUGUCAAAAACAUUCUUAUUUAUUAGGAUAGAAACGGUAGUAAAAUUGUAAAUUAAUAAUCCCAUGGAUGUUGAUUGUAUUGCUUAGGCCCCUUAUCUUUUGGCUUUGUAAACCAAGCUUCUCCCAACUUUUCUUGGUUUUCAUUUAGUUCUUUUGUCGUUAAAGUACAAUAGUGAAAUAUUUGGCCUAUAAAUACCUUAGAAAUUGUACAAUCUUAAAAUCAUACCAUUUCUCAUCCAAUUUUGCAUUGCAAUAAUGAAUAACUUCGUCCCAAUACUCGGGAUUUCCUUCAACAUGCUUCCCAAUUCAAUAGCAACUCUUUCAUCAUCAUUAACAAACCCUCUAACAGUCAUCCUCACCGUUAUCCUCUUCCUCUUGGCGAAGUUUCUUAGAAACAAAGCUACAUGCAACCAGCAUCCACUCCCACCUGGUCCAACCCCUUUACCGUUCAUCGGAUGCACCAUCCAAAUGCUCUUAAAUCGGCCAACAUUCCGUUGGAUCCAUAAACUCAUGGCCCAAUAUCAGAGCCCAAUCCUUUGCAUCCGGCUAGGACCAUCUACGCAUGUCAUUCCAGUCUCCUGUCCAAACCUAGCAUGUGAGUUCUUAAGAAAGCAAGAUGAAGUAUUUUCUUCAAGGCCUGACAUAUUAUCAGCUGAUCUGAUAAGUGAUGGCUAUCGCACAGCCAUUCUCUCCCCAUCUGGGGGACAAUGGAGAAAGAUGAGAAAAAUGGUGAUCCAGGUCAUCCUGUCAGCAUCGAUACACAAAUGGCUCCAACCGAAACGAGACGAAGAAGCCAAUCACUUGCUUAGGUACAUUUGCAAUCAAAUAGAAAAACAAGAUACCGCAACUAAAGGAGGGUUAGUAAAUAUUCGAGUCGUCAGCCAACACUUUUGUGGAAACUUGAUGAGGAAUAUGAUAUUUGGGAGAAGGUUCUUUGGGGACGGAAUGGAAGAUGGGGGGCCAGGUGUAGAAGAAACUGAGCAUGUGGCGUCAGUUUUCACCAUGCUCAAGUAUCUUUACGCAUUUUGCAUCACUGACUAUUUCCCAUGGUUGAGAGGGAAGACAGAUUUUGAUGGCCAUGAAAAGAUCGUGAGGACUGCCAUCCAAGGAGUUCGUAAAUAUCAAGAUCCAUUGAUUGAUGAACGAAUUCAGAUGUGGAACAAAGGAGUGCGAAAGGUAAAAAAUGAUUUGCUUGACGUUCUUAUCAACCAUGAAAGCCCUAAGCCUACGGCUGAGGAGAUUAAAGCCCAGAUUAUAGUAAGACUCGUCAUUCAUUUCUAUGUAAUUACUUUUGAUGAUUUGUUUUCAACAACGUAGAAAAUUUUAGGAACAAUCUCUUGUAUAGGAGGUUCUCAUUUAAUUCUUAAUAUAUAUUACUGAGUCUUUUCUUGUGUUUUGUGACUUGCCUGAUUUUAGGAACUAAUGAUAGCCACGGUUGAUAAUCCCUCCAAUGCAAUAGAAUGGGCGAUGGCAGAAAUGCUCAACCAACCAACUAUCCUAAAGAGGGCGGUUGAGGAACUGGACCAUGAGGUAGGUCGUGAACGUCUGGUCGAAGAGCGAGAUCUACACAAACUCAAUUACAUAAAAGCAUGCAUCAAGGAGGCCUUCCGGCUGCACCCUUUGGACCCUUUCAAUCCACCACAUGUUUCAAUGAUGAAUACAACUGUUGCCGGUUACUUCAUACCUAAGGGUAGUCAUGUGUUGCUAAGUCGUCCUGGGUUGGGAAGAAAUCCAAAUAUAUGGAAAGAUGCAAUGCAGUUUAACCCAGAUCGACAUCUUGAUGCAGAAGGAAAGCAAGUUGUUCUUUCAGAUAAUGAGCUGAGGUUGCUUUCGUUUAGCACUGGGAGACGUGGCUGCCCAGCAGUGGUUUUGGGCUCAACAAUUACGACGAUGUUGUUAGCAAGAAUGCUUCAAGCGUUCACCUGGGAGGCGCCACCUAACGAGUCGGGGAUUAAGCUUGUUGAAAAUCAAGACGACCUCAGCUUGGCUAACCCACUUUUAGUGGUUGCUAUUCCCCGGCUACAUCAGUCUCUCUACCCAAAAAAUUGAAUGGAAUAAAGAUACUUUUCUAUUUUAGAUGGUUAAAAUAUAAAGUAAUGUUUUUAAAUUAACAAAGUAAAUAUGUUGAUGAUUUAAAAUAAAAAUAUGUUUGUGUUUUGAAUUAAAAAUGAAAAUAUAUUGUUUCUGUUUUAACGGUUUGGAAAUAAAUCCACAUCCACUAAAAAGAAUUAUAUAUAAACAUUUAUAAUUUCGUUGAAUAUUCAUCUAGUAUCAUCGUCUAGAUAAAUAACAAAUCUUUAUUAUUAUUAUUAUUCUUAUUAUUUUUGGUAAAUCUACGUAUACCAUGUUUAUGUAUAUGUGAGUUGAACAGAAUGGGGGCUCAACGAUUGUGACCGGUGGCAUGAAUAUAUACAGUUUUUAUAUGUGUAUAUAUUAUAGAAUUUAUAUUUGUAUAUAUUAUAGAAUUGGUUAAUACACGUGUAAAUCAUUGAUGAAAAAGAAAAACAUUAUAGUUAAUUUUAAAUCAUAAUUACCAAUCAAAGAUUUGCAAAAAUUUAUUAUUUUACAAAGAUAUAAGUUUUGUUUAUAAGUUUAUUUUUUUUAACAGCGAAAUUUAUUAAAGAGUGACCGACUAGCGGGUAGCUGGACCACCAAAGAGUACAAGGAAACAAAAACGAAAGAAACAGAAAAAAACAAACAAAAUUACAAAACUUAAACUAAAGCGAGAAUGAAGAAGAUGAUGUUAAACAUAACAAAAGAGCAAAUGAAAACGAAAGGAGAGGGAAGACCAGUAGAAUCCGAAAGUCCAAUACUUCAAAGACUCAGUCACCAACAUCGGUUAGCCAAGAAGGGUAAUUACAUUCCACCUCAAUACUGCGGCAAAAGCAUUAUCCAUAGGGCAAAACGAGGGCAGAUCUGACAGCAAACAUUAGGUCUUCACUAUGCGAUCUCAGACACAAAUAUCAGAGAUCCAACAAAUCGGAAACACUCAACGAUCAACACCAAUAUCUUCCAUCCAUGGGUAUAAUCGAUCAACAAUUUACAUUGUUUGUAAAUAUGAAUUCCGUCAAGUUGUGACAACAACCCAACACAAAGGGAUUCAAUUGACCACCAAAAUGAUAUCCAUACAAUCAAAAAACACACGCCAACACCACGUGUAAACCCCUCCCACCCAAACCCAAUGAACACGAAAGAACACACCCCAAAGAAAUGUUUAAACUGCAGCAAAAGCCUAUAUUAUAUCUACCCAAUGAACUGAUACACACACCAAACUCACACAUGCUGCAGUAAACAUAAUGCCAAAUGAUACCAAGCUUCCCAGCCCCCACCCACCUAACAACCAACUACUGAAGCAUGAAUGGGAAAUAACACCAUUUUUUUCCAGAUUACAGAGAAUUCUCUGCCUCUAUUUUUUAUCCAAAGAAAAGCGUUUGCUUUUAUUUCAGCUACAACCUGAACCGGUGAUGAUAUCACCGAUUUGAAGAUACUUCCAUUUCUUGCCUUCCAGAUGAACCAUAAAGUGGUCAUAAUUAUGGCAUGCGUGAUUUUCUUUUGUAACGGGGAUUGUAAAUAAGCAUGUGAUAUAGAUAAGAACUGAUCCAGAGAGUUAAUCUCAUUGACAUGCAUGUGAUAUUGGUUGAGAACAGUCAAAUUAUUCGAACGGGCCACAGUCGUUCAUAUGUUGGAAGUAGGUAUGAAUAAAGACUGUCGUGAAUUGGUGUGUGGAUUGUCUAAAGAGUAUUAGACAUAAGCAAAUGUUUGCUGCAACGUUCAUGAGUGCUUAUGAAUAUGAUUUGAGCAUUGGAUUAAACCCACACUCACUUGGAUCACUCUAUGGAUUGUAUCACGAGUGAUUGGUGAGACGAUAACAUCUUAUAUUCUGGAAAUCGAGAUGUGUGCGUUGUACCUUGCAAAUCGGUUGCACAUUGAUAAUAUGUAAACGCACCAGUAACUUGGUGUCAUAAAACAUAUUGUUGUGUGUGAUUCGGUGAGUGAGUGCAAGCGAGCAUUGAAUCAAAGUUUAUCCAUUCCUUUUAUCCAAAGUAGGAUAAAAGCGAUAUCUUUUGGGCCCCUCGAUGAUUUAGUGAUGACAAACGUAAAUGCUCGGCCGGGCUAGGUCUAAUUUGAUUUGUUCAAUUAGUCAGUUGUCAUAAAUCGGAAAUCGAGAAAUAGUACAAAGAGAAUGAUUAGAAAUCAUGUCUUAUGAUAUCUAGAAUGGAGGAAUAUAUGAUCCCUUAUCUAAAGGACACGCGUAUCUGAUAGGAUCAGAGUUGACAGCGGCUUUGGAAAGCUACGAUUGCAGAUCAGGAUCUGAAGUCAUACGCAUAAUAGUUAUUAGACUUAUCCAAGUGGGAGACUGUUGGAUUAGUGUCUAAGUCCAUAACUAUUUUGGUAUGUACUUGACCCGAUGGUGCAUGGUCCUUUUGGGUUGCCUUCACCAAAGCAACUUGAUAGGAUGAAUUAUGGAGAGAAAGGAUUAAAUAUGAUUUAUUAAUAUAUUAUGAGAAUAAUAUAUUAAAGGAGAAAUCAUAUUGUUUAAUUAAUAUUAGUCAAUAAUUAAUUGGUAAUUAGUUUUGUGACUAAAAGAGAUUAAUUAAACUUAAGGGACUGGAAUUGUAAUUAUAAGAUAAUUGCAAUUUGGGCCAUGGAUUGCCUUAUAUUAAGGAGUGGACGAAUUCUAUGGGGAAACCCAUGAGGAAAUCGUCCAAGGCCUUAAGGAAAGGAAUCUAUGGGUUGCUUAGGGCUUAAGCAUCCAAAUUAGGGUUUCCUUAUUAGAUAACCCUAAUAGCCUCCUAUAUAUAUAUAACCCUUAUGACCCAAAAACGUGGCUAAGCAUCCUUCUAGGGUUUCACACGUUUUAGGGCAGCCUCCAUCCUCUCUCCUCUUCAUCCUCUUGCUUAUGGUGUUUGUGAACCAUUAGAGGAGUGACAUUUGUGACUCUAAGCUUUCUAAAGUCAAUACAAGAAGGAUUUGGGAUUGUUAUUGCUAUAUAACAAUCAAGGUAAUAUCUUAAACCCAUUCUUAUGUUAAUAUGAUUACUUGUAUGCUAGAAUUAGGGUUUAUAGUCUUGGAUAACUUGCAUGUACAAUAGAGAAACCUAGAUCCAAGCAUUAGGGUUUGUAUGAGCACAUAGGAUGUUCUUAGGACUAAAACCCAUCAGUGUCCACAUAACACUGGCUAAACACUACACUCCCAUCACCAAUGCAAGUACUAGCCAGUCAUGCCACCAAUGCGGUGAGAUAGGGCACUUCAAGAAGGAUUGCCCUAUAGUAAAGAACUCUGGCGCAGAUGGGAGGAUUCUCAGGAUCACAGCUGCAGGAGAACCUACUUCAGAACCACGUUAAUGUAACUUAGGCGUGUUGUUGUAACAGACUUAUAAACUAUCCAGAACUGGUGCAACUAGAGUCUUACCUUUUUGCGAGAUCCUGUCGGUAUAAGGAUGCUCGUGCUGCGUAUACUUGUCUUUUGUAGUAUACCUCAUUCGCAGCAAUGGUCUUGUUGUAAGUCUAAAGUAUUGAAACUCUGUUGAUGGUUGCAUGGUUGUGUUUUGUCUGUAAACGUCUUAUGUUCAAAUCUAAUGUCUUUAAAUUUCCGUAUGAUUCUGACAUUAUCAUACAAUUAGAUUCAAUUUGAUCCACACCAUACCAGCUUCAUAGGUACAUCUCUUUACUAGUAAAUGUCGUUUUAGCAAAGCCGUCAUAUCAGAACACCGAAGUACUCAUGCAUGGAGUACCUCAUAGUUCUUUUCUUUCCGAAGAAAUCCCCGCAGUAGCACUCGUGCAGUACGUCAAGUUCAAUCCAAGGAUCCAUACGAUUGACCUAUCACUGAGGAAUGUAUACAUAAGAGUGAUAUAUAAUCAAGGUUCUACAGGUUUAGAAUUGAUGAUUCCACUUUAACUUCUUUUUCCUUGAUAGGAUGUGAGCUUAAAGAAGAAUCAGUUAUUCGACUACCUUUUCAAUCUUAAUUAUAUACGACUCGUAUACACGAGAUUGUGAUUGUGAAACCAUGUAUGAAUUCUAAUAUGAACUUCAGGACGGAGAACUGCCCAAGCCUACGAGUAAUCACAUCGUCAUGUGAACAAACUUAGAACCCAGUACGACUCCUGUAAACCGAUCCCCCUAUAGUCUAAACACCUACGGAGAUACAAGAACAGUACAUACAACUUAGUGAACUACACAGAAAUAGAAUUAGAAGACUAGGUUUCUCACCCUGGAGAACCCCGGUCAUAUUCUUCCAGAGAUCGACGGAUUGCAUUGUAUGUACCUCAGCUAUCGAGGACUCCGUCAAGAUUUUCCAGUAGAAAUCGUUAUCUCUGCCUCGCAUAAAUGAUUUGGUUGAGCAAACGCAAGGAAAGAAUUACUUUCAGAAAUGGAUCUGAGAUCCGAAUAUCACCAGUUCGAGUGUUAGGGAAGGAUGUCCGGAAGACUACCUUCCGAACUCGAUGCGGGCACUUCGAGUCCGUAGUGAUACCCCUCGGAUAGGACCAAUACGCCCACAGUAUUCACGAGCUAAAUGAAUAGAGUCCGUCUUUCUUACUUGGAUUAGUUCGUCAUUCUCCAUGUAACAACUUACUUAUCUACCCUCAUAGUAAGAAGGAACCCGCGGAAGCAUUACCCUCGGAGAUACUUCUCGCUAAGUUCUUUGAACACAAGUUUUGGAAUUGAAGAGUCAAAAUUUCCUAAGGCACACUGUUAAUGAUGUGGGAAAUUUUGAGUACCCUUUCAAUUUGUCAAAACCGUUGAGAAUUUUUCGACACCAGAGACGUGGACAGACAUUCGCCAAGUUCUAGGUCUUACAGACCUACUGUCAUAGUUCAUUCAAAACUCCUCGCAAGAGAAAGAACAUUUGGAAUUCCAAGUGAGAGACCAAAUUCUUUAGGAAAAACUCACUCUGGGAAUGGCUUAAUACGCUUCGUAUCGUGUGGAAAGCUAAAGCCAAUAUAGUUAGGACCUCCAAGAUUCUUACCAGAAUCAGUCCUGCACCUCGCACAAACUAGACCUACUCCGCGAAUUCAGUAACGUACAUUCUACUCUUCGUGUCUCGAUCGUGAAAUUAUACCUUUCCGUUAGGACUUUAGUAAGUCCACUCAUCGAGAUCCACGCCUUCGUAUUAGAACCGUAGUGACCCUCAAAAGAGAGGUCAAGCGGACGAAGCAACACCAUCGCCCGUUAGUGAAAGUUCGUUGGGAUACCAACCGAGAACCCGAUUUCACGUAGGAGCACUAGAACCAAUCGAUUAGGAAGUUUCCUCCUCACGACUCGAUCAUUUGUACCUACUUCGUUUCCUAAAUUCUAAUUUCGGGACGAAAUUCCCUUGAACAGGGGGAUGAUGUGACAACCCGAAAUUUCCAUUCUGAACAAACCAUAUCAAGCCAAUAGAAGUUAGAAGAGUUACAGUGAAAUUUCAAACUUUGGGUAUAAGUUUGAGUAUUUCAGGAUUAGCACUUAAGGAGAUAUUAGGAGAGUGGAUGCACUAGGAUUUUGUGAAACACUGUUAUUCCAAUACUCUAUGAUAUUAGAGUUCAUUCCGGGAAUAAAAUAUUUUCUGCCAAAAAAAUCCCAGGACUAUAUAUAGAAAUCUGAACCAUUUUCUGCCAAAAAAAUCCCAGGAAUAAAAGUCAAAUUCUCUCUCACAGAUCUUCGGGUUUUUAUCCCAAAUCAUGAGUACUUCUAUCUAGUUGUAUUAUAUAGCUUAGAUUGUGUUUUAUAACAUCAAAAUUGGAUCAAACCCCCAAGAUUUGGGAGUUUACCGCCCAAGAACACUUGGAGAGUAAACUCCUUUUUAAGGGCCAAAGUGUGCCCAAUGUCCCUCAAAGCCUUGGAAAUGAACCUAGAAGCUACCACUACAUGUUUAGACCACAAAACAAUUAAGAAUCAAGACUAGAAGUGAGUUCACGACCAAGGAAGUUCUUGGGCCGUGAACUCCAUUUUUAUGUGCCAAAAUGCCCUAAAAGCCUUCCUUAAGCCAAGAGACCAAUUUAGACAUGUUCCCUAAUGUGUUUAUAGCCUAGAAAUCAUAAGGAAUCACAAGGACAAAGGAGUUUACGACCAAGACAAGUUCUUGGGCCGUAAACCCCUAUAAAUGGGGCAAAUGACACCCUAACUCCUUCCUUAUGCCUAGAACCCAACUUAGAUCAUAUCCUUGAAGUGUUAAGGACCUUAAGAAUCCAAGAAACCAUUUUCCCAUAGAAUUUACGGCAGUAAGCUCAUAACGAUUGGUCCUUAGGCCGUAAACUCUAUAAAGGGGUGAUAUUGUGCCCCUAAUGCUUCCACAUGGCUAGAACUUAUUGUAGAACAAAUCACCAAUGAGCAAGGAACCUCAAAACAUCAAAUGGUACUCCUUACCAUGAGUUUACGGACGUAAACCCAUGGGGGAGUGGUCCCAAGGCCGUAAACUCCAACACACAUGGUCUUUUGACCAUAAACUUUCGUAUGAGGUCUUGCACUCCUUUGCUACAACCCAUUAGCCUCCUAGCACUUGACCAAAGUGUUUUCCUCGCAUUAGGAUGUUUAUACAUGUUUAAUUAGUGUUAUAAUCACUAAUUGUUUAUAUACAUAUGUCUUCAUAUGUAAUUAGGACCAUUGUGUGUGUCUAAAGUCUUCACUUGACACCUAGCAGUCCUACCUCUUCAGUUCAUCCGUAUCACCCACAACAGGUGAGUUCAUACCCCUUAAUCAAUGUUUUAACUGUUUUUAAAUGUUUUAUGGGGGGGGGGUNGUUUUAUGGGGGGGUACAAGUAGAAUUAUGCUAAUUAUUAUAUCAAUCACAUGUUAUUUAAUAAGCAGCAUUCAAAUGAUUGGCUACUCAUUCGCUGUUUUACCAAACAGUUUCCUUCAAAUGUUUUUCAUAAACACUUUAUGUGUUUAAAACUCCUUAUUACACUGUACCUUAUACUCUGUAUGUUUCAUUUCAAACUUAUUUACAAUUGUGUUUCAAACAAAUGUUUCUUUAUACUAAACUGUUUUAUCAAAUCCAUGCCUUCAAACCGUUUUAUAGAUUGACAUCAAGUCGAUCUUUUCUUAGAUAAUAAUUAUGUUCAAAGGUUUUACAAAACUUAUUUUAUGCUUUUAUAUUAUAAAUUGCAUGCCUCUAUAUGUAUAGUUAUAUAAGAAAUGUUUAAAAGACUUAGGAAGGCUAUCCACCCUAUUUCCUUUUCGCGCUUGAGAUGUGGUCUGGUGGGAUAUCGGGUACCCGUCCGAAGGUCGUUUAAAUAUUAGUUAUAUAUCAUGUGUACAUAUAUAGUCAUAAAGGUCCUUCCAGUUCAUCCAAUUCCCUUGGGUAGCAAGGGUAUACAUCCAUGUCCAUAUGUACCAGUUAGAUUACUAGUAAACUACCAUAUGGGUAGUUUAGGAAGAUACUAGAACUAUUACUAGAACGCGAUAUCAUACAAUGAGCCGGUUCAUUCAUGAGUCAAUACUUGCUAGAUAGAGAGAACAUACAUUACAGCUAGAACAUUACAGUACAUUACUACACUAUUACAUAGAGAUAUGUUUACAUGAUCACACUUACAUGAGUACAAAUACAUGAUCACACUUACAUGAGUACACUUACAUAUACAUAGGACAGACGUCACUAGGUGCUAUAGCAUGGAACAAGUUCAGGAUCUAACUAUACCGAUGAAUCACAACGCAAUUGUGAUAGUUAUAUUGGGUAUACAUGAUCAUAGUAAUGUGGAUGCUCACAGCUUGCAUACAUGCAGGGGUCGUGGGUGGGUCCCAAAAUCCCUUUGACAGGGGAGCAUUUAGCCUGGGAUCUAGCCAUCACAUUAUACCUUAUCCCUCAAAUAAGGCAAUUGGGUACUGAUGUAGUUAUUUAUUUCAAAUGCUACAAUACUUAGAAGAAUUACCCUAGACUUUAGGUAAUUGGUACGGUUGUAGUUCGACACUACACCAUAGUACUAUUUCAUUUUCCCAUUACAUUCACUUCGUGAACAUUCACACGACGCACGGUAAUGUAGCAACUAUCUUUUUGGUUAAUGAUAGUCAGACUUGGGAAAACACACACUCUUACAAGAGACACACACAGACACUAGAUGCCUUGGUAGAAGGCUACAUAUAGAUCAGUUAAGUCUUGGUAGAAGACUCCCUGUUAUAAUAGUAGGAAUCAUAGGGAUUUCGAGGGUUUUUUAAACGUUUACAGUUGUUUUACAAACAUUUUCAUACUUACAAUUCAUAUACACUUUUAAUACUUACAGUUCAUAUACAUUUUUAAUACUUACAAUCCAUACACAUACAAAUACUUACUUACAAAUUAAGACACUAAAAUACUUAUGAUCUCACCAGCUUUAAAGCUGAUACUCUCUUUCAAAAUAAUUUGUAUCCUCAGGUCAACCGUAGACAAAUACCGAUGCAAGGUUCAGGGAAGAUGGUGCUGGUUCAAGACGCAUCUUUCAUGUUGAUUUAUUAUUUAGUGUCUAUUAUAAUUUGACAGAACACUUGUAUUAAAAUUAUAUUAUUAAUGCAAUGGAUGAUGUUGUUUGUUUACUACUUUUCAUUGUUGUGAUAUUGUACAUGACGUCCUCCGCCCCAGAACGUUUCCGCCGUUCUUGGUUUAGGGGUGUGACAACCACUGGCUUCCAGUGUUUUAUAAAAGACAUAUUCGCCCCCACUGGUAACCCAAGAUAAGUGAAAGGAAAGUUGGCGGACUGACAGUUUAAGAUUCGGGAGAAAAAUGCGACAACAGAGGCAUCCACUCCAACCCCAACGACUUUACUUUUUGUAAAGUUUACACCAAGCCCAGAAGCCAAGUGAAAACAUCGAAUAAUCCUUGCAAGGUUUAAGAGAUUAAUAUGAGACCACUCUCCAACAAAUAAAGCAUCAUCCGCAUAAAAUAAGUGGGAUAUCGUCGGACCCAUAUUAGGAGUACAAAUACCCUUAAAAAUCCCCACAUUGCAUGCUUUAUACAUGACAGCAUUAAGAGCCUCCAUGGCAAUUACAAAUAGAAAAGGAGAUAGUGGGUCACCUUGUCUAACACCUUUACUCACCAUGAAUUCCUUGGUGGGAGCACCAUUUACCAAAACUGAGGUUCUUGACGAUUGAAGGCAACCCAUGAUCCAUUGGUUCCAACGUGGCGGGAAACCUAAUUGCUCCAUGAUAGAGACAAGAAAACACCAAUUCAGCAAGUCAAAGGCCUUAUUGAAGUCGACUUUAAAAGCAGUGCCUUCCUGUUUGUCUUCUUCAACCACGAUACCAAUUCAUUGAUCAUAAGGGGUCCGUCAAGGAUAUUUCUUCCGGCAAUAAAUGCAGUUUGGGUCUCAUCAAUCACAGAUCCAAUGACAAAUUUUAAUCUAUUUGCAAGGACUUUUGAGAUCACUUUAUAAAUGCAACCAAUUAAGUUGAUGGGGCAGUAAUCAGACAGGCACAAUGGGUCACUGGUUUUGGGUAUAAGAGUUAUGAAUGAAGAGUUGCACUGAAGGGUUCAACCAAGAAUGAUGCGUCAGGUCUUGAUAAAGUUUUGUUAAAAUUGCAAGAAAGGGAGGGUCUGGAGUUCAUAGUUUCAAAAAAUUUAUCCUUGAAGAAAGAAAAAAUCUCAUUUUUAAUUGCCUCCGGAUCAGUUGACCAAACACCAUUUAUCGAGAGACCAUUUAUCCUGUUAUUUGAGAGAUUAUGAUUGAUAAUACCAUGGAAAAAAUGAGAUUUUUCAUCUCCAUCAAUUGCCCGAAUUCUAGCUUUUUGUUUGAGGUCCAUGCUCUGACGAUGCUCCAGUUCGAGUAUUUUCCUUUUCCAUUCAAUACGAUUUUCCAAUUCAGCACUGGACAGGGGUCUUGAUUCAACAAUUAUAUCUAAGUCACAUACCCACUGUUUGAGUCUCAUGAUAUCCUCUGCUUCAUUUUCCUUAACCUGCAUCCUCCAUGUUUUAACAACUUCUUUUAUUUUCCGUAGUUUGGUUGCUAGAGAUUUAUCCGGAGGCCCGAUAAAAUGGAAGGAUGAGACGGUAUCCAAGAUUAGCUCAGAGAAACCUGGGUAUGAUAGCCAACUGUUGAAAAAACGAAAAGGAGAAGGACCAAAGUCAAUUGAUGUUGUUUGUAAAACCAGAGGGCAGUGAUCCGAGUAUUCACGAGGCAACGCUGUGAGGGCUGCAUUUGGUCACCUGUGCAUAAAGCAUGGGUUCACGAGUAUUCGAUCAAUUUUACUCAGCUUUUCCCCACCAUCCAUCAUAUAGGUGUAUUUCCUGCCCCCCAUGGAAUAUUCCAUCAGAUUUGCGUUCGAUAUGAAUUUAUUGAACUUUCUUGCACCAAGUUUACAAAAAGUUGAAUUAAGUCUUUCCUCCGGGGAUCUUAACUCGUUAAAAUCCCCCAAUAAGAUCCAAAGACCAUUCAAAUUGUUGACUAGAGAAGUGAGAUCAGCCCAUAGUAUGUUUUUUUCAGAUUGCCCUUGUGGAGCAUAUACAUUGGCGAUAAUUAAGUCAUCUCUACACCCUUGCAAAGAGCCUACAACCACCAUGAAAUGUUGCCUACGAAUAAUCGAUUUCUGCCUAAAGAGCAUCGGGUUCCAAAUACAAAAAACUCCCCCAGAUCUACCGGAUGCAUUGAUUGCAGCAAAGUCAAAAGCCGAGGCCCGGAAUUGGAUGAGAGAUGAAUCUGUGAACUAAGAUUCCUGGAAGGCAAGGAAUUGAAGCUUGUGAGACCUUUUUAGCCUUUGUAUCCACUCCAUCUUAGGGGUACCUCCAGCACCGCGAAUGUUAAUGGAUAAGAAAUUCAUUGAGGAAUUGUGUUGACGCCAUUCUCCAGUACCAAAGAUUUCACUUGACCUUCAAAUCCAUCAAGAUUAAAGCCUAGACAAUUGCCAAUAACCAAAGUGUCAUUACCUCCACAUCUGCCUGAUUAAGGAUGGGGGGCAGCUGAAUCUGGGGUUAUGAGGUGAUUGUGGUGGUCUAGAUGAGGUUGAUUGAGAAAAACGUGGCAUCCAUAUAGUAUCUUUCAAUUUGAGGGAGUGUGGUAGUCGGACAGGGGUUUUGAGAGGGAAUUUUUUUCAAGGUCUUUUAUUGGCAUCCGCAAAAUUAUUGUUUAGAGAAUCAGAGGCGGAAACAGAUCUAUUGAAAUCAGGAAUGGGGGGAGGAUCCGAAAUACCAGCCCUGUUCUCCAAGUCGGAUGGAGUAGACACCGGAUUAUCCAUGCGACCUGGUGUUUGGUUCCCACUGUUAUUUUCCACUAACACCCCGCUCCCGAGUUGUAGCAAAGAAAAGAAGAGAAGAGAAAAGAAAGUAAGGAGAGAAAAGAAGAGAAAAGAAAGGAAAAAGAAAUUGCCAUUUGUGCUCCCGAGUUAGAGAGAAAUUGAAGGAAAAUUAAACAUUUUGUUCUUUCUUUUCAAAUCCUCCCAAAUCGGGAGGAAAGUUAGGAGGGAAAGUUUUCCUUCCAUUUCCUUCCACUUCUUUCCUUUAAUGAAACUCGGGAGCACCAUUUUCUCUUACUUUCCUCUCAUUUCCUCCCAUUUUCUUUCUUUUCUCUCUUUAAGUUGAACUCGGGAGCGGGGUGAAUGAUUUCUGUGCUGGUCCUGGUCAUGUGAAUCCAAUAAAAUAUUACCCACCUUGUUUCCAGUCGCACCAAGAUAAGUAGGAACAUAAGCAUUUAAAUUGGCAUUAUUGUCGUCAUCAGAGUCAAAACGAGAUUCCAUGACCACAGACGCCAUGUCGCCCCCCACAUGGUCCGGGAGGAUCUCCGUCGGCAAAGGUGAUGGGGAGUUAAGGAAAUUAUCACCGGUAUGCAUUUUGAUCGGAGACUCCUCAACAUACAAAUAUCUUGUAUCUGUUUUCCCGCCACAUAACAUCCACCAUUUCUUCAAUUCUCUCUAACGAUUUGACCAGAACGCACAUGCAUCCAGCAGACAAAUCCAUAGUUUCAAGUGGAGAAGCCGCAGGUGAUAUGACCCUACCAAAAAGUACUCCAAUCGAUUCAAAGCAUUGGCUAUCCCAAGCAUUAAAUGGAAUUCCAUCUAUUUUUAACCAAGCAGCACGUUGAUACUCAAUAUCUUGCCCAUUCCAUAUGUCGAGAUAGGUGAACCAAUUAGACCAAAUGGGUUUACCAUUGGCCAAGAAUUUAUUAGCAUCCGUCUCGUUCUUGAAGAUAACCAAAACCCGUAGGCCACCCAAGAAUUUUAUAGAAAUGUCUGUGACUCCAUCCGCCUUUAAACCCACCACCAAGUUGUCCAUUUUUUCAUAUUACAUACCUCACCUAUUAAGGAACGUUCUUUCCAUAACCCAUAUUGAACGCCAAAUUCAGGGGAAAUGGUAAUCGAUUUCAAAGGUUUUGAGCCGAUCGAAGGUUGUGCGGGAAAGGAUCCACGAAGGGCAUCCUUAUAGCUUCUACCACUAGUUCUAUUUGAAUUGGGAUUAAGAGUGUGAUUAUGUACCUAAUGAUUAAAUCUAGGAACAUUCUUAGGGAAGGCGGCACCACUGUUUCUUUCAUGCGAGUUCCAGAUUCGGUUCCCAUUUUUGUCAUAUUUUGCAAUAUUAGCCGCAAUUUUUGCCCCAUCAAUCUUCACAGAGUUAAGAUUAUCCACCAACCGAUUGUAGUCUUUGACUUUCAGAAACCGAAUGAAAGCAAAAAAAUUUCCCGCGUUGUCUUUCUGUUGUGGGAUGUAUGCAUCUGACAUGUGACCGAAGGAUUUGAAUAUCUUCCAUAAUAGGUUACUUGUGCAACCCUCAGGGAGAUUAGAGAUGAAGAUUGUGGUUUCCUGGGAUACCCCCUUAUCCAAUGAUCGAUUCUGGCGAUGUGUGACGUUUUGCCAGCCGCCGAUGUCCCCAGGAGGUUUUGGACGGUUCAUCUUCACAAGUGGCGUUUAUUUAAUACUUUGUUGUCACAGAAUUUUGUUGAUGAAUGUGAGCCGUUUAAAAAAAAUAAAAAAAAAAAAGGAAAAUUGGUGAUGGGUCUAAAAUGCAUGUCUGGAAUAACAAUUAUGUGGGAUUCAAGGAAGGAAAAUGAUUAGAAAUAGAUAAGACCGUUGAGACAUCUUGUUAAAUAUGAAAUCUCAUUCAAAAUUUGAGAAUCGAAUUAAUCAAUAUUUAUGGAUUGUAUUAAUAUCAAAACCAUAGAUAUACUGAAAUGGCUAAUUUUAAAGGGCGAGAAUGAAGGACUUUAAAAUUGAGUGAAAACUAAUGGUAUAAAGGUAAUUUAACUUUUAGAGAGCUAAUAAUAGAGAACUAGAAGAUUACAAGUGACAUCAAAAUAAUUCUUUUAUUAAGCAUGAAUUUUUUUUUUUAAUCACAAGAAAGAGUUAUUCAUUUUUUUAACAUAUAACGAAUAACGUAUAAUGUUUAUUUUUUAUAAUUUAUAAUACCUUUUUUACAAACAUUUAUAUCAAUAAUAUAAAAAUAUAUAUAUAAUUCCAUAUAUAUAUAUAUAUAUANNNNNNNNNNNNNNNNNNNNNNNNNNNNNNNNNNNNNNNNNNNNNNNNNNUAAUAAAUGUAUAUUAAUGUUAUUAAUUCAACUUUCUUUCUAAUUUUAAAAUUCAUAAAUUAUAACCUAAUUAUUUUACUUAUUUAUUUUUUAUUUAAAUUUAAAAGAGAAAUGAACAUUUCAAUUUUAAAUCCAUUUUUUCUCACUUUUCUUAUAAAUUUAAACUCUUAAAUGUUUAGACCUUUCUUAUAAAUUUAUAAAUUAUUUAUUAAUUCAACUUUCUUUCUAAUUUUAAAAUUCAUAAAAUAUAACCUAUUUAUUUAUUUAAAUUUAAAAGAGAAAUGAACAUUUCAAUUUUAAAUCCAGUUUUUCUCAUUUUUCUUAUAAAUUUAAACUCCUAAAUGUUUAGACCUUUAUACUUUUUAUUUAUUUUUAUUUUUUAAUAAACUUGUGUAUUUGUGAGUUUGGUCCAACUUAUUUUGGACUAGCUGUGACAACCCGAUAUUUUGACUCUAUGUAAUGACCUAAAAAGUCAAGUAUUGUAACCACUUUUGAUAUAAUGAAAUUAACUUUGAAAAAUAAAAUGUGCAAAAGUCUCUAUAGGGAUAUCUAUUAUGCUAGAUAUUGUGUCAAGGUUUACAGAAAAACUAAGAACACUAAAAUCCGAGUUAUAACGAAGAAGUUAUGACCAUUCUAAGAUUUCCGAAAAAACCGACAACACCGAUUAAACGAAAAACGCGAAGUUUCAAUAUAAUAGCUUUUUAGCCUUAAGUAUCUAAAUGAAAGUUGUAGAUAUCAUUAAACCGUGAGCGUACAUAAAAAGAACGUCCAAAUCUGACUUCAUAUGAGGAAGUUAUGAUUUUUCCAAGAUCCGAAUAUAGCAAUAGACAUCUAAGAACUCGAAAUAGAGAUCGAGAUACUUUUGGCCGAAACAGCCUAAAUGAGAAUCGAAGGUUUCAACAAUAGUAGUGCAAUGGUGAAAAGUCUGAUGAAAACGGACAUCGGAUGAAGAAGUUAUGGAGUUUUAACAGACUUUUCGUGUCCCGGCCCGUUAAAAAUAAAUAAUUAAAAAUAAAGUCAAAAUUUGUCGAUGAAGUCUAAACGAGAGUUGUAGAGUAUAUUCUCACCUAUGCGUGUAUAUAAAGAACGUCGAAAACGGAGCUCGUACGCAAAAGUUACGGAUUUGACAAGUUUAAGGCUCAAAAUCCGAGGCUGUCAGGUCUGCCACGACGCGGCACAGCUGGCCACGACCCGGCAAGUGACUAAGGGCGUCCCAUCAAUGGAAGAGGGUAAGGCAGCCCACCACGACGUGGCCAACCCUUUGCCACGACGUGGCACCCAAAUUCCUCCACUAUAAAUAGAAAUCUUGGGGUGCCGGGUUUAGGUACUCCAUUCUUCUCUCUCUCUCCUGCCAAAACUCUGCGGUUAAGCUCCCGAAGCCCUGGUUUUCACACUUAAGUUCCGAAGGAAGAUUCUAUACUUCCGAGACUCCCGAGAUUCCCGAGAAAAUCAACUCUUCCAAGUCGAAGUUCUGCUCGAUUAUCAUCUCGCUUUCUCCAAUCAAUCAAGUGAGUUCAUACCCUUAUAAACUACACUUUCAAAUGUUUUAUCAAUGCUUUUUAUACACUUUUAAGGGGGGAAAUACAAAUAAACACACGAUUAUUAUCGUGUGUAACAUAGAGUAUCACUAUAUAUACUUUUUUUUAUCAAGGGAAUCAUAUGUGAUUCAUAACUACUACAUAGGAACUUUCGUAUGCAAUAUAUAUAUCCAAGAUUACAUCUUGUUUUUUGGAAAUAAGACAUGUUUAUAUAUCUAUAGUAUAUUAUAAAGCAUACAUAUUUAAAGUCUUAAAUACAAGUUACAAAGCUUAACUUACAAUCAAAUAAAACAUCUCUUAGAAAAUUGUCUUAAAAACAACUUAUAUAGCAUAAUGUACAAACAUUUUACUUUUACUGGCAACCAGCUCCAAACGUUAUUAACAGCUUUCAUUACACACGGAUUGCCACCUACGCUUUUAAAUUUGUUUGAUCCGGUGGAUGUAAUUAAUUGAAAAACUAUAAAAUGGAUCUAACGAAUAAAAUUACAUUUAACAAACACAAAUAAUGGAUUUAAUCCUAGUCAAAUAUUCACAUGGAUUGCCAACCUGUUUUUACUUCCUUUAAAAAGUCAAAUGAUCUACGACUUUUCUUUACUCAUCAAUUCUCUUUAUUUCUCUUCAAAAAUUUAUUUCCAUCUCAUCAUCUCUAUAUGUAUACUUUGUCCUUCCUUCCACGGUUGGAUUAACUAGGGAUGUCAACGGGGGCAAACGGGAUGGGGAUUGCAUCCUCCGCCCCCGCUCCCAAAAUUUUCCCGUUCCCCCGCCCCCGCCUCCGAAUUNNNNNNNNNNNUCCCCCGCCCCCGAUUGAUUUUGGGCUAACUUAUUUGGGCUAAAAUAAGUUCUUGUUUGGGCUAAAAGAAACUAUUUUUUGGAUAACAAAUAGAUAUUUAUAACAUAACUUUACAUGUUACAAACAACUUAAAAACAUGUUUUUGUUGAAUUUUUGUACGUAAAAAUCAUUUCGUUUUUUAUUAUACUUAUAUAAUUAACAUAUGUCAAUUUAUAUAAUUUAUUAACGGGGCCCCCACGGGGGUUUUGGGACGGGACUACCAACUCUCGCCGCCGCCCCCGAAAUUAAAACGGGGUUAACCUUGCCCCCGCCCCCAUCCCGUCCCCGAUUUUUUUCAACAAAUGCCCGCAUACAAGACGGAGCCCCCACAGGAUCAGGGUCCCACGGGACUUUUUAACAUCCCUAGGAUUAACUUCCGGCAAUUUAUUGCCGCUCCAACAAAACAAUACUUUUGUUUUUGUAGGGAUGAAAAUAAAUGGUUUUUGGCUUACAUUCUUCAAAAAGUGCAUACUCCUACUUGAUGAAUAAUUUGCGGUUGAUGGUCUUCUUAGAUCUGAAAGAGCACAAGAAAAGUUGACAAACGAGCAAAAAAAAUAUUGUUUAUUUAUUUGUUCAUAUUAUAUUGUAAAUAGCGGCAAAACUUGCUGUUUCAACCUUCACCGUACAACUCCAUAGAUUUGACGGGAAGAUUGAACAACCCGUCACAGCCUCCUUCUUUAGUCGAUUCAACCUUCACCACCGUAAACUACCAUCGCCUGCUUGACAUAACUUCACCGUACCUUCAUCAAGAUCAAUUAAAGGGUAGGGAUAUUUGGUGACUGGUCUACGUAUCGAUACACAAAAGAGGAAGUGUGUAUUCAAUAUGUCGGCAGUAGAAAACAAUAAAAGAAAUAGGGCAAAUAAGUGAAAUUGAGUAAUUGAUUUGGUUGGGCCUCUUUUUCAACGGAAAACACAUUUUUAAGUGGGCUGCUAAAUUAAUUAGAUUAAUCAACAACUUGUGGCCUGCCCUAUAAGACCUGAGGGUGUGGGAGGGAUUCUUCCUUCACUUAUGGUGGGCCAUACCUUUAUUUCCCUCACUUUUUUUUUCUAACCAAAAAGCCAAGAAAUGGGUCGGAAGCCCUUCCCUCACUUUUUUUUUAAUAUAUUUCAUACAUAUAUUAUACUAAUUUUGUAGGGAAUUAAAAACCAUGAAUUUUGAUAUAUUUUUUAUAUUUUUAUAAUAAAUAUAUAAUUUUAUAAAUAUUAAAAAAAAUAAAAAGAAAAAAAAUAAAAAAAUAAUAAUUGACCAAUGAGAAGAGGAGAGAGAGUGCGGCACCCUCUCCCCCCACCUUUUUUCCCGCAUUCCAUUCCCUCACCCACGGAGUGGUGUUCAAGAGGGGAGGGAAGCUUCCCUCACCCCACUCCGUCUAGUCUAAGCAUAUAUUUAGUUUUUUUUUUUUUUUGAAACGACAAAUAUCAUUAAAAGGCUACAGCCUUGCAAGACGCUAGGGAGGACAAAGGAGUACAAGAAAGAAGAAGAAGAAAUUAUAGACACAAAAAAGGAUUGAUGCACCAGUCAAACCAUUGAAAAUUACAAUGCUCUCUCCUAUAUUUGAUCCAUAGAAACACUGUGGAUUUCACAAAGUCAGCCACCUUAACAGGAGAGAUUCUAGAUUUUUUGAAGACCCAAUCACACCUUGCUUUCCAAAGAAGCCAUGCCGUCCCGUAAUAGAUACUGAUGAAGUUUUUUCUCCUCUUUGUACAUGUCCCCCACUGCGAUGAAAACUUCAGUAAUUCCUCCACAGAUGCGAAUUGAACAUUAGGGAUGUCACACCAACAGAACACCCAUUCCCAAACCUGCACAACCAUUGGGCAUCGAAGGAUCACAUGGGAUGCAUCCUUUUCUUCAGCCCCACAAUAGGUGCAUAUGGGUGAUUCCAGUUGAAUACCUCGUUUGAGUAGAGCGCUUGCGGUUGGUAUUCUGUCUAAAUCUGCCCUCCAUAUAAAGCAUGUCACCUUCAAUGGGAUCUCAUGAAUCCAUCUUAAGUGAGUCUCCAUCGAUGGUAUGUUCCAGCAAUCAAUUUUAAACCUAAGCGUAUCAACAUGAAAAACCCCAUCACUAGAUAAAGUGCACCUCCACUUAUCUCUUCCUUCUGUAAUUUGAUAUUCACGGACUGUGGUAGUGAGCAUAUUGAUUUCACUAAUCUGAUCCACCGUUCUUGGCGAUGAUUUCCAUUCUCAGUUCAUAGUACCAUGCUGUAUCCGGUUACUUAUUGUACAAUGCUUGCGGCUUUCCAGUUUGUAUGCCUCUGGGAAGGAAUUCUUCAGCAUUGAGCCACCAAUCCAUCUGUCAAGCCAAAACAUGGUCUCAUCUCCUGAUCCAAUUUUCUUUAUUAUUACUUCAUCAAUGUCAAUUCCAAACUUUUUCAAUUCAUCUUGCACUCUAGCCACUCGACUCCAUACUCCAGGUAGUGUUUUCUUACAGAUAUGUUGUGUGCAGGUUUGCCAUGGAGAUUAUGAAUUCCUUUAAUAACUUUGUUCCAUAAACCUGAAUUGUCUACUUUGAGCCUCCAUAUCCAUUUCGGAAUUAGUGUGUAACAUCCCCCUCUGGCACGUAUCACAAUAUUGUCCGCUUUGGGCGACUCGGCACGAGGACUUCCCAGGGGGUCACCCAUCCUGGUACUACUCCCGCCCGAGCACGCUUAACUGCAGAGUUCUUAUGGGAUCUGCUGCCCUCAUGGCUUUAAAACGCGUUGUGAUAGGGAAGGUAUCCACACCCCUUAUAAGGAAUGCUUAGUUCUCCUUCCCAGCCGAUGUGGGAUCAGAUCUAACCCACUUUCACCCCCCAUUAUAGGGUUCGACGUCUCCAUCGAACACAUCGACCCGUGCCCUGGCUCUAAUACCAACUUGUAACAACAGAAAUUUUAAAACAAAAUUUUCAUUUCUUAAAAUGUAUUUUCAUCCAAAAUAAGGCAUAAAGAUCCAAUGUAUCAUGUCAUAAUACAAAUCAUAUAAAAUCCCAAGAUCAUAAAUCCUCCAUCAGUGUGUACAGAUCACGCCGGCGCCUUCCCACGGUCCUCGCUAGUACCUGAAACACAUACACAACAACUGUAAGCAUAAAUGCUUAGUGAGUUCCCCAAAAUACACCCUACGCACAUACGCCUUUCCAGGCCCUGACCUUCCGGUCCAUGUGUCUCAGGGGACUUCCGUCCCUGCUGGGUAAACCUUCCGGUCCUACCCACGCCAACCUUACGGUCCACAUUACAACGCCUUCCGGCCCAUAACAUAUUUGCCUUCCGGCCCAUAGCAUAAUGGCUUUCGGCCCAUAUCAAGCAUAUCAUCCAUAGCACAUAUAACAAUUAACUUAUCACAUAUAGCACAUGUCUCAUACCAUAUUCGAUCUUCCGGUCACACAGUCAAAACCCUUCCGGGUACAGUAUAGUGAGAAGACUCACCUCGUGGAUAUCGAUAGCUAGCAAAUCCUGGAAUCACUCGUGCUCGAUCCUCCGAGCUACAAUCUAUUGGGUUUUGGCCAUAAGAACAUCUUAUGUGCUCAUACAAACCCUAAUGCUUGGAUCUAGGUUUCUCUAUUGUACAUGCAAUUCAUCCAAGACUUUAAACCCCAGAUCUAGCAUACAAUUAAUCAAAUUAACUUAUGAAUGGGGUUUAGAUCUUACCUUGAUUGUUAUGUAGCAAUAACAAUCUCAAAUCCUCCUUGUAAUGACUUUAGAAAGCUUAGAGUCACAAAUGUCACUCCUCUAAUGGUUCACAAACACCAAGAGCAAGAGGAUAAAGAAUAAGGAGUAAGGAGGCUGCCCAAAACGUGUGAAAACCCUAAGGAACAAGUUCACCACGUUUUUGAGUCUCAAGGGUCCUUUAAAUAGUGAGGCUAUUAGGGUUAUCUAACAAGGAAACCCUAAUUUGGAUGCUUAGGCCCUAAGCAACCCAUGGACUCCCUCCUUAGAGGCCUAGGACGAUUUCUAAUGGGUUUCCCCAUAGAAUUCGUCCACCCCUCUAAUAUGGAGUCCAUUAGCCCAAUAUUCAACUAUCACAAAAUUGACAGUUCUAGCCCCUUAAGUUUAAUUAAUGUCUUUUAGCCACAAACAUAAUUCUUAUUAAUUCUUGACUAAUAUUAAUUAAACAAUAUGAUUUCUCCUUUAAUAUAUUAUUCUCAUAAUAUAUUAAUAAAUCAUAAUUAAUCCUCUCUCUCCAUAAUUCAUCCUAUCAAGUUGCUUUGGUGAAGGCAACCCAAAAGGACCAUGCACCAUCGGGUCAAGUACAUACCAAAAUAGUUAUGGACUUAGACACUAAUCCAACAGUCUCCCACUUGGAUAAGUCUAACAACUAUUCUGCGUAUGACUUCGGAUCCCGAUCUGCAAUCGUAGCUUUCCAAAGCCGCUGUCAACUCUGAUCAUAUCAGAUACGCGUGUCCUUAGAUAAGGGAUCAUAUAUUCCUCCAUUCUAGAUAUCAUAUGAGAUAUGAUUUCAAAUCAUUCUCUUUGUACUAUAUCUCGAUUUCCGAUUUAUGACGACUGACUAAUUGAACAAAUCAAAUUAGCCCUAGCCCGGCCGAGCAUUUACGUUUGUCAUCACUAAACCAUCGAGGGGCCCAAAGAUAUCGCUUUUAUCCUACUUUGGAUAAAAGGAACGGAUAAACUUUGAUACAAUGCUUGCUUGCACUCACUCACCGAAUCACACACAACAAUAUGUUUUAUAACACCAAGUUACUAGUGCGUUUACAUAUUAUCAAUGUGCAACCGAUUUGCAAGAUACAACUCACACAUCUCGGUUUCAAGAAUAUAAGAUGUUAUCGUCUCACCAAUCACUCGUGAUACAAUUCAUGGAGUGAUCCAAGUGAGCGUGGGUUUAAUCCAAUGCUCAAAUCACAUUCAUAAGCACUCAUGAACGUUGCAGCAAACAUUUGCUUAUGUCUAAUACUCUUUUAGACAAUCCACACACCAAUUCACGACAGUCUUCAUUCAUAUCUACUUCCAACAUAUGAACGACUGUGGCCCGUUUGAAUAAUUCGAUUAUUCUUAAUAAACUCAAUUAUUCUGGAAGUCAAAACAUGCAAAUGUGAAACACAAGAAUAAUACUAAUCCCAUAUGGCCUCAAACCUUUGAGUAUAAAUAAAACACCUUUUAUUUAUCACCAUAUUGAUUACUCAUUAUUUGUCGUUUCGGGUAAUCAACUUCUUACUUGAAUUCCAACACUUGUCCCAUGCUCCUAGCAUGCACACAAUGUUUACCUAUGGUUCUUACUUUGUGAAAUAGAUCACAUUGAACACAUUUCCAAUCCUUCUCAUUUCACAACUCCAAAUCCGUUUUUCAUAAGUCAAAGAAUAUCAAAUUCUUGCUACUUAUAGAAUAUGCUAGAUUCUAACAUUCUAUGCAACUAUCCUUUCGUAAUGUCACUGCACCAAAGUCACAAAGACUAUUGCCAAUGAUAUUACAAAGUCCUCUAUCGGAGAUUGUUACAAGACAAUUCCAUAGACGUGAUGUCUCUCACUCAAAGUACAUUCUUUGAACAUCCUUUUGCAUAGAAGUUUCUAAUCUAGUCAUAGAUUUCUCAAUAUUCAAUUCCCAAUAUGGACACACUUCCAUAUGUUCCAUAUGACAACUCAUUCUUAAUAGAAUCUUAUCUAUUCGUAAUGAUGUCGAUAUGGUCCAUCCAAUAUGGAAACAUUUCCAUAUUUUCCAAUACUAUACUUCCAACUACUCACAAGCGACCAAUCCUCGUCGAACUUUGGAUUGUCCUUUGAUAGUUGUUUAAUUAUUUUAGUCAAAACCAAUUCUAGUCCCUUUUCCCUCUAAAUGCGCUCGACAUUUGGAAAAUUUUAGAAUGGUCAAACAUUAAAGCAUUUGCAAUCGAUCCUAUACCCGAAGCGUAUGGGACACGACGCAUAAUGUUUUAUUUGCUAUGUUCUCAAAAUUCGAAUUGUGAAGAGGAAUGCCGUAAUCAUAAUCGAAAUUUUAAGAACACACUAUGUACCUUUGACUAAAUUUAUUAACAUUUCUCAACCUAAUCCUUUAGAUUUGAAAUGAAGCAUAAUAUUCUCUCCCUUAAUUAUAGCAAAACAACCUUUCAACUCUUACAACUUUGCAAAGUAUGACUCUUGUUUUCUAUAAUUAAUAUUGCUAACCUUGCAAUACUUUCCUUAAUAAUCAUACAAUCAUAACAUUUAUGCUCCCACUAUCAUGAUGAUUACUAUAAAACAUAACACUUAUGCUCCCACUAGCUUCGACAUGUAUUCAUAAACAUCUUAACUUUCAGAAAAACAAUACUUAUUGAAUUUCUUAAGUUCAUGUUUCUAAUACUUAGUGCUUUGAUAAUCUUUUAUCAAGGCUUCUUGAACUUAUACACCUUUGCCUUCGAUAGUUCAUAUGUGUGUCUAAACAAUUAAGACUAAUUGCCAAACCUCACAAUUCAAAUUAUGGAAAGGGAUACCGUAACCAUAAUCGAAUUCGAGAAUGCAAUUUUACAAUCACUAUCUUCUUAAAAUCUUUCUUAGUGAAAGCAUUUCCUCACAAUCAUUUUCAUGAAGGAGGAAAUCUUAUGACACUUAGAUUUAAACGGUGUAUGUGUUCCUAUCCAUGUGAAUUUGUUAAAACCAAAGUUUACGACAAAUUCAAACUCAUAUGGACCGAACUUUCUUAAUCUUGAUUUCUUGCUUUAUGGUAGCACAGCUGCCCACCAUGUCUUCCAAGUAGUUAAGCAGCUCACCCUUUCCUAUCAAUGUACCUUUCAUUGAUUAAGGUGCUUUGCCUUUUAUGCGUUCAAAAUGAGAACUCAUAGAACUCACAUGCAUAAUUAACUCGAUUGGAUUGGCACAGAAACAAAAUAAUGUCAACACGAUAGGUUGUAAACCUCAACUCGUGUGCUAGUGAUGAUCGAUAAGGUUUUUUUGAUUUGUUCUUGAAACCUUUCAAGACCAUUAAGACUCCCACUGACUCCUUGACAUAUAAGAUUCUCUUGUCAAUAAACAUUUCUUGACAAACAAAUAUUCAAGAGUUAGUGUAGUUUUUAUCAAAACACUUCAUAAAUUGGUCCUAGUUGGUCUUUGUCUUAUCCAAGACAUCACAACUUUCCACAUUUGAUGAAUGUUAUAAACCUUCUUAAUACUUUUCACUCAAUGUCACAAUCUUAACUCUAAGACUUGUUUUGGAACGAAGUAUGAUUGACUUCUUGAUUUAACCAUUUCUUCAAUUCUUGAUUCCUCUUCUUAGACAUACAAUUGUACUAAGACUCACUUAGAGGAUCAAUUGAGAUAUGGUUCUUAAUCAUUAAGACCUAUCAUAAAGCAUAAAAGGUACUCUCCCUUCUUCUUAGAAUGGAGAAACUUUUAUCUUUCUGCCUACUUGAUUCUUCUUAUUCGUUCUGCUAUUGAUUUAAACUUUUUCAAUCAAUUCAGAAUUACACUUAAUCUUAUAAGUAUAAUCAUAUUUACUAAACCUUUAGUAAAUCAUGACGAAUAUCUUUGUUACUCUUAUGGUGGACUUGAUCAACACGCAACUUUGUGUACUCGAUCUCCUAGUCCUUCACUUGACACUUUGUCAAUGAAUUAGUCUAAUUUCCAAAUAUGAAAUUUCUCAUUCAUCGUGCAACCAAGUUGCAUGAUUCCAAGUUUCUGUCCAAUUGAAACUUGGGUGAUGAGAAACUUUCCUUAUUCGGUAAAUUCUUCGACAUUUCCACAAAUAACAUAAUAAGAACCAAAUCCAUUAUUGCUAAUAAUAGAAACAUUCAAACAUCAAUUUUUCAUAUAUGCCAUUGCAAGGAUAAAUAAAUAAUAUAAAAUCAAAAUUUAUUUUAUUGCGGAAAAAAUUUGUCCUUACAAUGCAAUUCAUUGAAAAACUAUGCUAAUACAUCUUUCUUAGCAAUCUAAUUCUAACUCUAAGUAGUAGCUCAAGAAUCUAAUCUUCGAGAAAUGCGAUCGAAAUCCAUUCCUUCACGGUUAGAUUCUGCUCACUUCUUCCCUUAAGCUUCCUUUCUUUUCUUCGAUCCUACAAAACAUCAAUUGUAAUCUUAUCACAUUAUGUAUUAAGAAUCUAGAAUAGAAGCUUAAAAGAGUUAGUUAAUGGAUUUUACCUAAAGUAGAGCCAUACGUUUUGACUCUCCCAUCUCUUAGAUCUCUUAGGUAAAUAGGGCAGCUUCGUCUCCAAUGCCCCUUCUCUUGGCAAUAAAAGCAAAUUGACUCUUUUGGAACAUGACAUGGAACUACUUCAGACAUUGCCUUUCUCUUAUGAUCAAACUUUUCGAUCAUAGCAUGUCUUUCGUUGCCAUUGUCUAUAUCCAUAGAGGUCUUGAAGGCAGAUUCACCAAUCAACUUUGCUUUUCUAUUGCGCCAAACCAUUGCUGAUUCAGCAGCAAUAAGCAUAUAGGUGAGAUCUAUAAGGGUCACGUCGCGGUUCAUCAUAUAGUACUCUCUUACGAACUCACUAUAUGAGUUAGGAAGUGACUGAAGAACCCAAUCAACAGCCAUCUCCUCACAGACAACGGAUCCCAACAUUCUUAACCUAUCAAUGUGUGACUUCAUCUCUAGGACGUGUGCACACACCGACUUUCCUUCUUCAUGUUUACUUGCCAAAAGGGCUUGAGUGAGCUUGAACUUUUCAAGCCUUCGAACUUGUGGGUUAGGGAGAAUAAUUGGAGGAGGUGGAGGAAGUGAAGCAUGAUUUCUUGUUCCUCGAUCGAAUCGUGGAAUAUCAUCUUCAUGUGGAAUGCUUGUUCCACGGGAUUUGGGAAGACCAUAGUUGUCGUACUUUGACAUCUACAAAACGGGAGAAAACAAAUUCAAGUUAGUUGAUUGAUUGAGUCCUUAAUAAAUCACCCAAAUGAGAUAUUAAGGCUAAGACCCAACAUAAUACGCUACAACCUAGAAAGGGAUGUCGUAAUCUAGUUGCAGAAUAUUUGAAGGUAAGUGAAUGACGAUUCACUAAUUUUCCACCAUGAAAAACGAAAAACCGAUUAAGUUUUAAAUGCUUUGAAAACUCCUAGAUCCUUUGAGAUUCAUUGAACUUUUCAAUGGCAUGUUUAAAUCUCGAUAUGCCCCUCGAUUUGUGACUGGGAUGCCGAGGAUCACAAAACAGGGUGUGAAUAACCAUGCAAACUUACAUGGUGCCCCCACAUGUUACAGUCACCUAUUCGAUGUGCCGGUUAACCACACACGCUCCACCGAACUAUGACAAACAUUGAGUCACCCUUUGCUACCUUUGCUUAGAACCAUUUAGUGUGUUGGUUACCCACACACGCUCCACUAACGUCUUUGCAAGGGUGCAAAGUGUAAUUUCAUGGAAUUGCAUCAAUUCACUUUUGCCUAAAGUAACUAAGAUUGGGAAUUUGUAAAACAUUUAGUUACUUUUGUACUUCAUUAUACUUAUAAUGGAAGGUUUCUGUCCUAUCCUACCCGUUCGGCUAACGACCCUCCACUAGUCAAGAGUGCGGUGGGUAAGAGUGGAUACCCAUUCAAUCGCCAUUUUAUAGGCAAUUUCCUUAAACACCCCUUAUAGACCAGCUUCGUGAAUGAGGCCUACUAACGGUAAGACUGACUUUUACUCAUACAUAUAUAUAAUGUUAGACUUUUGAUGUUACAUAUAGUAUAGGGUGUAUUUUACAUUUUUGAAAUACUAGUUGGUCAAAUUUAACAAUUAUACUUUUAAUUCAAUUAAAUUGUGGACCAAAACUUUAUGGAUUUAUUAUUAUACACUUUAAUUAAUUAAUAAAACCAUAAGGGUGUGAUUUGAACUUUUCAAAACAAUACUAGGGUUUUAGAAUUUAACAUUUCUAAAUUAAAAUUUUAAUCAACUUUUAAAUUCCAAAAACUUGAGGGCAAGUUUUGAAACAUUUCAAAACAUUAGGGUUUCAACUAUUUAAAUUUCAAAAACAAAACUUUUAAAUUCAAAUUUAAACUAUAAAACCUAAAGGGGAAAUUUUGAAACUUUUUCACAAGAUAAUUCAAAUCUAAAUUACAAAUAAUCAAAUUUUAUCUAAUAAAACAAAUGAUUAUCUAAAUUUUGACAAUUAUCUUCUAUUUUCGUAAGGAUAAUCACCAAAUAUUUAUAAAAUUCGGAUUUUAUAACAAAAACACGUUUAUGGUAAUUAUCCAAGGCCAAAACAGGAAGAAAAUCGCGAAUAUGAGCUGUUGGACGCUUUGACUCGUCGAGUCUAGACCUGGACUCGACAAGUUCACCAAGUGACUCGGCGAGUCAAACACUCAGAAGCAAAAAUUUUCGAUUUUUAGUGCUGAUUUCGAUCAAAUAUGCAUCAAUACAAUAGAAAUCAAUCAAGGCUUUGAUACCACUGUUGGGUUUUGGCCAUAAGAACAUCUUAUGUGCUCAUACAAACCCUAAUGCUUGGAUCUAGGUUUCUCUAUUGUACAUGCAAUUCAUCUAAGACUUUAAACCCCAGAUCUAGCAUACUAUUAAUCAAAUUAACUUAUGAAUGGGGUUUAGAUCUUACCUUGAUUGUUAUGUAGCAAUAACAAUCUCAAAUCCUCCUUGUAAUGACUUUAGAAAGCUUAGAGUCACAAAUGUUACUCCUCUAAUGGUUCACAAACACCAAGAGCAAGAGGAUGAAGAAUAAGGAGUAAGGAGGCUACCCAAAACGUGUGAAAACCCUAAGGAACAAGUUCACCACGUUUUUGAGUCUCAAGGGUCCUUUAAAUAGUGAGGCUAUUAGGGUUAUCUAACAAAGAAACCCUAAUUUGGAUGCUUAGGCCCUAAGCAACCCAUGGACUCCUUCCUUAGAGGCCUAGGACGAAUUCUAAUGGGUUUCCCCAUAGAAUUCGUCCACCCUUCUAAUAUGGAGUCCAUUAGCCCAAUAUUCAACUAUCACACAAUUGACAGUUCUAGUCCCUUAAGUUUAAUUAAUGUCUUUUAGCCACAAACAUAAUUCUUAUUAAUUCUUGACUAAUAUUAAUUAAACAAUAUGAUUUCUCCUUUAAUAUAUUAUUCUCAUAAUAUAUUAAUAAAUCAUAUUUAAUCCUCUCUCUCCAUAAUUCAUCCUAUCAAGUUGCUUUGGUGAAGGCAACCCAAAAGGACCAUGCACCAUCGGGUCAAGUACAUACCAAAAUAGUUAUGGACUUAGACACUAAUCCAACAGUCUCCCACUUGGAUAAGUCUAAUAACUAUUAUGCGUAUGACUUCAGAUCCUGAUCUGCAAUCGUAGCUUUCCAAAGCCGCUGUCAACUCUGAUCUUAUCAGAUACGCGUGUCCUUUAGAUAAGGGAUCAUAUAUUCCUCCAUUCUAGAUAUCGUAUAGANNNNNNNNNNNNNNNNNNNNNNNNNNNNNNNNNNNNNNNNNNNNNNNNNNNNNNNNNNNNNNNNNNNNNNNNNNNNNNNNNNNNNNNNNNNNNNNNNNNNNNNNNNNNNNNNNNNNNNNNNNNNNNNNNNNNNNNNNNNNNNNNNNNNNNNNNNNNNNNNNNNNNNNNNNNNNNNNNNNNNNNNNNNNNNNNNNNNNNNNNNNNNNNNNNNNNNNNNNNNNNNNNNNNNNNNNNNNNNNNNNNNNNNNNNNNNNNNNNNNNNNNNNNNNNNNNNNNNNNNNNNNNNNNNNNNNNNNNNNNNNNNNNNNNNNNNNNNNNNNNNNNNNNNNNNNNNNNNNNNNNNNNNNNNNNNNNNNNNNNNNNNNNNNNNNNNNNNNNNNNNNNNNNNNNNNNNNNNNNNNNNNNNNNNNNNNNNNNNNNNNNNNNNNNNNNNNNNNNNNNNNNNNNNNNNNNNNNNNNNNNNNNNNNNNNNNNNNNNNNNNNNNNNNNNNNNNNNNNNNNNNNNNNNNNNNNNNNNNNNNNNNNNNNNNNNNNNNNNNNNNNNNNNNNNNNNNNNNNNNNNNNNNNNNNNNNNNNNNNNNNNNNNNNNNNNNNNNNNNNNNNNNNNNNNNNNNNNNNNNNNNNNNNNNNNNNNNNNNNNNNNNNNNNNNNNNNNNNNNNNNNNNNNNNNNNNNNNNNNNNNNNNNNNNNNNNNNNNNNNNNNNNNNNNNNNNNNNNNNNNNNNNNNNNNNNNNNNNNNNNNNNNNNNNNNNNNNNNNNNNNNNNNNNNNNNNNNNNNNNNNNNNNNNNNNNNNNNNNNNNNNNNNNNNNNNNNNNNNNNNNNNNNNNNNNNNNNNNNNNNNNNNNNNNNNNNNNNNNNNNNNNNNNNNNNNNNNNNNNNNNNNNNNNNNNNNNNNNNNNNNNNNNNNNNNNNNNNNNNNNNNNNNNNNNNNNNNNNNNNNNNNNNNNNNNNNNNNNNNNNNNNNNNNNNNNNNNNNNNNNNNNNNNNNNNNNNNNNNNNNNNNNNNNNNNNNNNNNNNNNNNNNNNNNNNNNNNNNNNNNNNNNNNNNNNNNNNNNNNNNNNNNNNNNNNNNNNNNNNNNNNNNNNNNNNNNNNNNNNNNNNNNNNNNNNNNNNNNNNNNNNNNNNNNNNNNNNNNNNNNNNNNNNNNNNNNNNNNNNNNNNNNNNNNNNNNNNNNNNNNNNNNNNNNNNNNNNNNNNNNNNNNNNNNNNNNNNNNNNNNNNNNNNNNNNNNNNNNNNNNNNNNNNNNNNNNNNNNNNNNNNNNNNNNNNNNNNNNNNNNNNNNNNNNNNNNNNNNNNNNNNNNNNNNNNNNNNNNNNNNNNNNNNNNNNNNNNNNNNNNNNNNNNNNNNNNNNNNNNNNNNNNNNNNNNNNNNNNNNNNNNNNNNNNNNNNNNNNNNNNNNNNNNNNNNNNNNNNNNNNNNNNNNNNNNNNNNNNNNNNNNNNNNNNNNNNNNNNNNNNNNNNNNNNNNNNNNNNNNNNNNNNNNNNNNNNNNNNNNNNNNNNNNNNNNNNNNNNNNNNNNNNNNNNNNNNNNNNNNNNNNNNNNNNNNNNNNNNNNNNNNNNNNNNNNNNNNNNNNNNNNNNNNNNNNNNNNNNNNNNNNNNNNNNNNNNNNNNNNNNNNNNNNNNNNNNNNNNNNNNNNNNNNNNNNNNNNNNNNNNNNNNNNNNNNNNNNNNNNNNNNNNNNNNNNNNNNNNNNNNNNNNNNNNNNNNNNNNNNNNNNNNNNNNNNNNNNNNNNNNNNNNNNNNNNNNNNNNNNNNNNNNNNNNNNNNNNNNNNNNNNNNNNNNNNNNNNNNNNNNNNNNNNNNNNNNNNNNNNNNNNNNNNNNNNNNNNNNNNNNNNNNNNNNNNNNNNNNNNNNNNNNNNNNNNNNNNNNNNNNNNNNNNNNNNNNNNNNNNNNNNNNNNNNNNNNNNNNNNNNNNNNNNNNNNNNNNNNNNNNNNNNNNNNNNNNNNNNNNNNNNNNNNNNNNNNNNNNNNNNNNNNNNNNNNNAGGGAGGUGACUCGUUGCUAUUUCGGGAGUUCAGCAACACGAAGCCACCUGAGUUUGACGGGACGCAGGAUCCGAUCGCUGCGAUGAGAUGGAUUGUUGAUAUCGAGGGAUGCUUAUACACUUGUUCAUGUCCGGAGCAUCUGAGGGUACGGUUCGCCUUGAACCAACUUCGUCUGGGAGCAAAGGAUUGGUGGAAGUUCGUGACGGUGAACUUCACUUUGGCAGAGGUUUCAGUUGUGACAUGGGAGAGGUUUACCUCUAUGUUCAGAGAUGAGUACGUUCCCCUAGUGGAAAGGGAACGGUUGGUUCAGGAGUUCUUGACCCUCAAGCAGGGUAAUGAUUCUCUCACGGUGAUCACGCGGAAAUUUCAUGAGAGGGCGAUGUUCUGCCCCGAGCAGGUGUCCACGGAGCAGGCUCGGAUGAGCCGGUAUUUGGGUGUGCUGAGGAGGGAUAUCCGGGAGUUCGUAUCGAACUCGACAUAUCAUACCUUUGCUGAGCUUCAGGCGAAUGCCAGGAAGCGUGAGAUCGAGUUGGAGACCCAGGCCAGGGAGGAGGCCGAGUCUCAACGGGUGGAUCGNCAGUCUCAGCCGGCAGCCAAGCGGACUAAGUCCGCCGAUUCGAGGAUGGGAGGUCUGAAGGGUCGCACUUGCGGAAAGUGCUGCAAGGGUCACGAGGGAACAUGUUGAUCAGGUGCUUGCUACAAGUGUGGCAAGGAAGGGCACAUUGCUAGGGAUUUCCCCAAGGGGUUUAUGGUUUGCUUCCAUUGCAACCAGACCGGCCAUCGGAAGGCCGAGUGCCCUCAGCUUCACCAGGGAUCUGCACCUGCUGCCAGGGCUACUGAGACUCGACCAGUGAAGGCCGAGGCCCCGAGGGCUCGUGGGAGAGCUUUCCAAUUGACUGCGGAGGAGGUCCGCGCGGCGCCUGAUGUUGUGGCUGGUAUGUAUUCUUUCGUGUAAUUAUUAUUCUUUAUGGGAUGUUAUGCUUAUUUAAUGUUUAUGUGUAGGUACUUUUCUUAUGAAUUCUGUACCUGCUUUAGUAUUAUUUGACUCGGGUACAAGUCGGUCUUUCGUAUCUUUGGCCUUUAGUCAACAUAUCAGUGUUAGUCGUGAGGCGUUGAGUCGGCCUCUGAGAGUUUCUAUAGCUGACGAGAGAGUGGUUUGUGCCACGGAGGUUCUCCGGGGAUGUGUGUUAGAGAUUUUCGGGGUUGAGUUUCCGAUUGAUCUGAUUCCUAUUGCGAUGGGUGAUGUCUGUGUCAUUGUGGGCAUGGACUGGUUGAGCAGAUUCGGUGCGGUUAUCGACUGCGAGCGACAGCUGGUGACCAUACGAGACCCUAGUGGGGGAGUUCUUUCGGUGUACGGCGAGGGUACACGUUUGGGAUCAGCUUUUUGUCCGGCCGUUAGGGCGUGGCAGUGUCUACAGCGGGGCUGUAAGGGUUUUGUGGCGUAUGUGAUGGAUACACGGGUGGAUUCCGAGAGACCGAGGUCAGUUGAGGAGGUUCCGNGUUUUUCCCGAGGAGUUGCUGGGUGUGCCUCCUGUGAGGCAAGUGGAGUUCAAUAUCGACUUGGUUCCGGGGGCCGCGCCUAUCGUAAGGUGCCUUAUCGUCUUGCACCUCCAGAGAUGCAAGAGUUAUCCUCGCAGCUUCAGGAGCUGCUGGGGAAGGGGUUUAUUCGGCCGAGCAGCUCGCCGUGGGGAGCGCCUAUCCUGUUCGUCAAGAAGAAGGAUGGUUCACACCGGAUGUGCAUUGAUUACCGGGAGUUGAACAAGCUGACGGUCAAGAACCGUUACCCAUUACCGAGGAUCGACGAUUUGUUCGAUCAGUUGCAGGGAGCAUCUUGGUUCUCCAAGAUCGAUUUGAGGUCUGGAUAUCAUCAGGUGAGAGUGCGGGAUGAGGACGUCCAGAAGACAGCGUUCAGGACGCGUUAUGGGCAUUAUGAGUUGGUGGUGAUGCCUUUUAGGCUCACCAAUGCCCCAACUGUGUUCAUGGAUCUCAUGAACCGAGUAUGUAGGCCGAUGUGGAUCGGUCAGUGAUUGUAUUUAUCGAUGACAUUAUGAUAUAUUCGAGAUCUAGAGAGCAGCAUGAGGAGCAUUUGAGGGAGGUCCUUGAGGUCCUGAGAUCGGAGAAGCUUUAUGCAAAGUUCUCCAAGUUUGAUUUCUGGUUGCGGGAGGUCCAGUUUUUAGGACAUCUUGUUAACCAGGAAGGGAUACUGGUCGAUCCGGCCAAGGUUGAGGCGGUGAUGAGUUGGGAGGUGCCGAAGUCACCCUCUGAGAUCAGGAGUUUCCUUGGGUUGGCAGGGUAUUAUCGGAGAUUUAUCAAGGAUUUCUCCAAGAUCGCAGUGCCACUCACCAGGUUGACCCGGAAGAGUGUCUCUUUUUCAUGGGGUCCCGAGCAGCAGGCCUCCUUUGAGAUACUUCGCCAAAGGUUGUGCGAAGCCCCGGUAUUAGCUCUCCCGGAAGGGAUGGAGGAUUUUGUAGUAUAUUGCGAUGCAUCGAUUUUGGGGCUGGGAGCGGUACUGAUGCAGAGGGGGCAUGUGAUAGCAUAUGCAUCGAGGCAGCUGAAGCCUCAUGAGACGAGAUAUCCCACUCAUGAUCUAGAGUUGGGGGCAGUAGUGUUCGCCCUCAAGAUUUGGCGUCACUACUUGUAUGGGGUUCGGUGUACGAUAUACACGGACCAUAAGAGUUUGAGGUACUUGAUGGAUCAGCCCAACCUAAAUAUGCGGCAGAGGAGGUAGUUGGAUGUGGUCAAGGAUUAUGAUUGUGAGAUCGUGUACCACCCAGGCAAGGCUAAUGUGGUAGCCGAUGCGUUGAGCCGCAGGGCGGAGAGCACUCCACUGCGGGAUGUAUGUUUGAGAUUGACCGUGAUAGCUCCGGUAUUGGACGCCAUUCGUGGGGCACAGGCCGAGGCUGUGCAACCUGAGAUGCAGAAGAGGGAACGGGUUGUUGGUUUGGUUUCAGAGUUCGUUACCGAUGGUCGGGGGCUUAUGACAUUUCAGGGGCGUAUCUGGGUGCCGUUUGUGGGAGGAACGCGUACCACUUUGAUGGAGGAGGCUCAUCGGUCGAAAUUUUCGAUCCAUCCGGGGGCUACGAAGAUGUAUUUGGAUUUGAGGAAAGAGUAUUGGUGGCCCUGUAUGAAGAGGGACGUCGCGUGGUUUGUUGAGAGGUGCUUGACCUGCCGUAGGGUUAAGGCCGAGCACCAGAGACCGCAUGGCAAGUUGCAGCCAUUGGAGGUUCCCGAGUGGAAGUGGGAACAGAUCACUAUGGAUUUCAUCACCAAAUUGCCGAGGACUGCCAGAGGAGUUGAUGCAAUUUGGGUGAUUGUGGACAGGUUGACGAAGAGCGCUCACUUCCUUGCCAUCAGUGAGAGUUCUUCAGCAGAGAAAUUGGCGGAGGUGUAUGUGAGGGAAGUGGUAUCUCGGCAUGGGGUGCCGAUCUCGAUUGUUUCAGACCGUGAUGUGCGUUUCACUUCCAGAUUCUGGAAGAAAUUUCAUGAGGAGUUGGGUACUAGACUGCAUUUUAGUACCGCAUAUCAUCCCCAGACAGACGGUCAGAGUGAGCGGACGAUCCAGACGCUUGAGGACAUGCUUCGAGCAUGUGUGUUGGAUUUUGGGGGUAGCUGGGAUGCGUGUUUACCCUUGGCGGAGUUUUCCUACAACAACAGCCAUCAUUCGAGCAUUGGUAUACCACCAUUUGAGCUGUUGUACGGGAGGAGGUGUCGGACCCCCAUUUGAUGGGGAGAGGUUGGGCAAAGAGUGAUGGGCAGUACAGAGAUUGUGCUUCAGACGACAGAGCAGAUUCAGCAGGUCAGAUAGAGGUUGUUGACCGCCCAGAGCCGACAGAAGAGUUAUGCGGACAGACGUCGGUCCGAGCUUGAGUUUCAGGUCGGCAAUCUCGUUCUCCUGAAGGUCUCUCCUUGGAAAUGAGUGAUUCGAUUCAGGAAGAGGGGCAAAUUGGGGCCCCAAUAUAUUGGUCCAUUCCGUGUGAUUGCGAGGGUAGGCCAGGUAGCCUAUCGUUUGGUUUGCCAGCAGAGUUGGGGCAGAUUCACGACACUUUUCAUGUGUCGCAGCUGAGGAAGUGUAUAGCCGAUGAGUCGGCAGUGGUUCCAUUAAAGGAUAUUCAAGUUGACGCAAGCCUGAAUUAUGCCGAGAGGCCGGUGGCCAUCAGAAAUCGGAAGAUCAAGGUUCUGAGGAACAAGGAGGUACCCCUGGUGUUGGUUCAGUGGCAACACCGGAAGGGAUCAGAGAUGACCUGGGAGCCGGAGCGUGAGCAGCAUCCGGAGCUAUUUUCAGAGCGAGACUUCGAGGGCGAGGUCUAGUUCUAGUAGGGGAGAAUUGUAACAGCCUGGAUUUCCAGGUAUCUUUUAUGCUUUCAAUUUUGAUGUUUUGUGAGGGGACUCGGCGAGUUAGAGCUCAGACUCGCCGAGUAGGAUCGCGAUUCUGGACGCGGGUUCGCGCCUGGACUCGGUGAGUCCAAGGUAUGGACUCGGUGAGUCCACAAUGUUUAAUGAAACCCUAAUUUCUCGGGUUUGGGACCUAUUUAAAGGGCCUUAUGGCCGUCAUUUGUGCUCACCAGUCCCUUGAGUGAAAGCCUAGCGAGUGUGAGCGUUUGGAGCAAAGUAGGAAGCCGUUAUUGAUCUUGGAGGUGUCAUCUUGCAAGAGAAAAGGAGAAUCAGCUAAGGGGGAAACAAGAGGAGCCACUUCCUGAGGGUUUGGGGUCCAGAACAUCACAUUUGAGGUACUAUCUUCGAGCUAUACUCUGCUAUGUUGAUGUUAUAUUGAUUUAGGGCUUAUUGUGCCCUUUUGUGGCUAGAUCUAGUGCUUCCUUGGCCCCUUAAGCGAUUUACAUUAUAGAUCUGGACCCUUGGAGGUCCAGAGUGUCCCUUUGCCCAAGCUCUUUGUGAAUCAAUGGGGGUUUUGGAUUGGAAUCCUUAUGCCUAAGGUCAAAAUACCAUUUAUGAGCCAUGGGGUGUGUUAUGAACACCAAGAUAAGGACUUUACGUGAUGAAUCAGUUUAGGAAGGCCAGAUCUAUGAAUGGUUGGAGCGGAUCUGACCUUAGAAGCAAGUUUGAGUGGUUGCAUGGCAUGGACUCGCCGAGUCUGAAGAACAGACUCGGCGAGUAGCUUGAAGAUUGCCCUUAGAUCGCUCAGUGAGUGGUCCUGCCGAGUUAUAGGUUGACUCAGUGAGUCAGGGCGAGUUAGAGAGGGUUCACAGGUGGACUGAGUCUAACUGGGAUCGCCGAGUUAUUCUUGAGACUCGGCGAGUUCGCGAUUCUUCCAGGUGGAACUCGUCGAGUCAGGGGAGUACUCGACAUGUCAAAAAGGGAAUCCUAGAGAGUUGGUGAAAACGUCUAGACUCGCCGAGUCGCCCUAGUGCACUCGCCGAGUCCGGUCAAAAUUGACCGUUGACCGUUGACCAUUGACCGUUGACCAGAGUUGACUAGUGUUGACUUGAAAAGGGUAGUCAACCUUAGUGGUAAAAGUGUUAAUAAGAGACGUAUGAUGUUAUAGGGGGAUUGUAGCUCGGAGGAUCGAGCACGAGUGAUUCCGGGAUUUGCUAGCUAUCGAUAUCCACGAGGUGAGUCUUCUCACUAUACUGUACCCGGAAGGGUUUUGACUGUGUGACCGAAAGGUCGGAUAUGGUAUGAGACAUGUGCUAUAUGUGAUAAGUUAAUUGUUAUAUGUGCUAUGUAUGAUAUGCUUGAUAUGGGCCGGAAGGCAUUAUGUUAUGGGCCGGAAGGCGAAUAUGUUAUGGGUCGGAAGGCGUUGUAAUGUGGACCGUAAGGUUGGCGUGGGUAGGACAGGAAGGUUUACCCAGCAGGGACGGAAGUCCCCUGAGACACAUGGACCGGAAGGUUAGGGCCUGGAAAGGCGUAUGUGCGUAGGGUGUAUUUUGGGGAACUCACUAAGCAUUUAUGCUUACAGUUGUUGUGUAUGUGUUUCAGGUACUAGCGAGGACCGUGGGAAGGCGCCGACGUGAUCUGUACACACUGAUGGAGGAUUUAUGAUCUUGGGAUUUUAUAUGAUUUGUAUUAUGACAUGAUACAUUGGAUCUUUAUGCCUUAUUUUGGAUGAAAAUACAUUUUAAGAAAUGAAAAUUUUGUUUUAAAAUUUCCGUUGUUACAUAGUGACAGGUUGAGAGCCCUGAGAGAGCCCAUUCCUAAUCCACCAAUCUCCUUAGGAGCAGUCACAGAUUGCCAUGACACCCAAUUGAUCUUUUUCUUCUCAUCCGUACCUCCCCAAAGAAAUCUUCAUCUUAUGCUUUCCAAUUUCUUGAUAACACCUGUAGGGGCAACAAAUAACGAAAAAUAAAAGGUAGGAAGGCUGCCAAGAACAACCUUCGCUAAUGUUAGUCGACCCCCGAGGGAUAAGGUCUUACAUUUCCAUAUGUUCAAUCGGGAUUGGAAUCUUUCUAUCACCGGCAUCCAAUGUUUUUUUGUACUUCAUGUUCGCCCCUAUAGGUACACCAAGAUACGUGAAUGGAAAAUCAGACGGUUUACAUCCUAGCAGCUCCACCAAUCUUGAUACUUCCUGCCGAUCCACUCUGAUUCCAAAUAUCCUUGACUUAUUGAAGUUUACUUUUAAUCCCAAAGAUACAUGAAAGCACCUAAGUAUUCUUGCAAGGUUUUUAACAUUGUCAUCACUCCAUUCUCCUACAAAUAGGGCAUCAUCUGCAUAUAGCAGAUGUGAGAUGCAUACUUCACUGUUAGGGAUUCGCAUCCCUUUGAAGAUACCUUUCACACAAGCCUCUUCCGUUACAAUAUGCAACCCUUCUAUCGCUAUUAGAAAUAGGAAUGGCGAUAAAGGAUCCCCUUGCCUUAUUCCACGUCCCAUUCCAAAUUCCUUAGUUGGGGAUCCGUUAACUAAGACCGAUAGUGUUGGGGUUUUUAUGCAACUUUGUAUCCAUCUCCUCCAUUUUUCACCAAACCCCAAUUGCAUUUGUAUGUGAUCCAAAUAUUCCCAAUUGACCGAGUCGAAGGCUUUAUUAAAGUCUACCUUAAAUAGUAGCAUCUUUUCAUUCGAUUUUUUUACCCAUGAGUACAUUUCAUUGAUUAUCAAGGGUCCUUCAAGAAUAUUCCGACCUUCAAGGAAGGCCGAUUGUACAUCUCCGAUACAACCACCAAUGACCCUUUUUAACCUACUAGAUAAUAGUUUUGCUAUGAUCUUGUACAGGCAACCCAUGAGGCUUAUCGGCCGGUAAUCCCCAACUGUGAGCGGGUCCUUCAUCUUCGGGAUAAGGGUAAUAAAAGAAGCGUUACAUCCUCUGCUGAUAUCUCCGUGUCUUUCAAAGUGUUUGACCACAUUCACUAUUUCAUGCUUCAUUGUCUCCCAAUGUCGUUUUAUAAGUUUGAAUGAGAAUCCGUUAGGACCUGGGCUUUUUUCAUUUAUAUGUUAGUAAUAUAUUGUUCAAGACUUCAAGUGAUUUACCAUUUUUAACGUACACAAGCAUUUUUGGUUUACAAAAAAUCUUGAUAUAUAUUGAUAUUGAUAUUUACUUUUAUAUUUAUCUUAAAAUAGCCUACCGAAAAAAAAAGUUAUCUUCGAGGACAUCUAAUCAAGCAAUAUUUAAAAUACAUAAUUUUAGAAAAUUAAAUUAUUAGUUAAAUAUUGUUACUGUUUUUAUGUGAUUACCGUAUUUUAUUUACAAUUAAAUGAGAUUCAACGUAUGAAUAAAAGAUGUUUUUGUUUUUGUUAUUUUUUUUGUCUAAUUUAGUAUUUAAAUAAUUAAUUAUUACAUUUUAAGAACAAUCUCAAGAAAUAAAUGUAAUCACCAAAAUAGUUUCACAAUUUUUUUUCUCUAAUUUAGUAUUUAAAUAAUUAAUUAUUACAACGAAAAUUUCUUUUUACCCAACAUAUUUUUUUAAACCAACACAACAAGAUACUUUUAGUAUAACCGAAAAUAGUUUCACAAAAUAACACUAAUCGUUGUUGCAAUAGAAAACGCAUACCAUUUGUUUACUUGGAAGAAACUAACUAGAAAUAACAAAAAGAGAUGGAUGAAACAGCUCGCCGCAUCGCAGAAAUAAAUGUAAUCACGAAACAAUGCGCCAAAAGAACAUAAUCAACGAAAAAACGUAAUCACCGAAAUGAAACAGCUCGCCGAAAAAAUAUUAUCCGCCGCCGCAUCGCACGGGUACACUACUAGUAUAUAUAUANNNNNNNNNNNNNNNNNNNNNNNNNNNNNNNNNNNNNNNNNNNNNNNNNNNNNNNNNNNNNNNNNNNNNNNNNUAUAUAUAUAUAUAUACAUAUGAAUCAAAAACAUUAUUUAUACUUGAAGUAUAUGUGAUCAUUUAUGUCACUUUAAAUGUUAUACUUUACAUAACAAGUGAACAUUACACUAGGGUUUACUAUACAAACGAAUCAUACAUUUUGAAAAACUAUAAUAGGUAUAGUUUACGAGAAAAUCAUGAACAUUUACAUACUAACGAAUACUAUAUCAAGAAAAUACUUUCAUAUACAAGAAUAAACGGACAUUUUCAUAUUUAAAUCUGUUUUAUACUAAGUUUUGUGAGACAUUUCACGUACUUUCGAGUAUGCAUUUUAAGUCCUGUAUUAUAUACCAUAAUCCCUUGUAGGGGGAGCCUGAUACUUGUAUAUAGAUCUAUACAGGAUUGACAAUCCCGCACCUAAGUUGUUAGCUACAGCUAGGCCGACAGGCCUGGGGUGACAAACGUCAAAACUUUCCAACGCCUGAAGAACGUUGUAUAGGCAUCCUGGUCAAAUAGUAUGGUUAUAAGACUCACAUGGAGUAUGAAAAGCACAUUGAUUUACAGGGUUUUUCAAAUGCAUUAGCGAUUUAUACAUAAACCUACUAUUUUAGGCAUGAAAAGCACUAUUGCAUUACAGUUUUGGAACAAUUAAACUACCAUCUACUAUAGUAGAAAAUAUGGGAUUUCUAGGAACAUUUAAACAUGUACAAACCAUUUUCAUUCCAUUUCAUACNAAACAUUGUCCUAAAUACUUAUGAACUCACCAGCUUAAAUGAUGACAUACUCUUUCAAAACUACUUGUAUUUCUCAGGGAUUCAGUAAUACAGGUAAACUACAGCUUUUGAAGAAAGGACGCUACGAGGUUAGUUUAAUUUCAUUUUGACAUCAUAUUGUAAUUUCUUUUGAAACAAGUACUUUUCUACAAUGUAAACUUUCAAAUUAUAUAUAUGAUGGUUGUGUUACUUUCUUUACUAUGUAUUCAACUGUUUCGAUACUACAUGAAGUCAUCCGCCCUCGAACGAUUACGUCGUUCUGGUUUAGGGGUGUGACAGAUUGGUAUCAGAGCAUUGUUUAUAGUGAACUAAGUAUAUCGAACCACAUAAGAUAUACAAACUAUAAAUGCAUAAGGGACUAAAACUCUCUGACAAAACGUUUUUACACCUAAAACCUCGUUUUAUUUAAUUUAGAUUAUUUUGGGUCGUAAAAGUACAAAUACAUGCAUACAACAAUAUAUUUUCAUGGUUAGAACUAUACAAGAAGUAUUAAGACAAGUUGGACACUACGAUUAGGCCUCGAAAUAUGUAAUCGGAUUUGGGACGAAUAUAGCCUGAUCAACUAUAUUUAUCCGAGAUUGGACUAACGUAUGUCGAGGAAUGGUCGUAGUGAGCAACAAGUCAAAACUUACCAAAAUAAACACUAGUAUCAAAUAUACAAAUUUAAAUACUAUAGGAGUAUUUGGUACAUGCAAUAGUUUAAUCGACAUGUUUAGUUUUACAUGUUUCAAAUUUUGUCCAAUUCCUAUAACCCUAUUCUCGUAUAGUCAAAUGGCUGGAUUCAACCCACAUGGAGACCCCUACUAUCUCAACCAAGCUAACGGGGGAUGGGUCGAAGAAGAUCCUGAAGAAGAUGAGGAACCUAUAGGGUUGUAGGAAGUGGAUGACUCUGGGAUAGACUCAGAACCAGAAGUAAUCGACCCUCCAGCCGCUCAACCUCCCGUUGUUAGGAGAAACUUUCAAGGACCAACUCCCAUUUGGGGAAGUCACCUUCAACAUUGGAGCCAACAACAAGGGUUACGUCCUCCCUAUGGCAUGUAUCGAGACUUUUACGAUGUCAGCGGCAGAGGUUCAGCCGACCGAGCACUCCCGGUCAUGGUGGGAAAGCUAGCCAACCAGUCCUAUCAAUCUGGGGUUCAAGCUAACCGGAUUCGUGAAGUCAACGUGGAAGUACAAGUUCACACUUCCGACAUCCAUCGAAUGGAUAGGUUACAGGAUGACACCCAACUCCGCGCUGACACAUUCCAAGCACAAAUGAUUGCAGCCCUCUCUAAGAUGAGGGAACAGCAAGUCGCCUUCGAUAGGCGUCUUAUGGAAGCAAAGCAAUCGGAUGUGGAGUCAAGCUCCGAGCGUCGCAAGUAGUUCUUGCCGAAUCCUAAAAUUUUGUUAUAGAAUAGGAACUCGGAUAAAAGUCUUACCUUAUUUAACUUCCUGUAAUUAGAGAGACCUUUAGAAAGGUCAAAAUUUUCUAACUUCGGGUGUAACGCAACCAUAUGUUUAAUAUAUAUAGGGCAUACCUCUUUUGUGUGUUAAUUUUGUGCAUUUCAUUCGAGUUCAUGAGUUUGUUUAUUGUUAUUCAAGCUCCAUUGGUGAAUCAAACUCAAAGCCCUGUGUUGGUCAAACCAAAUUCUCUAAAUAUUAAAGGUAGUUAACUCAUUAUCAUUCAACUCUCAACCACCAAAACUUAUAAUCUUUUAUUUUUAUUUCUUGGCAGCGCAAUGCCUCCUGGUCCAAACCUAAGACCCAGGCUGGGCACGAUACCUCCACCACCACCGCCUUCGUCGACGGAAAAUGCCGCAUUGAUAGCUGCUGUAACGGCUGCAUUAACAGUGACAAUAGCCGAAAUGAGUAACAAUGGUUCUGGUGGGGGAGUAAAUAGUUCUACGAAUGGCCAACGUCCAGGUCAUUCAGGGGAUUGUACAUAUAAGGAUUUCAUGAAUAGCGAACCCAUUACUUUUAAUGGGGCCGAAAUGAUAAUGGCUCUAUCACAGUGGAUAGAGAAAACUGAAGCAGUUUUUGAGAUUUGUUCUUGUCCGGAAGGGAACAAAGUGAAGUUCGCUGCCUGUACUUUCUCUGAAAGAGCUCUGACAUGGUGGAAUGGCCAUGUCAAGUCACUAACGCUAGUAGUGGCUAACUCUAUGGGCUUGGAGAAUCUAAAACAAAUAUUAUGGUAAGAGUAUUGUCCACAGGGCGAACUACAAAAGCUCGAACAAGAACUUUGGGGCAUUACCAUGGUAGGCUCAGACAUCACGACCUAUACCAACAGGUUCAGUGAUUUGGCAAUCCUUUGCCUAGGGAUGGUUGCUCUAGAGAGCAAGAAAGUAGAGAGGUACAUCUGGGGACUAUCCCCCUAGAUUCAAGGAAGUGUACUAGCUUCCAAACCAGUCACUUUCGAUAGCGCCAAACAGUUGGCACAAGCCCUCAUUAACCAUGGAAUCUGUCAAGGCUUCGCAACUACCACUCUAGAGCAACCCAGAGGAAGCAACAACAACAACAACAACAACAACAAUACCAACAACAACAAGAAGAAGAAGUUAUGGAACAAAAGGAAGAGUCAGCCUUCACAGGAACCUUCCAAGAAACAACAGAUUGUGGCAGUCCAUGCUGCUACUGCCCCCACUGCUGCUUCAAUUACCACUACACCAGCAAAGCCAUAUGUUGGAAACCUACCAAAGUGUGCCAAAUGCAAUUUCCACCACAAUGGAAAUGGCCGGGAGAUGCACUGUAACAAUUGCAACAAGAAACGGCAUAUAGCCUGUUUCUGUAGAGCACCAGCACAACCGAUCACCCAAGUCCAAGGAGUCGGUGUGGGUCAAGCAUGUUACGGGUGCGGUGAAGCUGGGCAUUACAAAAGAGACUGACCUAAGGCAAGGAAUGUGGGCGGCACGGGUCGAGUGCUGGCAAUAGGGCAGAACGAAGCGAUAGCUAAUCCCAUGGUGGUUACGGGUAUGUUUAUCCUAAAUAACGUUUAUCCAUGCAUACUCUUUGAUUGUGGUGCGGAGAGGAGCUUCGUGAUUCAUAAAUUCAAGAACGUACUGAAACAGAACCCUAAAUCACUCAAUAAGAUAUUUAUAGUAGAAAUGGCAAAUGCUAGAACAGAAAGCAAGAACGAUAUGUACAUAGGUUGCACACUAACUCUAAACGAACAUUCAUUUCAAAUUGAUCUAAUGCCGAUCACUAUAAAGAGCUUUGAUAUCAUCAUCAGUAUGGAUUGGUUAAGCCUACAACAUGCCGAUAUACUUUGUCACGAGAGGGUCGUUCACCUGAAUCUGCCGAACUGCAAAACUCUUGUCACUUACGGUGACAAGCCCAGUACAAAUUUACAGAUCAUCUCUUGCGUCAAAGCCCAGAAAUACCUACGUAAGGAGUACCAUGCCUUCUUAGCCCAUGUGGUAGAUAAGGAAAAAGAAACGAAAGGCAUCAAAUACAUUCCAGAAGUCUGCGAUUUUCCCGGUAUCUUCCCUGAAGAUCUCCCAGGUGUCCCCCCAAAACGACAAGUCGAGUUCAGGAUCGAUUUAAUUCCCGGAGCUACAUCAAUAGCUAAGUCACAUACCGUCUAGCACCGGCAGAAAUGCAGGAGUUAUCCAGCCAAUUGAACGAACUACUCAACAAAGGAUUCAUCAGGCUGAGCUUCGCACCUUGGGGAGCACCAGUCUUGUUCGUAAAGAAGAAGGAUGGAUCUUUCUGCAUGUGCAUUGAUUACCGGAAACUCAACAAGCUCACGAUCAAGAAUUGAUAUCCCUUACCAUGCAUUGGCGACUUAUUCGACCAACUCCAGGGAGCAAGUUAUUUCUUAAAGAUCGAAUUAAGAUCCGGGUAUCACUAACUACGAGUCUUGGAAGGAGAUGUUCCCAAAACAGCUUUUUGAACUCGUUAUGGUCAAUACGAGUUUAUAGUGAUGCUCUUUGGAGUAACAAACGCACCAACAGUGUUUAUUGACAUAAUGAACCGGGUGUGUCGUUCGUUUCUAGAAAAGUUUGGGAUCGUAUUCAUAGAUGACAUACUCAUCUAUUCGAAGUCUAAAAAGGAUCACAGUCAACACCUCCAACAAGUCUUGGAAACGCUAAGAAAAGAGAAGCUAUACGCAAAAUUCUCCAAGUGCGAAUUUUGGAUUCGGAAGGUAGAUUUCCUAGGUCACGUGGUUAGCAAAGACGGAAUACACGUGGACCCUUCCAAAAUCAAAGCAAUCGAGAACUCGUCAGCUCCAAGAACCCCAACGGAAAUUCGACAAUUCUUGGGCCUUGCUGGCUAUUACCGUAGAUUUAUACAAAACUUUUCGAAUAUUGCUAAACCACUCACCACCCUGACACAGAAGGGUGUAACUUUCAAUUAGGAAGGAAAACAAGACGCUGCAUUCCAAACACAGAAGCAAGCACUAUACAGCGCACCUAUAUUGUCCUUGCCAGAAGGAACGGAAGACUUCGUGGUCUACUGUGAUGCAUCUAAUCAAGGUCUUGGAUGCGUACUAAUGCAACGAGGUAAGGUCAUCGCUUACGCCUCAAGACAACUCAAGACGCACGAAGUCAACUACACUACCCACGAUCUUGAACUAGGAGCAGUCGUUUUCGCACUAAAGAUCUGGAGAUACUAUCUUUAUGGCACGAAAUGCAUGAUCUUCACCGAUCAUAAGAGCCUUCAACACAUUCUCAACCAAAAAGAACUCAACAUGAGGCAGAGACGAUGGGUUGAAUUACUGAAUGACUAUGAAUGCGAGAUUCGCUAUCACCCAGGAAAAGCGAAUGUAGUAGCUGAUGCUCUUAGUCGAAAAGAAUACUCAGGUCGUCGAGUGAAAUCCUUAACCAUGACGAUCCAUUCACAUUUGUCCACACAAAUCAAGGAAGCUCAGAGGGAAGCCUUGAAAAAAGAGAACGUGGCAGUUGAAUCCCUAAGAGGAAUGGACAAGAAUCUUGAAGUCAAGGGUGACGGAGUUCGUUACUUCAUGGAUCGGAUUUGGACACCGAAUUUUGGUGGAUUCAGAGACGUGGUCAUGAACGAGGCGCAUAAGACUCGAUACUCCGUGCAUCCAGGUUCAGAAAAGAUGUAUUUAGACCUCAAGAAACUAUAUUGGUGGCCAAACAUGAAAGCGGAGAUCGCUAUCUAUGUGAGCAAGUGUCUGAGUUGUGCCAAAGACAAGGUAGACUACCAAAAGCCAUCAGGAUUACUACAACAACCCGAAACACCCGAGUGGAAGUGGGAACGGUUAACCAUGGAUUUCAUAACCAAAUUACCCAAGACAGUAGGUGGGCUAGACACCAUCUGGGUAAUCGUCGAUCGGUUAACAAAAUCCGCACACUUCUUACCCAUAAAGGCAACCGAUAAGAUGGAGAAGCUAACUCGAACUUUCAUCCGAGAGAUUGUACGACUGCACGGUGUACCAAUAUCAAUUAUCUCCGACAGAGAUAGUAGGUUCACCUCACGUUUCUGGCAAUCGCUACAAAAAUCUCUUGGAACGAGGCUAGACAUGAGUACCGCUUACCAUCCACAAACUGACGGUCAAAGUGAGAGGAGCAUACAAACCUUGGAAGAUAUGCUAAGAGCUUAUGUAAUCGAUUUUGGUAAAGCAUGGGAUACCCAUUUACCACUAGUUGAAUUCUCAUACAACAAUAGCUAUCACUCCAGCAUUAAAGUUGCUCCAUUCGAAGCCUUCUAUGGCCGCAAGUGCAGAUCACCACUGUGAUGGGCUGAAGUCGGCGACUCGCAACUAGCCAAGGGACAAGUACCCGAUCACUCUCACAGGCCAGGAAAUCAUAAGAGAAACAACUGAGAAGAUUGUUCAGAUUAGGGAAUGACUAAAGGCUUCAAGAGACAGACAAAAGAGUUAUGCGGACAAAAGACGGAAACCCUUGGAAUUCCAGGUUGGAGAUUGUCUCCUACUAAAAGUCUCAUCGUGGAAAGGUUUGAUACUUGUUGAAAAGCGUGGGAAACUAAACCCAAGGUAUAUCAGACUAUCUGAGAUCCUUGCAAGGAUCGGCCCGAUAGCCUACAAACUUCGUCUACCGCAGGAACUCAAUAACGUACACCCUACUUUUCAUGUGUCAAACUUGAAGAAAUGUUUGUCCGAUGUGACCCUUGUCGUCCCCCCUAGACAAAAUCAAAAUCAACAAGAGUCUCCACUUUAUAGAAGAACCAAUUGAAAUCAUGGAUAGGGAAAUUAAAAGAACAAAACAAAGUCACAUUUCCAUCGUGAAGGUCCGCUGGAAUGCAAAGCGAGGACCUGAAUACACCUGGGAACCCGAAGAUCAGAUGAAACACAAGUACCCACAUCUUUUUCCCUAAUCCGCAAGUGUUUGUCUUACAUUAAAUUUUGGGACGGAAUUCCCUCUAACGGGGGAUGAUGUGACAACCCGAUAUUUCGACUUUAUGUAAUGACCUAAAAAAGUCAAGUAUUGUAACCACUUUUGAUAUAAUGAAAUUAACUUUGAAAAAUAAAUUGUGAAAAAGUCUCUAUAGGGAUAUCUAUUAUGCUAGAUAUUGUGUCAAGGUUUACAGAAAUACUAAGAACAUUAAAAUCCGAGUUAUAACGAAGAAGUUAUGACCAUUCUACGAUUUCCGACAAAACCGACAACACCGAUUAAACGAAAAACGCGAAGUUUCAAUACAAUAGUUUUUUAGCCUUAAGUAUCUAAAUGAAAGUUGUAGAUAUCAUUAAACCGUGAGCGUACAUAAAAAGAACGUCCAAAUCUGACUUCGUAUGAGGAAGUUAUGAUUUUUCCAAGAUCCGGAUAUAACAAUAGACAGCUAAAAACUCAAAAUAGAGAUCGAGAGACUUUUGGCCGAAACAACCUGAAUGAGAAUCGAAGGUAUCAACAAUAGUAGCGCAACGGUGAAAAGUGUGACGAAAACGGACAUCGGGUGAAGAAGUUAUGGAUUUUUAACGGACUUUUCGUGUCCCGGCCUGUUAAAAAUAAAUAAUUAAAAAUAAAGUCAAAAUUUGCUGAUGAAGUCUAAACAAGAGUUUUAGAGUAUAUUCUCACCUACGCAUGCAUAUAAAGAACGUCAAAAACGAAGAUCGUAAGAGAAAGUUACAGAUUUUACAAGUUUAAGGCUUAAAAUCCGAGGCUGUCAGGUCUGCCACGACGCGGCACAGCUGGCUGCGACCCGGCAAGUGACUGAGGGUGUCCCAUGAAUGAAAGAGGAUAAGGCAGCCCACCAUGACGUGGCCAACCCUUUGCCACAACGUGGCACCCAAAUUCUUCCACUACAAAUAGAACUCUUGGGGUGCUGGGUUUAGGUACUCCAUUCUUCUCUCUCUCGUGCCGAAACUCUGCAGUUAAGCUCCCGAAGCCCUCCCGGAGCCCCGGUUUUCACACUCAAGUUCUGAAGGAAGAUUCAAUACUUCCGAGACUCCUGAGAUUCCCGAGAAAAUCAACUCUUGCAAGUCGAAGUUCUGCUCGAUUAUCAUUUCGCUUUCUCUAAUCAAUCAAGUGAGUUCAUACCCCUAUAAAUUACACUUUCAAAUGUUUUAUCAAUGGUUUUUAUACACUUUUAAGGGGGGAGGGGGAAUUCAAGUAAACACAUGAUUAUUAUCGUGUGUAACAUAGAGUUUCACUAUAUACUCUUUUUAUCAAGUGAAUCAUAUAUGAUUCAUAACUACUACAUAGGAACUUUCGUAUGCAAUAUAUAUCAAAGAUAACACCUUGUCUUAUGGAAAUAAGACAUGUUUAUAUAUAUAUAUAUAUAUAUAUAUAUAUGAAUCAAAAACUUUAUUUAUUCUUUAAGUAUAUGUGAUCAUUUAUGUCACUUUAAAUGUUAUACUUUACAUAACAAGUGAGCAUUACACUAGGGUUUACUAUACAAACGAAACACACAUUUUGAAAACCUAUGAUAGGUAUAGUUUACGAGAAAAUCAUGAACAUUUACAUACUAACGAAUACUAUAUCAAGGAAAUACUUUCAUAUAUACAAGAACAAACGAACAUUUUCAUAUGUAAAUCUGUUUUAUACUAAGUUUUGUGAGACAUUUCACGUACUUUCGAGUAUGCAUUUUAAGUCCUGUAUUAUAUACCAUAAUCCCUUGUAGGGGGAGCGUGAUACUUGUGUAUAGAUCUAUACGGGAUUGACAAUCCCGCACCUAAGCUGUUAGCUACAGCUAGGCCAGCAGGCCUGGGGUGACAAACGUCAUAACUUUCCAAUGCCUGAAGAGCGUUGUAUAGGCAUCUUGGUCAAAUAGUACGGCUAUAAGACUCACAUGGAGUAUUAAAAAUACAUUGAUUUAUGGGGUUUUUCAAAUGCCUUAGCGAUUUAUACAUAAACCUACUAUUUUAGGCAUGAAAAGCACUAUUGCAUUACAGUUUUGGAACAAUUAAACUACCAUCUACUAUAGUAGAAAAUAUGGGAUUUUCUAGGAACAUUUAAAUAUGUUCAAACCAUUUUCAUUCCAUUUCAUACAAACAUUGUCACUAAAUACUUAUGAACUCACCAUCUUAAACGCUGACCUACUCUUUCAAAACAACUUGUAUUUCUUAGGGAUUCAGUAAUACAGGUAAACUACAACUUUUGAAGAAAGAACGUUGCGGCAUUAGUUUAAUUUCAUUUUGACAUCAUAUUGUAAUUUCUUUUGAAACAAGUACUUUUCUACAAUGUAAACUUUUAAAUUAUAUUUAUGAUGGUUGUUUUACUUUCUUUACUAUGUAUUCAACUAUUUUCGAUACUACAUGAAGUCAUCCGCCCUUGAACGAUUCUGUCGUUCUGGUUUAGGGGUGUGACACUAGCAUCAUAGGUGAUGGAGGCCACGGGUGUGUAAACCCUAGCGCUCACUUCCCUUAAAUAUUGGCAAAAUCCUCGGAACUAGGUUUUGGCUUGCAAGGGCCGUCAUGUCAUGACCAACAUGGUGUCACAUUGUGACACCCAAUGGAAUGCACAUUCUUCCCUAUCCACUGGCACAUCAUGAGACACACAUGGUCACGUCAUGGAAAACUCUUUAUCUUUUAAAAAUUAAUUAAUAAUUAGAAGUGAUGCUUACCUGGAACUAGAUGUUAUAAUUCUCCCCUACUUGAAAUAGAUUUCAUCCAUGAAAUCCUCAACUGCAAUUAGAUUUGGGCAUUGCUCACGCGUGUAUGACUCGGGCUCCCAAGUCUACUCGAAACGAUUCAGAUGCUACCAGUUAACCUUAACUAAGGGUACCACCUUGUUGCGCAAAGCCUUCGUCUUUCUAUCCAGAAUAACCACUGGCCUCUCCACAUAAUUUAGGCACUCAUCAACCUAAAUGUCGUCUAAUGAAACCAUUGUUGAAUCUUCAACCAAACACUUUCAAAGCUGAGAAACAUGGAAAGUGUUAUGAGUCUGCAUAAACUCCUUAGGUAGAUCUAAUUGGGAGGCCACCUUACCUACCAUGGUCACCACUCAAAAGGGUCCGAUAAAUUGGGGGCCCAACUUUCCCCACUUCCUAAAGCUUAUAAUAGCCUUCAAGGGUGAUAACUUCAGUAAAACCACAUCCCCGACCUGAAACUCCAACUCAGAUCUUUGCCUAUCAGCAUAACUCUUUUGUCGGCUUUGCGAUGUUUGUAAUAUCCGGAUUCCGAGAUAUGAAAUUUUAAUGUGUUUUGGAAAUUUUGGUUGGCCACAACAUGGUGAAAGUAUCACAAUGACAUAGCAAAGCUUCUCCUGAGGAGCACAUCUUAAGUGAGUGCCACGACGUGGCAAUAUGUUGGCCACAAUGUGGCAAUAUGUUGACCACGACGUGGAAUCCAUUUUAUGUAAAAGCCUAAUUUUCGGACCUUAAGACCUAUUUAAAGGAAGUUAUUACGAGGGUUUCCCCCACCCCCAACCUCCAUCACCUCCAAACGCCCCUUUGCCUGAACCCUAGCCCUCUUGAGGCUUUUGAGCUCACUUUUGAAAGUUUGUAGUGAUUUUGAAAGAAGGAAAAGAAGAAUUUGUGCUUAGUUCCUCCAAGAAAUCUCUCAUAAUCCUUGUGUGUACCUUUUGGACUUCUUGUAAGUCUUCAAACUCUCCUCUUUUUGUUGUAAGCCUCUUAUAUCUAUGUUUUAUGCCAUAUUUUACCUUAUUUGUGAGGAUGGGAUGAGUAAAGAGAUAAAGUUUGCAACUUUAAAAUCUUUCUGAGUCCCAAGAGCAUUAUAUAUAUCAUAGAUCUAGGAUGUGGUGCUGAUUUGGGGACUUUUCAUGAAUCCUAGGUUAUAUUGCAUCUUUUGACAUAAAUUUGGGGAAGUACAUGCAUAGGUCAUGUGUGACCAUAAAGUUUGCAUUUUUAGGGAUCAUUAGGGUCCCUAAAACCCUUCUAGAAGUUUUGGAUGGAAGGCAUAUAAAGUGCUUAAUGGUUGAUUCUGUGCGUCAAGUUUCCUUUUAUGACCUUGGAAUUAAGAUCUUGGCUUAGAGGGAUGUCUCAAUGUCUAAAGUUGGAAACUUUAUCCAUUAAUACCUCGAGAAGAAUAAGAUCUAUGCUUUGGAGCUCAUGGAAAUGAUGGAAGAUGGCUUAAUACUUUAAGAUGUUGAACCUAGUUUCCAUGACGUGGCGUUUGCCUGCGAUGAUGUGGUGAGUGGGGGAGGUGCACGUCUAUUUUGACAUUAUCAUGCUAUGACGUGACCAAUAGGAGGUGAAAAUGUGGCGACCCUCUAAAGUCGACUUUACACAAUUGUCUUUGACCGUUGGCUUUUUGACAUGGGUUUACUUUUGGUCAAAGUGCUAAUUCUAGGUUAUAGACUAAGGUUAGACCUUGUUUGAUUGUUAGGUGUGUUGUAGCACCGGUUUCGUGGCAGGUAGUUGUGGUUUAUUUGACUUCAUGAGACAAGUGAGUCUUCUCACUACAUUAUGUAUGAUGUUAUAUGUCUUUGUGAAUCUUGCAUAUGUCUGUUGGGAGAGCCCUAAUUGAAUAUAUGUUGGGUUGGGCCCAUUUUAAUGUUGGGUUAGGCCCAUUUGCAUGUUAAGUUAGGACUAUUCGAAUGUAUGUUGGGUUGGGGUCAUUUGUAUAUAUGUUGGGCUAGGCCUAUUUGUUAAUUUUGGUUGGGCCCAUUUGUAUUGUAUGUGGUAUUUUGGGGAACUCAUUAAGCUUUGUGCUUGUGGUUUGUGGUUUGAACAAUCUCAUGUACUUCCAGUUCCAAAGGGAAAUGACCUACUUGACUUCACAACAGUUCCUCCUGAUGAUUUUUCCGCAUGAUGAUUGUUAUUGUACUAUGAUGAUUAUGAUACAUUUGUACUAUGACGGUUUUUUUGCGACAAAUACUAUGUGAUUUGAUGAACAAAAAAUGAAUAAAUUUAUGUCUAUUUUGGGAUGUUACACUAUCUACAACCUAUGCCUAUUAUGUUGAAUAAGUUAUGUCGUCUGAAGUACCACCCCCGUCCUCUCCAUGACCCUAUGGCAUACCUCUCCCUAAAAAACUGGAGUACAACAUUUCCUCCCAUAUAUAAGUUCAUAUGGAGGUACACCGAUGUUGGAAUGGUAGUUGUUGUUGUAAGAAAACUUUGCUAGAGGGAGGUAUAUGUCCCAACUCUCACUGAAAUCGAUGACACAAUCCAUCAACAUAUCCUUGAGUGUUUGAAUAGUCCGCUCACUCUUACCAUCGGUCCGAGGGUAAUAAGUAGUGCUGAAGUAUAGUCUCGUUCCCAAGUCCUCAUGAAACCUCUGUGAAAACUGGGAAGUGAAUCACACAUCACGAUCAGAUACAAUGGAUACUGGCACACCGUGGCGAUCGACAAUCUCGCAAACAUAAAUGUCGGCCAAUUUCUAGGCUGAAGAACUAUCUCGAAUGGAAAGAAAAUGUGUGCUCUUGGUUAGGCGAUCGAAAAUAACCCAUAUGGCAUCAAAUCCCUUCGUUGUCCUCAACAAUUUGGUGAUGAAAUCCAUGGUAAUCUACUCCUAUUUCCACAUGGGAACCUCCAAGGGCUACAACUUGUCGUAAGGUCUCUGGUGCUUUGCUUUGACCAUCUAAUAAGUCAAGAAUCUCUCCACAUACUAAACUAUACAUCGCUUCUUGCAUGGCCACCAAUACCUAAGUCUCAAGUGUCGAUACAUUUUCAUGGCUCCAUGGUGUAUCGAGAACCUGGACUUGUGAACCUGCUCUAACAAUGUUUGCUGGACCACACUAGAAACUGGGAUUGAAACCCACCCAUAUUGGGUCAUAAGCCCUUGAUUAUCGGUAACAAAUUUUCCAGUUUGGCCCCUAAUCUUCUCCUAUACAAAUUCUCCCUCCUAAUUCCCUCAGCCUAAGCUUCCCUGAGCAGUUCCAAAAGCGGUGAAACGAUGGUCAUCCACAAACAUAAUCCUCAAAUAGGUGGACUAGCUGCCUUACGACUCAAUGUGUCGACGACCACAUUAGCCUUCCCUGGAUGAUAAAGAAUCUUAUAGUCAUAAUCCUUAACCACCUUAAGCUACCUUUGAUGCCUCAUGUUCAGAUCCAGUUGAUCCAUAAGAUAUCUCAAGCUCUUGUGACCCAUGUAGAUGGUACACCGAACACCAUAGAGAUAGUGUUUCCAAAUCAUGAUGGAAAAUACCAUAUCCCCCAACUCCAAAUCGUGAGUCGGAUACCUAACCUCAAGAGGCUUCAGUUGCCCGGAAGCACACGUAAUAACCCUACCCCACUGCAUGAGCACCGCCCCCAAAACCAUGAUCAAAGCAUCACAAAAUACCACAAAAUCCUCAACACUCUCUGAAAAGGUCAAUACGAGGCCUCACAUAACCUUUGCCUUAGAGUCUUAAAUGCAUUAUGCUGCUCAGGCCCCCAGGAUAAAUCCACACUCUUCUUCGACAAGCAAGUAAUAGGGAAAAAAUUUUAGGAGAAAUCCUGGAUGAACCUCUAAUAGUAACCUGCAAAACUUAGAAAACUUCUAAUCUUAAAAUUUCAAACCCUCAUAGAAAUUCAGACCUUUUAAAAUUUCAGAUCUUAAUUAUUCAGAUAAUGCCAAAUAGCCCCUAAUAAACACUAAUAAGAUCUAAACAUUUUUUAUAAGUAACGAAUCUUCAUAUAUUUAAUAAUAAUAGAAAGUAAAAACAAAUAAGUAAAUAAAAGUUCUAAAAGCCCCUAUACGACGCUAUAGGUAUGGUUUGGUUAACACAUGGACAUGCCCACAAAAAAACUAGGUGUAGCCUGGACACAAUCCUAGAAAAAUGCAUGAUGGGAGCCUAUAGGGCUACACAUGUGGUCCGUUGACUGGUAUCAUGCCCACCCCAAAGUGAGUCCCGGGUACUAUGUGCAUCUUUACUUCAAUCGACUCUUGAUGUCAUCAAGUGUGAUUGACUGUAAGAACAUCUUCAAUUUAUUUUAAUUUUCUUCUUAAAAAUGGAGUAAAUAAUGUUUUAUCUCCAACCUUAUUUUAUUUUUACUUAAUUUUUACACCAAAAAAGUAUAAUUUUAAGUAUAUUCUAUUUUGAAACUUAUAUAUAUAUAUAUAUAUAUAUAUAUAUAUAUAUAUAUAUAUAUAUAUAUCCUUGACUAAAUGAUUAAAACCUCACAAUCUAAGCUUAUAGAUNAACAUUAAAUAAAUAAAAUUAUAUUUAUAACAUACUUAUAAAUAAAUAUUAUGUUAGGAAAAUUAGGGUUUGUGGUGGAGAUCUGGAUACCAGCUUGGAUCGUGAUAUCACUUUCUGAACUGAUAUUUCUACCCUAUGCCUGGGUUGCAAGAAAUUCAGCCUAGGAUAAUCCAAGUGGACACCUACGUUUCUAGGCACAAAAAAUGUAAGCUAUUAUGCUAAAGGGUUCUGUGAAUGUGUGACGAAAAACGAGAGCUAAAGAACGUACCUCAUCUGAAAAGGAAGAGUUGUUUAUAUACUAAACACGAUUAGGGCUGGGCUGUCAUUACUUGCUUUGGAAGCAAGUAAUAUUAAUCCGGAUUAGGGUUACCAAAAACUAAUGAGUUUCGUUAGUUUUACCAUAAUCACCCUCAAGAAAUUGAAUUUUCCAUUAUGUUCCCACAUGCAAAAUUCGGUGAGCUUUUGGGGCGCUGCCCUAAACCCCGCGGGGGCAAAAUUCGGCCAGAGGCUUUGCCCGUUGGACCCCGCUAGGGGCGCUACCCCUAGACCCCGCCAAAGGGGAGAUGUCCCUUUGGAAACCCCGGACCCGGGGGCGUUGCCCCCGGACCCCCGACCAGUCGUCGAACUGACUUCUGACUCGAUCUUAUACAUGUGUGCACUCCGCACAACGCUAUACAUGUAUUAGAAUACAAAUCAUGAAGCCCCUUUAGCUCACAUGUCAGUUCCAGUUACUUAAAAUGGCAUGGUGACACUAAAAUCACCAACAAUCCUCCCCCAUUUUAGUGUAACCCUUGAACAAACAUAACCUUAUCAACAACAAACCAAACUAGUACAUAAUGAAAAUACCGUAACGAUUGAAUUUCCACUUAGUAUCAUACAAUUGCAAAUACUCGAGAAUCAGGGUGUUCUAAGAAUUGAACCUAUCAACCCAUUUGAAUACCAGAAAGUAAAAUACAUACUAGUUUAUUGAAUUUCUAACAUAAUACAGCUUGACACUAUUAUAAAGCCGUGUGUCCCAAUCCUCUCAUGAUCGUAUCAAGGUCAAGUCCACAACCUCUUGAAAUGCGGCUACACUUCACAAUCACGUAGGUAACUCCUUUCCAUGUAUCUACACAUACAUUUAUCAAAGGAAUUAUUAAGAAGUUAAACUUUAACCUGGCUAACUUGUAGAACCGAACACAUACCUGGGAUGAAUACUUCAUGUGUUCCAAUCUAUAAUUAUGAGCUUUCCACAUUGAAUUCAACUCCUAACAUUAUAUUAGGAGGGAAUUGGGUGUCUCAUCAUUAUAGAAUUAAAUGGACUUUAAUCCCAUCCCAAUCACAGACUUGUGCACUAAGUCUCUUGUCAGACCUUUAGUCAAGUGAUCUGCCAAAUUAUGUUGCGAUUUCACAAACUCAACUGAAAUCACACCAUUCAUGAUUAGUUCUCUAAUCAUACUAUGUCUAACACCUAGGUUUCUAGACUUGCACUUAUAAACCCGACAAUAUGCCUUAGCCAAAGCGGCCACACUAUCACAAAGGAUAGAAACAGGUGCUAUCGGUUUAGACCACAAAGGAAUCUCACAGACUAAAUUCCUUAGCCACUCUGCUUCUUUACCAGUAGCUGCUAACGCAACAAACUCAGAUUCCAUUGUCGAGUUUUUAAUGCAACAUUGCUUCUUGGAAGCCCAUGAAAUGGCACCUCCCCCAAGCAAGAAUACUGAACCAGAAGUUGAGGAAUGGUCCUCCAUGUUGGUAAUCCAACUUGCAUCUGAAUGACCUUCUAAAACCGAAGGACUCCCCAAGUAACUCAAACCAUAAUUCAUGGUUCCCUUGAGAUACUUAAACACUCUAUUCACUGCUUGCCAAUGUUGAGCACUAGGAUUGCUAGUGUACCUGCUCAACUUACCCACAACCAAUGCAAUAUCAGGUCUGGUACUUGUCAUGGCAUACAUCAAACUACUAAUAGCCUUAGAGUAUUCUAACUGUGAAAUGGGAAUACCAUUAUUUGGCAUUAAUUUCACACUUGGGUCCAUAGGAGUACUCACAGGAGAACAAUCGGUAAAAUUAAACCGCUUGAGAAUUUUCUCAAUAUAAUGACUUUGAGUCAUUACCAAUCCUUUGUUCAUCCUCUUAAUUCUUAUUCCAAGAAUUAUAUCAGCCUCUCCUAAAUCUUUCAUGGAAAACUUGGAUGACAACAAUUUCUUUGUUUCAUCCACUUGAUUUUGGUCGGUGCCAAAAAUCAACAUGUCAUCUACAUAUAAGCAAAUGAUCACUCCAGCUCUAGUAGCAUCAUCAAAUCUACUAUAAACACAUUUGUCAUAUUGGUUUGUUUUGAAACCAAAAGGCAAAAUCACCUCAUCAAAUUUGAUGUCAUUGUUUAGGCGCUUGUUUCAGCCCAUACAAAGAUUUGACAAGUUUACAAAGCAUAUGCUCUUUACCGGGCAUAAUGAAACCUUCUGGUUGUUUCAUGUAAACUUCCUCGUCAAGAUCACCAUUUAAAAAGGCUGUUUUCACAUCCAUUUGGUGAAUAACCAGAUUGUGGAUACUUGCCAAGGCAACCAACAAUCUAAUAGUAGAAAUACGUGCAACUGGAGCAUACGUAUCAAAAUAGUCAAUACCGACUUUUUGUCUAAAACCUUGAAUGACUAACCGGGCCUUGAAUUUGUCAAUGGUCCCAUUAACAUUCAUUUUCUUUUUGAAAAUCCAUUUGCAACCACAAGGUUUAAACCCCGAGGCAAAUCAGACAACACCCAUGUAUUGUUCUCAAGAAUUGAUGACAUUUCAUCAUUAAUCGCUUCCUUCCAAAAGGCACUAUCCCGAGACUCCAUGGCCUCUUGAUAAGUCUUAGGAUCAUCUUCAAUACUAUAGCAAUAAGAGUAUUCAAGAUUAAUUUCAUCCCUUGAACCUUCCACCAAGUACAGUUGGAAGUCAGAUCCGAAAUUCUUAGCAAUUUGGCCUAUUUUGCUUCUACGAAUAUCUUGUGGUUCUUGCACGACACCACCAUCUUGAAUUUCUGAAUUUUGCUCUUUAUUAGCAUCAAAAGUCAGAUCCUUAGGCCUUUGAAUCGAUGAAAACCUCAUCUCAUCAAAAAUCGCAUCCCGCGAUUCGAUAACAGUGUUAAUUGAAACCGAAUCAUUAGGUUCUAUUACAUAAAACCUAUAUUCCUUGGAAUGUUCAGCAUAUCCAAUGAAUAUGCAAUCAAUUUCUUUUUGGGCUCGGUAAGUUUUACAACUGCCCGACAUCCCCAAACCCAAAAAUAACUCAAAUUUGGCUUUUUCUUGAACCAAAGUUCAUAUGGGACUGUUUUGUUCCUUUUAUUUGAAACCCUAUUUAACAAAUAGCAGGCCGUUAACAUGGCCUCUCCCCAUAAUCCUUCACUCAAUCCCGAGUAAGACAGCAUCGAGUUUACCAUUUCCUUUAAAACUCGAUUUUUGCGUUCAGCGAUGCCAUUCUAUUGAGACGUGUAAGGUGCCGUGGUCUCAUGAAUGAUACCCACUGAUUGGAAGUAUAUGGGAUCCAUAUAUUCACCUCCCCUAUCACUCCUGAGACAUUUAACCGGAAUGCCCAAUUGCAAUUCCACCUUGGUUUUGUAUAUUUUGAAUUUAUCUAAGGCUUCAUCCUUAGAGUGCAACAAAUACACAUAGCAAAACCGAGUGCAGUCAUCAAUAAAAGUGACUGCAUACUUUUUAUUCCCUAAAGAAGGAGUGGAAUGAAAAUCACAUAGGUCACUGUGUACAAGCUCCAAAACAGCUGAAUUUCUAGUGACACUAGGAGAGGGCUGUUUUGUCACUUUUGUAAGCAUGCAUGUUUUACAUUUAUCAGAUGUCAUAUCAAAGGCUGGAAUUAAUCCAUCUUUUGACAUCUCAUGCAUCCUUCUAAAGUUGACAUGACCUAAUCUUACAUGCCAAAGCAUAGAUUUAUCAACAUUAGAAGCAGAAGAUAGAAAUGCAUAAUUCUGAACAGGUAAUAAUUUGUCAACAAUAUUCAAACGAAACAUUCUAUUAUUUAUAUAUCCAAAGCCAACAAACAUUCCACCCUUAGACAAAACAAACUUAUCCGACUCAAUAACUUGUUUAAAACCAUCCGAAUUCAAACAACUAGAGCUAACAAGAUUCUUGCGAAUCUUGGGAACAAACAAAACAUCAAAUAAUCUAAUUGUCUUUCCAGAAGUAAAUUCAAGACACACGACACCUAAACCACAAAUAGGAAUAAAAGAAUCGCCUCCCAUUUUCAGCACCGAGCCAUCUUCGAGCGGAUUUAAUGUUUCAGACAUCCGUUUAUCCUUGCAUACAUGGUUCGUUGCUCCGUAGUCGAUCCACCAAGCAACAUCAUCAUCCUGCACAUAGAAUGAUUCAGGGAUAAAUGAAACAUAGUAAACAUAAUUCUGAUUAGAAUUAUCAAAGUUAGUCAAAAACUGACCUCCUUUAACUUGGGUCGAAGACCCGUUCACUUUCCCAUUGGCUCCACUGUUUCCAGCACCAUUGUUGCCCAAAUUCACACGACAAUCACGCUUGUAAUGUCCAACUUGAUUGCACCUCCAACAAACCAGAUCCUUUCUUUUUUUGUUGGAGUUGCUUGGUACAUGUUCCUAUUUACGUUUUCCAUGUCCUUUGUGGUUCUGGUUCCUUGGCAUGUUUUCAACCAUAUGAACCGAGGACUGUCCAGGUUCAACUUUUCCUUUGGGUUUUUCAGAUUUGUCACUUUCCUUCGCAUGAAGAGAUUCUUCAAUAUGAAUGUGACUAGCAAGUUGAACCAAUGACAGUUCCUCCUUUUAAUGUUUCAAGUUAUGUUUGAAGUCUUUCCGGGACGGAGGCAGUUUGUCAAUGAUAGUGGACACAGCAAUGGAUUCAUCCAUAUUCAUUUUGUGUAGUUUAAACUGUCCAUAUAUUCCAAGGAGUUCAUUGUACUGUUCAGUGACAGACCUUGAAUCUUCCAUCUUAUAAUUAUUAAAGUCACUAACCAGAAACUUAUUGCUAGAAGCAUCCUCACUAAUGUAUUUCAGUUCAAGGGUAUCCCACAACUCCUUGGCACACAAGGCUUCACUAUGGAUAUCCAAUAAAGCAUCAGACAUACCGUUCAGAAUGUGACCUUUGCAGAUGUAGUCAUCAUUGUCCCAAUUCUGACUCUUCCUUGUCUCUUCAGCCGUCUCAACAACACCUUCCUCAGGCUCUGCUGGUCUUGGAGUAGUCAGCACGUAUGCUGCUUUCAGAGUGGUCAGCAUAAAGUGCAUAUUUUUCUUCCAGCGCCUGAAAUCAACACCUUCAAACUUCUCCAAUUUGGCAAACUUAGUGGUCAUCUCGCGGAUUGAGUCACCCAUCUCCAGAAACAGGAAAUAUCAGUUCGAAUGUUAGGAAAAUUAGGGUUUGCGGUGGAGAUCUGAAUACCAGCUUGGAUCGUGAUAUCACUUUCCGAACUGAUAUUUCUACCCUAUGCCUAGGUUGCAAGAAAUUUAGCCUAGGAUAAUCCAAGCGGACACCUACAUUUCUAGGCACAGAAAACGUAAGCUAUUAUGCUAAAGGGUUAUGUGAAUGUGUGACGAAAAACGAGAGCUAAAGAACGUACCUCUUCUAAAUAGGAAGAGUUGUUUAUAUACUAAACAUGAUUAGGGUUUCAUUAGGGUUGGGCCGUCAUUACUUGCUUUGGAAGCAAGUAAUAUUAAUCCGGAUUAGGGUUAACAAAAACUAACGAGUUUCGUUAGUUUUACCAUAAUCACCCUCAAGAAAUUGAAUUUUCCAUUAUGUUCCCACAUGCAAAAUUCGGUGAGGUUUUGGGGCACUGCCCCAAACCCCGCGAGGGCAAAAUGCAGCUAGGGGCUCUGCCCCUUGGACCCCGCUAGGGGCGGUGCCCCUAGACCCUGCCAAAGGGGCGCUGCCCCUUUGGAAACCCCAGAACCGGGGGCGCUUCCCCCGGACCCUGACUAGUCGUUGAACCGGCUUUUGACUCGAUCUUAUACAUGCGUGCACUCCGCACAACCCCGUACAUGUAUUAGAAUACAAAUCAUGAAGCCCCUUAGCUCACAUGUCAGUCCAGUUACUUAAAAUGGCAUGAUGACACUAAAAUCACCAACAUAUUAUACAUGCAUUUAUAUAAAUAUUACACAUAUAGACUUUUAAAUAAAUAUUAUACUUUGUAAAAAUUUUACACAUACAUUUUCAAAUAAAUAUUACAUAUACACACUUUUAAAUAAAUAUUAUAUGAUACAUACAACAUUUCUUGAUUCAUUGGUUUGCCUUUCACUCACAUAGUCACGUUGUCAUCUACUUAAUUGGGUUCUCCUCGACAAUCAAAGUGCAUACAUCAUUUGAACAAUCUUAGUUUCAUGAAGACAUUGUUAUAUACUAAACUAUAAUGUUGUACUUUUAUAAAUAAGGAUUGUCGGUCUUGCAUGCAACAAAAUUAGAUAUUCUUUAUCUUAUAUGGUUUCAUUCAGAAUUAAUUAAUACAAUAUUAAGCGUCUAUCUGCACUAAAAUAAAAAAUACGAUGAUCUUAAUUGUUUAUUGUAACCGACAUAUCAAAUGUUCUCUAUUAUAUUGAAAAAAAAUAAUAAAUAAUUACAUAAGACCAUACAUAUAUGUGUUCAAUGCUCCUUUAAUUAGUCUUCGAUCAGUUUAGCAAACGGCGUUGAAGAUUUGGUCAGGAGAGUCAAUUCAUAAAUGUUGCUAGACUAUGCUAAGAAUUUCCAUGUCCAUGAAACUCCUUAGCAACUUCCAUCGUGAUAUUUUACUAUUUUUGUCAAUUUUAUUACGUAAUAAGUUAUGUUCUUAUAAAUUCUAAUAUUCAAUCCCACAAUGGCUUUGAAAGUUUUAUCUGCACUCGAUAGUGCAAAAACACAAUAUUACCUUUUUAAAGCGAUCAUAAUCGCCGGAAUGGGUCUUUUUAAUGAUAGUUACGACUUGCUCUAUAUCCCUCCGAUCAUGAGACUGAUCGGAAGAAUAUAUUACCCUAAAUUUAAUGAAAAUAUGCAAGAGAAACACUUGUUCGAAGUCCCUGGAAUCAUCGCAUCAAUCAUGUUCAGUGUAGCGUGAAUGGGGGCAGUGAUCGGGCAGCUCAUUUUCGAGUGGCUCGGUGACUGUGUCGAGCGGCGCCAAGUGUACGGUGUUUCACUCAUAUUGAUGGUUGUGGGGUCCAUCGGGUGUGGGUUUUCACUCUCGACAUUGACUCCAAUGGUGUUUGUCAGUCUUGGAUUCUUUCGGUUUCUGCUUGGUGUUGGGAUUGGAGGGGAUUACCCGUCAUCUGCUACAAUUAUGUCAGAGUUUGCUAACCAGAGGACUCGUGGGGCAUUUAUUGCCGGAGUUUUUUCUAUGAAAGGGUUCGGGAUACUAUUUAGUUCACUUGUACCAUGAUGGUUUGCUCCAUUUUUAGAGUUUCUGCGGAUAAAUUGAUAGCUCCAUUUGAACUCCGGGAAUCCAAAAAGAAUGCUUCCGAACCACCGGAAUCGGACUUGGCAUGGCGGCUCAUUCUCAUGAUCGGUGGAAUUCCAGCAGCGAUGACUUAUUAUCGGCGAUGACUUAAAUUUUCAUCGUGUUCAUCAAGGUAUCAUAAUCUUUCAUCAAUGGCGUACCAAUCUUCUUCCCAAAAACUUGCUGCAAGUGCCCAAACUCCUAAAAAAUCUGUCACCAAGAAGAAAUCUUCCAAAGAAUCAUCAUCCUCACAUUCAUCUGAGCCUUUUCUUAGAGAUACCACACAACUUUUCUUGAUAAACCCUCUAGAUUUCGAUGAACCCAUUAGAGUGAUGAUUGAUUUCAUUGCAAAUCAUCCCAUAUCCAUCCCACUCGCUUAAAUCCCAGAACCUCCACUACCACUCAGUUUCUUGCACACCUCUUUUACACGAAUCAAGAUUGACAAUUGAGUUCUCAAACCCACAAAUCCACAUUCCUCAAGUGUAAAGCCCGUGUUUCUAGGCUAUGCAUUAAUAUUGACAUAAUGGUCUAGGUUAACCUUUGUAACUCAUUUAGAAGAAAUGAAAAGGAUUUAUGUGAAUUUUAAGUUAAUUAUGUGUUUUAUGUUUAAUUAUUAGGAUUUAAUUAAUUAAGAAUAAAAAUAAGCGUCAAAAUUAAAGUGUGAGAUAAGCCCGAUAUCUUUACAUAAAGUUGUAGUGGUCAAAACAAGGAUUUCAGAGAUAUAAAGAAUACCAAAAUCCGAGUUAUAACGAAGAAGUUAUGACAUGUCAAAGUUUCGCGACAAAACCGGCACGAUGCCGAAUGUCGUAAAAAGUGAGUUUUUGAUAAACUACUUUUUAGCCUUAGUGAUCUAAAUGAAAACCGAGAAGUUUGAUAAAAAGAACGCCCAAAUCUGACUUCGUAUGAGGAAGUUGUGAUUUUUCGAAGUUUCAGCUUAGCAGUAGACAGCUAAAAACUCGAAUUUUAGAUCGAGUGAUUUUUAGCCGAUAUAACCUAAACGAGAAUUGAAGGUCUCGUCAUUAGUAGCACAACAGUAAAAAGUCUGACGAAAACGGACGUCGGAUGAAGAAGUUAUUAAUUUUUAACGGAUUUCCUGUCCCGGUCUGUUAAAAAUAAUAAUAAAAAAAUUAAAUCAAAAUUAGCCGGCGGAGUCUAAAUGAAAGUUGUAGAUCGUAAUUUUGCCUACGCGUGCAUAUAAAGAACGUCCAAAACGGAGCUCGUAUGCGAAUGUUAUAAUUUUCGCAAGUUUCGCACAAAAAUAAAGAAAAAUGGGAAAAACCAGGCAAUUUCACAUGCCACGUCACCCUCGCACGGCAACUGCUGAGUGGACCGAACCCAUGCGUGACACCUCCUGAUUGGACCACAGCCAAGGUCCACUUAAAAGCCAACAGCUUUGCAUGAGAUGCCCCGGAGACACCCCUCGGACACCCUCCUUCGCACGUGGCCCCUUCUCAUUGGACCGAGGUUUGGUCCAAUCCGAGCCUAGCACCUUGCGAGCCUUUGGUCCGAAGUAAGAAACCUGUCCGACGUGUGUCAGCUUCGCAUAACUCCGGGUCCGAACUUUCGGACUAUAUAUAUGCAUGCAAGGGCUUCCGAAUUUUUACACUUUUUCACCCCAAUUUUCAUCCUCUUUCACAUUUUCCACUCCCAUAAGCUCAUAUACAACCCCUAAAGCCCUGGUAUCAAGUCUCGAACCCUAAGCAAGGCUCAAAUCCCCGAUAUUCCUGAGAAGUAACCUCUCUCCUGUCGAAACUCUGCCCAAUUUUAGCUGGUUUCUCGUUAAAUAAACUCUUUACGGGAAACGAAACGGCACCACUUAUAAAAGUGAGUUCAUACCCCUAUAAUUUAUUUUUUUUGGUUUUGAAGCCCGACCUUUCGCAGAGCCCGGUUUCUCAAUAAAACUCCCGAUUUUAUUAGAAACGAUCGUUCUAGGAAACGAAUUGCUGCCUGAUUAUCAUCAAAUCAUGUGAGUGUAUAGUCACUUUCGUUUUACACAUAGAUAUGAAGUAUUUACCUUAUAAUAUGUGUUAUGUGUAAAUAUAUAUUAAUUGUUUAUUUGGGGUUAUUGUUGAGUUGACGUUUUAUGCAAGUUUUAAACUGUAUAAGUAUUUUUAUCUACAAAUAUGUUGGGUAGAACAUGGGUAGAUAGUGAUGUGUGAUAAAAUAAAAUUGAGGAGACGCCUCGAUGAGUUUUGAGAUCCAGUCAUCUAGCGGAGUUUGGAUGACGACCACAGAUUUUCUAGACAGUCCAGUGUGAAAAAGUAGCAGGUCUGCAACCUGUAGGUGUUAAUAAACUGAGAGUGUUCAUUCGUUGUACUCCAUCCCCCUCAUGGUUGCCUUUAGGACAUGUAUGGCUGGGAAACCCCUUAGCAGUAGUGUCCAUCCCGAUGAUAUUCUUUAGGCUAGGUCCCUUGUGAUAAGUGUUUAGGGACAUAAAGUAAGGAUAACGGGAACGCGUAAUCAGGGUUAUUGUUGAUUGAUGACCUUAGUAAGUUUAUUAUUAUUUUGGGUUGAAAACCCUAUAUGCUCACCAGGCUCCCAAGCCUGGCCCACUCAGCGUUUUAUGUUACAGGUAGUGGACCCUGAGCAUAGUCGAAGGACAAUGAGGGAUUUUUGGAUUAUUGGCCAGUAGUUGUAAAUAACUGUGGAAAGGCUUAUAAUGUCUUGUUUAUGCUUUUAAUCUGUAUCGGAACAUGACAUCCUAAGGUUUUGAUAUGAAAUGAAACUAUACAUUUCUUAAAGAAAGUUUUAAUAAACGUUUAUCGUAUGUUGUUUGGGGACCAAUUCCGCAACAUCUUUUAAAAAGAUUUCUCUGAUUUUAUUUUAAAAAGCAUAAAUUAAAUCGGUCUUUUCUGGCUGAGAAAUUAGGGGAUGUCACAGUUGGUAUCAGAGCAUUAGUUUAAGCGAACUAAGAAAUUGUAGAAUUUCUAAACUUAAACUUAGAAUGCUAAGUGAUGAGUGUGAGAUGAGUGUCUACCAUAUUUUAGACACGAGCACUACUUUAUUUUAGGAAAGAUGCCUAAAAUGCCCUUAUGUGCUAAAUGUUAUGUGUUUGCCAUGUGUGCCAUUAUUUGUUCGGAUCUAUGGUCUAUUGCCGACCGGAUUUGGAAACCUUAUGUGUGUAGGAUUCUAAGCGUAUGAUUACGAGAUUAGAACUAACAUGUAAACGUUUCGGAGUGAUAAGGGAAUUAAUAUGUCUAACAAGGAUAAAGACCUAAAUUCGCCUUAUUCGGUAUAUAGAUUGUAAUGGCAAGAACUCGUAGUGGAGUUGCAAAUGCAAACGGAAACAGGGAUCAAUAGCCUCAACCUCAAGUAGUUGAGCAAAUACGUAUUGUAGGAGCUGCACCUAAGCCAAUGACAAUGGCUGGGGUACAAGCAAUGAUGCAAAUGAUGUUAGAUCGCUAGAUGGAGGAGACAAGGCGAUUACUACAACAGCAUAGAGAAGAGACUACGAUGCCUGUUGAACAGCCCAUAUUGAAUGAAGGGCAAUUAGUAGGAGGGAACUAUAGUGGGGCUCUUGGUCAAGCCAACCCACCGAUAGUUAGACAAAACAACCAGGAUGGAGGAGUUGAUGGACGCGGAUGCAAAUACAAAGAUUUCAUGGCAUCCAAACCACCGUGUCUAUCUGGAAGUCCGACACCGGUGGAAGUCAUGAAUUGGAUCUCCGAAAAGGAGAUGAUGUUUGAAACUGGUAGACGUUACUAGCUAAUUCGAUGCCCAAGGGAGAAGCUAGUAAGAUGUCUUGGGAAGACUUUGUACUACAACUAAAACUGUAAUACUACUCUGAGCAGGAUCUUCUGGAAAUUAAUAAUGAGUUCUAGAAUUUAAAGAAGGGAAAGAUGAGUGUUACUGAAUACGCUGCUAGUUUUAUUGAAAAGAUGAAGCUUGUUCCUUACCUAGUUCCAACUGAACUCUCUAAGAUCAACAAGUUUGCCCUCGGAUUACCAACGGACUUUGGUCAGAUGGUUAAGCAAGCAACCACUUUGAAAGCCGCCAUCUGGGCUGCUAGUUUUAUCCAAAACGUUUGUAAUAUAUAAGAACUCUUUUAUGAAAAAGCGUUAGGAUUAUGAAAUCCAUUAAACUAUGCUUAUUACAGUUUAUAUAUAUACAUGUUCUAAAUGAAUGAAUAAUCUUAUCAUGAAUGACUUAUUUUCAGUUUAUGAUGAUAAAAUUUACAACGUAUCACAUUCAAUACUUAGAACUUGACCUUAUACACUUUGCUCAACAUAAUACAAAGUGUUGUAAAAAUUACAAGCUGUUAACAAAUUUUCAGCCUUCCUACACUGUUUUUGAAAAUUUAUAGAAAAAUCAUACGAAGUCGAAAACUAAAUCCGUAAAUUCUGGGAGUUUCCAAAAUGUGUCUAGUUUACUCAUAAUUUUUAUCAUGAUUUUUAAUGACCUGUAACCUAGGUGAAAAAGUCCAUAAUCACAGACUGGUCCGGAUUGGUGUUUGAAAUGAUAGGCAGUUUUGUAAAAAUCACCAUAAAUUGUAGAAAAAUCGUAUGGAGAUGUGCAAGUAGUCAUUUUAAAGCUAAGAAGUGGAACUACAUGCACCUAAAACAGUUUUGAAAACUAAAAUGUUUAAGGUGUCCAAAACAGUCCGUGAAUGGAGUCCAACUUUUCUGAUGAAAGCUGUUAGGAAAUUUUAGUUAUGUUCUUGGUGUUUUAACUUGUAUUCCCCCCCUAAAAACUUAAGAAAACAUGAAAAUGUAGGGGUAUGAACUCACCUUGUGUGAUUUCAGUAGAUAAGUGUUGAAGAAGAGAAGUGUUCAACCCAAGAACACUUGAAGAAUCGCUUGAAGAUUCGAAGCUCUAACACAAAUAUAAUGGAGUUUGUGUAAGAUACCCAUGAUUUGAGUGGAAAUAAUUGAGAUAAUCUUAAAGGAAAUGGAUUAUGCUUACCAAAGGUGGAGGAAACUCUCAAGAUCAGCCCUUGAAUCUCGGGUUUCUAGAGAGAGAAAGUGAGAGAGAAAGGAGUUUGAUCUUCUUGUGAAAUGAGAACAAAUGAGAGAAAAUGAGGAGAGAGGAUGAAUAUCCAGCUCUCAAAAACGUGGGAAGGAGUGAUGAUUGAGUGGAAAGGACAUUGAUGUGACUUAGGUAAGGUGGGGAGGUAUGGCUGGUCAUAGAGUGGGUGUGGGAGUGGUUGCUUGUGUCAUAAAGUAAAGCAAAGUCAACACUCCUCCUAUUUGUACUUUUACCCACUUGCUUUUAUUAUUUAGAUAGAGAUUUUUAUGAAUUUAUGAUUAAAUUGUGAAUAUUUAGGGUUUAUUAUGUUAAAAUAUGAUUUUGGGUGAAAACCCCGCGUUAAAAUAAUUAAAAACGGGCCUUAAACGCAAAANGAUAUGUGGGAGAGGUUUCACAUACUUAGAGAUAUGUGGGAGAGGUUUCACAUACUUAGAGAUAUGUGGGAGAGGUUUCACAUACUUAGAGAUAUGUGGGAGAGGUUUCACAUACUUAGAGAUAUGUGGGAGAGGUUUCACAUACUUAGAGAUAUGUGGGAGAGGUUUCACAUACUUAGAGAUAUGUGGGAGAGGUUUCACAUACUUAGAGAUAUGUGGGAGAGGUUUCACAUACUUAGAGAUAUGUGGGAGAGGUUUCACAUACUUAGAGAUAUGUGGGAGAGGUUUCACAUACUUAGAGAUAUGUGGGAGAGGUUUCACAUACUUAGAGAUAUGUGGGAGAGGUUUCACAUACUUAGAGAUAUGUGGGAGAGGUUUCACAUACUUAGAGAUAUGUGGGAGAGGUUUCACAUACUUAGAGAUAUGUGGGAGAGGUUUCACAUACUUAGAGAUAUGUGGGAGAGGUUUCACAUACUUAGAGAUAUGUGGGAGAGGUUUCACAUACUUAGAGAUAUGUGGGAGAGGUUUCACAUACUUAGAGAUAUGUGGGAGAGGUUUCACAUACUUAGAGAUAUGUGGGAGAGGUUUCACAUACUUAGAGAUAUGUGGGAGAGGUUUCACAUACUUAGAGAUAUGUGGGAGAGGUUUCACAUACUUAGAGAUAUGUGGGAGAGGUUUCACAUACUUAGAGAUAUGUGGGAGAGGUUUCACAUACUUAGAGAUAUGUGGGAGAGGUUUCACAUACUUAGAGAUAUGUGGGAGAGGUUUCACAUACUUAGAGAUAUGUGGGAGAGGUUUCACAUACUUAGAGAUAUGUGGGAGAGGUUUCACAUACUUAGAGAUAUGUGGGAGAGGUUUCACAUACUUAGAGAUAUGUGGGAGAGGUUUCACAUACUUAGAGAUAUGUGGGAGAGGUUUCACAUACUUAGAGAUAUGUGGGAGAGGUUUCACAUACUUAGAGAUAUGUGGGAGAGGUUUCACAUACUUAGAGAUAUGUGGGAGAGGUUUCACAUACUUAGAGAUAUGUGGGAGAGGUUUCACAUACUUAGAGAUAUGUGGGAGAGGUUUCACAUACUUAGAGAUAUGUGGGAGAGGUUUCACAUACUUAGAGAUAUGUGGGAGAGGUUUCACAUACUUAGAGAUAUGUGGGAGAGGUUUCACAUACUUAGAGAUAUGUGGGAGAGGUUUCACAUACUUAGAGAUAUGUGGGAGAGGUUUCACAUACUUAGAGAUAUGUGGGAGAGGUUUCACAUACUUAGAGAUAUGUGGGAGAGGUUUCACAUACUUAGAGAUAUGUGGGAGAGGUUUCACAUACUUAGAGAUAUGUGGGAGAGGUUUCACAUACUUAGAGAUAUGUGGGAGAGGUUUCACAUACUUAGAGAUAUGUGGGAGAGGUUUCACAUACUUAGAGAUAUGUGGGAGAGGUUUCACAUACUUAGAGAUAUGUGGGAGAGGUUUCACAUACUUAGAGAUAUGUGGGAGAGGUUUCACAUACUUAGAGAUAUGUGGGAGAGGUUUCACAUACUUAGAGAUAUGUGGGAGAGGUUUCACAUACUUAGAGAUAUGUGGGAGAGGUUUCACAUACUUAGAGAUAUGUGGGAGAGGUUUCACAUACUUAGAGAUAUGUGGGAGAGGUUUCACAUACUUAGAGAUAUGUGGGAGAGGUUUCACAUACUUAGAGAUAUGUGGGAGAGGUUUCACAUACUUAGAGAUAUGUGGGAGAGGUUUCACAUACUUAGAGAUAUGUGGGAGAGGUUUCACAUACUUAGAGAUAUGUGGGAGAGGUUUCACAUACUUAGAGAUAUGUGGGAGAGGUUUCACAUACUUAGAGAUAUGUGGGAGAGGUUUCACAUACUUAGAGAUAUGUGGGAGAGGUUUCACAUACUUAGAGAUAUGUGGGAGAGGUUUCACAUACUUAGAGAUAUGUGGGAGAGGUUUCACAUACUUAGAGAUAUGUGGGAGAGGUUUCACAUACUUAGAGAUAUGUGGGAGAGGUUUCACAUACUUAGAGAUAUGUGGGAGAGGUUUCACAUACUUAGAGAUAUGUGGGAGAGGUUUCACAUACUUAGAGAUAUGUGGGAGAGGUUUCACAUACUUAGAGAUAUGUGGGAGAGGUUUCACAUACUUAGAGAUAUGUGGGAGAGGUUUCACAUACUUAGAGAUAUGUGGGAGAGGUUUCACAUACUUAGAGAUAUGUGGGAGAGGUUUCACAUACUUAGAGAUAUGUGGGAGAGGUUUCACAUACUUAGAGAUAUGUGGGAGAGGUUUCACAUACUUAGAGAUAUGUGGGAGAGGUUUCACAUACUUAGAGAUAUGUGGGAGAGGUUUCACAUACUUAGAGAUAUGUGGGAGAGGUUUCACAUACUUAGAGAUAUGUGGGAGAGGUUUCACAUACUUAGAGAUAUGUGGGAGAGGUUUCACAUACUUAGAGAUAUGUGGGAGAGGUUUCACAUACUUAGAGAUAUGUGGGAGAGGUUUCACAUACUUAGAGAUAUGUGGGAGAGGUUUCACAUACUUAGAGAUAUGUGGGAGAGGUUUCACAUACUUAGAGAUAUGUGGGAGAGGUUUCACAUACUUAGAGAUAUGUGGGAGAGGUUUCACAUACUUAGAGAUAUGUGGGAGAGGUUUCACAUACUUAGAGAUAUGUGGGAGAGGUUUCACAUACUUAGAGAUAUGUGGGAGAGGUUUCACAUACUUAGAGAUAUGUGGGAGAGGUUUCACAUACUUAGAGAUAUGUGGGAGAGGUUUCACAUACUUAGAGAUAUGUGGGAGAGGUUUCACAUACUUAGAGAUAUGUGGGAGAGGUUUCACAUACUUAGAGAUAUGUGGGAGAGGUUUCACAUACUUAGAGAUAUGUGGGAGAGGUUUCACAUACUUAGAGAUAUGUGGGAGAGGUUUCACAUACUUAGAGAUAUGUGGGAGAGGUUUCACAUACUUAGAGAUAUGUGGGAGAGGUUUCACAUACUUAGAGAUAUGUGGGAGAGGUUUCACAUACUUAGAGAUAUGUGGGAGAGGUUUCACAUACUUAGAGAUAUGUGGGAGAGGUUUCACAUACUUAGAGAUAUGUGGGAGAGGUUUCACAUACUUAGAGAUAUGUGGGAGAGGUUUCACAUACUUAGAGAUAUGUGGGAGAGGUUUCACAUACUUAGAGAUAUGUGGGAGAGGUUUCACAUACUUAGAGAUAUGUGGGAGAGGUUUCACAUACUUAGAGAUAUGUGGGAGAGGUUUCACAUACUUAGAGAUAUGUGGGAGAGGUUUCACAUACUUAGAGAUAUGUGGGAGAGGUUUCACAUACUUAGAGAUAUGUGGGAGAGGUUUCACAUACUUAGAGAUAUGUGGGAGAGGUUUCACAUACUUAGAGAUAUGUGGGAGAGGUUUCACAUACUUAGAGAUAUGUGGGAGAGGUUUCACAUACUUAGAGAUAUGUGGGAGAGGUUUCACAUACUUAGAGAUAUGUGGGAGAGGUUUCACAUACUUAGAGAUAUGUGGGAGAGGUUUCACAUACUUAGAGAUAUGUGGGAGAGGUUUCACAUACUUAGAGAUAUGUGGGAGAGGUUUCACAUACUUAGAGAUAUGUGGGAGAGGUUUCACAUACUUAGAGAUAUGUGGGAGAGGUUUCACAUACUUAGAGAUAUGUGGGAGAGGUUUCACAUACUUAGAGAUAUGUGGGAGAGGUUUCACAUACUUAGAGAUAUGUGGGAGAGGUUUCACAUACUUAGAGAUAUGUGGGAGAGGUUUCACAUACUUAGAGAUAUGUGGGAGAGGUUUCACAUACUUAGAGAUAUGUGGGAGAGGUUUCACAUACUUAGAGAUAUGUGGGAGAGGUUUCACAUACUUAGAGAUAUGUGGGAGAGGUUUCACAUACUUAGAGAUAUGUGGGAGAGGUUUCACAUACUUAGAGAUAUGUGGGAGAGGUUUCACAUACUUAGAGAUAUGUGGGAGAGGUUUCACAUACUUAGAGAUAUGUGGGAGAGGUUUCACAUACUUAGAGAUAUGUGGGAGAGGUUUCACAUACUUAGAGAUAUGUGGGAGAGGUUUCACAUACUUAGAGAUAUGUGGGAGAGGUUUCACAUACUUAGAGAUAUGUGGGAGAGGUUUCACAUACUUAGAGAUAUGUGGGAGAGGUUUCACAUACUUAGAGAUAUGUGGGAGAGGUUUCACAUACUUAGAGAUAUGUGGGAGAGGUUUCACAUACUUAGAGAUAUGUGGGAGAGGUUUCACAUACUUAGAGAUAUGUGGGAGAGGUUUCACAUACUUAGAGAUAUGUGGGAGAGGUUUCACAUACUUAGAGAUAUGUGGGAGAGGUUUCACAUACUUAGAGAUAUGUGGGAGAGGUUUCACAUACUUAGAGAUAUGUGGGAGAGGUUUCACAUACUUAGAGAUAUGUGGGAGAGGUUUCACAUACUUAGAGAUAUGUGGGAGAGGUUUCACAUACUUAGAGAUAUGUGGGAGAGGUUUCACAUACUUAGAGAUAUGUGGGAGAGGUUUCACAUACUUAGAGAUAUGUGGGAGAGGUUUCACAUACUUAGAGAUAUGUGGGAGAGGUUUCACAUACUUAGAGAUAUGUGGGAGAGGUUUCACAUACUUAGAGAUAUGUGGGAGAGGUUUCACAUACUUAGAGAUAUGUGGGAGAGGUUUCACAUACUUAGAGAUAUGUGGGAGAGGUUUCACAUACUUAGAGAUAUGUGGGAGAGGUUUCACAUACUUAGAGAUAUGUGGGAGAGGUUUCACAUACUUAGAGAUAUGUGGGAGAGGUUUCACAUACUUAGAGAUAUGUGGGAGAGGUUUCACAUACUUAGAGAUAUGUGGGAGAGGUUUCACAUACUUAGAGAUAUGUGGGAGAGGUUUCACAUACUUAGAGAUAUGUGGGAGAGGUUUCACAUACUUAGAGAUAUGUGGGAGAGGUUUCACAUACUUAGAGAUAUGUGGGAGAGGUUUCACAUACUUAGAGAUAUGUGGGAGAGGUUUCACAUACUUAGAGAUAUGUGGGAGAGGUUUCACAUACUUAGAGAUAUGUGGGAGAGGUUUCACAUACUUAGAGAUAUGUGGGAGAGGUUUCACAUACUUAGAGAUAUGUGGGAGAGGUUUCACAUACUUAGAGAUAUGUGGGAGAGGUUUCACAUACUUAGAGAUAUGUGGGAGAGGUUUCACAUACUUAGAGAUAUGUGGGAGAGGUUUCACAUACUUAGAGAUAUGUGGGAGAGGUUUCACAUACUUAGAGAUAUGUGGGAGAGGUUUCACAUACUUAGAGAUAUGUGGGAGAGGUUUCACAUACUUAGAGAUAUGUGGGAGAGGUUUCACAUACUUAGAGAUAUGUGGGAGAGGUUUCACAUACUUAGAGAUAUGUGGGAGAGGUUUCACAUACUUAGAGAUAUGUGGGAGAGGUUUCACAUACUUAGAGAUAUGUGGGAGAGGUUUCACAUACUUAGAGAUAUGUGGGAGAGGUUUCACAUACUUAGAGAUAUGUGGGAGAGGUUUCACAUACUUAGAGAUAUGUGGGAGAGGUUUCACAUACUUAGAGAUAUGUGGGAGAGGUUUCACAUACUUAGAGAUAUGUGGGAGAGGUUUCACAUACUUAGAGAUAUGUGGGAGAGGUUUCACAUACUUAGAGAUAUGUGGGAGAGGUUUCACAUACUUAGAGAUAUGUGGGAGAGGUUUCACAUACUUAGAGAUAUGUGGGAGAGGUUUCACAUACUUAGAGAUAUGUGGGAGAGGUUUCACAUACUUAGAGAUAUGUGGGAGAGGUUUCACAUACUUAGAGAUAUGUGGGAGAGGUUUCACAUACUUAGAGAUAUGUGGGAGAGGUUUCACAUACUUAGAGAUAUGUGGGAGAGGUUUCACAUACUUAGAGAUAUGUGGGAGAGGUUUCACAUACUUAGAGAUAUGUGGGAGAGGUUUCACAUACUUAGAGAUAUGUGGGAGAGGUUUCACAUACUUAGAGAUAUGUGGGAGAGGUUUCACAUACUUAGAGAUAUGUGGGAGAGGUUUCACAUACUUAGAGAUAUGUGGGAGAGGUUUCACAUACUUAGAGAUAUGUGGGAGAGGUUUCACAUACUUAGAGAUAUGUGGGAGAGGUUUCACAUACUUAGAGAUAUGUGGGAGAGGUUUCACAUACUUAGAGAUAUGUGGGAGAGGUUUCACAUACUUAGAGAUAUGUGGGAGAGGUUUCACAUACUUAGAGAUAUGUGGGAGAGGUUUCACAUACUUAGAGAUAUGUGGGAGAGGUUUCACAUACUUAGAGAUAUGUGGGAGAGGUUUCACAUACUUAGAGAUAUGUGGGAGAGGUUUCACAUACUUAGAGAUAUGUGGGAGAGGUUUCACAUACUUAGAGAUAUGUGGGAGAGGUUUCACAUACUUAGAGAUAUGUGGGAGAGGUUUCACAUACUUAGAGAUAUGUGGGAGAGGUUUCACAUACUUAGAGAUAUGUGGGAGAGGUUUCACAUACUUAGAGAUAUGUGGGAGAGGUUUCACAUACUUAGAGAUAUGUGGGAGAGGUUUCACAUACUUAGAGAUAUGUGGGAGAGGUUUCACAUACUUAGAGAUAUGUGGGAGAGGUUUCACAUACUUAGAGAUAUGUGGGAGAGGUUUCACAUACUUAGAGAUAUGUGGGAGAGGUUUCACAUACUUAGAGAUAUGUGGGAGAGGUUUCACAUACUUAGAGAUAUGUGGGAGAGGUUUCACAUACUUAGAGAUAUGUGGGAGAGGUUUCACAUACUUAGAGAUAUGUGGGAGAGGUUUCACAUACUUAGAGAUAUGUGGGAGAGGUUUCACAUACUUAGAGAUAUGUGGGAGAGGUUUCACAUACUUAGAGAUAUGUGGGAGAGGUUUCACAUACUUAGAGAUAUGUGGGAGAGGUUUCACAUACUUAGAGAUAUGUGGGAGAGGUUUCACAUACUUAGAGAUAUGUGGGAGAGGUUUCACAUACUUAGAGAUAUGUGGGAGAGGUUUCACAUACUUAGAGAUAUGUGGGAGAGGUUUCACAUACUUAGAGAUAUGUGGGAGAGGUUUCACAUACUUAGAGAUAUGUGGGAGAGGUUUCACAUACUUAGAGAUAUGUGGGAGAGGUUUCACAUACUUAGAGAUAUGUGGGAGAGGUUUCACAUACUUAGAGAUAUGUGGGAGAGGUUUCACAUACUUAGAGAUAUGUGGGAGAGGUUUCACAUACUUAGAGAUAUGUGGGAGAGGUUUCACAUACUUAGAGAUAUGUGGGAGAGGUUUCACAUACUUAGAGAUAUGUGGGAGAGGUUUCACAUACUUAGAGAUAUGUGGGAGAGGUUUCACAUACUUAGAGAUAUGUGGGAGAGGUUUCACAUACUUAGAGAUAUGUGGGAGAGGUUUCACAUACUUAGAGAUAUGUGGGAGAGGUUUCACAUACUUAGAGAUAUGUGGGAGAGGUUUCACAUACUUAGAGAUAUGUGGGAGAGGUUUCACAUACUUAGAGAUAUGUGGGAGAGGUUUCACAUACUUAGAGAUAUGUGGGAGAGGUUUCACAUACUUAGAGAUAUGUGGGAGAGGUUUCACAUACUUAGAGAUAUGUGGGAGAGGUUUCACAUACUUAGAGAUAUGUGGGAGAGGUUUCACAUACUUAGAGAUAUGUGGGAGAGGUUUCACAUACUUAGAGAUAUGUGGGAGAGGUUUCACAUACUUAGAGAUAUGUGGGAGAGGUUUCACAUACUUAGAGAUAUGUGGGAGAGGUUUCACAUACUUAGAGAUAUGUGGGAGAGGUUUCACAUACUUAGAGAUAUGUGGGAGAGGUUUCACAUACUUAGAGAUAUGUGGGAGAGGUUUCACAUACUUAGAGAUAUGUGGGAGAGGUUUCACAUACUUAGAGAUAUGUGGGAGAGGUUUCACAUACUUAGAGAUAUGUGGGAGAGGUUUCACAUACUUAGAGAUAUGUGGGAGAGGUUUCACAUACUUAGAGAUAUGUGGGAGAGGUUUCACAUACUUAGAGAUAUGUGGGAGAGGUUUCAUUGGUGACCUUUUUGAGUGUUCGGCUACGCACUGCAUGGUCCUUAAAUCCCGUUAAGCCUUGAUUAGGGAUCUUGCAUACUCCCGAUGAGUAUGUAACAUUGUUUUAUCGGUUUGGCUUUCCACGCCACCGUUUUGGGUUAAGGAGAUCUAGGUGAACGCACUUUUCGAUUUAUGAUCUCUCAUUAGAAUAGAGAGUUGUUUAGAAGUUACAUAACGUAAACUUUAGUACUCACGGCAAAUUGAGUUGACUGGUUUGACUUGUUGACUUUAGUUGACUUUGACUUGACCGAAAAUUGACGGUUGUCACAAGUGGUGUGAGAAGUGAAAGAAAAAGCACUCAGGGAAAUGUAGUAAGGAGGUGACUUGCUUCAAAUGUGGAAAGACUGGGCAUUAUGCCAACGUGUGUCCAUCCGACAAGAGGGUAUGUUUUGAGUGCCAUGAAGAAGGGCAUGUUUUUAAAGAGUGUUCGAAGAGGAAGGAUGCUGCAAAGCCCAAUCUACCACCAAAGUCGAAGGCGAGAGCCUUUCAAAUGACACUUGAGGCUGCAAAAGAAGAAGAUCAAGUUAUAAAGUAGUAAUGUGAAUAGUAACAAGUGGUUAGGCCUAUUAGAGGCAUAGUAUAGGGUAAACUUGAACCUUUGUGUAAUCAUUUCAAGGAAAUAAUAUAAACCCUGGUUUUGUCAUAUGAUGAAUUGAAUGACUAUGUGAAAUUCUUGUAUGGCGAUUUGGAGAACUGCGAGACAAUACUUGGGACGAGUAUGAGUAGGUGCGAAUGGUAGUAGAGGCCUAUACUACCGGAAGCAUAGGACUCGUACUUGGACGAAGGAAAGUCACAAGGUUACCAAGGAGCUAUUAUUUGAUUCCAUCUUGUUCUAGUCUGUUGUUAUCAACGUUUCGGUAAUGACUAAGAAGAUGAUUGUUAUUCCGACCUUAGAGGUCAUAUUGAAUCGAGUCCGACUAAGAUGGGUAUGUUACAUGGUUCAGAGAACCAAGUUCGAUGUAGCAUUUGACUUAAGCCGGAGGAUUGAGGUGAAAGAUGAUUAAAGUGAUCAACAGAAGCAUCGCACUCAUUGUUAAAGAAGUUGAUAUUUAGGAAUGAUACAUGUUGAACUGUGAUUGUAUCAUAUUAGAACAUGAAGGAAGGUGUAGUUUGUUCCGAAAAUUGUACCAAGGAGAUCUGAGUUUAAGUAGUGCAGUAUACAAUGAGAGAUCAUUAGAACAUUACCCAUCGGUCUGUUACAAUAAAUGAAGGAAAGUACUUAUUCCAAGAAAAAAAAGGAGUCCUCAAUAAGGAUUUAUUUUGUAACUUGAAGGUUACAAUUGAAAUUCCUAUGGAGAUCUGAUGCUUUUUAGGAUUAGCUGGAUAUUAUCACUGAAUUAUCCAAGGCUUUUCUUCGAUCUCGACUCCAUUGACAGCUUUGACCCACAAAGGAAUUGUCUAUACUUGGAAUGAGAAGCACAUGAAGCUUUGAGAAGUUAAAGAAGAAGUUGUGUGAAGCACCGAUUCUUUCAUUACCUGAAGGAGUUGAUGACUUCACAGUUUAUAGUGAUGCCUCUAGAGUUGGGUUAGGAUGUGUUCUGACCCAAAGGGAUAAGGUGAUAGUGUAUGCAUCGAGGCAAUUGAAAGAGCAUGAAAAGAACUACCCCACUCACGAUUUGGAGUUGGCAGCGGUAGUAUUCGCCCUAAAGAUAUGGUGGCAUUAUCUUUAUGGCACAAAGUGUAAACUUUUCACUGAUCAUAAGAGUCUCCAAUAUCUCUUUAAUCAGAAGGAAUUGAACAUGAGGCAACGACGCUGGCUAGAGUUACUCAAGGACUACGACUGUGAGAUACUUUACCACCCUGGUAAAGCAAAUGUUGAUGUUGAUGCUCUCAGUCAGAAGGUGAACUUUGAAAAGAAAAGGCCAAGAGCGUUGAGAAUCGAAGUUGUCUCUACAAUUGUGGAAAGUAUAAAGAAAGAUCAAGAGGAAGCUUUAGAGAAAAAUGACCGGGAGGAGGAACGUUUGAGUAAAACGUUGGUGUUUGAUAUAAACGGUCAGGGAUUGAAGGUAUUAAAAGAUAGGAUUUGGGUACCUAAGACGGGAUGAGUAAGAGAUCUUCUGAUGGAAGAAGCUCACAAGACCAUGUACUCGAUUCAUCCUGGCAGUACGAAAAUAUAUAGGGACCUAAAACCCUAUUACUAGUGGCCAACGAUGAAGCUCGAUGUUGCUAAGUAUGUGGCUGAGUGUGUAACUUGUGCUAGGGUUAAGGCACAACAUCAGAAACCGUACGGGAGUUUAGAACCUUUACCCAUACCCAGGGGUAAAUAGGAAGACAUCACCAUGGAUAUUGUGACUAAACUGCCCAGAACAAGGAACGGUCACGGCAUGAUUUGGGUGGUCAUUGAUCGCUUCACUAAGAGUGUGCAUUUCAUAGCAGCCAUAGAGAAAUGCUCUAUGGAUAAACUUGUGAAUUCUUACGUGAAGGAAAUUGUGAGGCUUCAAGGUGUUCCGCGAAUGAUUGUAUCCGAUCGUCACACUCGUUUUACCUCAAGGUGUUGGAGGAGUCUGUAAGAGUAAUUGGGUGCCAAGUUGUGUUUGAAUACAGCUUACCGUCCGCAAACCGAUGCUUAGAGCGAAUGAACGAUUCAAACAUUGGAGGAUAUGCUGAGAGCAUGUACCCUAGAAUUUCAAGGUAAUUGGGAUGAACACUUAUCUCUAGUAGAAUUCACCUAUAAUAAUUGUUUCCACUCAAGCGUUAAGAUGGCACCUUAUCACGCUUUGUAUGGGGAAAAGUGUCGGAUGCCAUCAUGUUGGCUGGAAGCUGAGGAAAAGCAGUUUAUGGGACUUGAAAUAGUCCAUUAAAUUGCUAUAAAGUUGUAAGUGAUUAGGGAAAAAGAUGUUAGCUGCUCAAAAGAGCUAUGUGUUGGAUUAGUGUCUAAGUCCAUAACAUUUUGGUAUGUACUUGACCCGAUGGUGCAUGGUCCUUUUGGGUUGCCUUCACCAAAGCAACUUGAUAGGAUGAAUUAUGGAGAGAAAGGAUUAAAUAUGAUUUAUUAAUAUAUUAUGAGAAUAAUAUAUUAAAGGAGAAAUCAUAUUGUUUAAUUAAUAUUAGUCAAUAAUUAAUUGGUAAUUAGUUUUGUGACUAAAAGAGAUUAAUUAAACUUAAGGGACUGGAAUUGUAAUUAUAAGAUAAUUGCAAUUUGGGCUAUGGAUUGUCUUAAAUUAAGGAGUGGACGAAUUCUAUGGGGAAACCCAUAAGGAAAUCGUCCAAGGCCUUAAUUAAUGGACUCUAUGGGUUGCUUAGGGCUUAAGCAUCCAAAUUAGGGUUUCCUUGUUAGAUAACCCUAAUAGCCUAACUAUAUAUAAGACCCUUAUGACCCAAAAACGUGGCUAAGACUUCUUCUAGGGUUAGAACACGUUUUGGGCAGCCUCCAUCCUCUCUCCUCUUCAUCCUCUUGCUUAUGGUGUUUGUGAACCAUUAGAGGAGUGACAUUUGUGACUCUAAGCUUUUAUAAAGUAAUACAAGGAGGAAUUGGGAUUGUUAUUGCUACAUAACAAUCAAGGUAAUAUCUUAAACCCAUUCUCAUGUUAAUAUGAUUACUUGUAUGCUAGAAUUAGGGUUUAUAGUCUUGGAUAACUUGCGUGUACAAUAGAGAAACCUAGAUCCAAGCAUUAGGGUUUGUAUGAGCACAUAGGAUGUUCUUAUGACCAAAACCCAUCAAUGGUAUCAAAGCCAUGAUUGGUUUCUAUUGUAUUGAUGCCUUGUUAAUUUGUUCAUGCUUGAAAAAAAUCGUUUUUUGCCUCCUGCCUGAUGUACUCGGCGAGUCCAUAAGGGGACUCGGCGAGUUUAGCUGUCAGACAGGCGGAUUUUCGGGAUUUUUACCUAUUUUGACUUAGGAUAAUUGUCAUAAUUGUUUAAACUUAAUAAAAUUCAAAUUUUGUUAAUCCCUUACGAUUAUCCUUGUCAAAAUAAAAGAUUUUGGUAAUCUAAUUAGAUAAUUGUUACUUUAUUUGAUAUAUGUUAAGUUAUGGAAAUUAUUUGAUCAUUAUCUUGCAAGAAUUUGAACUAGAUCUAAUUAGAUAACCACCAAUUAUAGUUAAUUGCCUUAUUUGAAUUAUGUGAUCUAGAAUAUUCUUGACAAAGUUUGGAAAAGUUUCAAAUUAAUCCCUUUAGGUUUUAUAGUUUAAAUUAGAACUUAAAAGUUUUGGUUUUGAAAUUUAAAUAAGUUAAACCCUAAUGUUUUGAAAUGUUUCAAAACUUGCCCUCAAGUUUUGGAAUUUAAAAGUUGAUUAAUAGUUUAAUUUAGAAAUGUUAAAUUCUAAAACCCUAGUAUUGUUUUGAAAAGUUCAAAUCACACCCUUAUGGUUUUAUUAAUUAAUUAAGGUGUAUAAUUAAAAGAGAUUUAAUAAAUCCAUAAAAGUUUAGGUUUACAAUUUAAUUGAAUUAAAAGUAUAAUUGUUAAAUUAGACCACCUAAUAUUUUAAAAGUAUAAAAUACACCCUAUACUAUAUAUAUAACAUUAAAAGUCUAACAUUAUAUAUAUGUAUGAGUAAAAGUCAGUCUUACCGUUAGUAGGCCUCAUUCACGAAGCUGGUCUAUAAGGGGUGUUUAAGGAAAUUGCCUAUAAAAUGGCGAUUGAAUGGGUAUCCACUCUUACCCACCGCACUCUUGACUAGUGGAGGGUCGUUAGCCGAACGGGUAGGAUAGGACAGAAACCUUCCAUUAUAAGUAUAAUGAAGUACAAAGUAACUAAAUGCUUUUACAAAUUCCCAAUCCAUAGUUACUUUAGGAAAAAUGUGAAAUUGUAUGCUAAUCCAUAGAAUUACACUUCGUACCCCUGUCAAACGUUAGUGGAGCGUGUGUGGUUAACCGGCACACUAAAUGGGUCUAAGCAAAGGUAGCAAAGGGUGACUCAAUGUUUGUCAUAGUUCGGUGGAGCGUGUGUGGUUUACCGGCACAUCGAAUAGAUGACUGUAACAUGUGAGGGCACCAUGUAAGUUUGCAUGGUUAUUCACACCCGCUUUGUGAUCCUCGGCAUCCCAGUCACAAACAAGAGGGGCAUAUCGAGAUUUAAACAUGCCAUUGAAAGUUCAAUGAAUCUCAAAGGAUCUAGGAGUUUUCAUAGAUUUAAAACUUAAAUUUCUUUUUCGUUUUUCAUGGUGGAAAUUAGUGAAUCGUCAUUCACUUACCUUCAAAUAUUCUGCAACUAGAUUACGGCAUCCCUUUUCUAGGUUGUAGAGUAUUGUGUUGGGUCCUAGCCUUGGAAUUUCAUUUGGGUGAUCUACCAAGGACUCAAUCUAUCAACUAACUUGAAUUCGUUUUUCUCCCGUUUUGUAGAUGUCAAAGUUCGACAACUAUGGUCUUCUCAAAUCCCGUGGAACAAGCAUUCCACAUGAAGAUGAUAUUCCACGAUUCGAUCGAGGAACAAGAAAUCAUGCUUCACUUCCUCCUCCUCCUCCAAUUAUUCUCCCUAACCCACAAGUUCGAAGGCUUGAAAAGUUCAAGAUCACUCAAGCCCUUUUGGCAAGUAAACAUAAAGAAGGAAAGUCGGUGUGUGCACACGUCCUAGGGAUGAAGUCACACAUUGAUAGGUUAAGAAUGUUGGGAUCCAUUGUCUGUGAGGAAAUGGCUAUUGAUUGGGUUCUUCAGUCACUUCCUAACUCAUAUAGUGAGUUCGUAAGAGAGUACUAUAUGAUGAACCGCGACGUGACCCUUAUAGAUCUCACCUAUAUGCUUAUUGCUACUGAAUCAACAAUGGUUUAGUGCAAUAGAAAAGCAAAGAUGAUUGGUGAAUCUUCCUUCAAGACCUCUAUGGAUAUAGACAAUGGCAACGAAAGACAUGCUUUGAUCAAAAAGUUUGAUCAUAAGAGAAAGGCAAUGUCUGAAGUAGUUCCAUGUCAUGUUCCAAAAGAGUCAACUUGCUUUUAUUGCCAAGUGAAAGGGCAUUGGAGACGAAGCUGCCGAAUUUACCUAAGAGAUCUAAGAGAUGGGAGAGUCGAAACGUAUGGCUCUAAUAUAGGUAAAAUCCAAUAACUAACUCUUUUAAGCCUCUAUUCUAGAUUCUUAAUACAUAAUGUGAUAAGUUUACAAUUUAUGUUUUGUAGAAUCGAAGAAAAGAAAGGAAGCUUAAGGGAAGAAGUGAGCAAAAUCUAACCGUGAAGGAAUGGAUUUCGAUCGCAUUUCUCGAAGAUUAGAUUCUUGAGCUACUACUUAGAGUUAGAAUUAGAUUGCUAAGAAAGAUGUAUUAGCAUAGUUUUUCAAUGAAUUGCAUUGUAAGGACAAAUUUUUCCGCAAUAAAAUAAAUUUUGAUUUUAUAUUAUUUAUUUAUCCUUGCAAUGGCAUAUAUGAAAAAUUGAUGUUUGAAUNNNNNNNNNNNNNNNNNNNNNNNNNNNNNNNNNNNNNNNNNNNNNNNNNNNNNNNNNNNNNNNNNNNNNNNNNNNNNNNNNNNNNNNNNNNNNNNNNNNNNNNNNNNNNNNNNNNNNNNNNNNNNNNNNNNNNNNNNNNNNNNNNNNNNNNNNNNNNNNNNNNNNNNNNNNNNNNNNNNNNNNNNNNNNNNNNNNNNNNNNNNNNNNNNNNNNNNNNNNNNNNNNNNNNNNNNNNNNNNNNNNNNNNNNNNNNNNNNNNNNNNNNNNNNNNNNNNNNNNNNNNNNNNNNNNNNNNNNNNNNNNNNNNNNNNNNNNNNNNNNNNNNNNNNNNNNNNNNNNNNNNNNNNNNNNNNNNNNNNNNNNNNNNNNNNNNNNNNNNNNNNNNNNNNNNNNNNNNNNNNNNNNNNNNNNNNNNNNNNNNNNNNNNNNNNNNNNNNNNNNNNNNNNNNNNNNNNNNNNNNNNNNNNNNNNNNNNNNNNNNNNNNNNNNNNNNNNNNNNNNNNNNNNNNNNNNNNNNNNNNNNNNNNNNNNNNNNNNNNNNNNNNNNNNNNNNNNNNNNNNNNNNNNNNNNNNNNNNNNNNNNNNNNNNNNNNNNNNNNNNNNNNNNNNNNNNNNNNNNNNNNNNNNNNNNNNNNNNNNNNNNNNNNNNNNNNNNNNNNNNNNNNNNNNNNNNNNNNNNNNNNNNNNNNNNNNNNNNNNNNNNNNNNNNNNNNNNNNNNNNNNNNNNNNNNNNNNNNNNNNNNNNNNNNNNNNNNNNNNNNNNNNNNNNNNNNNNNNNNNNNNNNNNNNNNNNNNNNNNNNNNNNNNNNNNNNNNNNNNNNNNNNNNNNNNNNNNNNNNNNNNNNNNNNNNNNNNNNNNNNNNNNNNNNNNNNNNNNNNNNNNNNNNNNNNNNNNNNNNNNNNNNNNNNNNNNNNNNNNNNNNNNNNNNNNNNNNNNNNNNNNNNNNNNNNNNNNNNNNNNNNNNNNNNNNNNNNNNNNNNNNNNNNNNNNNNNNNNNNNNNNNNNNNNNNNNNNNNNNNNNNNNNNNNNNNNNNNNNNNNNNNNNNNNNNNNNNNNNNNNNNNNNNNNNNNNNNNNNNNNNNNNNNNNNNNNNNNNNNNNNNNNNNNNNNNNNNNNNNNNNNNNNNNNNNNNNNNNNNNNNNNNNNNNNNNNNNNNNNNNNNNNNNNNNNNNNNNNNNNNNNNNNNNNNNNNNNNNNNNNNNNNNNNNNNNNNNNNNNNNNNNNNNNNNNNNNNNNNNNNNNNNNNNNNNNNNNNNNNNNNNNNNNNNNNNNNNNNNNNNNNNNNNNNNNNNNNNNNNNNNNNNNNNNNNNNNNNNNNNNNNNNNNNNNNNNNNNNNNNNNNNNNNNNNNNNNNNNNNNNNNNNNNNNNNNNNNNNNNNNNNNNNNNNNNNNNNNNNNNNNNNNNNNNNNNNNNNNNNNNNNNNNNNNNNNNNNNNNNNNNNNNNNNNNNNNNNNNNNNNNNNNNNNNNNNNNNNNNNNNNNNNNNNNNNNNNNNNNNNNNNNNNNNNNNNNNNNNNNNNNNNNNNNNNNNNNNNNNNNNNNNNNNNNNNNNNNNNNNNNNNNNNNNNNNNNNNNNNNNNNNNNNNNNNNNNNNNNNNNNNNNNNNNNNNNNNNNNNNNNNNNNNNNNNNNNNNNNNNNNNNNNNNNNNNNNNNNNNNNNNNNNNNNNNNNNNNNNNNNNNNNNNNNNNNNNNNNNNNNNNNNNNNNNNNNNNNNNNNNNNNNNNNNNNNNNNNNNNNNNNNNNNNNNNNNNNNNNNNNNNNNNNNNNNNNNNNNNNNNNNNNNNNNNNNNNNNNNNNNNNNNNNNNNNNNNNNNNNNNNNNNNNNNNNNNNNNNNNNNNNNNNNNNNNNNNNNNNNNNNNNNNNNNNNNNNNNNNNNNNNNNNNNNNNNNNNNNNNNNNNGUUGUUUUGCUAUAAUUAAGGGAGAGAAUAUUAUGCUUCAUUUCAAAUCUAAAGGCUUAGGUUGAGAAAUGUUAAUAAAUUUAAUCAAAGGUAUAUAGUAUGUUCUUAAAAUUUCGAUUAUGAUUACGGCAUUCAUCUUCACAAUUCGAAUUUUGAGAACAUAGCAAAUAAAACAUUAUGUGUCGUGUCCCAUACGCUUUGGGUAUAGGAUCGAUUGCAAAUGCUUUAAUGUUUGACCAUUCUAAAAUUUUCCAAAUGUCUAGCGCAUUUAGAGGGAAAAAGGACUAGAAUCGGUUUUGACUAAAAUAAUUAAACAACUAUCAAAGGACAAUCCAAAGUUCGACGAGGAUUGGUCGCUUGUGAGUAGUUGGAAGUAUAGUAUUGGAAAAUAUGGAAAUGUUUCCAUAUUGGAUGGACCAUAUCGACAUCAUUACGAAUAGAUAAGAUUCUAUUAAGAAUGAGUUGUCAUAUGGAAAAUAUGGAAACGUGUCCAUAUUGGGAAUUGAAUAUUGAAAAUCUAUGUCUAGAUUAGAAACUUUUAUGCAAAAGGAUGUUCAAAGGAAUGUACUUUGAGUGAGAGACAUCAUAUCUAAGGAAUUGUCUUGUAACAAUCUCCAAUAGAGAACUUUGUAAUAUCAUUGGCAAUAGUCUUUGUGACUUUGGUGCAGUGACAUUACGAAAGGAUCAUUGCAUAAAAUGUUAGAAUCUAGCAUAUUCUAUAAGUAGCAAGAAUUUGAUAUUCUUACACUUAUGAAAAAGGAUUUGGAGUUGUGAAAUGAGAAUGAUUGGAAAUGUGUUCAAUUUGAUCUAUUUCACAAAGUAAGAACCAUAGGUAAACAUUGUGUGCAUGCUAGGAGCAUGGGACAAGUGUAAUAAUUCAAGUAAGAAGUUGAUUACCCGAAACGACAAAUAAUGAGUAAUCGAUAUGGUGAUAAAUAAAAGGUGUUUUAUUUAUACUCAAAGGUUUGAGGCCAUAUGGGAUUAGUAUUAUUCUUGUGUUUCACAUUUGCAUGUUUUGACUUCCAGAAUAAUUGAGUUUAUUAAGAAUAAUCGAAUUAUUCGAACGGGCCACAGUCGUUCAUAUGUUGGAAGUAGGUAUGAAUGAAGACUGUCGUGAAUUGGUGUGUGGAUUGUCUAAAAGAGUAUUAGACAUAAGCAAAUGUUUGCUGCAACGUUCAUGAGUGCUUAUGAAUAUGAUUUGAGCAUUGGAUUAAACCCACGCUCACUUGGAUCACUCCAUGAAUUGUAUCACGAGUGAUUGGUGAGACGAUAACAUCUUAUAUUCUUGAAACCGAGAUGUGUGAGUUGUAUCUUGCAAAUCGGUUGCACAUUGAUAAUAUGUAAACGCACUAGUAACUUGGUGUUAUAAAACAUAUUGUUGUGUGUGAUUCGGUGAGUGAGUGCAAGCAAGCAUUGUAUCAAAGUUUAUCCGUUCCUUUUAUCCAAAGUAGGAUAAAAGCGAUAUCUUUGGGCCCCUCGAUGAUUUAGUGAUGACAAACGUAAAUGCUCGGCCGGGCUAGGGCUAAUUUGAUUUGUUCAAUUAGUCAGUCGUCAUAAAUCGGGAAUCGAGAUAUAGUACAAAGAGAAUGAUUUGAAAUCAUAUCUCAUAUGAUAUCUAGAAUGGAGGAAUAUAUGAUCCCUUAUCUAAGGACACGCGUAUCUGAUAGGAUCAGAGUUGACAGCGGCUUUGGAAAGCUACGAUUGCAGAUCAGGAUCUGAAGUCAUACGCAUAAUAGUUAUUAGACUUAUCCAAGUGGGAGACUAUUGGAUUAGUGUCUAAGUCCAUAACUAUUUUGGUAUGUACUUGACCCGAUGGUGCAUGGUUCUUUUGGGUUGCCUUCACCAAAGCAACUUGAUAGGAUGAAUUAUGGCGAGAAAGGAUUAAAUAUGAUUUAUUAAUAUAUUAUGAGAAUAAUAUAUUAAAGGAGAAAUCAUAUUGUUUAAUUAAUAUUAGUCAAGAAUUAAUUGGUAAUUAGUUUUGUGACUAAAAGAGAUUAAUUAAACUUAAGGGACUGGAAUUUUAAUUAUAAGAUAAUUGCAAUUUGGGCUAUGGAUUGUCUUAAAUUAAGGAGUGGACGAAUUCUAUGGGGAAACCCAUAAGGAAAUCGUCCAAGGCCUUAGUUAAUGGACUCCAUGGGUUGGUUAGGGCUUAAGCAUCCAAAUUAGGGUUUCCAUGUUAGAUAACCCUAAUAGCCUAACUAUAUAUAAGACCCUUAUGACCCAAAAGCGUGGCUAAGACUUCUUAUAGGGUUAGAACACGUUUUGGGCAGCCUCUAUCCUCUCUCCUCUUCAUCCUCUUGCUUAUGGUGUUUGUGAACCAUUAGAGGAGUGACAUUUGUGACUCUGAGCUUUCUAAAGUCAAUACAAGGAGGAAUUGGGAUUGUUAUUGCUACAUAACAAUCAAUGUAAUAUCUUAAACCCAUUCUCAUGUUAAUAUGAUUACUUGUAUGCUAGAAUUAGGGUUUAUAGUCUUGGAUAACUUGCAUGUACAAUAGAGAAACCUAGAUCCAAGNGCAUUAGGGUUUGUAUGAGUACAUAGGAUGUUCUUAUAACCAAAACCCAUCACUAUGAUGACGAGAAAAGACUACCAAUAUCAUUCGAAGUUGGAGAUUCGGUUUCACUAAAAGUCUCGUCGUGGAAGGGACUUAUAAGAUUUGGUAGAAGGGGAAAGUUGAGUCCAAGGUUUAUUAGACCAUUUAAAGUUCUUCAUAGGAUCGGGAAUCAAGCUUACAAACUAGAAUUACAGGAAGAACUAGAGUGUAUUCAUAACACCUUUCAUGUUUGUUAUUUGAGAAAGUUCACGGGAGGUGUGCCCGACAUAAUUCCCAUUUCUGAAUUAAGGUUGGAUGAAAACAAGAGGUUAAUUGGAGAACCUGAAGCAAUCGUUAACCGUAAGACUAAGUAGUUGUAACAUAAGACAUUCGAUUUAGUGUCUGUACGUUGGAAACAUAUAAAUGGGCCAAAUCCUACCUAGGAAACGGAGAGUGACAUAGUGAGUCGUUACCCGUAGUUGUUUGUCGUUGUGUGAUUCCGGGGACGGAAUCAUCCUAAGGGGGAGAGAGUUGUAAAGCCCGUGUUUCUAGGCUAGGCAUUAAUAUUGACAUAAUGGUCUAGGUUAACCUUUGUAACUCAUUUAGAAGAAAUGAAAAGGAAUUAUGUGAAUUUUAUGUGAAUUAUGUGUUUUAUGCUUAAUUAUUAGGAUUUAAUUAAUUAAGAAUAAAAAUAAGCGUCAAAAUUAAAGUGUGAGAUAAGCCCGAUAUCUUUACAUAAAGUUGUAGUGGUCAAAACAAGGAUUUCGGGGAUAUAAAGAAUACCAAAAUCCGAGUUAUAACGAAGAAGUUAUGACCUAUUGAAGUUUCGCGACAAAACCGGCACGGUGCUGAAUGUCGUAAAAAGUGAGUUUUUGAUAAACUACUUUUUAGCCUUAGUAAUCUAAACGAAAGUCGUAGUAUUCGUUAAACCGAGAAGUUCGAUAAAAAGAACGCCCAAAUCUGACUUCGUAUGAGGAAGUUAUGAUUUUUCGAAGUUUCAGCUUAGCAGUAGACAGCUAAAAACUCGAAUUUUAGAUCGAGCGAUUUUUAGCCAACAUAACCUAAAAGAGAAUUGAAGGUCUCGUCAUUAGUAGCACAACAAUAAAACGUCUGACAAAAACGGAUGUCAGAUGAAGAAGUUAUGAAUUUUUAACGGAUUUCCUGUCCCGGUCUGUUAAAAAUAAUAAUAAAAAAAUUAAAUCGAAAUUAGCCGACGGAGUCUAAACGAGAGUUGUAGAGCAUAAUCNGUGCAUAUAAAGAACGUCCAAAACGGAGCUCGUAUGCGAAUGUUAUAAUUUUCGCAAGUUUGGCACAAAAAUAAAGAAAAAUGGGAAAAACCGGGCAAUUUCGCAUGCCACGUCACCCUCGCACAUGGCAACUGCUGAGUGGACCGAACCCAUGCGUGACACCUCCUGAUUGGACCACAGCCAAGGUCCAAUUAGAAGCCAACAACUUCGCAUGAGAUGCCCCGGAGACACCCCUCGGACACCCUCCUUCGCACGUGGCCCCUUCUCAUUGGACCGAGGUUUGGUCCAAUCCGAGCCUAGCACCUUGCGAGCCUUUGGUCCGAAGUAAGAAACCUGUCCGACGUGUGUCAGCUUUGCAUAGCUCCGGGUCCGAACCUUCGUACUAUAUAUAUGCAUGCAAGGGCUUCCGAAUUUUUACACUUUUUCACCCCAAUUUUCAUCCUCUUUAACAUUUUCCACUCCCAUAAGCUCAUAUACAACCCCUAAAGCCCUGGUAUCAAGUCUCUAACCCUAAGCAAGGCUCGAAGCCCCGAUAUUCCCGGGAAGUAACCUCUCUCCUGUCGAAACUCUGCCCAAUUUUAGUUGGUUUCUCGUUAAAUAAACUCUUUACGGGAAACGAAACGCCGCCCAAAUCACCACUUAUAAAAGUGAGUUCAUACCCCUAUAAUUUUUUUUUUUUGGUUUUGAAGCCCGACCUUUCGUAGAGCCCGGUUUCUCAAUAAAACUACCGGUUUUAUUAGAAACGAUCGUUUUAGGAAACGAAUUGCUACCCGAUUAUCAUCAAAUCAUGUGAGUGUAUAGUCACUUUCAUUUUACACAUAGAUAUGAAGUAUUUACCUUAUAAUACGUGCUAUGUGUAAAUAUAUAUUAAUUGUUUUAUUGGGGUGACUGUUGAGUUGACGUUUUAUACAAGUUUUAAACUGUAUAAGUAUUUUUAUCUACAAAUAUGUUGGGUAGAACAUGGGUAGAUAGUGAUGUGUUAUAAAAUAAAAUUGAGGAGAGGCCUCGAUGAGUUUUGAGAUCCAGUCAUCUAGCGGAGUUUGGAUGACGACCACGGACUUUCUAGACUGUCCAGUGUGAAACAUUAGCAGGUCCACAACCUGUAGGUGUUAAUGAACUGAGAGUGUUCAUUCGCUGUACUCCAUCCCCCUCAUGGUUGCCUUUAGGACAUGUAUGGCUGGGGAAACCCUUAGCGGUAGUGUCCAUCCCGAUGAUAUUCUUUAGGCUAGGUCCCUUGUGAUAAGUGUUUAGGGACAUAAAGUAAGGAUAACGGGAACGGGUAAUCAGGGUUAUUGUUGAUUGAUGAACUUAGUAAGUUUAUUAUUAUUGUGGGUUGAAAACCCUAUAUGCUCACCAGGCUCCCAAGCCUGACCCACUCAACUUUUUAUGUUACAGGUAGUGGAGCCCGAGCAUAGUCGGAGGACAAUGAAGGAUUUUUGGAUUAUAGGCCAGUAGUUGUAAAUAACUAUUGAAUGGCUUAUAAUGUCUUGUUUAUGCUUUUAAUCUGUAUCGGAACAUGACAUCCCGAGGUUUUGAUAUGAAAUGAAACUAUACAUUUCUUAAAGAAAGUUUUGAUAAACUUUUAUCAUAUGUCGUUUGGGAACCAAUUCCGCAACAUCUUUUAAAAAGAUUUCUCUGAUUUUAUUUUAAAAAGCAUAAAUUAAAUCGGUCUUUUCUAGCCGAGAAAUUAGGUGAUGUCAUAUCAAGGCUAUCGGUGUCGAUGAGAACCUUGAAGGAUUCAAAGUUCAGCAAUCAACCCUGAAGAAUUUCAACAAUUCCUGAAUCACAUUGGGUACAAUCAAGAUUACAGGGCCAAGGACUUCAAGAAGUCAGCAGUUUCAGGUCUUUGGACCGUGUUGAUGAAUUUCAACAUUCGAGGGCUGUCCAGAAAGCAUGGUGCUACGGACACUCUGAGCAAGGACUAGCUGUAUGUAGUAUACAACAUCUACUCUAGACGCAACAAUGCAGUUAAUCUUCUGGAAGUGUAAUGGCAGGAUUUCCGAAAAUUCGUUGUCAACAGGAAGAGCAAUGAAAUCUCAAGCCCGAGGUUUUGGGCCCUGACGAUUCAAGAACUCUACAAGGAACGGUCUGAAACAAUCCCAAUUGCUACAAUUCCGAAAGUGGUAUAUCUAUCCUUCAAAACUGUUAAGCACUAUAGAGUCCCGGACCAAUCUUCUUUUGGUCCCGUUAGACGCCUUCCGGACCAUAUGUUGUCCUUAGUACCUUCCGAUUCAAUUUACUUGAAACAUCAUCUAGAGACUUCGGUUGUGUUUGACCCAACAUAACCUGCCCCUGUCUCUGUUGAGCCUAUUCCGAAAGAGUCCCAUCCCACUACGUCCGGAGGAAAGGUUAAAAAAUAUUCUAAAAGAAAGACCUCUCCCUCUAAGUCAAAGCCUAAAAAGAGAUCCAAAGUCAGCUCUUCCUCUCAACAGGAAGGAUCUCAUGACAUUCACGCUGACUCUGGCCUUCCGAACACCCCACCAACCCACUCAUCCGAGGUACCCCUUGAUGUUUCAAAAACACAAGAACACAGUCAUGGGGAGUUGCCGCGUAAUCCACUCUCACCUUCACAAAAAGGUGAUGCCGGUGUUGAACAAAUUUCCUUUCCCCCUGUAACAAACCCACGUGUCACAUUUGCUAUCCCCACAUCUUCUACAUGCACACACUCCGGAACCCCUGUUCUGGGCCCCAAGCAUUUCAAGGCUGGAGUUCUCCCUCCAACAUCAGGUGCAUCAACUAGUCUGAUUCCUGGUAAGGGUAAACGACAACCAGGUGUUAACGAUUCUUUGUGGGAAGAUUUUGUGAACAAGACACAUUCGAGGCACCUAGAACUUUAAAGAUCUCAAGUUGAAGCCACACUCACUUCCAUGCAAAACCGGGCUAUUCAGAGCAACCUUCCUUAUAUUGCUCCUUCCGAUGAGAUUACUGAUCUUGAGUUUACAUUUGGAGAAACUCCCAAGACUCCACCUCAUACUUCCAAUCAUUUAGCUUCGGAUGAUGAAAUUUCCGAAGAGGUGCUGCUAACCAAAGAUGAUGCACAUGUUGCUGAUACAAAUGUGCUUUCUUCUAUUCAACUUCAGUCCAAGCCUACUUUUUAUUUCGGAUCCUCCUCCUCCACUCAAGACAAUGAAUCAGAAUCGACUCAAAAACUUCAUGACGAGGCAGCUACAACGACCCUAGUCCUUCGGUUACUCCAAUCAAUCCCGAGUCUCAGAAACACAAGCCUCAACAGUCCAGUUCAGAAAAUGGAUCCUCAACAGAAGGCCACAUUGAUCCGUUUGCUCUCCUUGAUAUUCAAUCCAAUGUGUCAUACACUAUGAAGAAGGUCAACUCUCUUGAAACUUCCGUUGCAGGGCUUAACUCCAAGCUUGAUGAGAAAGUCUCCGGACUGGAUUCGAAGCUUGAUGUCAUCUUUGAAUCUGUCUGAGGCUAACAAUUCCGGACCUACUUUGGUUGAACGUGAAGCUCAGCUGGAUCAACUCAUUUCCUUACGGAUUAAGCAUACUAUUGAGGAAGUUGAGAAGAAGUAUGAUGAAAGUGUCGAUCAUUAACUUGACACGAUAACAAAGAUGUUGAAGGUUCAUAACCAUAUGUUGAAUGCUUCCAAUGAACUUAUAAAUCAAACACAUAUUUGUCAUGAGAAGCAAAUACAACGUCUAGAAAAGGAGAUUCGGAAAAAGGAAGUCCUUCUCAAGCUUCUUUGUUCCUUCCGGAACAUUGUGGAUGUUCCGAACCAAAAGUUUGACGAAAUGAUCGCUAUACUCUCCUCCUUAUUCAACCAUCUCAAAGCUCAAGCCCGCACUGCUGAUGCUUAUGAUACCCUCACCCUUCAAAUCAGCACCAGCUUUCAGAAGGGGUUUGAGAAAUUUUCCGAAGUGAUGGAGUCACUUAUGCUUGCUCCGGUUGUCAUGCCUACUGGUGCAAGAAGGGGAGAAGGUCCAAGUCAACCUUGGAAGACUGCCUCAGAAUUCCAGCUCCGAGAUGAAUAUGACAAUUUUGAUGAUGAAGUCCAAGUUCUUUCUGGACUUCUCGGAAAUAAUGAUGAUGAUGAUGGAAGUGAUGAAGAUGAAGUAGAGCUUGUCACCAAUGGUUAUCAUUGGAAUCUGUACUACUAAAAGAUUUCCUACUAAAGUGCUCAUGGAUGAAGAGCAGAGAAUUUGGUCUGUAGUCUCAUGGCCAUCCACUCUGUCGGAUGUAUUUCAAAGAAGUGUUCAAAUGGCCAAAGCUAAGACCAAGCUAACGAUUGAUGCUUUAUGGGCCACUCCAUCCAUGCUGCCAACCAUUCUGGUUCCCAAAAUUGCUCCGAUCGAUGAAGGUUCUCCCCUCCGGACUCCAGACAACAUUUCGGAAGAACCUCUUCCAUCCUGUCCUCCAAAGUUCACUAUUGAUGAGAACAUGAUGCAUGGCAUCUUUGUUCUCAACAAAGACAAAAGCAAGUAUCCAGUCACGAAAUAACAUCAAGCCCUUCAUUCUGGACCUCCACCAAAGCAAAAGUUUGGAUGGUCUCAGGAGGAAAUCAACAAAGCCCUAGAGGAUAGCAUUCGGAUCCAAGCUCUUAAAGAUAAUAUUGAUCUGAUGAGUGGUAUCUCUCCUUUAUGUCGUGAAGGCAUUCUUCAUGAUUUAGACAUAGUUCCUUUUAUGUACUACGAUAUCCCAACAACUGAUUCGGAACAACUUGAUUUGCCUCUCUCACCAUAUAGCAAGUUCUACAUCAAUUUUCCUCCUCUUCACCCAAAUGACAAUCCGGAGAUGAUCAUCCGGACAGAACGUGAUAGGUUAAAAACAUUCUACUCCAAGAACGCACAACCUCAAAAGGAAGUGCGGAGAAGGAAGAGGAUAACAAAAAUCUCUAGGUUCGGAAGAAAGGUCUUGGUGAAGUAUGAACUCAACUGUCCAUUGUUCCGACAUCACACCAUCUGGAACAAACCUGUAUACCGCAUCAUCGCUGAUGUUGACUUUCCGGCAACGAAUCUGAAUGAUGUCCUUACCAUUGCUGCUCAUCUCCGGAGUCUUCAAAUAGAUAACAUAAGCAUGGGUGCUUACCACGUAGCCUUAAGCUUUCUCAAGGACUAUGUCCCAGAAUUUUGUCGAUGCGUCUAUGAGUUGGAUAAAUUGUUCGGAACUGAAGACUUUGUUGCCAAGAUCGAAUAUGUGCUUCCGAAAGCUGAACUGCUAGCUGAAGGUCCUAUUGAUUAUCCGGUUCUAGGGUUUGUGUACAAGACAAAGAAGACAAACAAAAAGGACUUUUUCCGAGUCGUUGACAAACACCUAGUUCCAACAAAAGCCCUCAAAAAGUUCAUCACUCGAGCAUGCAGAUCUGAAGCUCUUGAACAGGUCAAGGCAAAGUUUGUAAGUCAACUACAAUGGUAUGUUAAUGUCAGAGAUUGGUUGUUUAGAGCUUACAUGUUCAUCAAGGAAGAAGCUAACUAAUUUGACUUGAUUGCUAAGUUCACUUAGAGGGAGAUUGUUGGAUCCUGAAAGUGAACCUCUAGCAAUCCCAAUCUGAAGUCGGUCGGUGUUCGAAAUUAAAUUAGCUGGUGUCCGGACUUAAAGCUUUGCUCCGGAAUUACUUUUGUAUCCGGACUUGAAGAUAUGCUCCGGAUUAGAAGAUCAGUUGAAGGCAUUCCGGAAUGGACUAUUUGUCCGGAAUGUUUGUCUAUCCGAAUCAAUGUAUUGUCUUUAUGCAUUUAUUGUAUUUUUCUUUUAGCUUGAUUUAACUCGUCAUAGGACUUAGUCUCUUUUGUCAAACACGGAUAUUCAGAGUGUCAGAAGUAACUCUUUUAUCCAGUCCUAUGUAUGUAAUCAGUCAGUACUAUGUAUCUUGUUCUCUUAUGUAUAAGAGCAUUCAAAGUUAAAUCAAACGACGGAUCAUUCACUCAAAUAUAGCAAUAUUCUAGUUACUUUGUCUUUCAAGUUAUUUUCAAAAACAUUCUUCUUGUUCUUCAUUUAUUAUCUUUACCUUAAUCAUUAUCUUCCCUCUUCAUUUAUGCCAUGAACACUUUGUUGAUUGCAUUAACUCAGACUUGAUUGGUCUUACCAGACUUAACUGGAAUAUCUUUUAGUAAGCAGACAUUGAUCUUAAGCAUUCAUUCAAGGUUUGAGUUUUCAAACCUUGUCCCUGCGCAUCUGAUCGCCCUUGUUCUCACAUAAAGAGAGGACUAGUAGGCGGUAGUGAGCUAUAUGAUUGAUGUUUUCCUGUAUUUUGAGCCUACUUGAUCCUUGAUUGUUUAUAUGUUGACAUAUGGUGGUAAUGGGUGGAGGCGGUCUUGCUUUGUGUUGUAUGCCAAUAUACCCAGUGUGGGCCGGCUAUAAGCCGUAGGUACGAAGGCUUAGGAAGAAUGUUUGGGUUGAGGCAAUAGGCCAACAUACCCUGAGUAUUCCAUCUCGAUGGCUUAUUAGACCCGUUGUAUGUUGGCAUUCCAGUUUGUGGAGUGAUUGGGCCUGGGCAUUCCAAUCUAAUGAUUAUGGGCCGUUAUGCAUGCUUGUUUGUUUAUCGUAUGGGGUAUUUUGGGGGAACUUACUAAGCUUUGUGGUUACCCAGUUGUUCAUUGUUUCAGGUAUCAUUGGUCAUCAUGGGAAGGCGAAGGCGUCACUGUACACAUUCAUCAGCAACAAUGAAGAUUCCAUGCAUUAAUAUUACUCUGAUUUUUGAUAAAUGUAUUUGAAAUAAAUGGCUUUCUUCAUAAUUGAUUUAUAAUUGGGAAGCUUUAAUUUAAUAAAAUGAAAAAAAAAUGUUGUGAAAAUAGGACGUUACGACUGGAAGAGACUAGUUCAGGUAUCUACUAGAUAGAACUCAUAUUUUUCUUAAAAUAGUUAGGUACUUGGUACUUAAAUGUUAAUCUAAUAUUUGUAAAUGGCUUGCAGAUAUUUAUAGAAGAGUAACCAGCUAUGCACAAUCAAGUGGGAACUAUACUCUUAGAGUUUAUUUUAUUUAUUAUGCCAUCAACAUAAUGUACUUGUAAUAUAAAACAAUGUUUGUUUUGGAACAAUGUAUGUUUUAAUUUAGCUUGUCUAAAUAUAAGUCUCGAUUAUUUUAAUUUAUGAAUGCUUGACUAUUUACUUAAGUCGUUUUGCAUAAUGAUCACCUUCAUAUUUGGAAAUGGUUAAAAUUCUUUUUUAUGAAACUAGAUCUAUUAAUAAGAAUUAUAAAGUAAAUAUCAAUGAUUUAUAAAUAACAAGUUCUAUAUGUAAAGCACUUUUGACCUAAACUUGUUUUAAGUCAAACUCAUCUUUGACAUUGUUAUCUUUAUUAUAUAAAUGGCAUUCACAUAUUCCAACUUUAAGAAAGGGGUCUCUAAAGGAAAAUAAUGUAGUUUAUUUGACAUAUGUGAAUCUUAUUUAUAUAUAAAAGAUUCCUAAUGAUAUUUUCACUAAGUAGUAGAGAAAAUAAAAUUAUUAAGGAACUAUACACUGUGAUGUAUGUCUUCCUUUCUAAUGAAUGUCUAAGAUCAAGCAUAAGAUAACAAAUCGACUUUGUUAACAACUAUAGUAGUUAUAAUUAUAUUUUACAUGUUAAAACAUAAUUAUGAAAUUUUUGUUUAUGUUUUUAAAUGUAAAGUUGAGAUACAAACCAGUAAGAAAUAUCUAAGACCUUAAUGAUCAUAAAGGAUGAAUUAAAACUUACUUGGUAUGAUUUACUCUCUAAUCGGUUGAAAUGUCCUCCUUUUAUUUCCUUGGGAUAACUCCUAGAAUACUAUAAGUUGUACCUUGAGUACAAAUACCAACUGAUAAAUAGAUACAAACUUUUCUUUAUAAGAUUUUGUAUGGAAAGACUUCAUCCUAUCUUAUUAAAUGUGUUGUGGAUUUGAAGCCGAUGUUGGACUAAAAUUUUAAACCUUAAAUCUACUAGAUAUAUAUAUUUGUAUAAUACUUUAAAUGUAGCUUAGAUUAUUAUAUGCAAACCCACCAAGAAUAAGUUGUCUUAUUCCUUGAUAGCCGAGUUAGCAGAAAGCAAGCUUAUAAUGACAAAGAAAGUGGGUACAUGGAACUUGAAGCACCUCAAGAACCAUAAUUUGAUGUAGUUAUAUUUUGGCACUAGUUUUAACAAGGAUUGUUAAACUUAAAUAAAAGCUAUUCACAAAUACAAAUUAUUGGUAGAAAUCAUCUAUGACUUGUGAAAUGUGGAAUCUCUUAUUUAUGAGCUUUUAUUGAUGGUUUCUGGAAAAUUCAUGAAAUACCAAGAUGCUAUGUCAGAUCUCGAAUCCGAUUAAUGACUUAAAGUCAUUUACAUGAGAUGUAAUCCAUGUAUGAUAAUCAAGUAUUGUCUAGAUUGAACUUCCUCUUUAUAGCAAGGCUAGAAGGAGUAAAUGAUUCUUCUAGAAAGAAUACAUUACAUGGAGAACCAUACAUAUUUAAAGCAAGACUUGUUAUAACAGGAUUUUCUCAUACUCAUGUCAUUGACUAUGAUCAAAACUUUUUCACAAGUAGCUAUGAUUAGAUCAACAAGGAUAUUAUUUAUUAUAAAUUCAUAUUCUCAAGAUGAGAUAUAGCAAAUAGAUUUCAAGAAAGACUGUUUUUCUUAAUAGACAUCUACUAGAAUAUAUCUAUAUACAUUAGCCUAGAGGUUUUCUUAAUCCAUGUUAUCCUAACAAAAUGUGUAAAUCUUGAGAUCCACUUGUGGAUAUAAAGCAAAACAUCUCAAUGUUGUAAUCAUCAUUUUAAUAUAAAAGCACAAGGUAUGCUUUUAUAUCAAAAUGAAUAGAACAUGUGUGUUUACUAAGAACUAGUGGGCGAAUAGUGACAUUCCUAAUCUUUUAUGAAUGUGAAAUACCUAAUCAAGAGAAAUUACAUUCUGACCAUGGCAUGACUCGGGAUGUAAUUCUAAAAUGAAAGACUUAGGAAGAGCAAAAUACAUUCUUGGAAUGUAAAAUCUAUAGAGAUAGAUAAAAUGAAAGUUAAAAGUUGUAUGUAUUUAUGCAUAUAUUGACAAUAUACAUCUGGAAAUAUAUCAAGAUAUAAAAUUAUUUUAGAGGAAUCUUGACAUUGUCACAUGACACUAAAUUUUGAGCGAUCCUCAAAAGGACCUAGCUCAUAAGUUUAAGCUAUUUGAAAUGAUUUAUAGUCGAUUUGCUUGGAAAAUGAAUCCAUCAUCUAUGCCAUAUUAUGCAGAAGGCAUGGUAUAUGUUCAUGCUAUGAGCACAUCAUAAUAUACAAAUUGAAUGCAUGGUUAUGUCACCGGAUGACUAUAGGAACAUUCUAAGAGUACUUUAGAAGAACUUAGAGACUGCAUAUGAGACAAUUAAUUUAGAAUAAAAUAUUCAUGUAAAGAGCUACAUAAGAUUCUGAUUUGUAAGCAAAUAUAGAUGAUUAUGAAUUAUCAUUGGAUUAUGAAUUCAUUGUGGGAUGAAGAGUAAGUUUAUUUGGAAUGAGGUCCAAGUAAAAACAAAAUGACACAAUCUACUACAAAAUAAGAAUACAGUACUUUUGAAGUUGAAAUCUAAUAUGAUUGGAUGAGUGAUUUCAUUGAAAAACUAUGUUGAUUUCUGCCAUUCAAGAAUCACAUAGAAAUCUUUGUGACUUCGAGAGUAUACUUAAUCGAGCUAACACAAAUUGAAUGCAUUGUUAUGUCACCGGAUGACUAUAGGAACAUUCUAAGAGUACUUUAGAAGAACUUAGAGAAUGCAUAUGAGACAAUUAGUUUAUAAUAAAAUAUUCAUGUAAAGAGCUACAUAAGAUUCUGAUUUUUAAGCAAAUAUAGAUAAUUAUGAAUUAUAAUUGGACUAUGAAUUCAUUGUGGGAUGAAGAGUAAGUUUAUUUGGAAUGAGGUCCAAGCAAAACAAAAUGACACAAUCUACUACAAAAUAAUAAUACAAUACUUUUGAAGUUGAAAUCUAAUAUGAUUGGAUGAGUGAUUUUAAUGAAAAACUAUGUUGAUUUCUGCGAUUCAAGAAUCACAUAGAAAUCUUUGUGAAUUCGAGAGUAUACUUAAUCGAGCUAAGAGACUCUAUGUCACAAAAGAGCACCAAUCAUAUACUCCAAGAUAUUUAACUAUACCUAGAGUAAAGUCAAAUAUGGAGACGAUAGUACUCACAAAAUUCACACAAAUUAAGUUUAGUCGAAUCCGUUAAUAAAGUCCUUCAUUUAAGAUAAGUAUGAAUACUGAGAUAUGAUCAUAACAUCAAUACUUGUUGUGUGCUAUAUUAACAUGAUUAAUCCAUGAAUGAUCUUAUUAUUCUAAAACUUCAUAGUCGUUUAUAAUUUUGGGAGCAAUUAUGAAGUAUGACUAAUAUGAAUUGGAUUGGUUGACUUUCACCGGAUGAAGGUAGGCAAUGGGUUGUAAGCAAGUUUCAUAGGUACUUGUCGGAGAAUUAGUAUUAAACUAAUCAGCAUCAAGAUCACCUCAUGGAUCGCUAUCAUGAGUGAUACUUGCUUGAAAGUUAAUAUAUUUGUAUCCUUAACACCUUAGAUAAAUAGUAGGACUUAAGUGUAGGGAGUGUUGUACUUUGAUUUGGUCAAAUGUUGAUCGUUAAUCGGGCAGUUAUAAAAGCCAUUUUCAGGUAUGGUUUGAACUAUGCAAGAGGCUUAUGUAGUCAAGAUGGGAUUUGUUCCUCUUAUGUGUUGAAAGUUAGACAUCUAAGGUGCCUUACCAAAAGCUGAGCACUUAAUGAGAUUGAUCGUGAUUUGUAUCUCAUAUUCAACAUGAUAUAUGUGACAAAGGGAUAACUGAUAAACUUACUUUAUACACCGAUUAUAGCUUUAAGCUUAUGGGAAUUGGAUGUUGGUAGAAUGGCACAAAGUCAUAUGUUGUCAGGGCAGCAAAAUGUUGCUAGACGUUCACUACUGUCUACAUUAAUCUAAUAUGAGUCUUCCGCAAGUGGGAGAUUGAAAGAUCUUGUAUGCUUAAUAGUCAUAUUAAAAUGAUAUUGCUAAUUAACAUAUGAACUAAUGGGUGACACUAACAACAACUUGAUACAAUUCAUUAUUUAUUAGAAAUUGAUUUUAAUAAAUAUUCAAUAAACUCUUAUAAUUAAUUGAAAAUUAUUUGUUUCUUCGAAAUAAUAAUUGAUUAUUAGCAAGUAACAUAAUAUAUCAUAUAGUAUAAUUUAUUAAUUCAUGUAUAUUAUUUUGGACUAGAAAGACUUUUGUCUUUUAGCCAAAACCCAAAGUUUAUAUUUUAUAAAAGAAGUUUUAAUAAUUUAUAAACUAUUGUCAUCUUUUUUAUCUUUAUAAGGAAAAAAAUAAAAGAAGCAUUACCUUUUGAUUUGUUUAAUAAAAAGCAUGGCUAGUUUUUAAAGGUAUGGGGGACAAGUUCCUUUUAUGACAUGAGUGCCUAAUUGGUUAAGGAACCAUGUGUAUUGUUUUAGCUUUAAAAGAGUGCAUGAAAGGCUUUCAUUUUUUACCUUUUUACUAUCCAAAACUGUGAGUAUGCUUGGAAUACCCACUCUCUUGUUUUUGCUUUUACACUUGAAAGAACCCUUGCAUUUUGCUCUCUUUAAGUUCAUACUUUGGUUAUGAACUUAAAGCUUAAGAGUUUAAUGACUAGCAUCAUCAUCAAGUAGGAUUAUUGUUGGUGUCUCAAAGUUUAAUACAUUCUUCAUCAACUUCCAAACAUUCCCUUGAGGAUUCAAAGUCUACAAAGGUUGUUAUACUCUUCUUCCUCUUUGGUUGUUGUUUACUUUCCAACUUUGCAAGAAGAUCCUUGGUGGGUUAUAAACUAGUUUUAUGUUAAAAAUAUUAAAGUCUUCUGUUGCUAAAUCUUGUGUUUCGAAACUAUUUUUGAAUAAAAAGCAAACAAUAGACACAUUGGUGGUCACUCCGAAUCUCGCUGCUAUAUUGGAACCUCAAAUCGAUGAUGCUGACAUCCACCAAACGUGAAGAAUCAGAUCUCCGACAACCACCCUUUCAUCUUGCACACUUUAUUUCAUGUGUUACUGAUCCCUAAACAAGUAGUGGAGCUUGAUUUGAAACCCUAGGUGGCGGCAACAUCUCCAUCUCUAUGUAGAACCUACCGACAACCGCCUCUCCCCCUCUGUAAUACGAUUGAUCUGGACUUUCAUCCUAUUUGUUUCAGACAACAUCUCCAUCGACAUCUUGGAUUUAAAGAAGAGUAACAUAAGCCACAACCCACAUGAUAGCAGUGACAAAGAUGGAUAGGGGACUGACGGAUAUCAUAGUCAUGGUCCAUACGGAAAAGAUAAUCGCAGGAGAUGGAGAGAUGGAGAAGAGUGAUUGUAUGCAUUUGUGUGUUUUUCUCACUGAUCAUUAGUAGUGAAGAAUGGGUGGAUGGGUUGGGGAAAGUGAAAGGAAGUGGACUUUUUUUUAAUUCAAAAUCAAAUUAAUUGAAAAAUAAAAACAUUAGGGUAUUAUGGUAAUUUUAAACCUAGCAUGGACUAAGUUUGCAACAAAAUUAUCUUUUAGGGAUGAAGCGUGCAAAGUUAAAUCACACAAGGGAUGGUCCGAGUUAAUUUUUUUAAAAUAAGAACUGAACAUACGUUUUUGCAAUUCGUGGAUUGAUGUAAUUUACCCAUUGUUUGAUAUUGUAAGAUUUCUUUAUUUAGUGUUCGAAAUUUGCCUUUUUGUUAUCAAUUUGAAAUUUUAAUUUUUUUAAUGAUUGUUAUUAGAUGUAACUAUCAACUGUACCAACUAAAUCGGAAAUUGAUUAAACCAAACCUUAUAUGUUUUGGUUAUAAUUAAUAUAAGAGUUAGCAGGUAUUGGUCGUUAACGGGUAAAAGAAUCAAAAACUAUGAUUCAAACCCAUAUAAUUCUUAAGGGUUUGGAUCGGAUCAGGGUCAAUCCUCGCUCCAUUUCUAAGACUAAACACAAGUAAAUCUGAUUAAAUAGCAACCCUACCUAAGCCACAAACCACUUGGGGGUGUUUGGGAUUGUUAUUUAAAGCGAUAAGUUCUUUUUGCAAAAGAACAUUUUGAUUUUAACUUUUAAGGAGACAAAAGUCAAAAGUUAGUUUUAAAAAGUGUUUGUCUAAUAUUUGGUCUUUUGAAUUAUAAGAAGGUAAAAGUUACAAAAAUAAUAAUUUCUUGUCUUUUGAAACUGCUCCCGGCUUUUAUUUUAUUUUUUUCAAUUUCCUCAUUCUCCCACGUUCCUAAUUUCUGAUCGUUCCACUAUUCAUGUAUUCCUGCUCCUUAAACUUCAACUGCUCCUGGCUCCAUCUUCUUCGUCAACCAUAGAAACUGCCAUAUCCACCCCAUGUUCUUCCUUCAUCGCAUCUCCUUCUUCAUUGUGUAAUUGUCCCGUCUACAUAAGAGUUCAAUCUCAACCUAGUUGCUUUAAUUGUUUCAACAUUUGUUUCAAAUUGCUUCAAGCUUCUCAUAAUCAUGGACCACAAAUCAAUUGAGAACAUUUUCUCCUUUGAAUAAAAGCCAUCCAAUGUAUGUUUUAAUUUUUGUUUUCACAAAUUUCUAGGUUUACUUCAACUUUUGAUUGGGCUUUUCAAUAACAAAACUCACUAGAGAAAUCCCUACUGGUAUAGGAAUUUACUAAAUCUCUCUCGCUCUCUUUAUGCUCACAUCUCCUACUUCUUCUCCAUUAUCUACAGGCUUUUUAUUUUUUCUUUGAAUGCACUUGGAAGAUCCCAGACAACGAUGGCCUCUUACUUCGAUAUACACCUUUCUAUAUGUAAACACCACUGGACGCUUACUCACUUACUCAGUAAGUUUCAAUUUUAGGUUUUUUAUUUGUCAACUGAUACUGAUUACAUAGAGAUGCUAUUGACUAUUGUCUCAUUCGAGGCCACCUGCCAUUGCUACAAAAACCAAGGUUUUGACGUUCAAUUUUGGAUUCCGGCUUGAAUUUUACUAGAAGAAAAAUAGUAAAUCCCGUUUGACAUCUGUAAGUUUCUCAAAAUCCAUAUUGAUGCAAAAUCAAUUUAACGCUUUCUAAAGUCUUAAUUAAAAACUUUUUAAGAAGCUUUUAUGAUUCAUAGCAAGAAAUCAGUAAUCUUGAUUUGUAAUUUUCCCCCUUUAUCACAAAUGUCUAUAAUUAAGGAUGUUGAUUGCAUUUCCAAACGAAUUCAAACAAAAUUAGGGUUA